CCUAACCUGUAUGAGUUAUGUGCUCAAGCUUAAGCUAAGGUUACUAUGUAUCCAUAACCCUCUUCAAAUUCAAGGAAAUUGGUAACUCAUAUAUAUAUAUACUGGAAAGCUGUGAGUGAUAAAGAAUUUAACCAGUGAUGCAUUUUGGAUGUCGAAUCUUGUCAUUUACUCAAGAAGGCACAGCAGAAUUAAGCAGUCACUCAAUUGAACCAAGUAACAAAUGAAAGAGUGUAAGCAAAAAAAGUUGAAUACGACUUGUAAACAAGGACUAAACCAUACUAAUAUGUGACCUAAAACUGCACUGGCUACAAAUAAAUGGAUGAAGAGGAAGAUCAUAUGCAAAAAAAUUUGAAACCAGCUACUAGACUCAUAUGUUAAUAACCUACUGGCAGGAUAAUUGACAUCUUAUCCUUCUCUUUGUCUGCAAACGGAAAUCUUAAUCAAGUUUAGAACCCAAAAAUCAUAAACGUUUUUCCUAGACUAAGUUCAACAGAUGCAAAUAGUGUUGCGUGCAUAAUUUUGCCAUUAUUCUCGCAAAUGAAGACCAUUAGCAUUACUCUUCAUUUCCAAAAAUUUAUCAUGUUUAAAACGGUAAACAACUUUGGUUUGUUUGUUUUUCCCCCCUUAAUACCUAAUGCAUUUGAACAACACAACAUGCCUGUGCCUAUCUUCUGCAUAGCUCACCCAGUUCUCCAAACCUCAUCAGUUUUAUCAAUUAGUCGCCAUCCCAUUCGCUGUUUACUUAUGCUUAAUCAUUCAAACAUCUCUUUCAUUAGAAACCAAUUCCAUAACAAUGCUACUCUUCAUCUUAAACCAAAACAAUUACAGCAGCAAACACAUUAUACCAGUAAUUCAAGUCCGCUAUACCCUUGUUCACUUACAAAUACCUCAAGUUCCCAACCUUGCCUAGAAUUUAAGAAUCCCAUAAAACCAAGUUCACUAAACCAAUUUAACCGUCCUGAUUCGCAAGUCAGCAUGAAUUUUCUUUAUAUCUAAAAUUUCCUUAUUUUGAAAUCAUUCCAGAGAACUGACAAGAGACAAAACCAGCAGAAUUCAUUACUUUUUCAAGAAUUGACAUGGCUUCUUUUGUUGCACUCUUCUCCCUCUCUACAUAACAAAGGAAGUAUUUUUAUCAAUCACCACACUGCCCAGACUAUCCCAAACAAUCAAAUUGAAAAUUUUCAAAAACCCAGAUGCAAAUUACAUAAAUAAAUGCCAAUAAAGUACAAAAAUAACAAAAAAAAAAGAACAUAACUUUCUGGACAGAAGAGAUGGGAUGAGAGGCCUUACUGAUGGGACAGGUGACGAGGAAUCCGGAGUGGGAAAGACUGAGGAGAGAAGAAGGGGCGUUGUAGUCAAAACGAGGAAUGGUGAUGACAGCAGAGUGUUGCUCCCAGGGCUUCAGCUCCUCCUUGGUUUUCAGUCCCACUUUCAUUGCUUCUUUUUCCAAUACUUUUGCUCUUUCUUCUGUUUUUGCUGUCCCAUGUUUCAUUUCCAGUAUUAUUGAGUUAAUGGAUUGCAAUUUGUUUGGCAGAUGAGAUUUAUAUUUAUAUUUCGCCCCCUCUUUUGUAUGGCAAAUGUGUUUUUUUACCCUAGUUCUUCCACUUUACUAAUAAAAUGUGAUUUAUUCUAAAUGUUUUAGACCCUCUUUGAUAUCCCAAUUCAGUAUUUAAACUUAAUGGAUUUAGAUUUGAAUGUCUUCAGACGCAUUGAUAAUAAAAAAUAGAAUGUCUAAAUUAAUUAAGUGACAUUGAAUUUCUUAGGCGAAACUUGCUCUCAAAAUAAAAUAUUAAAUAUGAAGUUUGAAUCCAUUAAGUUAUUAAAUUGUUAAGUAUUAAAUGUGAUACAUCUGAGUGUAUAUCACAUUAAGUAAUAAAUGAAUAACUUAUCACUUAUUUUUUGGAACAAGUUUUGGCUAAAAAUCGGUGUCAUUUUAUUUUUUGAAGCAAAUUUUGGCUAAAAUAUUCAGUGUCAUUUAAUUAAUUCAGAUGUGUAAUUUUUUGUUAUCAAAUGCGUUUAAAUAUGUUAAUAUCUGAAUCCAUUAACUUUAAAUGUUGAAUUGAGUUAAAACAGUGCUUAAUACUUCACAAUUCAACAACUUAACUUAAUGGAAUUCAAAUUUUAAACUUCAAUUUUCAAACUUUAAUUUUAUCAAACGCACCCUCCUAUUACCCAAAUUCUACCAAACAAAUUUUUUCUACAUAUUACCACCCUCACAAUUCACAAAGUCAUUUUAAUAAUUGAAUCUAUUAACUGAUGUCAGUCGGUUUGGAUCAUUUUGCGAUAUCAAAGGUGAAAAAAAUCGCAUGUGUGCACAAAUAAAAAACCAAAAAAAGGUGUUGAUUUUUCUUCUGGAAAAAUGGAGAGUUGUAGUUGUAGUCUCCAAUUUUUAACAUACGCACUGAAAUAAUCUCUAAUGUUUUGAUCAAAAUAAAUUUGGUUCUCAAAGUUUUUGGUAGUAGGUACAUUCAACAAUGGCGAAAACUCAACAAUGACUAACGGUAAAAAUUUAAUUACUGUUAUUUAACAAUUUUGACUUUGUACUUUUGGACCCUAAUGUUUGAAAUUUUAAUCAUUUUAGUUGCUUAAAUUUUCAAUAGUGAUAUCCAGGGUAUUAGGAUAAAACAAGAUGCGAAUUACAACAAAAUUGUCUUAAAUUGGUACUAGCAAUUCUAAUUAAACUUUUUUAUUUUUACUGCAUUUAUUCAUGCCACUAAUGUCUCAUAUACUUCUUCCCUUUGGUAUAAUUGGUCACAAAUUUGGUAUUAUAUAUGUGAUUAUUGAUUUAUACAAGUAGUAAUUAACUGAUAAUUCACCCAUAAUGAGUAAAAGCACUUCAUAUUAGUUUUUAUGUUUGCUAGUGUUUAUCUUUACAAUUCCUAACUAUAACAAUUUAAGGCCUAUAUGUACAAGUCAUGCAAGAACUAGCAAAAAAUGAUAAUAAAUUUUAUAUUAAUACUAGAAUUUUCCUUUUUAUUUUAUAUAUUAUGUGACGCCCCACUUCUCCCUAAGGCGAACCAAAGGGUAUCCGCGGGACGCCUGCCUAGCUCUCGCCAGGACUCAAGCAAUUCCAUUCAAGCUUAUUAUCGAUCUACACAACAUACGAAAAACUUAAAUACAGUAAAUGCGGAAGCGUUCAAGCUUAACAAUAGUUGUCCAUUAUCCAGCCCGCACGUCGAGUGUUCAAAGUACAUCAUAAUUUCCAAAUAUACAUCACGCCCCAAAAGUUACCUUCCAAUUCCAAAAGUACAAUCCAAAACCAAGGUAUAGCCAAAACAUAAUAUAAAUCCUAGACAAAAGUACAUCAGGAGGGUUUUUCCGAGUACACCUCCGAGUUCCACCUUGUUAAGGAAAACAAAUCUACAGGGUGAGCAAAAUGCUCGUGAGGCCAAGAACACACAUGCAUGCACAUAGUUCAGGUAACAAGCCCAAGUAAUGAUUCAAGUAAUAGCUUGCAAGUAAUUAAUAAUGCCCACCAAAAAUGUAACCAGAAACAAUUCAAGGAUAUGGUAGCUCUCAGGAGCUAAGUUCCACUUGCUUUGCCCGUUCAUUAGUAUAUCUUCCCGUGAUGACUCUCCGUCAACCGGGUUGAUAUUUCCAAACCGUAGACCACCACUUACUUCUUAUCCGUCCACCAUACACCGCUUCAGACCCGCACGACAUUUAUGAGGCGAUACUCCACGAGUAUGCCAAGCAAGAUCUCUCCAAUAGAUCAAGUUUAUCAUGUGAAUCUCGUGGCUCACCGAGGUUCCCGACCGAACCCAUGCCGGCUCGGGUUCCAAGGUCGGCCUAUGAGUUUGGGCGUCCCCCAUGUAUCAUGUAAGUGUCGAGGAGAUUCACUCCAUCGACGUAUGCAAUCAUAGCAUACCAUGUCAUGUAUUCAAGCAUUUGAUAGGUUUAAACAUGUAUUUCAGGUCAUGUAAAUCAGGCAAACCAUGUUAAAUACGAGUCAUUUGUUCCAAAGGAGAACGAGUGCGAUAAAGUACACACUCGACUCCAUUUUUCAAAAUCAGGUAGGCUAAACAUGUAAUCAGGUAAACCAAGCACGGAUCAAAUCCAUAGAGUUCAAAUAGUCAUACACUUGACACUCACCGAGUAUUAAGUGCAAGUAGGGUUAAGGAAAGUUCAAGCGUCCACCGUAGGAUCCUCUUGAAGGUCCUCGUGUGCGCCUGAGCAAAUAAUAAUAUAUUAUCAUUCACAUAACCCAAUUAUCGAGAAAUAAUUCAUGCCCUAUAACAAUCUAGGAAAUUUCGUGAAAAGGAACCUUAAUUACUUGUAAAUCGAGGUUCGAGUGGCGUUUCAUAAAGUACAGGAGCAUUUGGAUUUUUAUCUUGAAAAUCGAGGUUAAAACGUUUGCAUAAUGUCGAAAGAAUAAAGAGUUCUUGGAAAACUCUAUUUCCUUGAAAGUUGGAAAAUUUUCAGUUUUGAUAUGGAUAUUUGAAAAAUCGUAUCUCACUCGAUACAAGUCUAAAAUUGGAAAAAUUUAUACCGUUGGAAACCUCUUGGAAAGUACUAAAAGUUCUUCGAAAACACUUUUCCACGAAUCUAAGUGGAAGGUAUUCAAAAAUGAGCUUAAAGUUGCUGUUCCAGAACACCCAGGAUUGAGCCGGGGUUGGUUUUUCGCUAACUUUGGAAAUUCGGUAGAAUUCACUCGUUGCAAACCAGCCCUUGAAAUUUAUAACUCAAUUAGAGGUGCAAGUAAGGUUUAGGACAGAACAAGCGGAUCGAGACUCGGAGUUUCGAGCACCCAGAUAUGGUAGCUCAAAUUUGAGAAAAAUUCAAGACUGUUGAACAAAUUUCCAGAUUUGGGUUUUCGACUUUGGACCUUUAGUUAAGUGUCGAAACAGACUUGGAUUGGUACCAAAUUUUGCAGUAGAGUACUCCUAUAUGUAGGGUGUCUCUCUAUCAAAUUUCGUAGAAAAAUACCUUCGGAAAGGUGGUUAACCAAUCAACCGAAGUUUUGAAUUUACUAAGGCAAAACUGCCUUCAACUCCAUUUCUCUCCGUUUCCAAACAUUCGGCUAAAGAAAACCUCCAAACAUGGUUCAUUUGUGCAAGAAAUGUCUAAGGAACAUACAUAGUACAUUUGGUAGGUGUUUAGCACCAAGAAAUUCAUUUAGUAAGACCACAACAAGUCUUACAUCAAAUCUGUCCAAAUCCAAGGGUUUUCAAGAACAGGGCAGUCACCGUAUUUUGAUCAUAACUCACUCAAUUUAACUCGGAAUUGAGCAUGGUUGAUAGUGUUGGAAAAUACAUUCAUAGGGAUAUAAUUUCACCGAAGAAAUCUUUUUAAGUUUCAGAAUGCAACUGGCUCAAAAUUAAGCCUAAAGUUGCAGCAUCAUAAAAUCAUUUCAGCAGAACAGAGAAACAGGGUAGCCUUCUUAAAACUAUUGGUUUGGCUCACACACUUGGAACCAAAACGUAUAUUUUAUACUGUUGGAAAGGUGUGGAUGUCUAGUUUUAAAUGCCACUGACGGUACUCGAUUUCGACGUCGGAGGACAAAGUUACGGCCGAAACACUAUCACUGGACAGAGCUACACGGGAACAGUUUUCCAGCUAGACUAGUUUCACAAAGAAAUUCAUUUGCCCAACCAAACCUUAAUAUUUUCAAAUGAAAAUUUUUACACAACUAAUACAACAUAUAAACAUCAUAUUCAAGCCAUUAGAUCAUAAAAAAUUGGCCUUAAAAUAACCGAACAGGGCAGGGGCAAAAUCAGAAAUUUCUAUUCCAUGAGUUCCUUGAGAUUUCUGCUAAUUAUACUCCAUUAAUCCACCAUUUCAAACACUAAACCAACAUUAUAAAUAGCAUCAAUCACCAUAUCAGCCAUCAAGACAGAGGUGGGAGUUCAUAGAGCCCACCUUCCAUUUUUUUUUUCAACAACAACAACAGCCCAUAGGAAAUUAAGAGCUAAAAGGUAUACUAGAACUUCCAAAAACUGAAAUUAGAAAGCUUGAUCAUGACUUGCUCUAGUUGAUGAACAACUUAGAAAUUUCGGUCCUUCCUUGCUCCUAAGUGAGCCGUGAAAAGUCCCCCCUUUUUAGCUAGAUAUGAACUCCAAGUCUUAGGCUAAGUAGUGUUAAAAUUUGAGAGAAUUUGGUAGAGAUUUGAGUAAGAUUUGUAGAGGGAAAUGUUGAAGAGUUUUGGUUGUUUCUUUGCAGCUGCUAGCCGGCCAUGGAAGCUUGGAGAAAUGAGAUGUUUGGUUUGACUCUUUGGCGUACAAAGAAAGCUUAACGUCUAAUAGUUUAGGUGCGCAAAACUCAACCGCAAAUAGUGCGCAUACGCGCGCGUUUUGUGCUCGAUUUCUCUUAAGUUUGUUGCACUAGUGCACUAAACCUCUAAGGCACUUACAUUCAUAUAAAUAUUAUUCAUUCUUAAUUUUCCCAAAAUAAUGGUCCAAAGUCCCUCAACUAAGCGUGCGCGUGAAAACGCGUAUUUUUAAUUUAGGCGCGAUAAAAUGAAACCUUCGAGAAAUUCUUAUAACGAUCAUACUACUAACUAUCACUUGAGUGUUUAAACCUAAAAUUGCCUAUUUUAGGACCAUUGUACAUGUCUCCAAAUUUUCGAACUUAUUGUACUUCCAAUUGGCUAAAGUUUCAAACACGUUUUCACUUUUCCACUAAUCAAACUUUUAAGAAAAUAAUUUUUGAAACGAGACACUUUAAAAAUAUAACGAAACUAUAAAACCAUGUACUUAGGUCUAAUAAGGCUAGAAAACAUUAUUCGUGGCAAAAAUCCAAAUAAAUAAUUAAUUAAGCCAAAAUUAGGGAUUUUAAAAUAAUGGAUUUUCGAGUCCUCACAUAUUAUGUGUCGCACCCCAUUUUUUGCGAUGGGAAAAUAAAAGGAGAGUGUUUAGAAAAAAUGUGAUUUUAUUUUAAAAUAAGUGAAAGGGACCUAAAAUGGGACUUUAAAAAUGCGAUAAUUUGGGUCCAAAAUUUAGUCUAAAAAGGGUUUUUAAGAAAAAAUUAGGAGUCGCCACUUGGUAUUGAGUUUUGGUACACCAAGUCACCCAAAAAUAUUUCUAAAUAAAAUAAAAUAAAACCCUUUUCGACAACUCCAGGUCUUUGAAAACAGAGAAAAUGAGUUCGGGAGUCAUGAUUGAAGAAAGGGAAGGCAAAUGUUCGAUUAACUCAAACCUAAAGCACCCUUUCAACCUAAUCUAAGCUAGUUGCGUGGUUUAGUCAAAAUUUUCUUAAUCUAACCCUUAAAUUUAUCACAUUUGGAUGUUUCCUACAUGGAUACAAACCUAAAAUAUCGAAAGAGACAAAAUAUUCAUUCAAGGGUUUAAUUGAUACCAAUCGCAUUAAUUGCGAAAGCCAAAAUAAUUCCUUGAAGGGGUCACGAGUAUGCGAAUGAUGAAAUCAAAAGAAAAGAAAAGAAAAUUAAAUUAUAUACAUAAGGUAUAAGUGAUCAAAGAAAAAGGAAUGCAACAUAAUGGAUACGGGAGGCGAAAACUCGUGACAUAAUUCUCUUAUACAAGGAUUAAUGGGGUAUUUAAACUAAAGAAUUAUAAUCACCCAUAUCCAUGAUCAAAGAAUAAUUCUCCUAAUAUGAACAAGCAAAUGAACUAACUUAUUCCAUAAUUUCUUAAAUGAAAUACAAUUCUAAAUGAUAUGAUUAACACAUAUAGAGGGUAGGGGUAAAGGAUAAUAUAAUAAAAAAUAUCAUACAAAUGAGAAAAUAUCCUAAAAUAAAAAUAUGCAUGAAAAUGUAAUGGAUAUCAUACAAAAGAUGAAUCUAAUGCGUGAAUGAUCUAAGGGUCUAGUAUUGGACUAACCUAUUCCUAGAAAAAAACCUCACUAGCGUUGGACUAGUGCGGUGACAUCAUGCAUUUAUAUAAUCAAAUAAAUCAUAUAAAAUAUAAUAAAAACAAAUAAACACAUAAAUCACAUAUAACAUAUAGCACAUAAGUAUGAUAUCUAGAUGCAAGGGCCCUAAGGAAAGCGAGGAAAUAUGUAAACAUACAAGCAUGCAAGCACACAAACAAAUAAAAAUAAAUAGAGACUUAACUAUUACAUUCGGGGGGCCCUAACUACAAUCUAAAGGGAUAACGAAUAAAAAAUAAUAAUAAUCUAACUAUUACAAUUUGGCAUUUAAAUGCCUCUCAAAUAAUCAAAAAUUAAAUUAAAGUAAAUAUACAAAAUUUAAAAAAAAUAAAAUGAAUAACUAAAUAAAAUAAAAUAAAAUAAAAAACAUUCAAAAACAUGCAAUUACACACAUAAAAUCACAUAGGAGCACAUAGAAGGAUUUAAAAAUAAAACAAGAAAAUACCUCCCUUGAAGUAGUAAUUAAUGAGAAAUUGGAUUUGCCCUAUUUACCUCCAAAAUUAACAAAAUCAUCAAGGCACCAAUUUAAUUAACAAAUAAUAAUAACGAAUGGAAAUAAACAUGAAAUCAAUCAAUUGAAACACUUAAAUGAAAUGUAAUCAAUAAUUAUAGAAGAAAAGCAACUUCUAUUUAAGCAAUCAAAUCUGUUAGGGAUCUAAUUGCAAAAAAUAAACAAAGUUUUAGGGAUCAAAUUAUAUUACCACAAAAAUAUAGGGUCUAAAUCAAAGAAAAAUAAAGUUUAGAGACCUAUUUGCAAUUAAUUAAGGACCUAAUUGAAACAAAUUUAAAAUGUUCUGGGCUGUAGUGAAACCACUCCAAAUAUCAGGGGCUAAAGUGCAAAUUUCGGUUUCUGAUUUGGGCAAGAAAAAGGCCAUCGGGCCAUCAUUUUAUUUCUUUGGUCCGAAGGCCAUCCGGCCCAACCGAAAGUCCAGAGAAGCGAGCAGGCCAACCCGUCUUCUUAUCACUCAAACCCAACCAAAAAAUCAUGGGCUCUGACCUCCUAGCCCAACCGAAAAUAAGAAACAAGCCCACAAAAUAAAUAAAAAUUAGCCCAACCCACUUUUUUUUUUCUUUUCUUUUUCUUCUUCUUCGGCUAGCUGAAGAAGCUUCAGCUGGCAGCCAUGGCAGCUGCCGGUGGUGCCGCCGCCGGCCACCGGCGAAUUUUCCGAUCGUCCAAAAUUGCCAAAAUACACCCCCUCACUCCAUUUUUCGCGUAGAUUCCAUUUUCGGAGUUAUUUUUUAUAGAAAAUGAUCCGAAAGUGGUCAAAUGGCCAAAAAUAGUCGCGAUUUUUAUUUUUUUAUUUUUAUUUAUUUUUUAAAAUAUCAUAUCCUUCACCAAAAAUCAUAAAAAUUAUACUAUAACACUCCUUACAACUUCUACAAUACAACUAUGAUUUAAUCUGACAAGAAAACAACAUAAAAAAAACUAAAAUAAGGCAAAACAGCCCCUUAAAAUUUUUUUUUGUUAUUUUGGCAUUUUUCAAACAAUUAACAUGCAUUCACCGAAAUCAUUUUUUUUCUUAAUGUUUAUUCAUGGCUUCCCCAAAAAUUCAACAACAUCAGUAGCAACAACAAACGAAGCCAAGGGACAAACAAAAUCAAAUCAUGUAUUUAAUUUAAUAAAUUAAAGAAAGGAAAAAGCUGGAAAAAAGAUAAAAAGAAUAAAUACCUCAAUGAAGAUUGUAGUCUCUUGAUUAAAAUUUGAUGAAAUUACAAGCUCCAAUCAUUUUUAUUGGCCUUGCCCUGUCCAAGAGAAAAUCUGAGAGUGAGUGUUUUAUUUGCUAAAAAUGAGAGGGAGAAUCUGAGAGAGAGAGCCGAGAGAUUUUUUUUCUUCCCUUUCUUCUGCACCCGAGGCCUGAGAGAGGGAGCAAAUGAGGGGGUUUCUUGCAAUUUUCUUCUUCUGCUUCUUUGUCCGAGAGAAUCCAGAGAGAGAAGUUGAGAGAGUGGAGACCGAGAGGAGCCAGGGAUCCCUCUUUUCGUCCGUUUGUUGAGAGCCAGGGGCCUCCGCUGCAAAAAUUUCUUUCCUUCUCUCUUGUUCUGUUGCUCCACCGAGAGAGAAUGAGGCAGGGACCUCCUGAGCAAUUUUUCCUUCCGCCCCUUUUUCUGUCCAGGUCCGAGAGAGAAUUGAGAGAGUUUUUUUUUUCUUUUCGGUCCAGAGCUCCCAAUGAGAAAGAGAGAGAGAAGUGGAGUCCAGGGAGUUUUCUGCAAAAAUUUCUUAGCCUUCUUUUUUUUCGUCCGUUGGCAGCCUUGGUCAAAAAGAAAAGAAAGAAAAUCAUCAUGGGAGGCAUCAUGACGACCAAGGUCAUCAUGAUGUCUCCACUAUCUUUUUUUAUUAUUUUUAAAAAAAAACUGAUUUUGUUUUUCUUUUCUGUUUUUUUUUUAAAUAAACCUGCAAAUAUAAGAAAAAAUUUGCAUUAAAAUGUUAGAAAAUAAAUAAUCCAUUAAAUAGAAAAAUUCAAGAAAAUAUUAAAAAUUGAAAAAAUUUUGGUGUCUACACCUUGCCCCUCUUUGUCUCGCGUUUCGAAGAAAUUCAAGAUAAAGACGUAGACACCAAGUUACUUACCUGUGUCUUCUAACUGCACCUGAACUAAAACAACAAGCCAACAAUUGGCUGAAAUUAUUGAACAAAAUGAUGCAAUGAAAUUUCAAAACACGUGACCGAACUCAUGUAGAGUUGCCUACGUAUCCCGCCAUGGGAAUCAGGUCAAACGUAAUUCGAAUACCAAUGAACUAUAAUCAAACAAGUGCAUUGACCAUAUGUGAUCUUUGCGAAGUCAAAGAAGUCUGAGCUCUCAGAACUUCUUAACAUGAAACACAAAAAUGAAUGAGAAAGCACAAAAGUAAAUUGUCAUAACUAAAAAAAGAUGCGUGAAGGGACGCGGUUACGCUCCAACAGGAAAUUAAAUGCGAAUUUUUUUUUUUGAAAAAUAUGUGCGGAGGGACGCAGUUACGCUCCAACAGAAAAUUAAAUUUAUCAAGAAGAGAGGUAGAAGGGUGCGCGGUAGACGCUGAGACUCACCAACAGAAAAUUAAAUUUGAUCUUCUGAUUUGCCAAGAAGGGGAGAUAGAAGGGUGCGCGGUGGACGCUGAUACUCACCAACAGGAAUUUAAAUUGUCAAGAAGGGCGAUAGAGGGGUGCGCGGUGGACGUUGAGCCUCACCAACAGAAAAUUAAAUUUGAUCUUCUGAUUUGCCAAGAAGGGGAGAUAGAAGGGUGCGCGAUGGACGCUGAAACUCACUAACAGGAAUUUAAAUUUGAUUUUCUGAUUUGCCAAGAAGGAGAGAUAGAAGAGUGCGCGGAGGACGCUGAGACUCACCAACAGGAAUUUAAAUUGUCAAGAAGGGAGGUAGAAAAGUCCGCGGUGGACGCUGAAACUCACCAACAGAAAUUUAAAUUGUCAAGAAGGGGGAUAGAGGGGUGCGCGGUGGACGCUGAGGCUCACCAACAGAAAAUUAAAUUUGAUCUUCUGAUUUGCCAAGAAGGGGAGAUAGAAAGGUGCGCGGUGGAUGCUGAGACUCACCCACAGAAAUUUAAAUUUGAUCUUCUGAUUUGCCAAGAAGGGGAGAUAGAAGGGUGCGCGGUGGAUGCUGAGACUCACCAAUAGGAAUUUAAAUUGUGAAGAAGGGAGGUAGAAGGGUGCGCGGUGGAUGCUGAGACUCACCAACAGGAAUUAAAUUUUGAUCAUCGAGAAAUAAUAGAUUGGUGGGAUAUGAUCCGAACCUAAUUAAUAGAUUGGUAGGAUACGAUUCGAGCCCAAUUAAAAUAACAUAUUGGUGGAAUAUGCCCCGAACCCAAUUGAUAGAUUGGUGGGGUACGUUCCGAACCCAAUUGAAUGAUACAUUGGUGGGAUAAGUCCCGAUCCCAAUUGAAAUGAAAUAUUUUCAAAUGAAAUUUGAUUGUCAAGCAGGGGGAUAGAAGGGUGUGCGGUGGACGCUGAGACUCACCAACAGGAAUUUAAAUUUGAUUUUCUAGAAAAAGAUACGCGGAAGGACGCAAUUACGCUCCAACAGGAAAUCAAAUUGUCAAGAAAGGGAGAUAGAAGGGUGCGCGGUGGACGCUGAGACUCACCAACAGGAAUUUAAAUUGUAGAGAAGAGAGAUAGAAGGGUGCGCGGUGGAUGCUGAAACUCACCAACAGAAAAUUAAAUUUGAUUUUUGUCAAGGAUCUAGGUAGUUCAAUGGGACUGAAUUCAAAACCAGAUGCCUAUCAAGAGAAUGAAAAUAUGCUCGAAACUUGGUGGACUUACAAUCUCUUUAUGAUUUUCGAACAAGAAAGGAAAUAGUGAUUUUUUCUUUUCUUUCUUUGAAAAUGCACAGCGAAACUUGAGCUCAAUCCUUCUAUCGUUUGCCCCAGUGUGAAUCAUGCUCAACUAAACCAAUAUUGUGUCACAUAAUUUUUCCUGUAAAAAGGAAAAAAAAGAAAAGAAACAACUGUGAUAGAAAAGUGCCACCACCAUGUGAUCCAUUUGCCUUGAGUGCCGUGUAAACAUGAGUUUCAAUAUCAACAAAUUGCUCUCUUAGAUUUGGUCCACAACCUCUUUAGAGUCUUUGCAACCUUCUAAUAUCAGUUAUCCAAACUUUAUUAUCAUAGCACCUUCAAUUUCCUGACUCCUUUGGGAUAAACUAUAGGGGAUUGUCUUUUGAAUAAGAUCCAAUCAAUGAGAAAAAAAAAUGUAUUAUGCAUCAUGCGAUAAUGUUGAUAUGAAAUAAAUAAUGGUACCUAAUAAAUACAAUAGUAAAAAAAAUAAAAUAAAAUUGUUAGAUUUAUAAACACGGGUCCAAAGAUCAAAAGUUGGACACAUAUUUAGAGGACAGCCUUUGAUGAAGAUAAGUGCUCCAUCUGACCUCUUCGACGUCAUCCAUUUUGGAAUUCAUUGUCGGCAAAAGAACAACAGUAUGAAAGAGACCCAAAUCAACAUAGUCACCAGCUCUCAGACGUCAGUAUCUUUUUCUUCAUUGAUGAUUCUCUUGUGUUCCAAAACCUUACUUCAGCGCCCUUUCGGGUUUUCACUAAGGUUACCCCCACCUAUUUUCUUUUUCUUCUUUUUUUCUUCUUUUUUUUCCUUUUUUUUUCUUUUUUUUUCUUUUUUUCAAAGGUGUCUUUUCAAGUUUUAACCUUGAGACAUAGACAAGAACAUUUUAACCCCAACUGUAUCAAUCCAGUCAUGCUUUGAUAAUUUGUGGCAUCAGUAAGACAAGCAUCUCUGACAUAUUUCAGAAAAGUUGUAUUUACAUCAUUUGCCAAUUGAUUAAGAAAUUUUUUUUCUCAAAAUACUGCAAAAGAUGAAAGUAGACAACUUUGAGCUCUUGUAACUAGGAUUGGAUGAAAUAGUGAAGGAAAUGUUGAGACUUGAAUGUGGAUCUUAUGAUGGGUUUGCAAUCAUUUGAAAUAGCAUUCUUUCGAAAACUUGCUCCGAUCUAGGGUUGAAAGAUAUAAAAUUUGCCUCAGUUUAAUUAUAAUCCAAUUUUUCUAUUUUUCUUUUCUUUUUCUUUUUGCUUUUUUUUUCUUUCUUUUCCUUUUUUUUUCAAAGAAACAAAAUUGCCCCGGUAUGGGGGUUAGUGAUCUUAAGGGGCUGCCAAGUGAGAACAAAAAAUGGUGCUGAAAAGUCAAAAAUGGGAGAAAUUAGAAAUAGGAUAUCGAAAUGAAAAAAAAAAAAAAUGAAAGGAAGUAUGCCUUGAAUCCGUCUCUUGCAGUAUUUUUAAAAGAAAAUUUUUAUAAUCAAAUGAAAAACUUUUUGCACAUGUCUGCAUUGAUUGGUUGGAGAAAAACUUGACCGUCCAUUUCCAUAAGGAUAAGCACUCCUUCGGAUAGCCCUUUCUUAACAAUGAAUGGUCCUUGUCAAUUGGGAGCAAACUUCCCUUUAGCCUCAUCUUGCAUUGGAAGAAUCCGUUUCAAAACCUUAUCUCCAACUUCAAACAAACAGGGCCUGACUUUUUUGUUGUAAACCCGAGCCAUUCGUUGCUGAUAACAUUGUCCAUGACAGACGGCAUUCAAUCUCUUUUCAUCAAUCAGAGACAACUGCUCCUGACAUUCUCUGACCCAUUCAGCUUCUUCUAUCUGAGCUUCUAUCAGAAUGCGUAAGGAAGGAAUUUCAACCUCUGCAGGCAGGACUGCUUCCAUUCCAUACAUAAGAGAGUAAGAAGUUGCACCAGUAGAAGUUUUGAUGGUAGUUCUGUACGCCAUUAGUGCAUAAGGCAGCUUCUCAUGCCAAUCCCGGUGUGCUUCAGUCAUCUUACGAAUAAUCUUUUUCAAAUUCUUAUUUGCAGCUUCGACAGCUCCAUUCAUCUGAGGCCUGUAAAUGGCAGAAUUUUGAUGCUUAAUAUUGAACUGUUCACAUAAUCCAUCUACCAUAUCAUUGUUGAGGUUCUUGGCAUUAUCAGUGAUUAAUGUUUCCGGUACCCCAAAACGACAGAUGAUAUUAUUUUUCAAGAAAUCCGACACCACUUUCUUAAUCACAUGCUUAUAGGACGCGGCCUCAACCCAUUUGGUGAAAUAUUCAAUGGCCACUAGAAUGAAUCGAUGCCUAUUCGAAGUAGGAGGAUCAAUUGCUCCAAUCACAUCCAUUCCCUAGAUCGAACAUGGCCAUGGAGCAGUCAUGCUAUGCAGUUCUGUAGGAGGAGCACGUAUAACAUCACCAUGCAUUUGACACUUGACACAUUUUCUGACAAAAUCUAUACAAUCAUGCUCCAUAGUAAACCAAAAAUAUCCUGAUCUCAUGAUCUUUUUAGCCAGUAGAUGCCCAUUCAUGUGUGGGUCGCAAACCCCACUAUGCACUUCUUUCAUUAUAUAAUUAGCUUCCUCUUCAUCAAUGCAUCUCAAAAGGCCCAAAUCUGAUAUUUUCUUGUAUAGCACUUCUCCAUUUAAGAAGAAUCUCGAGGACACUCUGCAUAAGAAACCUUUUGUAACAGAAUCGGCAUCAGGAGGGUAGGAUCUCGUUUUUAUGAAUUCCUUAAUGUUAUUGUACCAAGAGCGACCAUCGGUGACCCUUUCCGUAACCAGACAGUGCGCCGGCCUAUUCUGAAGUUGAAUCUGUAUAGGUUCAAUCACCAAUUCAUCUGGAUGUUAGAUCAUCGAAGACAGAGUAGCUAAAGCAUUAGCAAAGGCAUUACGAAUGCGGGGAAUAUGUCUGAGCUCCAAAUUCCUGAAUUUGCUGGCCAAACUAAGUAAGUUACAAUGAUGCAGCAUAAUUUUUGAAUCUCGAGUUACCCACUGCUUAAGCGUCUGGUGCACAAGUAAAUCGGAAUCACUGAAUGCUAUCAGAUCCUUGAUCUCCAUGUCCAAUGCCAUUUUCAAUCCAAAAAUACAAGCUUCAUACUCGGCCAUGUUGUUGGUACAAGGAAAUCGUAAUUUGGCAGUAGCAGGAUAGUGUUUCCCUUCAGGCGACACUAAAACUGCUCCAAUUCCAGCUCCGAAAGAAUUUGACACGCCGUUGAAAAAUAACCUCCAUCUAGGAUACUGCUCACUCAUGUCCUCAACUAUUCCAACGAACAGAAUUUUUUCAUCAGGAAAGUAGGUAUAUAAUGGCUGGUAAUCAUCAUCUCUUGGAUUUUCUGCCAAAUGAUCUGCUAUGGCUUGACCCUUGACUGCCUUUUGUGUUGUGAAGAUAAUGUCGAACUCGGAAAGGAUCAUUUGCCACUUAGCCAUACGUCCCGUGGGCAUCGACUUUUCCAACAGGUAUUUUAGAGGAUCAGAACGAGAAAUCAAGUAAGUGGUAUAAUCGAGCAAAUAAUGUCUCAACUUCUGAGCUGCCCAUGCUAAAGUACAACAACUCCUUUCAAGAAAAGAAUAGUUAGUCUCAUAUGCGGUAAAUUUCUUACUCAGAUAGUAGAUGGCUUGUUCCUUUCUCCCAGACUCAUCAUGCUGUCCCAGAACGCAUCCAACAGCCUCAUCAAGAACAGACAAAUACAUAAUCAGAGGUUUCACUGGAUGAGGUGGCACUAAGACCGGAGGAUUUAACAAGUAAUUCUUGAUCUUAUCAAAAGCUUGCUGACAAUCUUCAUUCCACUCCAUCGACGCAUUAUUUUUCAACAGUUUGAACAAAGGCUCACAGGUAGAGAUUAAUUGUGCAAUGAAUCGGCCAAUGAAAUUGAUCUUUCCAAGAAAACUCUUCACAUCUUUUUGAUUUUUUGGAAUGGGCAUAUCUCGAAUUGCUUUUAUUUUUGCAGGAUCUAUCUCUAUACCCUUUUUGCUGACAAUAAAACCCAAUAAUUUGCUAGUUGGGGCUCCAAAAGCACAUUUUGCAGGAUUCAACUUCAAAUUAUAUCUUCUCAAUCUUUCAAACAGUUUCUUUAAAUCAACUAGAUGGUCUUCGACCUUGUUGGAUUUAAUUAUGAUAUCAUCCACAUAAACCUCCAUCUCUUUGUGAAUCAUGUCAUGGAACAGGGUAGUCAUGGUUCUCUGAUAAGUGGCUCCAGCAUUCUUCAACCCGAAAGGCAUCACUCGAUAACAAAAGGUUCCCCAUUGGGUGAUAAAAGAAGUUUUCUCCCUAUCUUCUUCUGCCAUUAAGAUUUGAUGAUACCCAACAAAACAAUCACCAAAAGAUUCAAUUUCGUGUCCAGCAGUAUUGUCCAAAAGAACAUGAAUAUUUGGCAACGAAAAAUCAUCUUUCGGACUGGCCUUAUUCAAAUCUCUAUAAUCAACACAUACUCGCACCUUCCCAGAUUUUUUAAGCACUGGCACAGGAUUCGAGAGCCAGAUGAGGUAAUGAGACACCACGAUUAUCUUGGCAUUGAGCUAUUUCACAAUUUAUUCUUUUAUCUUGAAACUCAUUUCUGGUUUGAAUUUACGUGGCUUCUGCUUCAUAGGUAAAACAUUUGGAUCAGUUGACAAUCCGUGAACCACUAUAUCCGUAGAGAUCCCUGGCAUAUCAUCAUAUGACCAUGUAAACACGUCUUGAAAUAGCAUUAAGAAUUCGAUCAUUUCCUCCUUCUACUUCUUUUUCAAAUGAAUGCUGACUUUAACUUCUUUAACCUCCGUUUUAGUGCCAAUAUUGAUGAUUUCUGUUUCUUCUAAGUUGGGCUUGGGUUUCUCUUCAUACUGUUCUAAAUCCCUUGAAAUGGACUCAAAUUCCUCCUCAGUAUCGCUCUCAUUUUGAAUUUCAGAUUGCAUGAUUUCAAAUUCAUGAGAGAUAUUGAGAUUGCAGCCAUCGAAUUCCAAAAUGGUGACAUCCAAAGAGUCAAAGGGUUUUAUUUGUGGCUAUCUAAAAAUAAAAUAGAACAUACGUAAUAAAUAAAUAGAAAAUACAAGAGAAAUCUUCCAUUUUAUUAAAUUCAAAAUGCAUCGAGGCUUCACAAAAAGACAAAUACACAGACACGAUUGCCAUUUAAAGACAUAUCCAACUCAAACCUUUAUUUUCGUUUCAACAAUUUUCUUGAACAAAACAAGCUAUAUUAACUGAAAUGAGAAUAAAGCUUCAGAAAGUAAAAGCAAUUUAUUUUAACAAAAGAUCCGGAUUACCGUCCAAUCUAGAUAUGAAACUAGACAAAAGACAAUCCCCUUAAAUUUACCGAAAUUCCCUUCGAGAGGGAAGAUAAUCAGCAAUCCAAUUUUGAAUAGCUCCUUCAGUAAUUGGCAAAAAUUUUGAAUUCUCUGAUGGUUCCUCCUCACAAGUUGCCCCGACAAAUAAUUGAGAUAGGUCCAUUUCAAUCUCCUCCACAGGAUUUUUCGUUUCUGGCAUGAUCACCUCUGAUGGUCGAGAAAAAGUGUGAUGUAGCGGUGGGACAUUUAAGGCAAUUUGCUUACCCUUCAUUUCAGCUUGUUUUCGAGCUUGCAUUUCUUUUCUAUCCUUAGCAGUUGGAUGAAAUCCCAGUCCAAAUAUAUUCUUUUGCGUCGGGAUCUUUAUUGGCUCCAAAAUUCCUUGCAAUUCCCGCCCAAGACCUUUUCCUAUUUCAUAUCCGCCUCGGAUCAUCUCCUUAGCCAUCAUGAUACUGGCCUCUGGCAAAUCUGAUUUAGUCAGCGACUUAUCUCUGGAUAUCCAUUUCACAGAGACGAUGUCAGCAACAUGAUGAGAUGAAAUUGGAGUCCCUUUUCUGUCUUUCCCUUUGAAUUUUGCAUCAACGAUCAUGGUACAGUCAUCCUCAGCAAACACAGUAAUGAGCUGAUCAUUCAUAAUAAAUCUCAACAUUUGAUGCAGAGAAGAUGGUACUGAAUUGGAAGCAUGUAUCCAGGGUCUUCCAAGCAAAAUAUUGUAAACACUGGAGAAAUCCAUCACUUGGCAAGUAACUUGGAAUUGAGCAGGGCCUAUCUCCAGAACCAGAUCUGCUUCACCCAUAGAUUCCCUCCUCGAACCAUCAAAUCCUCGAACCACAGUUGCAGAUGGACGGAGUUUAAUGUCAAGAAAUCCAAGCUUGGUGAGAGUGUUCCAUGGACAGAUAUUCAACGCUGACCCAUUAUCUACUAAAACCCUUGGCAACAGCUUUCCAUUGCAGCGGACUGAUAUAUACAAGGCUCUGUUAUGCCCGAUCCCUUCUGCAGUCAGAGCAUCACCGGAGAAGGCAAUAUGAUUAGCAGCAAGUACAUUCCCUACAAUGUUAGAAAAUUUAUCCACCGGAAUAUCUUUAGAGACUUGAGUUUCAUUCAGGAUUUUGAGUAAUGCAUCUCUGUGUAGCUCGGAAGUCAAGAGAAGAUUCAGAAAAGAAAUCUACGCAGGCAUCCUAUCCAACUGCUCUACUAUUUUGUAUCCACUUCUCUUCAGCAUCUUUAAGAAAUCCACAGCUUCAUUUUCAGGCACAAGAGACUUGGGCGUCGGAGAUUUAACCUUGGCCUUGGAUUGAACGUCUACUUCGGAGUUUCCCACGAUUCUCUCAGACGUGGUAAUAGUAGAUACCUCUUCCUUUAAGUAUUUUUUUAUCUCCGAUCAACAAAAUAGACUCCUCGUAGUUCCACGGUACCUCUUGCAAAUUAUUGACAGGUAUUUGUUCCGAAAAUUCAAGAACGACAGGCUCUGAUAUAUCCCAUUCAAAAGAUGGUAAAUCCAGAAUAAAAGGAACUUUGUCAAGCUCGGAAACUCCCCCUUCUGCUAUAAAUGGCUCCUCUUUUUCAAAUACAAAAGAUUUCAAUUUUUCCUCAACAUCAUCAUUAGUCAUGAACUUCUCAGCAGAUAGCGAUUUUCUCAUUCUCGCAUGAUCAGUUUCCAUUACACCAAACAUCUCAGUUUCAUCUACAAUGUAUUGGGUGGAAUCGAUAAAAUCUUCAUCAGUCAUGAUAACUCCUACAGUGCUUCCAUGCUCAGGUAAAGGAUUCUUACUGACAUUGGGUCCUUGUUUUCCCUUUCUUCUAAGAACAAUGUCUCUAGAAUCAAUAAUGUCCUGGAUCUUAUGUUUUAAAUCCCAACAAUUGCCAAUGGUAUGACCUGGACUUUCAGAAUGAUAGGCACAGAUUGCUUGUGGAUCAUAACCGUCAAGAGGACCUCUGGGAUAGAGUUUGGGAGGAACAGUGCUAAUUUUUCCAGCUGCUCAGACAAUUGAUCAAUGGGUCGGCCCAAAUUGGUAAAGGUUCGGAAUUGCCUUUGAUUUUGAACUCCCUUGGUUUGAAAAGGAUUUUGAGAAUGGUUAUUAUUUUGCAGGGUUAGUCUGGAAUGAUAAUUGGGAUGGGAGUGAUUUUGAAAGAUGGGUUGUGGAGUUGGAGGUGACGGUGAGAUAUUCAAAUGGCUUGGUCAGGAAUGAUGGAGUUGGGUAGUAGUGUGGUAGACUGGCUGAGGGUUGGUAUAUUACGAGUAAGGAACAGAAUAGGUGGGAUGGUUUCUGGGUCUGAAAGACGGGCCUUGAUCUCAUAUAAAAGUAGUUUCUCCUUCUUUCUUCUUGAAUUGGGACUCUUUUCAAUGUUGCUUUGAUUCUGUAGAGCAUCCAAUUACAACUUCAAUGCCGAUACAUUAACAAUCUUCCCUGCCUUGACAAACUCAUCGUAUUCCUCCAACUUGUUAAUAAUAGCAGCAAACGAACUUCCAGUCAUGCGAAAGAUCUCUUCAAAGUAGGGUGGAUCAUGAGCCUUGAUGAAAGGACGAACAAUCUCCUCCUCAGUCAUAGGUGGCUCCACUUUGGCAGCUAACUUUCUCCACCACUUUGCAUAGGUCUUGUGAUCUUCCGAUGGCUUUCUUUUUGUACCCUCCAGUCUUGUUCGUGUCGGUGCCAACUCACAAUUAAACUCAUAUUGCUUCACAAAAGCUGUUGACAAAUUCAACCAGGUUUUAACCUCUCCAGAUUUCAAAUUUGAAUACCAAUCUAGAGCAUCUCCCUCUAAACUUUUCGGAAAUAGACGCAUAGGCAAAUGUUUAUCAUCCAUAGGCUUAUCCAACUUGUUGGCAAACAUCUUGAGAUGCGUUUUAGGAUUUCCAACUCCAUCAUACUUACUGAAUUUGGGAGUUUUGAAUCCCAAUGGUAGCUGAAUAUUUGGGAAAAGACACAAUUCAUCGUAGUCCAACCCACCAUGUCUGCUCAAUCCAUGAUUCUUCUUCAUAAAAUCAUCGAAUUGAUCCAACCUACUCAACAUAUCCUUGUCAAUAGGUGCAGGUUGUUCUUCUAUCGCCGCCUUCCCUUGAGAUGCAGUAUCCAACACAAAAGGCGCUGCAACGUGGUGGUGGGGUUCCUGAGGGUUAGGGGGAACAUUCAGAUUGGUUUGUGGAUGGGUUUGAGGGAUCUGGUUACUGGUUGGGUUAAUCAAUAUAUAAUUUGGAUACAUAUGGGAAAGGUCUGAGUUUAGUCGGGUAAAGGUAUUUUCAAGGGGAUUAGCGAAGGGAGGAAGGAAAGUUGUUUGGACAUUGGAUGUGUGAGGUGGUUGAUGGUCUUGUGCAGAUGGAUGAUUAUCGACUGGUUCUUGGUCGUUCAGGACACCACCACUAUUGCUUGCGAUCAACUGAUCAAUUACACGCCUUUGUGUGGCCAUUUCAGUACUUAACUCAUUGAACUUGCCAAGUACCUCAUUUAACUGAGCUCCCAAUGCUGUGAAGUCCGGUGAUGCAACCAUAACAGAUCUUUCAGAAGUUUCUGGUACUGAAUUCAUGUUUACAGGCUGUCUCAAAGCUCUACUUCGAGAUCUGGUGAUGAUGGGGUUUCUUCGGGUAGCUAUUGUGUGAAAUACCUAAUAGUGGAGAAAAGAAACUAAUUUAGGAGUGGAUUUUCUGUCAAAUUGCUGUAAUUUAUUCAAGAAAAAGAAGAAAAAUGAAGAAAGAAAAAAAAAUGAGUUAGCAAAUAUUUAAAUAAUUCGGAUGCAUGUCCUAUGGGGGAACCCUUUUCUGCCAAGGGUAGGCCUAAUAUAAUGCAACACCUUUGAAGUGAGGCCUGUUUACCAAACCUGUGUUUUGAAAAUAACCUUGCAGAAGAUAAAGAUCAUUUCAUUGAUGAAUUUCUAAAUCUCAUACAUCAUCUACAUCAUUUUUUGAAGUUGAUUUCGUACAAGAUCAUUAAACUUUUUCAAUCUAUCUAUCACAGCAUCUUUUGACUCUCUGGAAUAGGGAUUCUGCAUGUGUUCAGCUUGAUCAUACAACUUGCCACACUUUCUUUUCAAUUCCUGGUGUUUUUCUUGCAUUUCUCCACACAAUUUUUUAUUCUUCUCUACCAAACCUUUAUUCACUUCCACAGAUUGCCUUAAUUGCGUAUUUUCUCUGUCCUUCGCCUCAAUGAUAGCCAUUAAUUUCUUGACUUCCUCGGAUUGUUCCAUCAGUGGUUGCUCAGCAUUAGAUUCUCUGAGCCACUCCUCGUAUUGAGGAGUAACUAAGGCCAUCUGCUUAAGUUGUGGAGCAUAAGCGAUCUCCUCAUCAUUGGACAAUGUUCCCCAGGCUUCGACAAUGGAUAUUUUCAUCGGAAUUUUAUCCGGACAGAUCCCUUUGUCAUAACUGAUGAUGAAAUCAGUCAAAUCAGGUUUAAGUGGUACUCCUUGAACGCGUCCUAACUGUCUGAGAAACCUUUUUGGAGUGUAUGCCAUGAUGCCUUGAGUUCCCAAAAGCGGUAUAAAAUCUGAUGAUUUGACGCGCAGAACAGGGUUGAAACAGUUGGUCCAGUCUAGUACCCAUCUAAUCUUUUGAUCUGGCAAUACCCUCAGAAAGUCCAACCAUUCAGAUGCAUUUCUUGGCAAAUUGCUUUUGUCAACUCUCUUAUGAUGGGUAGUUAUCCAAUUAUACCCAAUCAACGGUAGACUAUCAGGAGCAAACAACUGUCUCCGAAAGUGUUCCAUGGCCCAUAUAUGCAAGAUCCAAUUUGACCCAUAAAAGAACUUUGACCCUUUUUGACAAUUAGUACAUGCAACAAGAAUAUCAGCCAACACAGUCGGGUACUAUAGAGGCUUGUCGACCCUUAAUCCCAAAAAAUAAGUCAGAUAGGAGCUUAGUGAUUUUUAAACCAAUUUUCUUAUCUUUUCUAGGAAACAAAUAAAUCCCUGCCAUCACAAGUCCAUACACCAGUGGCCUCUUACAUUCCCAUGUUGCCUUAGAUGUAAAUGAAAAAUCUUUCGAAUGCUUAUCAAAUCCAUCUUUUAUUGCAAAUCUAUCAAACAAAAAUUUUACAUCUAUACUUUGAUCUGAUUCUCGUACUACAGACUCUUUUAAUCCAGUAAAAUGACAGAAUUCGAUCUUGCCAGAAGCAAUCGGAAAUAUCACUGUUGUACCUUUUACUGGCAAAUUCAGAAGGCCGGCUACCUCUUCAAUUGUUAGAGUCAGCUCCUUGUUUCCUAUCCUAAAUGUUGAACCGUUGGAAUCCCACAGUUGAAUUAAAGAUUCUACCAAAUACCCAUCUGAUUCAAUGUCUUUGAAAUCUCCAAUUGGCCCGAGGUGAGAGGCAACCAGAUUGAUCUCGCUAAAUGAGAGAAGCCCCGGCCAUCUUCGAACCUCCAUUGGAACGGCUAACAGCUGACUGAUUCGUUGAGGUUUGUCCAUUUGAAGCACGUAGCCUCGAUUAAAUACCUUACCUACAGGCCUCACUUCUUCAGUUUUACAAAAAAUUUAAACAUGAAUAUCCCAUAGAGGGUUAGUUACCCUGGGAAAACAAGGUUGGUACAUUCCUAAAAUGGGAUUUCCUAAAUGGCAUUUCCUCUAGGGUUAAUGCAUGAUGUCAAUUUAUUAAAGUGAGUAAACAUGCAAUACGGUAAUUGAAACAUGAUCUAAGGGUGUCCCAUUUAAAUGUCGGGGUAAGCUUAAAAUGAUAUGCAAUACAUACGCAUAUUAUUAAUGCAAUUAACUAAAAUUUAAACGUGCUUAAUAUAAAAGACGGUCUUGUCCUAAACGAGUACCAUGCUAUGACUCUUAUUUCUAAACCUUAUGAAUGCAAUGGAGACAAAAACCAAGAAAAGUUAGUUCAAUCAGAUAAAUACACAUAACACAUUGUAGCAAAGCAAUACAAAGAAAUAAAGCAAUAAAAGGAAAAGAGGGGUUGGAUCCCUCCCCUUGUGAAUAGUGUCCCAAAUAGGGUAAGGCAGACUCUACCCUAGGUCAACUAUCAUGGAUGCAUGAGGUAUUGGCUCACUAAUGCAUCUAGACUCGAUAAGCUCAGGUCCCCAAGCCUUCAGACUCGUGGCCAAGGGUCAUCAAUUCCAAGGCCCUUUGUCGGUGGCUGGAGCGAUUCCCCAAACACCGCUACGCAUACAUCGUGUCACGGCUACUUGUUUGAGUGCAUCUAUCAAAUAAUUCUCAACCUUCGACCAUAAGCAGAAGGCUAUCAACCCAAAGUUUAAAGCGAAAAAUUGAGUGACCCCUCGGAUCAUGCUACGCACACAUCGUGUCACGAUCACAUGUCCAAGUAAGUCGCCUAAUCCUAAUAGGGUGGAGUGGUGUGACAACCACUAAAAAGAAAAUAAGAUGUAGGGUUGUAAAUAAAUAGCGUAUGCACGUAUGAAGCGCUCCUUUGAGGGGAGGGAUUAACAUUAAACGCACGUGCAGGCUCUAAGGUAAUAUUUCCUACCCCAAAUGCAAAGCGCGAUACAAAUAAGUAAACAAACAAAAGUACAUAAAUAAACCAUUCAUCACAUACACGAGGAACGAUGAACAUUCGUGAAGUGCAAAACAUCCUAAAAAAGAAAAAUGCAACCUAAAACAUCUAAAUAUGAUAAAUAAAAGGGUUAAAAAGAGAAAAGACAACUAAACCAAGUGCUUGGACUCUCUAGCAUCCCCAGUGGAGUCGCCAAGCUGUCGCGCUCCAUUUUUCGCGAUGGGAAAAUAAAAGGAGAGUGUUUAGAAAAGAUGUGAUUUUAUUUUAAAAUAAGUGAAAAGAGACCUAAAAUGGGACUUUAAAAUGCCACAAUUUGGGUCCAAAAUUUAGUUUAAAAAGGAUUUUUAAGAAAAAAUUAGGAGUCGCCACUUGGUAUUGAGUUUUGGUAUACCAAGUCACCCAAAAAUAUUUUUAAAUAAAAUAAAAUAAAACCCUUUUCGACAACUCCAGGUCAUUGAAAACAAAGAAAAUGAGUUCGAGAGUCACGGUUGAAGAAAUGGAAGGCAAAGGUUCGAUUAAUUCAAACCUAAGGCACCCUUUCAACCUAAUCUAAGCUAGUUGCAUGGUUUAGUCAAAAUUUUCUUAAUCUAACCUUUAAAUUUAUCACAUUUGGAUGUUUCCUAUAUGGAUACAAACCUAAAAUAUCGAAAGGGACAAAAUAUUCAUUCAAGGGUUUAAUUGAUACCAAUCACAUUACUUGCGAAGGCCAAAAUAAUUCCUUGAAGGGGUCACGAGUAUGCGAAUGGUAAAAUCAAAAGAAAAGAAAAGAAAAUUAAAUUAUAUACAUAAGGUAUAAGUGAUCAAAGAAAAAGGAAUGCAACAUAAUGGAUACGGGAGGUAAAAACUCGUGACAUAAUUCUCUUAUACAAGGAUUAAUGGGGUAUUUAAACUAAAGAGUUAUAAUCACCCAUAUCCAUGAUCAAAAAAUAAUUCUCCUAAUAUGAACAAGCAAAUGAACUAACUUAUUCCAUAAUUUCUUAAAUGAAAUACAAUUCUAAAUGAUAUGAUUAACACAUAUAGAGGAUAGGGGUAGAGGAUAAUAUAAUAAAAAAUAUCAUGCAAAUGAGAAAAUAUCCUAAAAUAAAAAUAUGCAUGAAAAUGUAAUUGAUAUCAUACAAAAGAUGAAUCUAAUGUGUGAACGAUCUAAGGGUCUAGCAUUGGACUAACCCAUUCCUAAAAAAAAAACCUCACUAGCGUUGGACUAGCAAGUAAAUGAAGGGCGAAGCCACAACUAGCGUUGGACUAGUGCGGUGACGUCAUGCAUUUAUUAUAAUCAAAUAAAUUAUAUAAAAUAUAAUAAAAACAAAUAAACACAUAAAUCACAUAUAACAUAUAGCACAUAAGCAAGAUAUCUAGAUGCAAUGGCCCUGAGGAAAGCGAGGAAAUAUGUAAACAUACAAGCAUGCAAGCACACAAACAAAUAAAAACAAAUAGAGAUUUAACUAUUACAUUCGGGGGGCCCUAACUACAAUCGAAAGGUAUAACGAAUAAAAAAUAACAAUAAUCUAAUUAUUACAAUUUGGCAUUUAAAUGCCUCUCAAAUAAUCAAAAAUUAAAUUAAAGUAAAUAUACAAAAUUUUAAAAAAAAUAAAAUGAAUAACUAAAUAAAAUAAAAUAAAAUAAAAAACAUUCAAAAACAUGCAAUUACACACAUAAAAUCACAUAGGAGCACAUAGGAGGAUUUAAAAAUAAAACAAGAAGAUACCUCCCUUGAAGUAGUAAUUAAUGAGAAAUUGGAUUUGCCCUAUUUACCUCCAAAAUUAACAAAAUCAUCAAGGCACCAAUUUAAUUAACAAAUAAAUCAUAACGAAUGGAAAUAAACAUGAAAUCAAUCAAUUGAAACACUUAAAUGAAGUGUAAUCAAUAAUUAUAGAAGAAAAGCAACUUCUAUUUAAGCAAUCAAAUCUGUUAGGGAUCUAAUACCAAAAUAAACAAAGUUUUAGGGAUCAAAUUAUAUUACCACAAAAAUCUAGGGUCUAAAUUAAAUAAAAAUAAAGUUUAGGGACCUAUUUAUAAUUAAUUAAGGACCUAAUUGAAACAAAUUUAAAAUGUUCUGGGCUGCAGUUAAACUACUCUAAAUAUCAGGGGCUAAAGUGCAAAUUUCGGUUUCUGAUUUGGGCAAGAAAAAGGCCAUCGGGCUAUCAUUUUAUUUCUUUGAGCCGAAGGCCAUCCGGCCCAACCGAAAGUCCAGAGAAGCGAGCAGGCCAGCCCGUCUUCUUAUCACUCAAACCCAACCAAAAAAUCAUGGGCUCUGACCUUCUAGUCCAACCGAAAAUAAGAAACAAGCCCACAAAAUAAAUAAAAAUUAGCCCAGCCCACUUUUCUUUUUUUCUUUUCUUUUUCUUCUUCUUCGGCCAGCUGAAGCAGCUGCCGGUGCCGCCGUCGGCCACCGGCGAAUUUUCCGGUCGCCCAAAAUUGCCAAAAUACACCCCCUCACUCCAUUUUUCGCGUAGAUUCCAUUUUCGGAGUUAUUUUUUACAGAAAAUGAUCCGAAAGUGGUCAAAUGGCCAAAAAGAGUCACGAUUUUUAUUUUUUUAUUUUCAUUUAUUUUUUUAAAACAUCAUAUCCUUCACCAAAAAUCAUAAAAAUUAUACUAUAACACUCCUUACAACUUCUACAAUACAACUAUGAUUUAAUCUGACAAGAAGACAACAUAAAAAAACUAAAAUAAGGCAAAACAGCCCCCUAAAAUUCUUUUUUUGUUUUUUUUGGCAUUUUUCAAACAAUUAACAUGCAUUCACAGAAAUCGUUUUUUUCUUAAUGUUUAUUCAUGGCUUCCCCAAAAAUUCAACAACAUCAGUAGCAACAACAAACGAAGCCAAGGGACAAACAAAAUCAAAUCAUGUAUUUAAUUUAAUAAAUUAAAGAAAGGAAAAAGCUGGAAAAAAGAUAAAAAGAAAAAUACCUCAAUGAAGAUUGUAGUCUCUUGAUUAAAAUUUGAUGAAAUUACAAGCUCCAAUCAUUUUUAUCGGCCUUGCCCUGUCCAAGAGAAAAUCUGAGAGUGAGUGUUUUAUUUGCUAAAAAUGAGAGGGAGAAUCUGAGAGAGAGAGCCGAGAGAUUUUUUUUUCUUCCCUGUCUUCUGCACCCGAGGCCUGAGAGAGGGAGCAAAUGAGGGGGUUUCUUGCAAUUUUUCUUCUUCUGCUUCUUUGUCCGAGAGAAUCCAGAGAGAGAAGUUGAGAGAGUAGAGACCGAGAGGAGCCAGGGAUCCCUCUUUUCGUCCGUUUGUUGAGAGCCAGAGGCCUCCGCUGCAAAAAUUUCUUUCCUUCUCUCUUGUUCUGUUGCUCCACCGAGAGAGAAUGAGGCAGGGACCUCCUGAGCAAUUUUUCCUUCCACCCCAUUUUCUGUCCAGGUCCGAGAGAGAAUUGAGAGAGUUUUUUUUUUCUUUUCGGCCCAGAGCUCCCAAUGAGAAAGAGAGAGAGAAGUGGAGUCCAGGGAGUUUUCUGCAAAAAUUUCUUAGCCUUCUUUUUUUUCGUCCGUUGGCAGCCUUGGUCAAAAAGAAAAGAAAGAAAAUCAUCAUGGAGGCAUCAUGAUGACCAAGGUGUCUCCACUAUCUUUUUUUAUUAUUUUUUUUUAAAAAAACUGAUUUUUUUUCUUUUCUUUUUUUUUAAAUAAACCUGCAAAUAUAAGAAAAAAUUUGCAUUAAAAUGUUAGAAAAUAAAUAAUCCAUUAAAUAGAAAAAUUCAAGAAAAUAUUAAAAAUUGACAAAAUUUUGAUGUCUACAUUAUGUAUAUAUUGCCAUUUGAUUGUGACUUAUUCAAAAAAAAAUCUUUAAGUUCAACGAUGUUAUUAUGUUGCUAUAAAGUGUUUUUAUGAAAUUUUAUAGGAAUUUUGGAUGACAUUUGUCAUAUAUUUAAUUCAAUUCACACCUGUUUUUUCAUUUUAAAACCCCUAACUAUAACUAGAAACUUAAGAGACCAUAUUGAUUGAAACUUCAAACAUUGGGGACUAAAAAUGUAAAGUUAAAAUCAGAAAAUUUAGAGACCAAAUUUGUUUUGGCUGAUAUAUUAUGGACCAGUUUGAUAUAUGGGUCAAACAUUGAGAGUCAAAUUUGUGUCUCUCUUUGGAAAAUUUUGAGAAGUAGUAAUAGAAAGAUUUAAAAUUCAGUAUAAGUUUUAGCAAAUUCACAUAUUCCUAAUAUCUAAUAAAACACAUGUCAUAAUCAAAAUUACCAAAUUAACCUAUCCAACCAAGCAAGCUCCCACUCUAAUCAUCUGAUCCCCAAAUUCCCUUUCUUACUCAUUUUGGGAGGGAAAUGAAUUAGCACAAAAAUCUGAGGCAAUCCUUCUAGGACUAUGAAUGGGGCGAGGUCAGCUUGAACUUGGCUCCAAGAAAAUGUCUAAUGAGCCUGACCUUUCAUUGAGUUGGAUUGAAAUUGGGUCUGAAUAUUAGUUCGAAAUUAAAUGUGAACAGAGUUUGGACACUAUUAAGGUCAAACCCGAUAUAGGUUCAACCCUUUAAUAUGCAUAUAUAUAUAAUAUUCAUAUUUUGAUAUAUAUAAUUAUAUAUCUAAAUUUAUAAUACUAAUACUUAUGAGUUAUUUGUCAAAAUAUAUUAAUAUAUAUAAGGAAUAUUAAAUAUACAAAAUUAUGUCAAAAGAUUUUUAAGGACAAAUCUUAGUACAAGCAAAUUGAGGACCUUUGAAGAUAUAUUGACUGUUAAUCAUAUUUUAUUACUAUUUUCCAUGUGCAUUGAAUUAAUUGGAUACAUUAUUGUUGAAAAUUUCUUGGUUUAUAUAUUUUUUAAUGAACUGUUACUGGUUCUUGUAUAGUUUUAAUGUUGUGGUCUUGUGGAUAUUAAAUUAGUUUAAAACUUAAUAAUUAUAGUAAUUAUAUUAAGGAAAUUAAGGAAUUAUAAGUGAUCUUAAGUUAGGUCUGAAUUAAACUCACAAUUUGAAUAUUUUGUGAGUCAAAUAUGAGUUUCACAUUUACUAAUCCAAAACUUAUAAUUCGAAACCCGAAAGUGAUACUACUAUAAAAGCGGAACCUAAGUUUGUUAAACCUCGCUUCAAAUGGCCCAACUGACAGGCCUAAAUACUUCCCUUCUUUUGAUUUAAAUGAAAUUAAAUUUAAACCUAUAGUUUAGUACUCAUAUUCUUUUGUACCCAAACAGCCUUUUGACCUUUUUUUUUGGUAUUAACCACAGGUGUUCGCAUCCGUUUUACGGUCUGCGACUAAUCCUGUUCGAGCCGCGUCGGGUCCUUUGUAGGGGAAAGCUCUCUCAACGUUGUUUUUUCCAUCCCCAUGGGUUUCGAACCCAAUAUCUCAUGGUUAAGGGAUGCAAGCCCCCACUUGUACCAACAGCCAUUGGUGCCUUUUGACCUUUGAAAAACAUUACCCGAAAUACUACAAAUUAUCUUUACCUUGAUUAGAAUUAUUUCAAGCAAUCAUGAAAGUCAAUUCACAUAAUCAAUUUUGUUGUCUAGGUUCUAUUUUUAUUUUUUAGUUUUUUUAUUCUAACUGUAAAAAAACGUUCAUAAUCGCAAUACUACUAUGAUUGAUCAUGGAAGUAUAUUGUUUGGUUGCAUUUUUUGGAAGGGUAUAUUGUAAAACUUUUUCAGAUGUGAUGUAUAUGAAAUAAAAAAAAUCAUUGAAAAUGUGUCAAGGAAAUAUUUUCGAAAAACAUGAGAUUUUUGUCCUGAGAAUGGCAAUCCAAAAAACGCCACUAUAUUUGCAUACUACUGCAAAUUGACCUCUUUUCUACAAAUAUAUUAUUUUUUAUAACUUAAGCUAUCCAAAAAAAAAAAAAGAUCUCUAAUCAAAAUAUUGAAUUGUUAUGUACAAACCUGUAACAUAUAUGCUUCUAAUAAAACAAAAAAAAUAAUGAAAAAGAUCAAUCUUUAAAAAUAUUACCUAUGGAAGAUAGAAGCAAUUGAUAAAAUUCAGGAAUUCUUCCAGACUUGUGGUUUUCAAAUAUCAUUGAUUUCCUCCAGUUUCACGUGAUCUAGUAGGCCUUUGCAAUUUUAAUCUUUUGCCAUUGGUAGAAAAUGUACAAUGGUAGGGAAAGAAUGGUUUUAGUAGUGAAGAAAAAGGCAAAGGAACUCUUUUAUAGCAAUCGUGAAGCCUUAGAGCAAUUGCAGUAGUUGACGAAUAAACACAACCUAUAAAUGGGCAAUAUUGCCUUUUUAUGCAAUAACAAGAAAAGAAAGAGUGCGUGAGACUUUUUUUUUUGUGGGAAUGUUAAUAUUAUUUGCCUUUUGCAAAAUCCAAUUUUGGGAAAGAAUGGUAUCAACUUUCCUUCUCUCAUUUGUUAAUAUUGAGAGAACUCCAACAGGCACCGCUUUGUUACACAAUAUGAAGGGUUGUUUUAGAUUCUUCUUAUUGUUUGCACUGUAAGUAUUGAACCUAUAGUUAACUAAAGUUAAUUUCUAUAGAUAGUGGUAAGCAGGGUCGAAUCCACAGGAAUUGGGUGUAACUAUUUCUUUUCAAAUUCACAGUAACAAAGGGGGUAUUUUUGUGCAGAAGGUGACAAUCAAAGAAAUUCAAAUAAAAUCUAAGAAGCUACUAAAAACUAAAUAACAAAUUACUAAAAUCAAAUGGGUGAUAAUUAAGGAUCUAGCCAAGAAAUAACUUCAGCAAUGGUGCACCUAAUCGAUCAUUGAAACAAAGGCAAUUCCAAUUAUUUAUCAAUAAAUAGGUUAUAACUACCAAACAAGUGAUGGCAGUCAACCCCUCCUUACUAUGUCGGGAUUAAGGUACGCCCGUUAAUCACUACUCUAAUUAGAAAAUAAUCCUAGGUAUGCCCGUAAGAUUUAAUUUCCCAAUUGCCUUAUGUAUUAGAGGAGCCCUAUUCUAAACAAAUAACACACUACCAGGGUUAUUUCAAAUUAGCCUGCGUAUUCCCCUGAAACAAACCCAAUCAUGCUAGUUGUUACUAUUUCAAGGCAAUUAAAUAAUUACGGAUUUAAUGCCCUAAUUGACGAUAAAUUAUCAAGUUAACUAAUUAUCCGGAUCCAAGACAAUCAAUUAAUUAAACAAUCAUAAGCACUAUAACUAGGGAAUAUGCGAAUACCAAUAAAUAAAAGAAAAAGGUAAAAUUAAAUCGAUCUCACAAUUUUUAGGCGAACCAAAACAUCCAUUGCUCCUUGACUAGAAAAAGGGGUUUAGCUCAUUCUUGAUGAAAAAAUCCCAUGCAAGACUGUAUAAAUAGUUGCGACAUACAUUCUCCCAAUUAGGGAGCAAGAAACGGUGGAAAACCGAAUAAUGGAAGAAAAGACUCCUCUGUCAAAAAAAGAUGAUGACCCCUUAUUUCUACCCUAAGUGUAACAUACGUGGACUCAAAACCACUAAAGGACGAAAUUGUCCAAAGCCCAAGAGAAGUCUUCUGCUACUCCCCGUACCUAUUGAAUUACUAAUCUAUUCUAAUGCUUGGCUUUCAUGUGCGGCGGCCCACCAGGAGAGAAACGACUCCAGCCUUUUGUGCUUCUUUUUGAAUGUUGUCUUCUGCAAAUUAUCAAAAAGGACUUGUGUCUCCUUGUUCCAAAAAUACCCCUGAAGACCUUCCAUUUGAAUUCUUUCCCGAUGACUGUCAAAUUGGCUUUGAUUGUGAUAUUUUUGUUCUACUCCCUGAAAUAAAUGUAAAUUACGAAAAGUGAGUAGAAUCUAAUAAUUAAUCCACAUCAGGUCAGGUAAUAGGAAAAAUUAAUAAUAAAAUAAAUAAUGAAAUUGUAACCGAUCAAUUCCGUCCACACCUAAACCAUGCUUAUCCUCAAGCAUGAGAACAACAAACAAACACCAAUAUUUGAUAGUGGCUAUUGCUCUAUCCGCCAAAUUGCCAAGAUAUCAAGAAAAAGAAUAAUCAAGCAUCAAUGGUCAAGUCCAAGAAACAUCACUCCGGUUAGCUUCUAAACCAUAAACUCUGCCAAUUUCAAGUUAACUAAUCUAAGAAAAAGGAGUGGUCGCUCAACAUUUAUCGGCGAAUGGUCCAACUAUUAACCAAAAUCUCAACAUUGAAUCCAUAAAUCGGCAAGCUGACUUUUAUCACACAUUAACACAACCAUCACAUUUUUUUCAUUUUUUUCAUUUUUUUUUCAUUUUUUUUCAAUAGUAACACAAGACUUAGUCUUAUAGCCAUGGAAGCCUUUCGACGCGAACUCUGACAUUUGUCAGAUGAAAGAGUCCGGUUACUCAGCUUCUAUCGUCACGUGACCACGUACUCAUAGCAUUUACUACUUUUUAACGCGAGAAUCGACACUUUAGGUAAAGAUCCUCGAUUACUCAAUAGUAACAACUAGCGGAGCACAGUCAACUCUUAUUUAUACUCAUAUAGCACGAUAACUAAAAACAACACAAAAGUAAUAGCAGCCAGCCUCAAAUUUUCAAACAUGGAGAACUAAAGUUAAUAACCGGACCAAUUCACAUGAAAAAGCCAAAAAUUGUUCCCUAUGCCUAGAAUAGUUAACCAAAAAGUAAAAGAGUCAAGCAAUUACUGAUAUUCACCAAAGAGAAGUCCCUGAACUAAACCACAUUAACUUGAUACCCUUUUAUUAUUAAAACUUGGCAAUAGCAGAAUUAGAGACAACAAUCCAACAUCAAACUUUGGUAUUUAUUAAAAAAAAAAGUAAACAAAGACUAGGCAAAUAACAAACUAAAAAUAAAAGAAGAACAUCUGAAAACUAAAAACUAGAAAAAACUAGCACAGCUGUCCCCCCCCCACACUUAGAUCCUACAUUGUCCUCAAUGGAGGGAUUAAAGCAAUUAAAGCGAAGAGGACAACGAAACUUCCCUCUCGAGUGGCUACGAGGUAGGCGGGGACGGUGGAGGGAAACCGAUGUAGUGGAAGUACGCGCCCAAGUUCUGAGACAUCAUAACUCAAUUCAACCAGCAAAAGCAAGACUCUGCACACCCAAAAUCUCAACAAAUGGCUCCAGUUGGCCAGUUAAUGCCUUAACUCAGAAUCAACAAUUUCAACAAUGACAACUUAGAUAUUUGACAAUAAUAACUCAUCCAACCAAAUAGAGGUACCCAAUUGAUGUCCAAUUACCCCACCAGUACCACUGGUGCAAAUCACAAUCCAAAACCAAAGAAAUUGCUAGAGCAGAGCAAAGCAGUAGUAGAGCAAUAGCGCCAAGUAUGUAGUCACCCACCAGCAAAGAAAGAAUACCUAAAGAAAAAUACCAACAAGAUAUGUACUCAAUCCUGGCCACUGAAGUCAACAAUCGGCCAAAGAAGGACUUCGAGCAGCUUGACAACCACAUGCACAAAUAAAACGAUCGAAAGCAUAGACAAUGGUCCCCAAAUUAGCAAUAUGAACCAAUCGCCAGAAUGUCCCCAAUAAUGCAAUUAGUGAUGACCAAUCUCACAAAGUAAAUCACGAGGCACAGGGCCUCAAUUCAAUAGGCAAUAUCAGAAAUAAUUGAAUCAAAACCUCAGUAAUCGAAACACUGGCAGAGAUGCCUUCCAAUGAUCAAUUGACAAAUGCAAAAUUUCAACCCACCCAAAAUUUCAUCAAAUGACUCUAGUUGGACAGUUAAUCGCACAAGCAAUACACCAAACAAUAUCAAAGACUUGGAAUUGGAGUUCGAGCAACUCCGCCAUUGAAAGCUGCCAAAUAAUCGCUAUGACAGAGAAUGAUGUCGGCGGCCAAAGGACAGCUAAUGGUGGCAGCGUACGUGCGAGGGUGGGAUUGACGGCGACGACUUGACUAGGUGGCCACGUGGGUGGCGCGCGGCGAGGUUGAGCGUGAGAGAGAGAGAGCCGUGAGCGGGAAAGAACGGGUGGCACGCGCGGGCUAGGUGGGCAAAGAGAGAGAGAGAGAUGCAGCGAUGUGGGUCGAAGAAGCGGCGGUCAAACGGAGAGUGGCGGCGCACGGCAACAGAGGAGAUGGUGGCGGAUCGAUGGGUGAGGCGGACAGAGGUUUUGCGUUGAGCAAGAGGAAGAAACAAGAGAGAAGAGAGAAAGGAGAAAGGAGAAAGAAAAAGAAAGAAGAAGAAAGAAAGAAAGGAAAAGAAAGAAAAAGAAAGAAAAGAAGAAAAAGAAAAAGAAAGAGAAAUUGUUUUUUUUUCUUUUUCUUUUUCUUUAGUUAUAAAAAAAUUUAUACUUUGAAAAUCUAAGCUACGGUGAAACAAAAAUUUAAAAUUUUUUUUUAUUUUUUAAAAUUUUUUUUUCAAAAUUUUUUCUCAUUGGCAAAUUUUAUUUUCGAGAUUCAAAAGCGGAGAUUAACCGACAAUCAACAACCGUUCUUGAGUUUUUUAAAUACUUAUCUCUCCCGCAAACGUGACGUGGGCACGCCAUGAAGGCACGGAAGGAAGAGCUUUCCAGGUGACUGGACGCGGGCACGUCAUGAGGGUAAGAACCCUUCUGACCGUGAGCUCUCCAUGUGACUUGACACGGGCACGUCAAGGGGAUCGGAACCCUUUUUACCAAGCACCAGGAGAUCGCAAUGUGUCACGCGCCCAGUUGGCACGGGCGUGUCAUGUCAAAGAGAUACCUAUGAAUCAUCAAAAACGAAAAUUGAAGCCACAAAUCAGUCAAAUUCAAGGAAAACAUAUUUAAAUUAACAAACAAAAAUGAACAAAUGACUAAAUGAAAUUGGGUUGCCUCCCAAUGAGCGCCUUUCUUUAAUGUCUUUGGCUAGACAUUAUCAUGUUUUGUUCAUGGAGGAUAAAAUCCUGUGGCUCGUCUUAAUGUUUCAUUCUCUAUAUAGUCCUGAUAGCUCUCGUAAAUAGAGUAAUCCUUGGACACACGAGCUACAGGCUUCCAUGGACUAGUAAAUGGCGCCAAACAAGUCAACGAUAAUUUGUAUUCUCCAUUCACUCCCCCCUCACGUGCAUUUAUUGGUCCAAGAUAUCUUGUUAUUGCUACUCUUAAUUUAUUCCUGUUAUGAAAUUUAAAAUUUUCUGGUAUAAUAAAGUCAAUUUCAUUAACAGAAAUUAAAGAAUAAGAAUCAAGAGAGUAUUGAUUAAAGACUGGAGGAGAUGUCACCGCAUUUGGAGAUUGUAUACUGGAUUCAUUCACUUGGACGAAUUGAUAUUGGGGGUCUCAUUUCUUGCACUUUAGCUUUCUUUUCAACUGCAUCUUUAGAUCCGUUUCCUUGAAACUCUUGCAGUUCCAUGUCAUUUGGCUGGAUAAUUGCACUUUCAUCUUCCUCAAGGUUGAUGUUGGUCUGUGAGGGCAAUUCUUCACACAUGUGAGAAGCUAAUUGCGUUAUCUUGGAUGUCAAUAGAUGCACUUGAUCCGCCAUCCCGGAUGUCAAUUGAUGCACUUGAUCCGCCAGGUUACUAAUGCUCGCUUGUGUCUCCUGAUGAAAUCGAUAUGUAUUAGCAGCUAGUAAUUCAAUCAUUUCUUCAAGAGACAUACCUGACAUGGAUGAUGGUUGUUGAGACUCCUGCUGUUGAAAAUCCAUUGGCCCGGUCACAUAAUUAAAAUUGAAAUUAUCCCACCAUCCUUGAUCAUACCCGUUUGAAUAAGGGUCAUACCACGUUUGAUAUUGAGGUGAGGAAUCUCCAAAAGUAUCGAUUGAAGCACUUAGGCCAUCUUGAAAUGUGGGGUAUGUGUCGAUUGAAUAACUUGAAGCAAAAUAAGUCCCACAAUUUGCAACAGCCAAUUGAUCAUUAAGAAAAGCACGAGUCUUAUAGUCCCAUUCAGGAAUAAAUUCUAGUCUAUCACCAAAAUACGGAAUGUUAGCAGCCAUAAACUAUAUAUUAAAAAAAAUAAGAGAAAAAAAGAAAGAAAACAAGAUGAACUCAAAAAGAAACAAAUUAAUCUGGCACCAGUCCCCGACAAUGGCGCCAAAAAUUGACAGGUGUCGGGUCUGUGUAAUAAUAAAAACCUGCUCAACUAAAGUUAAUUUCUGUAGAUAGUGGUAAGUAGGGUCGAAUCUACAGGGACUGUGUGUAACUGUUUCUUUUCAAAUUCACAGUAACAAAGGGGAUAUUUUUGUGCAGAAGGUGACAAUCAAAGAAAUUCAAAUAAAAUCUAAGAAGCUACUAAAAACUAAUUAACAAAUUACUAAAAUCAAAUGGGUGAUAAUUAAGGAUCUAGCCAAGAAAUAACUUCAGCAAUAGUGCACCUAAUCAAUCAUGGAAACAAAGGAAAUUCCAAUUAUUUAUCAAUAAAUAGGUUAUAACUACCAAACAAGCGAUGGCAGUCAACCCCUCCUUACUAUGUCGGUGAUUAAGGUACGCCCGUUAAUCACUACUCUAAUUAGAAAAUAAUCCUAGGUACGCCCGUAAGAUUUAAUUUUCCAAUUGCCUUACGUAUUAGAGGAGGCCUAUUCUAAACAAAUAAUACACUACCAGGGUUAUUUCAGAUUAGCCCGCGUAUUCCCCUGACACAAACCCAAUCAUGCUAGUUGUCACUAUUUCAAGGCAAUUAAAUAAUUACGAAUUAAUGCCCUAAUUGACGAUAAAUUAUCAAGUUAACUAAUUAUCCGGAUCCAAGACAAUCAAUUAAUUAAACAAUCAUAAGGACUGUAACCAGGGAAUAUGUGAAUACCAAUAAAUAAAAGAAAAAGAUAAAAUUAAAUCGAUCUCAUAAUUUUUAGGCGAACCAAAGCAUCCGUUGCUUCUUGACUAAAAAAAGGGGUUUAGCUCAUUCUUGAUAAAAAAAUCCCAUGCAAGACUGCAUAAAUAGUUGCGACAUACAUUCUCCCAAUUAGGGAGGAAGAAACGGUGGAAGACCGAAUAAUGGAAGAAAAGACUCCUCUGUCAAAAAAAGAUGAUGACCCCUUAUUUCUACCCUAAGUGUAACAUACGUGGACUCAAAACCACUAAAGGACGAAAUUGUCCAAAGCCCAAGAGAAGUCUUCUGCUACUCCCCGUACCUAUUGAAUUACUAAUCUAUUCUAAUGCUUGGCUUUCAUGUGCGGCGGCCCACCAGGAGAGAAACGACUCCAGCCUUUUGUGCUUCUUUUUGAAUGUUGUCUUCUGCAAAUUAUCAAAAAGGACUUGUGUCUCCUUGUUCCAAAAAUACCCCUGAAGACCUUCCAUUUGAAUUCUUUCCCGAUGACUGUCAAAUUGACCUUGAUUGUGAUAUUUUUGUUCUACUCCCUGAAAUAAAUGUAAAUUAUGAAAAGUGAGUAGAAUCUAAUAAUUAAUCCACAUCAGGUUAGGUAAUAGGGAAAAUUAAUAAUAAAAUAAAUAAUGAAAUUGUAACCGAUCAGAGACUAGAACCAGCAAUACCCAAUAAGAAUUGAGAAUACUUGGGUACUGCGACGGAGUCCCAUGAGACCCAAUCUUUUGAGUCUUUAUGACAAAUAAUUUUAUUUCCACAAAAUUUUUCCUGAAUAAUCACAUUUUUAAAUUAUAUGUUUAAUGUACGUGAACUUCCGUGGUACAACACUAGCUCUUUUCCUCCAUUUUUUUCCUGUACUUUUUGCAUCUUUAAUCCAUGUGUUUUUGCUUAAGCGAAUUUUUUUUAAGCAAAUGAGGAGCAUUCAGUGUGACGAUGUAAAAUUCACUCGGAACUUUAUUUAUGCAAGAUAAAUUCUUAAUAACUAAUAUAUAGCAUUUUGUACAAAGUUCUUGUUCGUUAGAAAAAAUUAUUGUUAUGUUAAUCUUGAUUGUAGGUGAUUAUGAUAAAAAUUUAUUCCACUCAGUAUGAUGAAAUGCCUUGUAAUUUUUCUUUUAGCUUGAUGAAAUGCUUAGUAGACAAAAAUUUGAAAUUUAGAAUAUGGAUUUCUUUGGUAGGUUUUACAAGUGGUGCGGAUAUUUUAUUGUAUUCUACGAUUAUUAACCAUUUUAGUUAUAUCCAAAACAAUUCAUUUGAGCAACUAGUGGAAAAAUAGAAAAAAAAUAGGGGUAGGGUAUUUGUCUGAAUUGAUUCUUCCAGUGGAGAAUGCUUCAAGAAAGUCGGGAUGUAAAAUGGCUAAAUUAUUUGAAGUAUUAGUUCGUUCCUAUUGUUUUCUCUUAUCCUAGCUCGUAUAUACUAAUAUUAUACUCGUAGAAUAUACAUUCUUACAUAUCAUUCCAAAAAACAUUUGUAUUUCCUGCAUUUCAAAAAUAUUUUGAAAAAUACUUAUACUUUUCAAUUAACCCUACAAAACACGUAAUAAACUUUUAUAAUGUAUCAUUUUCGCAAAUUAUACUUCAAUUUAAAAAAUUUUAAAAUUUGAGUAAUGAUAAUGACAUGUUUAUGAGUUAUAUACAAAUAAGAGUCACACAUAACAUAAUAACUGUAGAUUAUACAUAUUUAAGCAAUAUGGUAACAAAAUUAAUAAAUAUAACAUCUCAUACACGAAAAUAAUUUUAAGAUUGGUAUAAGGGAGCAGCAUAUUCUUUGAAAACUAUAGUAAAUCUAGAGCAAAUUAUCCGGAUGGUCACUAAACUUUUGCAAUCGUCGAGUUCUGGUCACUCAACUAUUAAAAGUCUGGUUUUGGUCACUAAAAUGUAUAAAGUUAAGGUUCCAGGCCAUUCUGUUAGAUUUAGUCGUUAAGUUUGCUGAUCCAUUUAUCCGCACGAUUUCCAAGACAAAAAAAAGGGUCAAUUUAGGAAGUUCAACAUGCAUCUUCUUCUUCUUCUUAUUGUGAAGCACCCGGCUUAUGGAUUCGAUUAGUCCGACGGGUUCGACUCCAUACCCAAUCCGAUUGUCCUCCACAUCUUCAACAAAAUCUCCGACAUCAAAACACUAAUCCAUUGCUGCUCCGUUUCCAAAAGGUUUAAUUCACUGGUUCCUCAAGCUGACUCACUCCUCCUCCGAGUUGACCGAGUCAUCUCUAUGAUCGAUUCUGACGACGACGAUGGCGAAGCCUUCUUUCUCGCCUUCCUUCGAUCCAUCGUUAAAUCCCUCCAUAAUUUCAUUUCCAUAAACAAGCAUACCCAUUUUGGCAGCCUGACUAGGACUCAGAACUCUCCCACUCAGAUCCUCCGCGGGUUCGAGAACAUCCGGAGUCUCUAAAUCGAGCUCCACUCCGGCGACCUGAGGUUGGAAAAAGGCACCACGAUGAUGGGAGUUUAACAUGCCUUUUCAACCUACUUGCAGGAAAAUUUGCAGCUUGGUAUACUUCUCUGGCUAAGUGUAUCGUUGACAAUUCAGCAAAUUAAUGGCCUCUCCGCACUUCUUAUUUUCUAUAAAGAAAGGAAACCUCAAUCAUCCUCCUUCUCAACAGCACUUUCCUCCAUGGCAUCCAUCAAUAAGAAAAUAGUAUUAGCAUCAACCAGAAUUCUUCAGAGAUUUUAAUGACCUUCGAAUCCAGUGAAACUCUUUCAUCAGCCGAAGAAUCAUAAAAAAGGGUUGGUUUGGCUAUGGUUGGAAUGCCGUAGUUUAGAAUUACAGCAGCGAAGAAGAGAUUCUUAGCAGAGCUUUUGGGUGGUUGACAUACGAGGCACGGAUGGAGAAGAAGAAGAAGAUGCAUGUUGAACUUCCUAAAUUGACCCUUUCUUUUGUCUUGGAAAUCGUGCGGAUAAACGGAUAAGCAAACUUAAUGACUAAAUCUAACAGAAUGGCCUGGAGCCUUAACUUUAUACAUUUUAGUGGCCAAAACCAGACUUUUGAUAGUUGAGUUACCAAAACUCGACGAUUGCAAAAGUUUCGUGGUUAUCCGGAUAAUUUGCUCGUAAAUCUAUCCAUAUUUUUAGUUUUGUAACUUUCAAAUAUGUUCAUACUAUUUAUGCACGAAUUUAUAUGAGUAAUUUUCCCGAACACGUAUUUUAUGUUGAAUUUUAAUCAUACUUUUGAGAAAAAAAAACUCGUCUAAUAUGUAUACAGAUAGCAUCUCGUAUUAUAUCUGUCCUGUAUUUUAUCAACUAUGCUCUUAGUGCUGUAAGUAAAAUGUGUUGGGACUUAAAUGAACGAUAAAAUAAGUCUAGUUGGUAUUAGAGAUGAAAACGAGCCGAGUCGAGGUUGAGUAGUGCUAUACUCAAACUCUACUGAAUCUUCAACUCGAUAGGUGAUACUAGUACUUGAACUCGAGUUCAAACUCGUUUGAGCAACUAAUUUAUGGCUUGAGCUCGACUUGUGAGGAAAUUGUUUAAGCUCGAACUUGAUUCGAUAAGGCUGGAGUACUUAUUAAGCCAAAUCGAGCCUUAUCAAGCUUGAGUACUCACAGAAAGAACGAGUCUCCAUGUGACAGCCCCACCUCCCCCUAAGGCGAACCAGAGGGUUCGGCGGGCCGCCUGCCCAACUCUCGCCGGGACUCAGUCGUUCACUACAAUCCUCAAAUGAAUUACAAGAAUAAACCUCACAUAUUACAAUAUAAAUCUCCCAUAUACAUCAAAUUCUCCAAAAAUUACAUGUCAUAAGCGAAGCGGAAACAAUUCCCCAAACUAUACAUAAAAUGAUUUCCAAAUCCAAAUUAUACAAAACAUUGGCCAUCCAGUCACGUGCACAAGUACUACAAGUCCUUCCUUCGCCUUGAGCCCUGUGGAGGGGAAUAAAAUAUUUUUGGGGUGAGCUAGAAGCUCAGCGAGUAACCAGUAAAAUCAUUAAACAAAUAUAUUUCACAAUGUUGCAUUUCGAUCAUUUCGAUGAUGUCAUGAUUCAGAGAUCAAAUGUUCGUUUAGUGCUCUCGUGAGCCAGGGAAAUCAUAGCACUUGAACACCCAACGCUCAAAUAGAUCAUUUAACAUUAACAUUAACAUUAAGAGGGAGCCCCUUCUUGAGCUCCAGAUAAACAUGAACAUGAACCAUAAACAGAGUGGAGACGUUGGUGUCCAGCACAAGACUUUCCCAGAACUCAUUGAAGCCAAAUCAUGUCAUGAACUCACAUGCAAGCACGCAUGAUAUGCAAUCGAGUACAUAAUGCAAGAAACAUUUCAAAAGUACUUUGGAAAUAGUUUAGGGUCACUCACCUCCAUGGCUCAGAAACCAUCCAUCAUAUAUCAUUGCCUUGCUCAAAUCCAAGUCUUAGAUCACAAACUCAAUGCAAACAAGUCCCUUCAAAGUUCGGUCAGCACUUCCCCUGAAUUUGCUAACUUUUCCAGCCAUCAUGGCUUCAUUAUUUUGCUCAUUCAAACCCAAAGGUACACACACAACAACAAGUUCAUCCAAUAGCCAUUCAGCAAGCUCCAAGUAGUACUAGUACAAGUCAAGCUAGGGAAAAGUCCGAAAAUGAAAGUUAAGCUCAAAACCAGAAAAAUAGGUUUUGACGUCAUUUUGCGGUAAUGGUACCAAAGGUGGUAUGAUUGUCGGAUGAAGGUGAAAGACCCACCGUUUCGAAGCCAAGAGAUAGGGCUACAAUAUUACAGAAGGUCACUCAACCCAGUUUCGAGUGUAACCAGGUCAAAAAUGCAAGAUACCAUACCAGAAUCACAAAAACAGAUUCACAGAACGCAUUCUAGCGGAAACAUCAUAACUCAGGCUCUCCAAGUCCAAAUCCAGAAAUUCCAAAACCAGCUGAAAGCUAAGAAACAGGGAUAAAUUUCAUCAGAAGACCUCAACAACCAAUUCGGAAGCAAUUCCAGCCAAAACAACCAAUUACAGGCGCAAUUCUUACAUUCGGGUAAAACCAGAACAGCAAUAGUAAUUUUGACUUUUCUCAUUCUACACUACUCCGAUUGACCCGAAAUUUUGUAGGCACCUCUAAAAUAUCAUUCCCUACAACUUUUAUGUUUUAAGCCAAGGCCAAUUCGGCCUCUAACCAUGAGAUAUAAAACCGGCCAGAAUUGGGGAUAUAAAACCCUAACUUUCUCAAAUUCCUUCCAAAUCCAAAAUUGGUUACAAUUAUCUAUCAUAUACACCUACUAGAGUCAUUAAACAUCAAUUCCCAUCAUCAAGGAUAGCCACAACAUCACAUUCAUAUGAAACCAGAAAAUUCAUCAAUAAAUUGAAAACUUCACCAAUUCAUCUCAAACCAAGAAAUAAACCACAAAUUUCAGCACUUUAGCUACCACUAAGCACAACUUAAGCUUCAUUAGGUGUAGGAGGAAGUUCAAUCACCACUUACCUAGAACACAAGAGAGGGAGAGUUGUAGGACACCUUAGCUUCCUUGGACACUUCCACAAAAACACUUACUAGCACCAAAUGGAGGGAUUUUAUGGAGUAGAAACAAAUUUAAGCACUUGGUUUGGAUGAUUUGCACUAGAUGGAGAGUUUUUCUUUGAAGAGUUUUUCUUUCUUCCUUGCUAGAGAGGGCCGGCCACAAUGGUGAAGAAAUGGUGAUUUUUGUGGUAAUUUUGAGAUAUUUAAUCAAUGGGUCAAUUAAGUCAAAAAAAUGAAUAGUUGUCAUCCACUCUUCAAGUGACAAUUGUCACUUCAUUUAAAGCAUUUCUAUCCUUUUGUUUCCUCUCACAUCAAUCACAUCACAUCCUCUACUUAUCUCUUAACACCCGGUAAAGUUCAACCAGUAUCCGAAACUUAACCUUAUUGGCCGAAUUUUUCCGAACUUUUCGCACUAGUGGGUCCCACGUCCAUUAUAUAUUCUUAAUUUUUCAAAAACUAUCCAAUACUAGAAAAAUCAUCUAAAAACUAUAAUUCCUCAUAAAAUCCACCAAGAAAAUUUUUCCUAAGCCAGAAAAUGCAGAAAACAUGCCAUUAAAGGGAAAAACCCUAGGAAAAAAUAUUAGGGGAAAUACGGGUUCUCACACUCUCUUCCCCUUAAAAGAAUUUCGUCCUCGAAAUUCCUUAUCAUUGGCUACUCCGGGGUACAAAAAUUUUAAUACUUCCUUCUCCUGAUUAAAUUGAGCAUCAUACUUAGCUAACAGAUCUGUACCCCUUCACUGGCCAGGUUCAUUAAAUUCUUACCUUCCACGUCCCCGACCACUCCGUGUACCUUCCAUGAGUUUUACUUGGUCUAGGCAAUAAUACUAAACCAAAAUAAGCAAGAUGCAUGUGAGUAACACUCAAAACUUUUAUAAUAACACACAUUUAUACAUUCCAAACAAGAUCAAAACAUAUAUAUACAAGCCGGUCAAAAUUAAGCCACACACAUAUAUACAGCCAGUUAAGUCAAGUACAAACAUAGACGAUCCACCGAGGAAUGGCCUUUCUAGUUCACCAAAUCCUUUCUAACCUAGGCCCUCAUAUCUUUCGUAUCCGGGCGCAAGAAUCCCAUCUAAGAUAAUUCACAACUCGAGCCGGCCGGUCCCAAGAGUAAACCAUCUUUAUUAAAGAUUCCUACCCGACAUAUAUACCUAGCUUCCUCGAGUCCCAUGAUAAUGAUUCGCACAUUUAUCACAUGCCCGGUUCAUAACUUAUGCUCAAACGAGCACUUAGACAUAUUCAUGAAAUUAGGACCACAACACCACUUGGCCCAGUCUCACUCCGCGCAGAGACCACGCGAAGUGGCUCUGAUACCAACUGUGACAGCCCCACCUCCCCCUAAGGCGAACCAGAGGGUUUGGCGGGCCGCCUGCCCAGCUCUCGCCGGGACUCAGUCGUUCACUACAAUCCUCAAAUGAAUUACAAGAAUAAACCUCACAUAUUACAAUAUAAAUCUCCCAUAUACAUCAAAUUCUCCAAAAAUUACAUGUCAUAAGCGAAGCGGAAACAAUUCCCCAAACUAUACAUAAAAUGAUUUCCAAAUCCAAAUUAUACAAAACAUUGGCCAUCCAGUCACGUGCACAAGUACUACAAGUCCUUCCUUCGCCUUGAGCCCUGUGGAGGGGAAUAAAAUAUUUUUGGGGUGAGCUAGAAGCUCAGCGAGUAACCAGUAAAAUCAUUAAACAAUUAUAUUUCACAAUGUUGCAUUUCGAUCAUUUCGAUGAUGUCAUGAUUCAGAGAUCAAAUGUUCGUUUAGUGCUCUCGUGAGCCAGGGAAAUCAUAGCACUUGAACACCCAACGCUCAAAUAGAUCAUUUAACAUUAACAUUAACAUUAAGAGAGAGCCCUUCUUGAGCUCCAGAUAAACAUGAACAUGAACCAUAAACAGAGUGGAGACGUUGGUGUCCAGCACAAGACUUUCCCAGAACUCAUUGAAGCCAAAUCAUGUCAUGAACUCACAUGCAAGCACGCAUGAUAUGCAAUCGAGUACAUAAUGCAAGAAACAUUUCAAAAGUACUUUGGAAAUAGUUUAGGUCACUCACCUCCAUGGCUCAGAAACCAUCCAUCAUAUAUCAUUGCCUUUGCUCAAAUCCAAGUCUUAGAUCACAAACUCAAUGCAAACAAGUCCCUUCAAAGUUCGGACAGCACUUCCCCUGAAUUUGCUAACUUUUUCAGGCCAUCAUGGCUUCAUUAUUUUGCUCAUUCAAACCCAAAGGUACACACACAAAACAAGUUCAUCCAAUAGCCAUUCAGCAAGCUCCAAGUAGUACUAGUACAAGUCAAGCUAGGGAAAAGUCUGGAAAUGAAAGUUAAGCUCAAAACCAGAAAAAUAGGUUUUGACGUCAUUUUGCGGUAAUGGUACCAAAGGCGGUACGAUUGUCGGAUGAAGGUGCAAGAUCCACCGUUUCGAAGCCAAGAGAUAGGGCUACAAUAUUACACAAGGUCACUCAACCCAGUUUCGAGUGUAACCAGGUCAAAAAUGCAAGAUACCAUACCAGAAUCACAAAAACAGAUUCACAGAACGCAUUCUAGCGGAAACAUCAUAACUCAGGCUCUCCAAGUCCAAAUCCAGAAAUUCCAAAACCAGCUGAAAGCUAAGAAACAGGGAUAACGUCACGCCCUAGAACACGCAAACAAGUACAAUGAGACUCGAUAACGAGUCAUAAAGCCCUGCCAAUCACAACCCCAAUAGGGUUUCAUAUGCAUAUAUAAGCAUUAUAGCAAACCAGAAAAUCAGGAAAUGUAACUAACUUGGCCCUAACAACAAAAACAGUUUUGUCCUCAUUAUGCGGUAAUGGCACAAAUUGUGCUACGCUUAUUGGAUGAGGGUACAAGACCCACCAUCUCGAAGCUAAAAAACAGGGCUACAACAAUGUAGAAGGCCACUCAGUCCAAAUCCUAGCACAACUAGGUCAAAUAUGCAAAAUACCAAACCAGAACCUUAAUUGCAGGUUUACAAAUUACACUAUGCUGUAAUUAGUCCAACUCAGUCUGUACAAGUCCAAAUUCAUUGAUUCCAAAGGCAGGCGGUAGCUAAAAAAUCAAGCUACAUUUCAUCAGAAGAUCUCAACAACCAAAUCCAAAGAAAUUCUAGUCAAAACAGCCGAUUACAGGCGCAGUUCGGCCAUCCUGAUGAACCCAGAACAGCAAUAGUAAUUUCGACAUUUCUCACUCUACACUACUCCAAAUGACCUGAAAUUUUGUAGGCACCUCAAACACAUCAAUACCUACAACUUUCAUGUUUUAAGCAAAGGCCAAUUCGGCCUCUAACCAUGAGAUAUAAAACCAGCCAGAAUUGGGGAUAUAAAACCCUAACUUUCUCAAAUUCCUUCCAAAUCCAAAAUUGGUUACAAUUAUCUAUCAUAUACACCUACUAGAGUCAUUAAACAACAAUUCCCAUCAUCAAGGAUAGCCACAACAUCACAUUCAUAUGAAACCAGAAAAUUCAUCAAUAAAUUGAAAACUUCACCAAUUCAUCUCAAACCAAGAAAUAAACCACAAAUUUCAGCACUUUAGCUACCACUAAGCACAACUUAAGCUUCAUUAGGUGUAGGAGGAAGUUCAAUCACCACUUACCUAGAACACAAGAGAGGGAGAGUUGUAGGACACCUUAGCUUCCUUGGACACUUCCACAAAAACACUUACUAGCACCAAAUGGAGGGAUUUUAUGGAGUAGAAACAAAUUUAAGCACUUGGUUUGGAUGAUUUGCACUAGAUGGAGAGUUUUUCUUUGAAGAGUUUUUCUUUCUUCCUUGCUAGAGAGGGCCGGCCACAAUGGUGAAGAAAUGGUGAUUUUUGUGGUAAUUUUGAGAUAUUUAAUCAAUGGGUCAAUUAAGUCAAAAAAAUGAAUAGUUGUCAUCCACUCUUCAAGUGACACUUGUCACUUCAUUUAAAGCAUUUCUAUCCUUUUGUUUCCUCUCACAUCAAUCACAUCACAUCCUCUACUUAUCUCUUAACACCCGAUAAAGUUCAACCAGUAUCCGAAACUUAACCUUAUUGGCCGAAUUUUUCCGAACUUUUCGCACUAGUGGGUCCCACGUCCAUUAUAUAUUCUUAAUUUUUCAAAAACUAUCCAAUACUAGAAAAAUCAUCUAAAAACUAUAAUUCCUCAUAAAAUCCACCAAGAAAAUUUUUCCUAAGCCAGAAAAUGCAGAAAACAUGCCAUUAAAUGGAAAAACCCUAGGAAAAAAUAUUAGGGGAAAUACGGGUUCUCACACUCUCUUCCCCUUAAAAGAAUUUCGUCCUCGAAAUUCCUUAUCAUUGGCUACUCCGGGAUACAAAUAUUUUAAUACUUCCUUCUCCUGAUUAAAUUGAGCAUCAUACUUAGCUAACAGAUCUGUACCCCUUCACUGGCCAGGUUCAUUAAAUUCUUACCUUCCACGUCCCCGACCACUCCGUGUACCUUCCAUGAGUUUUACUUGGUCUAGGCAAUAAUACUAAACCAAAAUAAGCAUGAUGCAUGUGAGUAACACUCAAAACUUUUAUAAUAACACACAUUUAUACAUUCCAAACAAGAUCAAAACAUAUAUAUACAAGCCGGUCAAAAUUAAGCCACACACAUAUAUACAGCCAGUUAAGUCAAGUACAAACAUAGACGAUCCACCGAGGAAUGGCCUUUCUAGUUCACCAAAUCCUUUCUAACCUAGGCCCUCAUAUCUUUCGUAUCCGGGCGCAAGAAUCCCAUCUAAGAUAAUUCACAACUCGAGCCGGCCGGUCCCAAGAGUAAACCAUCUUUAUUAAAGAUUCCUACCCGACAUAUAUACCUAGCUUCCUCGAGUCCCAUGAUAAUGAUUCGCACAUUUAUCACAUGCCCGGUUCAUAACUUAUGCUCAAACGAGCACUUAGACAUAUUCAUGAAAUUAGGACCACAACACCACUUGGCCCAGUCUCACUCCGCGCAGAGACCACGCGAAGUGGCUCUGAUACCAACUGUGACAGCCCCACCUCCCCCUAAGGCGAACCAGAGGGUUUGGCGGGCCGCCUGCCCAGCUCUCGCCGGGACUCAGUCGUUCACUACAAUCCUCAAAUGAAUUACAAGAAUAAACCUCACAUAUUACAAUAUAAAUCUCCCAUAUACAUCAAAUUCUCCAAAAAUUACAUGUCAUAAGCGAAGCGGAAACAAUUCCCCAAACUAUACAUAAAAUGAUUUCCAAAUCCAAAUUAUACAAAACAUUGGCCAUCCAGUCACGUGCACAAGUACUACAAGUCCUUCCUUCGCCUUGAGCCCUGUGGAGGGGAAUAAAAUAUUUUUGGGGUGAGCUAGAAGCUCAGCGAGUAACCAGUAAAAUCAUUAAACAAAUAUAUUUCACAAUGUUGCAUUUCGAUCAUUUCGAUGAUGUCAUGAUUCAGAGAUCAAAUGUUCGUUUAGUGCUCUCGUGAGCCAGGGAAAUCAUAGCACUUGAACACCCAACGCUCAAAUAGAUCAUUUAACAUUAACAUUAACAUUAAGAGAGAGCCCCUUCUUGAGCUCCAGAUAAACAUGAACAUGAACCAUAAACAGAGUGGAGACGUUGGUGUCCAGCACAAGACUUUCCCAGAACUCAUUGAAGCCAAAUCAUGUCAUGAACUCACAUGCAAGCACGCAUGAUAUGCAAUCGAGUACAUAAUGCAAGAAACAUUUCAAAAGUACUUUGGAAAUAGUUUAGGGUCACUCACCUCCAUGGCUCAGAAACCAUCCAUCAUAUAUCAUUGCCUUGCUCAAAUCCAAGUCUUAGAUCACAAACUCAAUGCAAACAAGUCCCUUCAAAGUUCGGACAGCACUUCCCCUGAAUUUGCUAACUUUUUCAGCCAUCAUGGCUUCAUUAUUUUGCUCAUUCAAACCCAAAGGUACACACACAACAACAAGUUCAUCCAAUAGCCAUUCAGCAAGCUCCAAGUAGUACUAGUACAAGUCAAGCUAGGGAAAAGUCUGGAAAUGAAAGUUAAGCUCAAAACCAAAAAAAUAGGUUUUGACGUCAUUUUGCGGUAAUGGUACCAAAGGCGGUACGAUUGUCGGAUGAAGGUGCAAGAUCCACCGUUUCGAAGCCAAGAGAUAGGGUUACAAUAUUACACAAGGUCACUCAACCCAGUUUCGAGUGUAACCAGGUCAAAAAUGCAAGAUACCAUACCAGAAUCACAAAAACAGAUUCACAGAACGCAUUCUAGCGGAAACAUCAUAACUCAGGCUCUCCAAGUCCAAAUCCAGAAAUUCCAAAACCAGCUGAAAGCUAAGAAACAGGGAUAACGUCACGCCCUAGAACACGCAAACAAGUACAAUGAGACUCGAUAACGAGUCAUAAAGCAAUGCCAAUCACAACCCCAAUAGGGUUUCAUAAGCAUGUACAAGCAUCAUAGGUAACCAGAAAUUUCGGAAAUGUAACUAACUUGGCCCUAAAACAAAAACAGUUUUGUCCACAUUUUGCGGUAAUGGCACAAAUUGCGCUACGCUUAUCGGAUGAGGGUGAAAGACCCACCAUCUCGAAGCUAAAAGACAGGGCUACAACAAUGUAGAAGGCCACUCAGUCCAAAUCCUAGCACAACUAGGUCAAAUAUGCAAAAUACCAAACCAGAACCUUAAUUGCAGGUUUACAAAUUACACUAUGCUGUAAUUAGUCCAACUCAGUCUAUACAAGUCCAAAUUCAUUGAUUCCAAAGGCAUAUGGUACAUAAGACAUCAAGCUACAUUUCAUCAGAAGACCUCAACAACCAAUUCGGAAGCAAUUCCAGCCAAAACAACCAAUUACAGGCACAAUUCUUACAUUCGGGUAAAACCAGAACAGCAAUAGUAAUAUUGACUUUUCUCAUUCUACACUACUCCGAUUGACCUGAAAUUUUUGUAGGCACCUCUAAAAUAUCAUUCCCUACAACUUUCAUGUUUUAAGCAAAGGCCAAUUCGGCCUCUAACCAUGAGAUAUAAAACCAGCCAGAAUUGGGGAUAUAAAACCCUAACUUUCUCAAAUUCCUUCCAAAUCCAAAAUUGGUUACAAUUAUCUAUCAUAUACACCUACUAGAGUCAUUAAACAACAAUUCCCAUCAUCAAGGAUAGCCACAACAUCACAUUCAUAUGAAACCAGAAAAUUCAUCAAUAAAUUGAAAACUUCACCAAUUCAUCUCAAACCAAGAAAUAAACCACAAAUUUCAGCACUUUAGCUACCACUAAGCACAACUUAAGCUUCAUUAGGUGUAGGAGGAAGUUCAAUCACCACUUACCUAGAACACAAGAGAGGGAGAGUUGUAGGACACCUUAGCUUCCUUGGACACUUCCACAAAAACACUUACUAGCACCAAAUGGAGGGAUUUUAUGGAGUAGAAACAAAUUUAAGCACUUGGUUUGGAUGAUUUGCACUAGAUGGAGAGUUUUUCUUUGAAGAGUUUUUCUUUCUUCCUUGCUAGAGAGGGCCGGCCACAAUGGUGAAGAAAUGGUGAUUUUUGUGGUAAUUUUGAGAUAUUUAAUCAAUGGGUCAAUUAAGUCAAAAAAAUGAAUAGUUGUCAUCCACUCUUCAAGUGACAAUUGUCACUUCAUUUAAAGCAUUUCUAUCCUUUUGUUUCCUCUCACAUCAAUCACAUCACAUCCUCUACUUAUCUCUUAACACCCGGUAAAGUUCAACCAGUAUCCGAAACUUAACCUUAUUGGCCGAAUUUUUCCGAACUUUUCGCACUAGUGGGUCCCACGUCCAUUAUAUAUUCUUAAUUUUUCAAAAACUAUCCAAUACUAGAAAAAUCAUCUAAAAACUAUAAUUCCUCAUAAAAUCCACCAAGAAAAUUUUUCCUAAGCCAGAAAAUGCAGAAAACAUGCCAUUAAAGGGAAAAACCCUAGGAAAAAAUAUUAGGGGAAAUACGGGUUCUCACACUCCAAGCUGAAGAAUCUUGGAAAAACAAUCAGUUAAUAACAUAGCCUGAUUCAAUAUGAAAUUUGUGAACUGAUCCUAGAAAAUCUCUUAUCACCAAAAGAACAAGUUUCUAAACUCAAAAAUCCUAGAAAAACAAUCUAUCUAUAACAUAGCCUGAUGCAAUAUAAAACUUUUGAAUCGAUCGUACAAAAUCUCUUACAUAUAUCUAUAGGAUUUAAGUUUGGGUUUGGGUUUAAGUAUGGAUCAUAUAAAAUCAGACCCUACUCAAAUGUAUAAUUCUUUUAUAGGGUAUGGCUCUGAGUAGGGUAUGAAUUUAAAAACUUAAAUCCAAGCCCAAAAUAAAUAUGGUGGAUCUGGAUUGGAACUGAAUAAUAUCCGACUCAUUGACAUGUCUGAUAAAAAAUUUCUGUAGAACAAUAAAUUAGAAAGACACGCCUGGAAGCUGUGAGAAGUUCAUUCCCAAUGAAUCCUCUACGGGGUUCGAAUAUAUAUCAUUAAAAAUUAACUAUAUAUCUUCGGUUGAGGGUCUAGCUUCAAAAAUCACAUUGUUCAUAGGUUAGGAUAUGCCCAAGCAGUAUAUAUGAAUUCUCGGCAUGGAUCAUAGGCAGACUAAAUGGGAGAGUAGUGGAAGCUCAAUUGCAUUAACAGAAAGAAUUUCUAUAGAAAGAAUCAAAUAGCUUUUUAUGCUAUUUAGAUGGAAUCAAAAGAGGAAACCAAACAAUAGUUAUACCUUCCAUUUGAUCAGAGGGUUGGUACACCGGUGCAAGAGAAGAAGAACUCUUAUGCUGAGAUUCUGCAUUAUCCUUAGAUGUUGAAGCAAAUCGAAAACACAGGCUAUCUAAUGUAGAAGCUACAUUAUGAGACAGUGUUCUAUGUAGAUUCUGAUUAUGGAGUUGAAGUUUGUCAACGCCUACUAUAUUACCACCGUGACUAUGAGUGGCAAGUAGUUCAGAACCAGGCGUCCAAACACCUGUUUCAAUGUGACCUAAUUGUGUCUUAGUAAUAUAACGUUGCCGCUUUCUUUUUACUUUCUAAUCUGUGCUACAACUGAAGAACCUGAGUUUUCAACCUACUUGGCUUGCUUUUUUAGAUCAUAGGAUUCUCUACACAAAAUGAAUCACACACAAACAAAAUAAACCCGCAGCCACUAAAAGUGCGAUACUUUAAUCUCCAACAGGACAUGAUAUAAUUACCACUAUCAAUUAAAAAGACUAAAUCUUAUAUAUACGGACGUUAUAUGCAUUAUCACUAUUGGAUUUAUGAUACAUGUAUAAAAGUUGAAUUUCAAAUUCAAAUUUUGCACAACUAUUAUUUGUCCAAAACUAACAGUAUACACAUUAUCAGUGUAAAAGAGAUUAAUCCAAAAAAAUAUGCAAACAAGCCUCACACUUCUAGCUUUCUUCACUCAACCAAAAUGGCAAAACAAAAACUCACGUGCAAACCAUAACCAAAUGGAGGACGACGAAAAUCACUAGAAAAGUUCCUUAGCCACUUUGUAUAUAUGUACAUGUCUCUGUGUGUGUGUAUAUAUAAUAAAUAAUUGAAAGUUCUAUGUAUGGCUAAUGAUGUGUACACUUGUCAAUUAUUUGAGUUCUAUAAUAUGUCAAACAUUUGUUGUUAACAUUUACAAUUUGUCGUUUAAGCAUUAACAUCCUACUUAAUUAUUGGAGGAAUAAGCUUGUACACAGAGAGCCGUUGGUUCGUGCAUGACUUUUCCUUAGCCGUUUGUUCGUGCAUGACUUUUCCUUAAGUUAAUAUUUGCCCCUUGCUUUAUAAAAUUAUUUCUGGUAGCUGAAAUUUGAAAAAGAAAAAACAAAGGUAUGUUUGUUUGGUAUUAGAGGAUGAAUAGAACGAAUAUGGCGAGACUUGAGUCAAUUACGGGUGUCAGAUACUUUUGAGAAUCUCCUCUUUUUUGUUUUUCUGUUUUCAAAAACUAACAUUUAUUAAAAUUUAUUAAUAAUAGUAUAUCUUCAUAGAAUUGGGAGUACCAUUCCAAUAAUAAAUUGUGAAUAUAGGACAUUUGAACAUUGAGAAGCUUGUCAUAUAUCCGCAGAUUUUGUGAUUAUAGUGACAAUGUCUAUGGAUCAAAACAUGGCUAGCGCAAGGGAGUGCCAAGGAAGGAUGGAAGGGUUCAGUCAUUAUUUCCGAUGGUAUAUUCAUGUAUCGAUUGAAAAGGAAUUGAAAGACAGAAGAUAGUGGUAAUGGGGGAAGUGCAACGUGAAUUAAUCAAUUUUUUUAAAAGAAUUUGAACUGCUAAGUGAAUUGGAGGAAAAUUUUAUGUCGAUCAUGCCUAAUAAUUGUUUCUGAACCAAUGAAAAAGUUCCAUGAGAACAUACAAGGGUUCUACUUGAUUUUAUAUAACAUGCCAAGUGGAUUCCACUUAACAUGUAAAUUAGUAAAUAAGGUCCUCAUAUAUCCGCUUGGAACUUUUCUAUUGUUCCUGGAUCAUGCCUAGUAGUUGUUUCGAGCAGAUAUAAAAUUCCUCGUGAAGCAAAUGAUAAGUUUUUGGUUUACUAUUCAACUCCAGUUCAAACAUUUAAUUGUAAAAGAGAAAAGAAAAAUAGUAAAUCAGUUCCAGAGUUUGGAUUUUAUUGGUUGUGGCCGGUUUGAUAAACUCUAUGAAUCAUCCGAUAUAUUAACCACUAAGGUGCUAAAAAUAGGAAAGAGAUGCCAAAAUAGUAGUUGAAAAAGCAGCCAGCUUGAAGUUAUAGCGUCGACUAAGUAGAAGUUAAUUGUCAAAUGAGCAUAUGAAUCAACUUGGCCAUAGCAAACAUAUACAAAAGCUCUAAGAGCAACUAUUAGUAGGAAAUAUUGAUCUUUGACGGGCAAAUUAAACUUUACCCUCCCGUGGUAUAGCUAAUUUUUACAUAAUUCCCUAUAGUUUUAAAAACUAUAUAUAAUCCCUUAUAAUUUGGAUUAAAGUGUCAAAGUGACGGAAAUGAUCAUCCGUAACGGAACCUAUAAAAAUGUCAAAAUUAUUUUUAUUUAAAAACUAAAAUAGCUGGAGUCACCAAAAUAUAUAAAUAUAAUAUGCAUGACACUCUAACCUCGUAUGAUUUUUAUAUUUUAGCAUAUAACCCUUUUAUGAUUUAGUAUUUUACCAUAUAACCCUCUUAUGAUUUUCAGUAUAUAUACAUAACCCCCUGUGGUUAAUAAAUAAUUUUCAACUUUACACAGGGAUAUUUUUGAUAUUUCAGUUGACUCCAUUAUGAUUGUAAAUUCCGUCAUUUUGACACUUUAAUCCAAACUAUGAUGGGACUAUAUAUAGUUUUUAAAAUCAUAGGAGAGUUAUGUAAAAUAAUAAUAAUAAUAAAUCACAGGGGAAUAAAGCGUAAUUUGCCCAUCUUUGACACUAAAACUAAUGAUUCACUACACUCGUGGCAUGAGUCUCUUCCAAUUGUUAUGUACCACUUUUGUAUAUAUCUCAUUUUUCAGUCAUUUAAAGAAAUAUGGGCACAUUUAAUUUUAAUCACUUUUCCAGUGAUAUAUUGUCCCUUUUCAAUGCCAACAUUUUUUUAAAAAAAAAAAUUCACAAACAAUUAUGAAAAUUUGUUAAAAAGAGUAAAUUGAUUUGAUUUUCACUUUUUUCUUUUCCAUUGGACAACCAUGUCAUGUCCAGCUAAUUUCUGACCUUACAAGAUAAUUUCUGACCUUAAGAUAAUUUCUGACCUUACAUGACCUUACAAGAUAUUAUCUUGUAAGGUCAGAAAUUAGUAUUAUAUCUUGUAAGGUCAUGUAAGGUCGGAAAUUAUCUUGUAAGAUAAUAUCUUGUAAGAUCAGAAAUUAGCUGGUCAUGACCUUACAAGACAUUGUAGAACCAAGAAUCGAAAGUUGAAUGUGACUUUUUUGUUUUUUCCUUUCAAAGCCAACUUCAGUGGGCUAAUUUCUUAGAAUAUAGGUAAAAAAAAAAAAAUUGUCCGCCAAAUGUAGUUCUUGUGACGGCCCCACCUCCCCCUAGGGCGUACCCCAAGGUUCGGCGGGUCGCCUGCCCAACUCUCGCCAGGACUCACUCACUCACUACAGUCCUCCAAUGAAGUAUAAGAUAAAUCUCAAAUAUUAUAUCCAAUUCUCCAGAAUUACAUAGACUAGUACAUCAAGUCGUACAUACCACGAGUACCAGAAAAUAAACCCUAGAAAAGUUGAUAACUACAACCACCACGACAACUACAUACAUCUUGCUAGUCAACUUAAAACAAGUACAAGUUCACUCGUCUAUAAUCAAAACACUAAACACCUUCCCGAGCGAUUCCCGCGUCGGCCCCCUGCUAAGGAAAACAAAUGGAAUGGGGUAAGCUAUAUGCUUAGUGAGUAAUCAGGGGGAAAUGUAAACUCACAUUCAAACAAACAAGUAAUCAGGAUAUUUCACAUCAAUACAGAAAAUUAACGUCACAAGGGUAGGAUACGGGUGGCUCCAAAGCCAGUUCAAUUCCCCGAGCUUGAAUGCCUGUUGACACUCCGUCAACCAAAAUACUCAUGGUCCGUAGACACCACUGAAACUUCCCCGUUCACCUUAUCAACCCCCGCUGGCCAGUCAACAGCACACAGCAGCUCGAGCGAAAUAAAGUAACUUAGCUUUCGUCAAAGCUUUAACAAGGAACUAAAUCCCAAGUUUAGUAUGGAACUAUCUUCGACCAAGCCUCGGCUGGCUCGAAUAGUUCGUCUAACCCUUGGAACCGGGCUGGAACCAAGCCCUGAGAUAUCCGAUCUCUCAAUAGAUGGUAUCUCUCAACAAGUGCACAACAAGAUACUUACCCCAAACAGCACACAGCAAAUGGGGUUUAAUUCAAGUCACGAGAUCACCCCUAUCAGCACACAGCAAAAGGGUGAUACUCAAGUCAUGUAAUUCCCCUCCUCAGCACACAGCAAGAGGGUGAUACUCAACAUAAAGCAUGUAUUCUCACAUAGGAAAUCAAAACAAAGGAUGGGCUUAGGUCGAGUGAGAUAAAGUACACCCUCGCCUACGUACCCAUUUAACAUGUACAAAGCACUUUAACAAUUUCACAUCAAUAACCACCCAAUUACUCACUUGAUACAACUUGGCACGAAAAAUGAUACAAUUCACGGAGCUUGACCGUCACCGUCAAAAGCCUCAAGAUCUGUAUGGGCAGAUUAUAUACACACAUGAGUGAAACGGCCAUACAACAGCAAUUUAAAACUGAAACGAUCGAAUACAGUUGAAAACGGUCAAAAUAAUCAAAACGGUUACACGAUCUUGUCCAUAACGGGAGCUAGGGUUAUCGGAUCAAAAUGUACUAGAUAGUGUCUCGAACCUUAGACAAAAGGUUACAACUUCCAUGAAGAUAACUCAAUCCAUUUUUCAGUGUAUCCAAGUUAAAUUUGCAACAUAUAAAACUAGGACUCCGAAGACUAGUUUAUCUUUCUCGUGAAAAUUCGGCGGCAUGCCCCUUGUGUUUACCCAUUUUCCAGCCAUUUAUGGCUUCAAUAUUUUACUCAAUCCAACCCAAAGUUAUACAUAUCAUAGAUUCAAGUAAUAGCCGUUCCAUAGGCUCAUAACAACAUUAGAACAAAAAUCAAAGUGAUAACAAGUGUGGAAAUGUAACCUAGCAAAAGACAGAUUUGACGUGUGGUUGCGGAAAGAACACAUUCGAGGCUACGCUUAUCGGAUUGAGGCGCAAAUUAUACCGUUUCGAAGCUAAGACACAGGGCUACAAUUUUCAUGAAGCUCACUUAGUCCCGUUUCCAAUGCAACCUAGUCAAAUCCCCAAUUUACAGAACCAAAAUCCAACUAGUCGGCUAAUAAACCGCACUACUUUUAAAUGACUAUAUCACAGGUUACCAAGGUCCGAUUAAGGUGUUCUUGGAGGAGUUUAAAAGCUAAGACAGAAUACUAAAACUUUUAUGUUUUGUCAACAGGCUAAAUCCCCACGGAUUAUAGUGAAUAAACACAACCAAAUAGACUAAACUGUCCACGCGGAACUCUGGAAUGUAACCUAGAACAGCGAGGGUAUUUUCAUCUUUUCACAAGUUACAUAGCUCCGAUUGGGCUGAAAUUUUGUAGGCACCUAUAAAAUACCAUUCCAUACAACUUUCAUGUUUUAGGCCAAGCCUGAUUCGGCCUCUAACUGAUAAGAGUUUAUUUUACGUAUUUUUAAGUGCAUUUUAUUAGUUAAUUUUGAGUUGAUUAUUUAGUUUUAUAAUUAAAAUAAAGAGGUUUUUGGUAAAAUUAUAUAUUUUUGGUAAAAGUGGAUAAUAUUGCAUUUCUAUUGAUUUUAAUAGUAAAAACUUCAUUUUUAUGCAGGAAUAAUGAAUCAAUCACCAAAGGAGGUCAAUUGAGGUGAAAAAUAGAGAUUUGGUGAUGAAUUUAAGUGGCAACAAGAAGAAUGAAGUGAAAAACGUUCAAGUGAGGAAAUGCAAUACAAGUCAGUUUUGACACUUUUCAGUAUUUUGACCAUAUCUGGAGCUACACAUAUCGGAUUGAGGUGAUCUUUAUACCAUUUUAAAGCUAAGAAAGAGACCUACAAUUCGUAUGAAGACAUCGAAAUCCAUUUCUGCCAUCUUCAUGGACAAAAAGCUGGAAUACAGAAGCUGCACCCUGUGGUCGGAAGUUAAAACAGAGGUUUGAACAGGUGACAGUAUUUCGAUCAUAUCUCAGGCUACAAAGCUCCGAUUUGGAUGAUUCUUGAAGCAUUGAAAAGCUAACUCAAAGGGCUACAACUUUUGUGUUUUGCACAAAAGCUAGUUCGGCCUUUAUGAUAGAGAAAAUCGCAGAUGAAUUAAGGCCAAAGUGAAUACGCGAGUACACAAAACGUGACUUGUAACCGCGUUUUGUGUAGGCGCGUUUUAUAGCCGAAAUUCUGCAAUUUGACUCAGCCAAUUCUCUUGUGUUCAUACCACUUUCCAGCUAUAAGAUGCAAGGGAAUUCGGUGCACAUGCUUCAGAAGACAAAAGGGCAAGAAAAGUGGCUUAUUUUCAAGUCAAAAAUAUUGGUUUUUGACUAUGCUAACAAAGUGGAGAUUUGGGAAUCAAAGGAUAGAAUUUGACUUGGAAAAAUGGAGCAUUUGAGUGUUUUUUUAUGCAGAGAUAUGGGGAGAGAUCUGGGAACCAUUCGUAGCUUAGUUUCUGACAGAAAAACAUAGUCUCUCUAGCUAGGUACUUGCAAGGGACAAUUGAGGUUUCAUCUUGUAAUCAUCUAAGUUCAAGACAAGGAGAUUUUUGGAAGGCUUCACCAUAUCUUGGCUAAGACUUUCUUUACUCUUUUUGUAUUUGUAAAUUUAUGAUGAUUUGCAUUAAUGAAGUUAUGAGUGUUUCAUCAUUCAUGAGUAGCUAAUUUCCUUUAUCUAGGGAGUAGAUGAAGCUUAUGGCCAAAUGAUAUGAAGUGAUUGUGAUUUAUGCUUGUUAUGUCUUGUAUUAACUUAUCUACUUGUGUAUGUUGGAUUACUUGUUGUUGCUUGAUCACCAAUGGCAGGUUUAUAGUUGUUUUUACUCAUUGAGAAAUGGUAAAAAUAAUGGAAUGACACAAGUAGAACUUGAGUUGUAUAUUCAUGAGAAUAGAAAUACAUUCAAGUGGAUGAAAUCUGCAUUUCAUGUGUAAAUAAGAACAUAUUUAGUAUUUACCAAGAGAUUAGGAAAAACUAAUCUGUUUUAACCCAUUAUCAUCAUGAGAAUGUGAUUUUGGUAUUUCUGGAAAUGAAUUCUUGGUUAAACAAGAGCAGUAACAAGUGUUGAAUUAAUUCAUUUUAGAUCUUUUGAAUCAUAAGUGGAAUCUACAUCCCUAGAUCUUAAUAUUUAGUGAAUUCUAUUCCUUUUGUGAAAUUGCAUUUAUCUAGUUAAGAAUUUUUGUAGUUGAAUUACAUUCUGAAAUUUCUGCUCAAAUUAAUUGUAAGUCUAAAUAAUAGAGUAAAUUAGUAUCUAAUAAUUGUUUUAAUUGCUCCUCGUGGGAUCGACCCGAUACACAUCUUGUACUACAAUUACGACCUGUAUACUUGCAGUCCAACGGGUGUAAAAUCAGAAUUAAACUUGCAUUGAUAAAAAAAAAUCCCGUCAAGUUUUUGGCGCCGUAGCCGGGGAGCGGCAAUAUUAGAGCCUAAUCAUCUUUAUUAAUUUAGACAGCUUUAUUUUUUAGAUUAUUUUUAAUCUUAUAUUGUAAUCAGUUUUUUUUUUUUUUACCAUUGAAGUUGCAUAAUAUCCCUUAUUUCUGUUUGUAGUGUAUGCACCGGGAGUCUCGAAAAGUCGCACCUUUCGAUCCAGAAAUUGAGAGGACACUACGUAGACAAAGGAGGCACACACAACAGCAAGAGGAACAAGAGAUUUGGCAACCAAUAGAGGAAAUUUUGAUAGAACUACCAUUUGAAGAAGAAAUGGCCGAAAACGAAGCAAAUAGGCGAGUUCUACGAGAUUUUGCUCUACCGGGAACACAAGGAUCUCAAACAAGUAUAGUAAGGCCUACGGUAAAUGCUAACAAUUUCGAGAUUAAACCAUCACUUAUCCAGAUGGUUCAACAAUCUCAAUUUGGAGGUAAUGCAGUAGAAGAUCCUAAUACACACUUAGCUACAUUCUUGGAAAUUUGUGAUACAAUUAAAAUGAAUGGAGUUAGUGAUGAUGCUAUAAGACUAAGGUUGUUCCCAUUUUCAUUGAGAGAUAAGGCCAAACUUUGGCUACACUCUCAUGCUCCUAAUACUUUCACUGGAUGGGAUGAACUAUCAAGAGCAUUCUUAAAUAAGUAUUUUCCACCAGGUAAGACUGCUAAGUUUAGAAUGGAUAUCACUAGUUUUAGCCAAUUGGAAGGUGAAUCAUUAUAUGAGGCAUGGGAAAGAUUUAGAGAUUUGCUUCGGAAAUGUCCACAUCAUGGACUGCCGGAAUGGUUAAUCAUACAAACCUUCUAUAAUGGUUUAGUUUUUUCUACUAAAACUAUGAUCGAUGCAGCUGCAGGUGGAGCUUUAAUGGGUAAAUCACCCCAAGAAGCUCAGAAUUUGAUAGAAGAAAUGGCCGCAAAUAACUACCAAUGGGCCAAUGAAAGAGGUAAUACGAUACGUCACACAGGUAUGAUCGAAAUGGACACUCUCAAUAUGUUGAGUGCCCAAAUGAAUAACGUGAUGAAGUUAUUGAGUAGACAAGGUGGAGUUAGCCCAAGUUCAUCUAAUGCUCACGUAGCUUGUUGCUCUUUCUGUGGAGGUGAACAUGAUAUUAAUGAGUGUGUUGAUUCUGAGCAGGUACAAUUUGUCAAUAAUUACAACCGAAAUGCUCCAAAUAAUCCCUACUCGAAUACUUACAAUCCGGGGUGGAGAAAUCAUCCAAACUUUGGAUGGAAAGAUCAAGGCAAUCAACAAAGGCCAACCAAUCCGCCGGGAUUUCAACCAAGGCAACCACAGGCUGAAACUAAACCAAGUUGGGAGAUCGCGGUGGAAAAACUUGCUAAGGUGACUUCGGACAGAUUUGAACGAGUAGAAGGGAGACUGGAUCAACUCACUACAAUGUACAGGAAUGUGGAGGUUCAAAUUGGUCAAAUUGCCAAUGUGAUCAACAAUAGAAACCCUGGUGAAUUACCAAGUAAAACCGAAGUGAAUCCGAGAGAGCAUGUCAAUGCAAUCAUUCUUAGAAGCGGUAAAACGGUUGAGGGAUUCGAUUUUGAAAAUUCAGGUGGUGAAAAAGACAAGAAGCAAGCAAUUGAAGGGGAGCAAGAAAGUCAAAAUGAUCAUGUUAUCAUUGAUAUUGAUGCACUUCAUCCCAAAUUAAAUUCUAAUGUGAUACCUUUUCCUCACAGGUUGAAGAAAGAUGGACAGGAUCGGGAGUUUGAAAAGUUCUUCAAAAUGUUUAAACAAUUGCACAUUAACAUUCCUUUCAUUGAUGCUAUAACACAGAUUCCCUCUUAUGCACGUUUCUUGAAAGACAUCAUGUCAAAGAAGAGGAAAAUUGUGGAUAAUGAGAUGAUAGCAUUAACGGAAGAGUGUAGUGCAUUGAUUAAGAAUAAACUCCCUCCUAAAUUGAAAGAUCCGAGAAGUUUUUCUAUUCCUUGCACUAUUGGUCAAUUGCAUUUUUCUAAUGCUUUAUGUGAUUUAGGUGCAAGUGUGUCACUUAUGCCGUUAUCGGUUGCCCGGAGAUUGGGACUUCAAGAGCUAAAAGCUACCAAUAUUAUAUUGCAAUUGGCGGAUCGGUCAAUCACACAUCCCAUGGGUAUUUUGGAAAAUGUACUCAUAAAGGUAAGACAAUCUAUAAUACCUGUGGAUUUUGUUGUCUUAGAUAUUGAAGAAGAUGUGAGAAUGCCAAUUAUUCUAGGACGACCGUUUUUAGCCACUGCACGAACUAUAAUUGAUGUAGAAAAAGGUAAGCUUAUAUUACGGGUUAAUGGUGAGGAAUUGGAAUUCAAUUUGGAUAAUAAAGAAGGGAGUAUAGAGCCUACUGCUCUUGUGUCUAAUAUGCCAUAUGAUGAAAAGGUUAACCAAGAAAGGACCGAAGAAGUUAAAUUUAUAAAUGUCCUUGGUACUAACUUUCAUGGUGUAGGAACAAAGGAGGAGAAGAUAAGGAUGGAAGUUGGCUUAAUAAAUUCGCCAUUCCAUGAAGAAAAUGGUGAAAAGUUGAGCCAAUUCAGAAAAGACAAGCAAAAUCCACUCCAAGGUGAAGUUGAGCCUCUCUAUGACAAGUCUAAUAUUCCUCCUUGGCAUUUGAGGAAAUUGGACUAUGAAGAUCAAUGCAUGGUUCACCACAUGGUGGAUUGGCUCGGGAGUUUCGACCCAUGGGGAGAAAAUCUCUCUCUAAUGCUCUAAAGUGAUUCAACUUUUUCAGUCGAGCCAACGACUAUAAACAAAAGCGCUAAUUGGGAGGCAACCCAAUAUUUAGGUUAUAUUUGUUAACUUGGUGUGAUUUUGUGGUUUGAAUCAAUGUUUUAGCUAAAUUGUUGUUUUUGUAAUGUAGGGUUGGCAAUUGAAGGCAAGGAUGACCAAUUGAGUACAAAAAAGGCGAACUUUGAUCAAACAACUCAACCCCUCGAUUUGCGUUAAAGGUGUUUUUGAUUCAUUAUAAAGGGGUAAAAUGCAUGUUUUUAAUGUUUUACAUUUGUUCCAGCCAUUAAAAUUGGCAAACAAAUGAUCUAUGAUGCAUUUUGAGUCAUUGGGGUACCUUUUGUAAUUUUUCAAAAGUUGAAAUUCUGCUAAAAAUCGAAGCAGAAAACGCGUUUUCAAAGAAAACGCGACUAAAAGUCACGUUUCUAGGAAUCGCGUUUUCAAUUCUGCACCUGCAGAACAGAAAACGCGACUUCAGAAACGCGACUCGAAGUCGCGUUUUCCAUCACAGUCGCGUUUUCAUUCCUGCAAGAUUUGUGCAGGAAACGCGACUUUAAAAACGCGAGUUGAAGGCGCGUUUUUAGUCGCGUUUUCCGUAUCUGAAUAUAGCCUUCAGAAACGCGAUUUCAGCCUUUCUUCUUCACUUCUCCAAUUUUUCCAGCCGCGUUUUUCCCUCUUCCUUCUACCCAACUCACAAAUUUUCAUUUAUACUCCAUAAUCUUGCUAGAAAUCAUCACCCCAACACCUUUUGAGCUUCAUACAACCUUUUUAACCGAUUAAAAUCCAAGAAAAACACCUAAAAUCAGGUUUUUGAGGGAUUGAAGGUUAGGGUUCUUAAACUCUAAUUUCUUCAAUUGGAGGUCAAUUGGAGGUUGUUUCAUAGGGCUUUUUGCAUUUUUAGCAUCACCAAACAUCCUUCUAUGUGAUUGAGGUAAGUUUCUUCAUCAAAUCUUUUGAUUUUAGAAGUUCAUAUUUUUUAUCCUGAGCUAUCUGACAUCUUUUAAUUUCGAAAAUUUGAUGAGGUUCAUGGCUAUUUUUGAUUUUAUUCAUGAUUAUUAUGAUUGUUUAAGCAUGUUUAAAUGUUUAAAUGUAGCAAUUUAUUGGUUUUCAAGUACUUUAAAAUUCACAAUUGCUAUAUUUAGAUGAAAUUGGAAAAAGGAACUAGGAUGUUUUCGAGCCAUUGGUGAUGUUAAAUUAUGGUUAAAAAUGGUUAGUUGAUGAUGUUUAAGCAUGUGCAUUGUGUAUAGUGAGUAAUUUGGUUGAUUUGGGGAGUUAAUUAGUUUAAUUUUUGCCUAAACAUGAUUAUAGCUAAAAGCAUAUUAUUAUUGUUAAUUCUAAAUAGUUAUAAUCAUAAUUGUUCCUAUUUUCACUAAUUAAAUUAUAAUUGAUACAUAUCUUGUGUAAUUUGGUGAUUUUGGGCAACUUUAGGCAGAAAAUAUGUCUUGUACGAUCAUUGAAUGAUUAGAACUUGAGCAAUUGUAUUUGAGGUUAUUUGGAUUAAUGCUGAACUUUUGUUGCCAAAAAAAUGAGUUGUAGUACAUGUGAAUAAUUGAAAUAUUUUUUAGGUACUAUGCCAAGAGGAAGAAGAGCGGUACUUUCAUCCUCUAGUAGUGAGGAGAGGGAGGUUAAUGAAGAGAUGGAGGUGACUGAAGAGGAGAAUUCACCUUCUCCUUCACCAAUUAACCGUCGACCUGGUGAGGGCACCUCCCGUGGAGCGGGAAGAUCGGUAUUUGACAGUGCUAGGUUCAACACUCGCAGGAAUCAGGAGUGGCAUGAGGCGCGUGCUAAUUUGGAGUUUUUAUUUGAGAUGCACGUCAGUCCACCAGUUGAGAUGAUGUACAACAUCUCAGAAGCUUUUGCUCAGCUAGGAUGGGCUCCGAUUCUCACCCUUCCAAACCAUUACUACCCAGACCUGGUGCGCGAGUUUUACGCCAACAUUGAAAGUAAGGCGCGCCAUAGUGGAGAAAUAAUUGAGUCCUGGGUGCGUGGAAGACGAAUCACCUUGUCACGGCAAGAUUUGGCUGCUAUUUUGGGGUGUAUGGAUGACGGACGUCCAGUAGACUUGAAGAAGGAGUUUGUUCCCCCGAAUAGGAGGUGGGAUCCAUCAUUGGCCAUGGCUAGGUUUGGUCUCGAGUACCAACCUUUUCGCUCUACCAGAAAGGAGACUAUAUUGGCAAAUGUAUUCGAACCUCGUCAUCGGCUUAUCAUUUACAUGAUGGCUCACAAUGUCAUCCCAAAGAAGACGGGGCACACGGAGGUUCGCAAGAGCGAUAUUUACUUCCUUGAUUACAUGUUCCACAACCGAACUUCCCCGUAUGCUCGAAUUUCAUUGCCGAACAUCAUCAUCAGGCACAUUAGGUCUACGGCGAGGCGUAAGACAACUUCUUUCAAACUUUCAUUUCCUCGUCUACUGACUUUAAUCUUCCCCCGUUUUGAAGUUCCCUUGGAAGGCAUGCGGCGGGAGUAUGUUCCACCACGUGCUGAGAUGACUAUCACUACUCUUCGCCGCCUUGGUAUUGGCACGGGAGACAUUCCACGCCCUGUUCAGGAGCGGAGACAAAAGGCUAGACAUGGUCGCGAUGGAGCUGGACCAUCUACUGCAGCACCACCUCCUCCUCCGCCACAGACCAACUGGCAGCGGCUUUUCGGUCGCUUGGACGACAUCGACCAUCAUUUAGCCAGAAUGGAUACUCGCCUGGACCGAAUUGAAGAUCAUUUAGGCACACGCCCACCUCCCAUCGAUGAUGAUGAAGAUGACGAUGAAGAGGAUGAUUGAGGCUGCCCUUUGGCUGGCUUUUCUUUUGUUUGCUUGUUAUUUUUAUCUUUUGUUUGAAAAAUGUUAACUUACAUUCCUUAUUUUGAAUAUUGGAACUUGUGGCAGUAACUAGUAGAUCGUUGACUGUGGAUGGUUGAGCGGUCGAUGACUCAUGAUUCAAGGCUUCACUGGACUGCAGUCAUCUCACUUGGGGAGUCACUUGUUCCUUUCUUUUGUUUCUUUUCUUUUCUUUCCCUACACAUUGAGGACAAUGUGUAUUCUAAGUGUGGGGGAAGAAAUGUGUGGUACUUGUGAUUUUAGUUGUGUUUGAUAUAAUUCUUGUGCUUAAAUGGUGUUUCUUGUGGUUGCUGGCAGGGAGAUUUAGUCCACUUUUAAGGGGAGACUCUGUCAAAAUUUUUCCAAAACCUUAUACAUAUAUAUGUUAUUAACUAUAAUAAAUAAAUAAAAUUUUGUCACUUAUCCUUUUGAAAUAAAUAUAUGCGGUUUUGAUACUUCUUUUCUCAUAAAAUUUGGAAAUGAUUUUUAUGUGAUUAUAAUUUUUACAUCUAUAGGAAAGUAUAUCUAGUAAAGUGGAGAAAAUUAUGCCUACAUUUUGUAUAUUUGAUGAAAAUUCUUCUUUUUAUCUAAUUUUAUAAGAUAAGAAAUUAAUAUGGUUAAUAAGUGUCAUACUCUUCUCAUGAUUACUCUUAGAGGGAAUUUUAUUAUAUAUUGUUAAAAAAAAAAAAAAAUGGUUAUUCUACUCCAAUGAUUCUCGUACCGAGUAACCGGGGGUUGGCAUCUACAAAUGUCGACAUUCGCGUAAAAAGGUACUUGAAUUAAGAGUAUGCAAAGCAACUUGAGUAUGUGAAAUGUUGAGUAACCGGGGAUCUGCAUCUAAAAAUGUUGAUCUUCGCGUCAAAAGGCAUUUUUCACAACUUAAGCAAUAUUUAACCCUUAAAAUAUCAAAAAAAAAAAAAAAAGAAGUAAAUUAAAUCCCUCUUUAAGAAAAAUAAGAAGUUGAUCAUGAGAUUAGUUAGCAUCUUUAUUGACUAUAGGAGUUGCUUGCUUGCGAAAUUAGAUAAAAAUAAGAAGUUGAGUUGAAUUGGUAAAAUUAUGGUAUACUUGGCUCUUCUUUGCUUGAUAUUAUGAGUACUUGAACUUAAUGGAAAGAUCACAUAAGGGUUAUUUACCUUGAUUCAAGGAAAUGGAGUUGAAAUACUACAUAUGUUUAUUUCAAAUUUUUGGAUCAUUGAUGGUUGGAAUUUUAUAUUGCUUGAGGACAAGCAAUGAUUCAAGUGUGGGGGUAUUUGAUAAGAGUUUAUUUUACGUAUUUUUAAGUGCAUUUUAUUAGUUAAUUUUGAGUUGAUUAUUUAGUUUUAUAAUUAAAAUAAAGAGGUUUUUGGUAAAAUUAUAUAUUUUUGGUAAAAGUGGAUAAUAUUGCAUUUCUAUUGAUUUUAAUAGUAAAAACUUCAUUUUUAUGCAGGAAUAAUGAAUCAAUCACCAAAGGAGGUCAAUUGAGGUGAAAAAUAGAGAUUUGGUGAUGAAUUUAAGUGGCAACAAGAAGAAUGAAGUGAAAAACGUUCAAGUGAGGAAAUGCAAUACAAGUCAGUUUUGACACUUUUCAGUAUUUUGACCAUAUCUGGAGCUACACAUAUCGGAUUGAGGUGAUCUUUAUACCAUUUUAAAGCUAAGAAAGAGACCUACAAUUCGUAUGAAGACAUCGAAAUCCAUUUCUGCCAUCUUCAUGGACAAAAAGCUGGAAUACAGAAGCUGCACCCUGUGGUCGGAAGUUAAAACAGAGGUUUGAACAGGUGACAGUAUUUCGAUCAUAUCUCAGGCUACAAAGCUCCGAUUUGGAUGAUUCUUGAAGCAUUGAAAAGCUAACUCAAAGGGCUACAACUUUUGUGUUUUGCACAAAAGCUAGUUCGGCCUUUAUGAUAGAGAAAAUCGCAGAUGAAUUAAGGCCAAAGUGAAUACGCGAGUACACAAAACGUGACUUGUAACCGCGUUUUGUGUAGGCGCGUUUUAUAGCCGAAAUUCUGCAAUUUGACUCAGCCAAUUCUCUUGUGUUCAUACCACUUUCCAGCUAUAAGAUGCAAGGGAAUUCGGUGCACAUGCUUCAGAAGACAAAAGGGCAAGAAAAGUGGCUUAUUUUCAAGUCAAAAAUAUUGGUUUUUGACUAUGCUAACAAAGUGGAGAUUUGGGAAUCAAAGGAUAGAAUUUGACUUGGAAAAAUGGAGCAUUUGAGUGUUUUUUUAUGCAGAGAUAUGGGGAGAGAUCUGGGAACCAUUCGUAGCUUAGUUUCUGACAGAAAAACAUAGUCUCUCUAGCUAGGUACUUGCAAGGGACAAUUGAGGUUUCAUCUUGUAAUCAUCUAAGUUCAAGACAAGGAGAUUUUUGGAAGGCUUCACCAUAUCUUGGCUAAGACUUUCUUUACUCUUUUUGUAUUUGUAAAUUUAUGAUGAUUUGCAUUAAUGAAGUUAUGAGUGUUUCAUCAUUCAUGAGUAGCUAAUUUCCUUUAUCUAGGGAGUAGAUGAAGCUUAUGGCCAAAUGAUAUGAAGUGAUUGUGAUUUAUGCUUGUUAUGUCUUGUAUUAACUUAUCUACUUGUGUAUGUUGGAUUACUUGUUGUUGCUUGAUCACCAAUGGCAGGUUUAUAGUUGUUUUUACUCAUUGAGAAAUGGUAAAAAUAAUGGAAUGACACAAGUAGAACUUGAGUUGUAUAUUCAUGAGAAUAGAAAUACAUUCAAGUGGAUGAAAUCUGCAUUUCAUGUGUAAAUAAGAACAUAUUUAGUAUUUACCAAGAGAUUAGGAAAAACUAAUCUGUUUUAACCCAUUAUCAUCAUGAGAAUGUGAUUUUGGUAUUUCUGGAAAUGAAUUCUUGGUUAAACAAGAGCAGUAACAAGUGUUGAAUUAAUUCAUUUUAGAUCUUUUGAAUCAUAAGUGGAAUCUACAUCCCUAGAUCUUAAUAUUUAGUGAAUUCUAUUCCUUUUGUGAAAUUGCAUUUAUCUAGUUAAGAAUUUUUGUAGUUGAAUUACAUUCUGAAAUUUCUGCUCAAAUUAAUUGUAAGUCUAAAUAAUAGAGUAAAUUAGUAUCUAAUAAUUGUUUUAAUUGCUCCUCGUGGGAUCGACCCGAUACACAUCUUGUACUACAAUUACGACCUGUAUACUUGCAGUCCAACGGGUGUAAAAUCGGAAUUAAACUUGCAUUGAUAAAAAAAAAUCCCGUCACUAACUAUGAGUACUAAAACCGGGCAGAAUGUAAACUUAAAAUUCCAGAAAUCUGGAAUUUUUGGGAUUUCAUGACAAUCUAUUUAUUUCCUUGCUUCCAACACUACCAAAGCCCCUUAUAUAAUCUUAUAUACAACAUAUACCCACUAUACAACAAGUCUAGGCAGAAAUUUAUUAAACCCUAACUUGCAUAUAUCAUCCAAAAUCAUCACAACAACUUGCAUAUCUUGUAAUCAAGCCAAAACAUGAACUAGAUAACAUCUUAAAUCAAAAUUUAAAAGAACAAGAACCAUGAUCAGAUCUUAUACCUCAAAGACAAAGCUUGGAAGAGUGAUACUCCACCUCCUUUGGAAAUUUUUAGUUCCCCUAGCUUCCCAACUCCACAACUCACUCUUUAAUCGGUUUAGUUUUCUUUCUUCUCACUUGGAUGGCUAGAUUUCAAGAGGAAUUGAUGAACUCUCCCUUGGGUUUUUCUUCCUCUCUCUCUCAGCCAAGAAGUAGAAAAAAUGAAGAAGAAAGGCUGCCCAAGGUGAUAAGAAGGUAAGACAAAUUGUCUUGGUCAAGAGACCCUUAAUGGUGUGACACUUGUCACUACCAAUACCAAGCAAAAUUUUCUUUUUCUUUCUUGCAUUUUCAGCCCCAAAAUUCGCUCAAGGCUAGCUGGAAAUUAAGGAGAUAUUUUGCUCAAAUAUUAAUGAGCUCAUGUGGUGGUCAAGUGGUGCGUUCAAUCGGUAGUAUGCGGUACUCGUCGGUUCGCGCCGUUUUUUCUUAAAAACACAUGUACUAGGGUUUUUACUUUCUAUUUGCUACCCAUGUAUCAUUGCUCCUAAUCACAUAUUAUUUCUCACUUAAAAGUCACUUUUAAUCACCAAAUUUGAUCCUUGCUCCGUACCGAAAAAUCAUCCGGCGAAAAAAAUCGCGAAAACCCUAAUUUGCUCCAAUCUUGAAAACAAAAAGUGAAACCCUACUUUCUAGGUUCAUUUGCACUUAUUAUGGGGUGCUUGAGUAGUAGGGCCAUAAAAAAUGAAUAAUUUCCAAAUAAAAGGAAUUUUAAGAAAAAUGUGAUGAAUUUUAUAAUUCCAUAGAAUAAAAUUAGGGUUUUGAGUUAAAUAUGAGGGAUUUAAACAUUGUCACAAGUAAACUAGGGUUUUUGAUUAAAAUUUUAGGGUUUCUAGUCUUUUAAAACAAAAUAAGGUUUUAAAUCAAACCCAAAGAAAUAACUUUAGUAUCUUCCCUGAAACAAAAUAAUGUUUUAAAAUAAAAUGAACUAAAGAAACCGUAAAACAAUAGCAUCUUAAAAGUUGGGGUGUCACAAUCUCCCCUCCUUAAAAGAAUUUCGUCCUCGAAAUUCCAAUCAACGAACUAAAGGGUUGGAAUACUCAAAUACCUCAAUACGAUGGAAAAUAGGGAAGGUACCUUCGGUGAUUGUUAAUGGGUCUGUCACCUCUUGGCUUUCUAUUGCAUAGGUCCUUGCCGGCACUUUCGGUCGAUUACCCGUGGCAUUAGUCUUCUUAGACGUGUUCCCUUCUGCCCUUGGCAAAUUUCCUUCUUUUGGUAGGUGAGGGCACUGAGCAAUCAGAUGCUCAGCACUACCACAUCGAUAGCAUUUCCGUACUUGUCCUUUCUUCCAACAAUUAUCUUCUAUGUGAUUAGCAGCUCCACAAAAUCCGCAUGUCAUUCUAGGUCCUGACGUCGGACCUCCUCGUGAGGUACCCCUUUGGGUCUCUCUUCCUACCUGAUUUUUCUCAACAUUUCCUUGAUUUGGGAUCCCAGUGGAUCACGGUCCACCUAUUCCUCGACUCUUCUUAAGUGGUGGCUCGCUCCCCGAGCUCUGUCCCUCAAUAUAACUGCUUGUAUCUGGGUACCUUCUUUUCUUAUCAUGAAAGGCCUUUACUUGACUCUUAGUACUUUCAAUUCUUUGUGCCUUUUCAAUCGCUUGACUAUAAGUCUCCAAUUGAGCAGCUGCCAAUGCCUCUUGAAUUUCCACGUUCAAACCCUGAACAAACCGACGAAUUCUCCUUUGGUCUGUCAGUACUAAUUCUGGAGCAAAACGAGAGAGUUUGGUAAACUGUGUCUCGUACUCCGCCACACUCAUAGUCCCUUGACGUAGGCGUAUGAACUCAUCCUCUCGCCUUUCCUGAACAAGUGGCGGUAAGUACUUCUCAUUAAACUCACGAGUAAAAUUCACCCAUGUCCAUGGGGUUUGCUCUCUAUCCCAUUUGGCUCGAAUCACAUUCCAUCAGGCACGAGCCGCUCCCUCAAAUUGAAAAACGGCGAAAGCUAUCUGCCGUUCCUCUGAGUAUUCUAACGCAGUAAAAAUGUCUAACAUUCGCUCCAACCAACUCUCCGCUAUAUCAGGGCUAGGUCCACCCAAGAAUUUUGGCGGUAGAAAUUUUUGGAACCAUUCUAAGGCACGGUCCUCUCCUUCAUGAUUGCCAGGAUGCUGUACUUGGCCUUGACCCUGUUGGUUGACCAUUCGUUCUAGUAAAUCAGCCAUUCGCUGUAUGGCUAUAGCUACCUGGGUUUCGGCUUGCGUAUUCACAUUUUCAUUAGUUACCCCUUCGGUUCCUUGUCCUCGUCCUCUACCCCCACCACGAGUCUCCAUUUGAUGGUUUUAUAGUUUCUUUAAUUGGGACACAAUAUGGUUCAAGAUCAAUGUGUGUACGUAUAUAUACAAGUCACGCAAAAUAUACACAAUAUAAUGCACCAUAUACACCAAGGGACAUUUCAGGUUAGACAAAGUCAAGUGCAGUAAGUACUAUAUAUGUAGGCAUUAACAUACCAUAAGUAAAUGACAUGUAGAAACAAUGCAAGUGCAAAAUGAAAGAAACGCGACUUGUCGUCCCACACUCAGUGAAAAUCACCCCCGUCUGAUUUCUUACUCCACUUCCCAAGGUGCCCGUUAAUUUCUUGUACUCACUCUAGCCAGACAAAGCCUGUUCAUGUUCUCAAAAUGCAAGUUUCAAGUCAAAAAUUUCUCAAGUCGAAAAUUUUACCCGUGGCGGUGCUUGGAAACACAACAAGCUAGCACAACGGCUAUACUUCACCAGUGAGUCUUAAUUCAAGAAAUUCAUCCCUGGCGGUGUUUGGAAACACAACAGGCAAUGCCUCACCAGAGAGUUUUAGUUCAACCGCUACAGAGGAAUAGUAGCCGGUCUACAACCACACGAGUACAAAUAAGUUCAAAACAAGGUCGAAGCAGGGUUCAAACAUAUAAAUUCAAAAAUAGAGUCAAUUACUUCAAGUUCAAGGAGCACAGGUACGAAUAAGAACUCACUCGGCUAGCCUAUACCCAGCAAUUCACAUUCUCAAACAGUCACCGAAUUAAAGUCCAAAUAUAGGUCACAUUACUCAUGCGUAAUAUCAAAUCAGGUCCAUUACAUGUACGUAAGAGCACACGAUAUGGUACCCAAGUACAAGAAUUCACAAUAAGACAAUUCACAACUCGAGCCGGCCGGUCCCAAGAGUAAAUCAUCCAUAUUAGAGAUUCCUACCUGGCAUACCUAACCAUUGUCCCCAAAGUACCAUGAUAAGGGUUCAAACCUAGAACGUUUCAUGAUUCGUAACUUAAGCUUCAAAAAAAAGUCCUUAAUCCUUAAUUCUCAUUCACGAAAUUAGGACCAUAACACCACUUGGCCCAAGCUCACUCCGGGCAGAGACCACGCGAAGCAGGCUCUAGCUUUUAUCCCUCAAUCGCUUAACUUUUGAAUCAAAUCGAAUUCCACAGUCCGGCAUCCUAAACUUUAGCCUAGGAUACACUACAGAGAUCUGAAGCCUAAACUCUGAUACCACCUGUGACGGCCCCACCUCCCCCUAGGGCGUACCCCAAGGUUCGGCGGGUCGCCUGCCCAACUCUCGCCGGGACUCACUCACUCACUACAGUCCUCCAAUGAAGUAUAAGAUAAAUCUCAAAUAUUACAUCCAAUUCUCCAGAAUUACAUAAACUAGUACAUCAAGUCGUACAUACCACGAGUACCAGAAAAUAAACCCUAGAAAAGCUGAUAACUACAACCACCACGACAACUACAUACACCUUGUUAGUCAACUUAAAACAAGUACAAGUUCACUCGUCUAUAAUCAAAACACUAAACACCUUCCCGAGCGAUCCCCGCGUCGGCCCCCUGCUAAGGAAAACAAAUGGAAUGGGGUAAGCUAUAUGCUUAGUGAGUAAUCAGGGGGAAAUGUAAACUCACAUUCAAACAAACAAGUAAUCAGGAUAUUUCACAUCAAUACAGAAAAUUAACAUCACAAGGGUAGGAUACGGGUGGCUCCAAAGCCAGUUCAAUUCCCCGAGCUUGAAUGCCUAUUGACACUCCGUCAACUUUUAAAACAUUAUUUUAAGAUGCUACUGUGACACCCCAACUUUUAAGAUGCUAUUGUUUUACGGUUUCUUUAGUUCAUUUUAUUUUAAAACAUUAUUUUGUUUCAGGGAAGAUACUAAAGUUAUUUCUUUGGGUUUGAUUUAAAACCUUAUUUUGUUUUAAAAGACUAGAAACCCUAAAAUUUUAAUCAAAAACCCUAGUUUACUUGUGACUAUGUUUAAAUCCGUCAUAUUUAACUCAAAACCCUAAUUUUAUUCUAUGGAAUUGUAAAAUUCAUCACAUUUUUCUUAAAAUUCCUUUUAUUUGGAAAUUAUUCAUUUUUUAUGGCCCUACUACUCAAGCACCCCAUAAUAAGUGCAAAUGAACCUAGAAAGUAGGGUUUCACUUUUUGUUUUCAAGAUUGGAGCAAAUUAGGGUUUCACAAUUUUUUUCGCCGGAUGAUUUUUCGGUACGUAGCAAGGAUCAAAUUUGGUGAUUAAAAGUGACUUUUAAGUGAGAAAUAAUAUGUGAUUAGGAGCAAUGAUACAAGGGUAGCAAAUAGGAAGUAAAAACCCUAGUACAUGUGUUUUUAAGAAAAAAAGGCGCGAACCGACGAGUACCGCGCACUACCGAUUGAACGCACCACUUGACCACCACAUGAGCUCAUUAAUAUUUGAGCAAAAUAUCUCCUUAAUUUCCAGCUAGCCUUGAGCGAAUUUUGGGGCUGAAAAUGCAAGAAAGAAAAAGAAAAUUUUGCUUGGUAUUGGUAGUGACAAGUGUCACACCAUUAAGGGUCUCUUGACCAAGACAAUUUGUCUUACCUUCUUAUCACCUUGGGCAGCCUUUCUUCUUCAUUUUUUCUACUUCUUGGCUGAGAGAGAGAGGAAGAAAAACCCAAGGGAGAGUUCAUCAAUUCCUCUUGAAAUCUAGCCAUCCAAGUGAGAAGAAAGAAAACUAAACCGAUUAAAGAGUGAGUUGUGGAGUUGGGAAGCCAGGGGAACUAAAAAUUUCCAAAGGAGGUGGAGUAUCACUCUUCCAAGCUUUGUCUUUGAGGUAUAAGAUCUGAUCAUGGUUCUUGUUCUUUUAAAUUUUGAUUUAAUAUGUUAUCUAGUUCAUGUUUUGGCUUGAUUACAAGAUAUGCAAGUUGUUGUGAUGAUUUUGGAUGAUAUAUGCAAGUUAGGGUUUAAUAAAUUUCUACCUAGACUUGUUGUAUAGUGGGUAUAUGUUGUAUAUAAGAUUAUAUAAGGGGCUUUGGUAGUGUUGGAAGCAAGGAAAUAAAUAGAUUGUCAUGAAAUCCCAAAAAUUCCAGAUUUCUGGAAUUUUAAGUUUACAUUCUGCCCGGUUUUAGUACUCAUAGUUAGAGGCCGAAUCAGGCUUGUCCUAAAACAUGAAAGUUGUAUGGAAUGGUAUUUUAUAGGUGCCUACAAAAUUUCAGCCCAAUCGGAGCUAUGUAACUUGUGAAAAGAUGAAAAUACCCUCGCUGUUCUAGGUUACAUUCCAGAGUUCCGCGUGGACAGUUUAGUCUAUUUGGUUGUGUUUAUUCACUAUAAUCCGUGGGGAUUUAGCCUGUUGACAAAACAUAAAAGUUUUAUUAUUCUGUCUUAGCUUUUAAACGCCUCCAAGAACACCUUAAUCGGACCUUGGUAACCUGAGAUAUAGUCAUUUAAAAGUAGUGCGGUUUAUUAGCCGACUAGUUGGAUUUUGGUUCUGUAAAUUGGAGAUUUGACUAGGUUCCAUUGGAAACGGGACUAAGUGAGCUUCAUGAAAAUUGUAGCCCUGUGUCUUAGCUUCGAAACGGUAUAAGUUGCGCCUCAAUCCGAUAAGCGUAGCCUCGAAUGUGUUCUUUCCGCAACCACAAGUCAAAUCUGUCUUUUGCUAGGUUACAUUUCCGCACUUGUUAUCACUUUGAUUUUUGUUCUUAUGUUGUUAUGAGCCUAUGGAACGGCUAUUACUUGAAUCUAUGAUAUGUAUAACUUUGGGUUGGAUUGAGUAAAAUAUUGAAGCCAUAAAUGGCUGAAAAAUGGGUAAACACAAGGGGCAUGCCGCCGAAUUUCACGAGAAAGAUAAACUAGUCUUCGGAGUCCUAGUUUUAUAUGUUGCAAAUUUAACUUGGAUACACUGAAAAAUGGAUUGAGUUAUCUUCAUGAAAGUUGUAACCUUUUGCCUAAGGUUCGAGACACUAUCUAGUACAUUUUGAUCCGAUAACCCUAGCUUCCGUUAUGGACAAGAUCGUGUAACCGUUUUGAUUAUUUUGACCGUUUUCAACUGUAUUUGAUCUUUUCAGUUAUAAAUUGCUGUUGUAUGGCCGUUUCACUCAUGUAUGUAUAUAAUCUGCCCCUACAAAUCUUGAGGCUUUUGACGGUGACGGUCAAGCUCCGUGAAUUGUAUCAUUUUUCGUGCCAAGUUGUAUCAAGUGAGUAAUUGGGUGGUUAUUGAUGUGAAAUUGUUAAAGUGCUUUGUACAUGUUAAAUGGGUACGUAGGCGAGGGUGUACUUUAUCUCACUCGACCUAAGUCCAUCAUUUGUUUUGAUUUCCUAUGUGAGAAUACAUGCUUUAUGUUGAGUAUCACCCUCUUGCUGUGUGCUGAGGAGGGGAAUUACAUGACUUGAGUAUCACCCUUUUGCUGUGUGCUGAUAGGGGUGAUCUCGUGACUUGAAUUAAACCCCAUUUGCUGUGUGCUGUUUGGGGUAAGUAUCUUGUUGUGCACUUGUUGAGAGAUACCAUCUAUUGAGAGAUCGGAUAUCUCAGGGCUUGGUUCCAGCCCGGUUCCAAGGGUUAGACAAACUAUUCGAGCCAGCCGGGGCUUGGUCGAAGAUAGUUCCAUGCUAAACUUGGGAUUUAGUUCCUUGUUAAAGCUUUGACGAAAGCCAAGUUACUUUAUUUCGCUCGAGCUGCUGUGUGCUGUUGACUGGCCAGCGGGGGUUGAUAAGGUGAACGGGGAAGUUUCAGUGGUGUCUACGGACCAUGAGUAUUUUGGUUGACGGAGUGUCAACAGGCAUUCAAGCUCGGGGAAUUGAACUGGCUUUGGAGCCACCCGUAUCCUACCCUUGUGAUGUUAAUUUUCUGUAUUGAUGUGAAAUAUCCUGAUUACUUGUUUGUUUGAAUGUGAGUUUACAUUUCCCCUGAUUACUCACUAAGCAUAUAGCUUACCCCAUUCCAUUUGUUUUCCUUAGCAGGGGGCCGACGCGGGGAUCGCUCGGGAAGGUGUUUAGUGUUUUGAUUAUAGACGAGUGAACUUGUACUUGUUUUAAGUUGACUAGCAAGAUGUAUGUAGUUGUCGUGGUGGUUGUAGUUAUCAGCUUUUCUAGGGUUUAUUUUCUGGUACUCAUGGUAUGUACAACUUGAUGUACUAGUUUAUGUAAUUCUGGAGAAUUGGAUGUAAUAUUUGAGAUUUAUCUUAUACUUCAUUGGAGGACUGUAGUGAGUGAGUGAGUCCCGGCGAGAGUUGGGCAGGCGACCCGCCGAACCUUGGGGUACGCCCUAGGGGGAGGUGGGGCCGUCACAGUUCUGACAUUCUCUUGGUACAAAACUAUAGCUACUGUACCUAAUCAAUACAGUAGCAAAUAUAUUUUUUUUAAAGUGUCAGGCUAUCAUGCUGAUUGUGCACGGGAGCCCACGGGUGAUUUUUUUUUUUUCAAACCAUCUACCGUGCACAAUCAACAUGAUAGCAGGCAGCAGACAAUUUAUUUUUAAAAGUGUCAGGCUACCCUGUAGCGAAAUUGAUGAUUCGGUUGUACAUAUUAUUAGGGGUGGUAAUUCUUGACACGACUCGAAAAUACGACACGAAUCUAACACGAAAUUAAUGGGUUUGGGAAGUUCAGGUCAGAAUUGGGUCGAACCCAAUGAACCUGAAAAGAAAACAGGUCGAUUUCGGGUCAACCCUUGGUGACCCGAUAUGACCCGUUUACAAAUUAAAAAUAAUUUAAUACACAUAAAAAUUAUUUGAUCUAACUAAACUAAAUCAUUCUUUUUUUUCAAAGGCAUUAAAUCAUUAAUUACUUAAUCCUAAAUGAAUUUAUUUAACUUGUGUAAAGUUGAAAUUAUUAUAUUUAGACAAAUAAUAUAUUAUAUUAUUUUUUACUUUUAUGCUAUUUUAAUUUAUUUUAUAUUUGGUUUGGAAUAAAACACUUUUACGGUGUUUAAUUUAUUUUAGAUUUGGUUUGAAAUUAUUUAUUUAAAUUUUUAUUACUUGAUGAUGUAAUUAAUUUUGUAAGAAAUUGAUUUUAUUAGAAAUUACAGUGAUAAAUUAAUAAAUUAAAAUUAAGUUUCGAGUCAUUUCGGGUUGACCCGUCAACCUGAAAUUUUCAGAUUCGUGUCAAGCAUCCUGACCCGUUUCGGAUUGGCAGGUCAAGUUCGGGUCAGCGGGUUUUUUGUUAUACUUGGACCUCAACCCGACUCGCCAACCCGAAGCCGACCUGAUUGCCACCCCUACAUAUUAUGCUACUCGGUAAAAUUUUUCAAUCAUUUCCUCCAAAUAAAGAAAAAGGAAAAAAACAUUCAAUCAAUUAAAUUGUUCUCCACUCACGGGACGUGGUCAUUAUUGACGGUUGGCUUGGGCGUUUAACGUCAUUAAUAACUUCGUUGAAGGUGGCCCCUACUGCUCUCCCUUCCCUGAACGUGGUCUUGCUUUGGGCAUCUACCGUCAUUAAGGAACUUGUCUUUCCUACACUCAAAUCUUCUUUUUUUUUUUUUUAUAACCCGGAACAUGUCUCGAUUCAAAUUCUUAGAAUCCGAGCCGACACACCAAAUCGAAAGAGUGUGUCACGGUCCCACGCAGCGACCCCAGACGAGUUAUAGGGGUUCAAGUCCAUGAUAAGAAAUCUUUUCUUUACCUAGUUAAAGAAUGAAAUUAUAUGAUUCUAAGUUGAGAAACGACAGACCCAGACCUCACAAAUUAAGUCCUAUCCAGUUGAACUCCAUUCAUGUAAUUCCUAUGAUUAUUAGUGUUACUCCUUGAAUGUAAAUUUGAAUUUGUCAACUAGUAGAACUAAGUUGAUGAUUGUACAAAAACUGUAUGAAUUUAGUAAUAAGAAUUAUAGGAAUCUAUUUGAACUGGAUAGAAUUUAACUUUUAAAACUCCUAGUCUACUGAAAGUUAAUCAAAUUCUCUCUCUUGUUCUCUCUCAUAGUCUACAACAUCUUAACCAUUUUUAUUAGUAUUUUUCCUCAUAAAAAUUCAAAAAUCCUCAUGAAAUUAAAGAAUACCUCCAGAAUCCAAAUAUUUUGCCAAACAAAAUCCAAGAAAAAAACCUUGAUCAGAAAAUUCAAAUAAAAUUUAUAAUGUCCGGAUAGGUCAUAAUUUGUUGCUAAAUUUAUAAUUAUUCUCCCCUUGAUUUUAGCCAAAUAUUAUUUUAAUUGUCGGAUUCUACUUUUAUUUGGUAUUUUGUGCUUAUUUCAGGAAUGGGAAUGAAAAGUGCUUAAAUGAAGAUUUUAUAGUGAAAAACAUCUGAUGGUUGCACGGGGGCGUGCCUAAGUUCACCGCUCAAAGCCGAAAAGUCGGGAUUGAUACUGGGCAAUCUCCAAAUCUGAAUCAAUUUCCUAAUUUGAUAGCUAUCAGGACCUUCUUGAUUUCACGAGAUCAUUCUCAAGUGAUUGGGAGAGUUUUUAGGAAAUUAAAUUGUAAUAGGAAACUCCUUAAGAAUCUGAUUGGUACUAGGAAACCAAUCAUUUGAAAAGUCAGCAAGUAGAAUCCGUGGGAGAGACCCAUCUGUGGCAACAUAGGAAUUUCUUGUCUUUUCUUUCCUUUGCACGGAUUGAGGAGGAGCAAAAAGCCGGAUCCCGCGUGAUUAAGAGUCGGCCAGCAACAAAUUCGGGGAGUCUUGGUUUUCUUAGGAAGCUACAAAAUAGGAAUUGAGGGGACGGCAGCCGCGGGGGGCUCUCUUCUCCUCUGAGUAGUUUCUUUCUAUUGUCAAACAUUGACGCAAUUUCCUUUAAUGGAAUUGCAUGAGUUACUCUCAAUGGAGAGUAACUAAUCUUGUUUUCUAGUCAAGGGGACAACUGAAGAUUUGGUUCGAUAAAUACUAUAUGUCACGCCCCAUUUUUUUGAAAAAAAAUAAAAAUUAAAUGUUUUAGAAAACAUGAAUUUUUUAUUUAUUUGAUUAAAAAAUGAGUUUUUGAUUUUUGAUGAAAAUGAAUGAGGAAAAAUGAAAUGGGGCCUAAAUGGGGUUUAAAAGUGCGACGAUUUGGGCCCAAAUUAUAGUUUAAAAAGGGUUUUUGAAAAAAAAUCGGAGUCGCCACUUGGUAUUGAGUUAAGGUGUACCAAGUCACCUAAAAAUGAAUUUUUCAAAGAAAAAAGUAGAAAACCCUUUUUAAAGACUCCUAGUCGACGAAAAUCAAAGAAAAAGGUUCGGGAGUCACAUUUGAAGAAAGAGAAGGCAAGGAUAAAAAUUCGAGACACCCUUUCGACCUAGCCAAGGCUAGUUACGUGAUUUAGCCAAAGAUUUUUUUAUUUUUAUCAUAUUUGGAUGUACUAUAUGAAUGCAAACUCUAGACCUAAGAGGGUAUCGGAGGGUCAAAAUAUCUCUUCAAAGCUUAAUUGAUGCCAAUCACAUUAAUUGUGAUGCCCAAUAAGGAUUCUUUGAAGAGGUCACGCAUAAUGCAAAAAUAUGAGACUCUAAGAAAAGAAAAGGAAUAAAAUAAUUAUAUAAAUACAAAUAUACAUGACCUAAAGGAAUGCAUCAUGUCGGGUACGGGGAACUAAUGUUCGUGACUCAAUUUUCCCUUUAAUAGAGGGAAUACGAACAUGCUAAGGUUAGAGAGCCAAACUCGUCCAUAUCUCAUACUCAAGGGGUAAUUUCCCUAUCUAAUCAAGCAAACGUACUACCCUAAUUCUAAUUUUCCCUAUAUGAAAUGCAAAUCUAAUGUCAUGUCUCAUGCAUAGGAUUAUAUAAAGGAAAAUAUAAAAUAGGGGAUAUGGAUAUAAGAGGGAAUAUGGGAUAAGGGAUGUGUGUGUAAAGGGAAUAUGGGAAAAAUUACGUAUAUAUAAAGGGAAGUAUGGGAUAAAGGUUAUAUUAUAAAGGGAACAUGGAAAAAAAUUGAUAAAAGACCCUAGAAAAUGAAAAAUAUGAAAUGAAAUGAUUUUAUCAUACAAUCAUGAUCUAACGCUCGAAGGGCUCCUAAGGGUCUAGCGUUGGACUAGCCUAUAUUUCUACUUCCUCACUAGCGUUGGACUACUGAAAAAUCGAACAAGGAAACCACAACUAGCGUUGAACUAGUAUAGCAUCGGGAAAUGAAUCACUACUAGCGUUGGACUAGUGUGAUAUUACAUCAUACAUUAAUUAUAACUAAACCAAUAAUAUAAAGCAAGUAAACACAUAAUAUCACAUAAACAUAUAACACGUAAUCAUGAUAUCUAAAUGCGAGACCCUAAGAAAGCGGAUAACACGUAACACAUAAGCAUGCAAGACAUACUAGGCAAAUAAAGCAAACAAGCCCUAACUAUUAUAUUGGGAAGGGCCCUACUACAAUCUAAAAAGGGAAAUAAAAUAAAUAAUUAAAAGAAAUACCUACCUAUUACAAUUGUGGCAUUUAAUUGCCUUCCCAAAUAAUUACAAAUUAAAAUUAAAUAAAUAUUAAAAAAAUUGGAAUAAAUAAAGCAUAUAAAGAAAUGAAAUAAAACAUUCAAAAGGCAUGUAAUUAAACACAUAAUGUCACAUAAGUGCACAUAGGGUCAAGUAAAUUAGAAAUAAGGGAUAGAGUGUACCUCCCUUGAGUUGGGGCCUUAAUGACACGAAUUUACUAUUUACCCUCCAAAAUAACAAAAAGGGUCAAGGCACCACUUUAAUUAACAAUAAAUGAAAUAAAAACUAAACACGAAAUGAAAAUUUAAACACAAAAUGGAAUCACUUAAGGUAUUCACAUAAAAUAAACCAUUCAAGUAUUAAAGCAAACAAAGUCCUAAGUAGAAAGUUUUAAAAGUUAAAAAUGAAAUACUAAAAUUGAUGGCUUAAGAUGAGACUUAUCAAAAUCAAAUGCUAAAAUUCACGAAAAUAAAUCAAAAAUCACUUGUUGCAAUUAAACAACAAAAUACUCAAAAAUUUCACUAAAACCCAAAUCAAAAUCAUAAAUCCCUCAAAAAUUAUUAAACCUCAAAAUUUCAUUCUAAAAUCCACUAAGAAAUUUAUCCAAACGGUAUGUUAAAAUGUACUAAAGGAAAAUUGGAAUUCAAAAGGACAAGGUUGAUCAAAUUUCGAAUUAUUUUGGUCAUGAUAACAUCACUUUAAGACAACAGGGAGCAAAGUGCAAUUCUUGGAAGGUUUUCAUGCAACAUGCAUGCAAAUGCUACGAAGGAAACAAGUUUCUGCAACAAAAAACUUUCAACUACUCAUGAAGCUUUCGGCAAUGUUCUGCUGCAUAUCUGCAGCAUCAAACCACGCGAAUGAAUUGCCCAAAAAAUGCACAAAAACUCAUUUUUUAUCAACCUAACUCACACACACGUCUCCACUCAUCCAUCAACUGAGAAGAUCCAGGCCAGGAAAGCGAGGAAACACAAGAAAUGCAACAAAACACUUAGCAGCUUUUCGCACCGAGAGUCUCCAGAAAUAAUCCAAGUACAAACCGAAAGGACAUGAAAUCCAAGCCAAAUUUGUGCAGCUGAUGCCUUUUUUAUUUCGAAAACUAACGCCCAAGAUACACAAGACAGAAAAAAGGCAAGAGAAUCAUCAAAGAGCAAACAUGAUAAAGCUGUGGAACAAGCUCAGCAAACCAGCGGCCAAAAGGUUUGACAGUUCAUGCAUCUUCUUAGCAGGAACUUCCUUUUCUUUCGCUGGUUUCUUGAGCUACAAUUUCUGGGUUUUUGAAUGCAAUCAUUUCCAUCUAAACAUUGCUAACGACUCAACCAACAACAGCUUGGGCCAAAGUAACAAAUUCACCAAGCAUUCUCUCCACUUUGUGACCCCAAAAACUGAAAAUUUCAUAGAAGAAAAAACAGGCAUGCGAAAUCUGGAAAUUUCUGCAACUUUCAACCAUGGCAUUCUUCCAUUUCAUCACGCAAACAAGUCCAACGAAUAUCAAAAUUUUGGGUCAAAACAAACGAACGAUACAAGUCUCAAUCAUCAUCUAAACCAAAUACUAUGUUUUGUUGCAGGAUUAAAGCAGAAAACCUGGGUUGACCGACAGUAAAAGAAAGAGAAAAAAAUGCAGCAGUUUUAACAAGAAAUCCAAUCCCAAGUACUUGUCAAAUUCCUAAACCCAUCACCAAGAUGUGGUGCUAAACAUCUAAAAGGAAAAAUCUGAAUUGAGGGACUUGCAGGAACCCAGAUUCAUUCAUUGGUUUCAAGUUCUGGGUUUUCAUGUCAAAAUCAAACAAGCACCAAACUCUCAAGACAAAACAACAAUCAAACCCAAAUCUUGUACUUUGCCCGCCUUAGAAUUCGUCAGACCCAAAUUACACACACAAACGAGAACCAAAAUGCAACCUUUAGUUUAUUAACUAUACAUACUUCAUAUACACAAGAAGUGAGAUGAUUGCAUAUGCUGAUUACUAAACACAAGAGAUGUUCAUGACUUCUAAAUUGGAUUCACAGUUUCGGAUACUCGUUAAAUGGACAAAGAAGCCGACACCAAGCCUAUCAAUUAGCGCAACAACAUCACAAAGUAUAAUCACAGUCAUUGUCAACCACAGUCAUGAUCAUUCAUUCGAAAAAAAUGCAGCCUAGACGAAGCUUUUUCUGCUGCAAUUUUCUGAGUUCUUUCUUCCGCAACUUCAUCAUUCGACUGGGAUGUCUAUGCGAAAUAAAUCAAACCAAGCCCACUGAUUCAUUUAACCAAACCCAAAUGCUAUAAUCUCAAACCCACAUUGUUAACUUCACCCAAAAUACGAUUGCCCAUUCCCAGCAGAUUCAAUGGUGCAACUGAACAUGAAAGCGCAGCAAAGACAGAAAGAAAGAAUCUUGCGCUAGACAUGUACAUGGAAAACCAGUCAAACAACAAACAAAUCACGAAAUUCAAGCAACCCAAGAGCUCAAGCAACCCAAAAAGAAAAAUGACCCCUUCGACAUGGCUGUAACUCUGGAUAAACAAACAGAGGAGAUUUGGAUAUAAAAAAAACAAAAGAAACUGGUUCUGCCUUUUGAAAGCAAAGGACCGGACCUGGAGAUUAACAACUGUGUAGCCAUGACAUCAAGAUCUAACCUCUAACCAUGUCUAAUGCUCUUUUAAUAUAUCUUUUAGCCAUUAAUACACAGAUCUUUGAAUCAAAAGAGAUCAGGAAAAGGAGCUAACAGAUAAAAUAUGAGUUGGCUAGAUCAAGAUGCAUUUGUUACCUCCUGAGUCUUCUCUCUCGGCUUGUUCCAGAGUCUUCCUCCCCAAGCUCUCCUUUUUCUCAGCUUUUCCGUUUCUCAGCCCGUAGCUCUCUGUUUCCUUUCCCGCCGCCACUCUCAACUGCUCUCUUUCCUUCCCAAGUUCUUAUCAUGUUCCGCCCGUAACCUUUCUUGCUCUCCACAACUUUCUCUUCCUCCCUCGUUUCUUUCUUUUCCAGCUUGGCCGCUCUCUCUCUCCCGCUUAGGUUCUCUCUCAGAAACCCCCCCGUCACUUUUCCUUCCUUCGUUCUCUCUUUCUUCUCAGUUUCGUCCCUCAGCCACCACUCCUCUUACUUCUCCAAAAUUUUUUAGCCGUCACACACUAUCCCCUCUUCUAAAACCCUUAGUUUUCUAUUUAUACCAGAUUCAAACCCUUAAAACUUCAUCUCGAUGGUUCAUAAACAAUCUCAGCUCACCGCCUCUCUCUUAGCCCUUGAUUUUGUUUCAUUUCUAGAUUCUUCUUGGUUGUUAGAUGGAAGCCAAGUAGAAUGAGGUUAGCAUGAUCCAACGGUGAAGGAAAAUCAAUGGAAAAAAGGAUGGAAAAUGGGAAGGAACUGAGCGCUGCAUUUUCUGUACUUCUCGCAUGCUGCUGUUUGGAAAAUGUUUGUUUUGUUUGCAGCUCACGCGCCUCCUCUUUUUUUUUUUUUUAAUUAACAACAAUAAUAAGGAAACAACAAAUCGAAAUAAAACAAGAACAACAAAAGUCAAAUAAAAGCUAAAAAAGAAAUUUUUUGAAUUUAAUUGAUGAUUUUUCCUUUUAUUUUACUAAUCUUCACUUAAUUUAGAUAAACGAAUAAUAAACUUUUUCUUAAAUUGAGUCUAAAAGAAAUAAAACAUAUUUUUUGUCAACAAUUUUCUUCUUCUUUUUUUUUGAAUAAAUUUUAAUGCUAAAAUGUCUCAAAUAAAAAUUAAGAGACUCAUGAGCGAAAAUGAAUAAUAAUUAUCAUUUAAAAAAUAAAAAUAAAUAAAUAAAUAAAGCUAAAUUAAAAAUUUGGUAUCUAAAAUGCUAAAAUGUCUAAAACAAAAUCAUGAGAUUAAUAAGUAAAAAUAGCUAACAAUUAUCAAUAAAGAUAAAAAUAAAUUAAAAUAAAAUGAAAUAAAUUAAAAUUUGGUGUCUACACUAUGAGAUCUAAAUUAUUUUAAUUGUUUUUUCCAUUUAUUGAUAUUUAUAUGUUUUCUACUUUUAAUUGUUAUAGCUCUUGUGUAUGAUUGAUUAGUGCGUAAUAAUUAAUUAUUCACAUAGGCUAUUGUGCUAAUUAGGGGUAAUUGAAUCCGUAAUUGUUCGAUUAUCUCCAUCCCAGUAGCAACUGGCGUAAUUGGGUUUAUGUCAGGAAAACAUACUAUUUAACUUAAACAAACUCUCGUAGCAUGUUUGUUAGUUAGGAUUGGGCCUUUCUAAAUCUUAAUGCAAACCAGAAAUUAAAUCAUAUGGUCGUACCUAGGGUUGUUUCCGGGUUAGAGAAAUAGUUAACGGUCAUAUCUUAACUAUCGAGAAAUUAAGGAAGGGUUGGUUGUUUAUCGCGUGCAUGACAACUAUAACCAAUCUAUUAAUAAAUGUUGGAAUUAUCUGUGAAUCGAUGAUCAGUGCAUGAACCAUUUCUGAAGUGUACCCUUGACUAGAGUUCUCACAAUUAUUUCUUUUAAUUAAUUAUUUUCUGCAUUUACUUUAUUUAGUUAGCAUUUAAUCUUGAAAACCCCCAUUUGUCUUGACUCGGAAGGAAAUAAAUUUUUCUCCAGUCCCUGAGGAGACGACCCUGCUUGCCAUUGUCUACUAGUUAGUGAAUUUAGUCAGAUAAUUAAUUCAGGUAUAUCGGAUUAAACAAACUCUUCGAAAACAGGGUGAAUCAAGUAACCCAUUGCAUACCUAGAGUCCCUGCUCCAGUACUUAGAAUUGAUUAUUGACUGCUUUUGGUGGUAGUUAGGUUUUAUUUAUUAUUAUUGCACAGGUUGGGUACUUGUCAAUUUUUGGCGCCAUUGUCGGGGACUAGUGCCUAAUUAAUUUGUUUCUUUUUUAUUUCAUCUUGUUUUCAUUUUUUUUAUUUUUCUCUUAAUUUUUUUUAUAUAUAGUUUAUGGCUGCUAAUAUUCCGUAUUUUGGUGAUAGAUUGGAUUUUAUUUCUAGAAGGGGUUAUGAGACUCGUACUUUUUCUAAUGAUCAAUAGGCUGUUGCAAAUUGUGGAACUUAUUUUGCCUCAGAUCAUUCAACCGACAUAUGCCAUACAUUUCAAGAUGGUCUAAGUGCUCAAAUCGAUAUUUUUGGAGAUUUUCCACCUCAAUAUCAAACGUGGUAUGACCCUUAUUCAAACGAGUAUGAACAAGGAUGGUGGGAUGAUUCCAAUUUAAUUAUGAACAAAGGCCAAUAGAUUUUCAACAGCUAGAGUCUCAAGAACCGUCAUCCAUGUCAGGUAUGUCUCUUGAAGAAAUAGUUGAAUUAAUAGCUACUAACACAUAUCAACUUCAACAGGAGACACAUCAACUUCAAUAGGAGACACAUUAAUUUCAACAGGAGAUACAUCAAUUUCAACAGGAGACACAAAGGUUGAUUAAAGAGAUGGAAGAUGGAAGGCGUGAAUUGGCAUCUACAAUAAGCAAAUUGGUUUCUCCAUUUUAUGAAGAAUUACCCUCACAAACCAACAUCGAUUUUAAAGAAGAUGAGAAUAUAAUUAUCCUGACAAGUGACAUGAAAUUGCAAGAGUCUCAAGAAGAAGAAUCUAAAGAUAAAGUUGAAAAGGAAAUUAAAGUACAAGAAAUGGAACCCCAAUAUCAAAUGGUUCAAGCGAAUGAAUCCAAUGAACAAUCUCCAAAUGCGGUAACAUCUCCUCCAUUUCUUAAUCAAUACUUUCAUAACUCUUAUUCUUCAAUUCUUGUUAGUGAGAUUGACUUUAUUAUACCAGAAGAUUUUGAAUUUCAUGACAGGAAUAAGUUAAGAGUUGCGAUGGUAAAAUAUCUCGAACCAAUAAGUGCUCGUGAUGGAGGAGUGAGUGAAGAAUUAAGGUCAUUACUUGCUUGUUUGGUGCCAUCUACUAGUCCAUUGAAAACCGUACCUCGUGUGCUCAAUGAUUACUCUAUUUACGAGGGAUAUCAGGACUACAUAAAAGAUGAAGCACUGAAACGAGCUACACGAUUUUAUCCUCCGUGAACAAGCAUGGCAACGUCUAGCCAAAGACGUUAAACAAAGACGCUGCUUGGGAGGCAACCCAAGGCCUUUGUUUUAGUUUUCUUAUGUUUUUAGAGUUUUUGUUAAGUGUUUGUUGCAUUUAGUGAUUUAUUGCUUUUGUUGUAGGGAGCUGGCAGUUAGACGUGCCCACGCCAAGUGGUCACGUUUAAGGAAGGAGGUUUUAAUUUGGCGGACAGAAGACUACUUAGUAGUUAGAUGUGCCCACGGCAAGUGGUCACGCCUAAGGAAGGCAAUUUGCAUUUGCGGGCAGAAGACUCUCCGUUGCCGUUGCCGAAAUGUUAGGAAAAAAUGUGCUAAUAGUGAAAAAUAUGGAAGUGUUUGAAUGAAUUAUUAGUCCGCUGAUUCAUGAAUUUUAAUGUUGAGAUUUUGCUUAAUAGUUGAACCAUUUGCUUAUGGAUGCUGGUUGAAUAUUUUAUAUUCUUAGAUUAGUUUGUUAUAAAUUAAAAUAGUUCUUGAUCUUAAAAGCUAACUGGAGAGAUAUUUCUUGAAAAUUGCCACUAAUACUUGACAUAUGUUUUAAUUGCAUCUUGACAAUAGAAAAUUUGAGUAAUAGCCAUUGUUUGAAUUUGAUUGCUUAAUUUGUUAUUCUCAUGCUUGAGGACAAGCAUGGUUUAGGUAUGGAGGGAAUUGAUAGGGUAUAAUUUGUUAUUAAUUUUAUGGUUAAUUUUUCUCUUUGUCCUUGCCAAAUAUUGUUUUAAUUGUCGAAAUAUACUUAUAUUUGGUAUUUGGACCUAAUUACAGGUAAUGGAGCAGAAAAGUACUAAAAAGGAUGAUUUUCUUGAGAAAAUCCCGUGCACGUGGGAAGCCUUGAGAAUCCUUGCAAAUCCGGCUCCAAGAUGUGCUAAACCAACGUCUUUCCUUUCGUGACUAGUAGUUUACUAGCAUUAGGAAACAAGAAAGAAGGAAACUUCAGUAGUUGCCUUAUCUCUUUGUUUUCCUUAUUUGGUGGAAAAACCGACAAGAUGAGAGACUAGUCAUUGUUUAGAUUGAGGAGACUUGUUUUGGGGUCUUAGUAGUUUUCUUCUCCUAUUAGGUAUCUAUCAUGUGCGCCGCAAAGGCCAUAGAGGGGAACAUUUAAUUAUCCCUUUGGCUUGGUAGUUUGAGGAAUAAUUCUUAUUCCAUCGAGUUUUCUUCCUUCGAAUUUGGAGAAGAAUGCCAUCAACUAAUAUUUCUGAAUUUUCGCAUGGAUUGUUCUCCAUUGAUGGAGAACGAACUUCUUAUUUCUAAUCAAGGGGGCAACUAAUGAUUUGGUUCGGCAAUCACUGUGAGAUCUAAACCAUUUUUAAUUGUUUCCUUCAUUUAUUGGUAUUUAUAUGUUUCCUACUUUUAAUUGUUAUAGCUCUUGUGUAUGAUUGAUUAGUGCACAAUAAUUGAUUAUUCAUAUAGGCUAUUUUGCUAAUUAGGGAUAAUUGAAUCCGUAAUUGUUCAAUUACCUCCAUCUCAGUAGCAACUGGCGUAAUUGGGUUUAUGUCAGGGAAACAUACGAUCUAAUUUAAACAAACCCUCGUAACGUGUUUAUUAGUUAGGAGUGGGCCUUUCUAAUUAUUAAUGCAAUCUAGAAAUUAAAUCCUACGGUCGUACCUAGGGUUGCUUCUGGGUUAGAGAAAUAGUUAACGGUCGUACCUUAACUAUCAAGAAAUUAAGGAAAUGUUGGUUGUUUAUCGCGUGCAUGACAACUAUAACCAAUCUAUUAAUAAAUGUUGGAAUUAUCUGUGAAUCGAUGAUCAGUGCAUGAACCAUUUUUGAAGUGUACCCUUGGCUAGAGUUCUCACAAUUAUUUCUUUUAAUUAAUUAUUUUUUGCAUUUACUUUAUUUAGUUAGCAUUUAAUCUUGAAAACCCCCAUUUGUCUUGACUCGGAAGGAAAUAAAUUUUUCUCCAGUCUCUGAGGAGACGACCCUGCUUGCCACUGUCUACUAGUUAGUGAAUUUAGUCAGAUAAUUAAUUCAGAUAUAUCGGAUUAAACAAACCCUUCGGGAACAGGGUGAAUCAAGUAACCCAUUGCAUACCUAGAGUCCCUGAUCUAGUACCUAAAAUUGAUUAUUGACUACUUUUGGUGGUAGUUAGGUUUAUUUAUUUAUUAUUAUUGCACAAGUUUGGUACCUGUCAAUAUGCACAAAGAUAGACAAAAAUUGGAUAAAAUUCGACAAAGUCAAACAAAAAAUUCCAACAAAAAUGUCUACACUUACACUUUUUCAAUAUAAUACCACUAUACUACUCCCCCCCGUCCCCCCACCUAAAUCUUAUAUUGUCCCCAAUGUAAGUAAUAAAGAAUAAAAUACAAAGCAAAAAGGGACAACGAAACUUCCCUGAUCGUCAAAGGGGGGUCUCGAGCAGCUAUGACAUAGGUGAGAUUGGUAGUGUGAAGCCAACAUGGUGGAUAUUUACUGCACCCAAACCAAAAUAGGAGAUGCACAUAGAUAGUGAAAAUGGAGAUGAUCAUGGGAGGUGGCUAGCAGCGGCAACAUGGUGUGGUAGCAAUGGUGACGAGCAGAAACGGCGCGAGCAGCGGAGUUUGAGGUCCUAAGGUUGUGGUCCUGCGAUUGGAAAAGGAAAGAAAGGAAGAAAAAGGAAAGGGAGAGAAGAAGAAAAGAGAAAUAAAGAAGAAAGAAAGAGAAGAGAGAAAGAAAGAAAGAAAAAGAAAUGAAAUGAAAUUUUUUUUUGAACCACUACGUUAGAUGUGGGCACGCCUAGCUGCCCUUGAGUCUUCUAACCAACCCAUAGAAAUUAAGAUAUUUCCCCACACCUAAAUCAUGCUUGUCCUCAAGCAUGAGAACAGCAAAUCAAGCAAUCAAAUUCAAACAAUAGCUAUUAUUCAAAUAUUCUAUUGCCAAGAUACAAUUAAAACAUAUGUCAAGUAUUAGUGGUAAUUUUCAAGAAAUAUCUCUCUAGUUAGCUUUCAAGAUCAAGGACUCUUUCAAUUUAUGACUAACUAAUUUAAGGAUAUAAAAUAUUCAACCACCAUCCAUAAGUAAAUGGUUCGACUACUAAGCAAAAUUUCAACAUUAAAAUUCAUGAAUCAACGGAUUAACAAUUCAUCCAAACACUUCCACAUUUUUCACUAUUAACACAUUUUUUUCUAAAAUAUCCCCACACUUAAUUGAUUUUUUUUUUCAGGGGGACUGCUUAGUUUUUAGCCAUUCAAGCGUUUUGACGCGAACUCCGACAUUGGCCACAUGAAAGAGCCCGGUUACUCAGUCAUUAUCGUUUAAAAACCACAUACUCAUAGCUAUCAUCGUUUUUUGACGCGAAAGUCGACACUUAUGGUGAAGACCUCCUGUUACUAAGCAAGAAUACUAGCGGAGUAUAGCCGAAUACUAUUCAUAAAUAAGCACCAAAUUUAAAUUAAAAAUCGCACAAACCCGCUUCAUUUCUUAAAUAUGGAGAACUAAAAUUAAUAGUUGAACCAAUUUGCAUAAAAAAUGCUGGACAAAUAUUUACCAUACUUAGAGAAGUUAACCAAAAGGCGCAAAAGUUACAAAAUCUCAAAUAUUCACCAAAAUAGAUACCCUUAAAUUUAACCAUGUCAUACUUAACACCUUAGAGUGUAAAAUCUUAGCAAUAAAAAAUUUUGAGACAUCUAACCAUCGUUAAUCAGGAACAAUCACACAUAUGCACAAAGAUAGGCAAAAAUUGGAUAAAAUUCGACAAAGUCAAACAAAAAAUUCCAACAAAAAUGUCUACACUUACACUUUUUCAAUAAAAUACCACUAUACUAUGUCCCCUAUAAACUUUUUGAAAUCUAAUUAAACCCAUUUCGGAGAGAUAUCCAUCUAUCAAUCAAAAUUAAAAUGGGUACAAAUGACAAGUUUGGGAGAUGUAAUAUCUCCAUUUACCAAUGAUCUUCGUCUUUCCAUAUCUCACUCCCUAAAAUCUUCCUCAUUAUUCCUCAUCUUCUUCACCAAAAUCCCAAAAUAAGGAAAAAGAGGAGGCCUGGGGGUUUUGCAGGAAUGGUGUUGGUGAAUGGGUAGUGAAGACCAUAGGUUAAUAAAUCCAUAGUUAAUAAAUAUAAUGAAGAUUUCGACUAAUGUUUUUAUUGAGAUAUAUGUUAGAACAAGGCCUUAUUCAUUAGAAGAGUUAGACAGAGAGCAAAAGGGGACAAAAGUAGGCCUGUCAACGGGUCGGGUCUAGACCCGGAUCCGGACCGGAUCCGUGAAAUUUUUGCGAGUAUGGGUAGAGAUUUAAUUCCGUUUCCCGGAUCCGGAUCCGUUUUGUCAAACAAAAAAACGGGUCGGAUACGGAAUAUAGUAUUCCGACCCGUUUUAGACCCGGAUCCGGAUAUAAAUGAAUUAAUAAUUUUAAAUAUAUAUAUUUAUCAAUAUAAUUUGAUUAGGGUGAUGUAUUUUAAUAAAGUUAAUUUGAUUUCUUUUCUUAUUUGAUUUUUUCUUUGCAUUAGUUAGAAAUUAGUUUACAAAUGUAUUUUUUUUCUCAUUUUUAUUAGAAAUUAUAAAUUUUGGUAAAUUUGUUCGGGUAGACCCGGAUCCGGAUCCGGAUCCGGGACCCGCCGAAUCCGGAUCCGGAACAUAGAAUAAAAGACCCAUCUGGUAAACGGGUCGGAUCCGGAAGACAAAAGGCAGGACAAAGGAGCAAUUUAGCUUCUUAGACAGAGACUGAAUGGAACACAUAAGGAUUGGCUGUCCGAACAUCAGUCAGAAAUGAUCAAAAGAUCUUAGUCUUCUUUUUUUUCUUUUUUCCUUUCCUUUUUACGGACAGCACGGUAGCAGCCGGUCUUUUGAAAAAAAAAAAAUUGGCAUGAGGCUACCGUGCACCUGACACUUUUAAAAAUAAAUUAUUUGCUGCCUUACAGCAUAGUAGCAGGAGGCCUUUUCUAAAAAAAAAAUUCGCCUGCAGGCUAUAAUUUUGUACCAAGACAAUGGUAGAGUUACAUUUGGCGGAUAAUUUUUUUUUUUUUUUUACCUAUCCUAAGAAAUUAGCCACUUCAGUGUGAUGAUGAGGAAACGUGUGUGUGAAAUAAUGUCUCUUGUUCAAUGUGGCCAUGCAACCAUUCCUUUGGUUUACAUUUGCCACUUGCAAUUUUUAUUAUAAAUGACAGGGCGUCAGCCUGUGCAAUAAUAAAAAUAAAACCUAACUACCACUAAAAACAAUCAAUAAUUAAUCCUAGGUAUUGGAGCAGGGACUCUAGGUGUGCAUUGGGUUACUUGAUUCACCCUGUUCCCGAAGAGUUUGCUUAAUCCGAUAUACCAGAAUUAAUUAAUUGACGAAAUUUACUAAAUAGCAAACAGUGGUAAGCAGGGUCGUCUCCUCAGGGACUGGGGAUAAUUUGUUUCUUCUAGAGUUCAGUGCAUGGGGGAUUUUUAGAGAAUAUAAAAUAAUUGAUUAACUAACUAAUAAAACAACGAAUAGAAAUUAAUAGAAAUUAAUCAAUAACCAAUACGACUCUAACCAAAGGUACAACUUUUCAGACACGGUCCAUUCACUUGAUCAUCGAUGCAAAGAUAAUCCAAUUACUCAUUACUAGAUUGGUUAUAGUUGUCACACACGCGAUGAACAACCAGCCUUUCCUUAAUUUCUCGAUAGUUAAGGUACGCCCGUUAACUAUUUCCCUAACCAAGAAAUAACCCUAGGUACGGCCAUAGGAUUUAAUUACCCGAUUGCAUUAAUAAUUAGAAAAGCCCAACCCUAACCAACAAACACGCUACGAGGGUUUGUUUAAGUUAGAUCAUACGUUUCCCUAACAUGAAACCAAUCACGCUAGUCGCCACUGGUAUUAAUCAAUUGAACAAUUACGGAUUCAAUCAAUUAAUUUGGCAUUAGAUCAUUAGGUUAAUUCGAAUAUCGGGCCCUUGACAUUCAAAUAACAUAACAGACAUAAGCAAUUAAAUCAGGAAACGUACAAAUACCAAUGAAUAAAAGAAAUAAAUAAAAUUAAUUCGAUCUCACAGAUAUUUGGAACCGCGCCUUCAAAUUGGCCUUCAACUAGAUGAGAAGCUUAGCCACGCCUCAUGAGAAAAUCUCCAAGUAAUUUUACUAAGGUCCAGGCCAUCAAAGGAACUAAGAAAGAAAAAAACUAAACUAUGCUAAAAGCUAUUGAUCAGCACCCCUAGCCUCUGUACGAUUCUCCUUUUUAAAGCCGAAAGGAAGAUGACUAAUGCUUUCCUUUAUCCCAUGGUCCCCGCACGAAUUGAGAGUCCAAUUCCAUUUCACAAGCCUUUGUACGUUUCCUUUCCAAGAGCCCAAAUGAGCUUCUUAUCUCCGUGGUCCCAACGAGAUUCCCCUAUCAAAGUACGAAAAGGUAAGGCCUCUUAAUGUUUCCUCUUUUCUCGCUUCUCAUUGCUCCUAGGACUCCUAGGAUUCAAGACACUCCUCAUCAGCAAAAGAAAUGCAGUCCGUCUCUUCCUCUUCUUGUGGGCCAGGUCGAUGGAGCCUUCUUGAAGUCUCCCACUUAUGGAGCAAGUCCCUCUUUUUUUGUAGUUUCUUGCUCUAAUCCCUGAAAUUAAGUCCAAAUACCAAAUAUAAGUAAAUAUUACUAAUUAAAACAAUAUUUGGCAAGAACAAAGAGGAAAUUAAUAAUAAAAUUACUAAUAAUUAACACCCUAUCAAUAAAACAUGAAUAUUACUCUAGCUUUUGGAACCUGAAGCAAUUAUAAUAGAACGACUUUGGCCAAGAACACUGACAAUUGUAGUUGACACUCAGAAUUUUUUUUAAAAAAAACAAACAGCAUAUGAAUUUAUAAGGAAAUAGAAUAUGAUGCUUCAAGAGUUUGAUUGAGCAUUUAUUUGGGACCGUAGGCAUCCAAUGACUGAGUCGUCCAAUUGAAGAUCAAUAUGCUUGUACAGGGAAAUCUACUUGCAAAAAUUAAUGGGAAACUUUUGACCACGGAGUCUAUUUCAUUGUCCCUUGCAUUAUUGGAAGAUACAGCAUCACAACCAUUCCUUUUUCCAUUGACCAUUUGCCACUGUGAAGUCUUGGCCUGUUGGCUUAGGAUAAGAAUCCAAGACCUCCAAUGGUUGGUUAAAAGAAAUCCAUGAAAUAUUUAUUUCUCUUGUUAUAUUAGGAAUUGGUUAGUACAAAGAUUAUUCUUAUUUGAAAAGAUAUGAAGGGGACAGUUUUAUGACUCAUUACAUAAUUGAUCAAUGACCAAUAGUGAAAAAAUAUACAAAGAAAACAAAAAAUUGCCCUUUUCAUUAAUUGAUAAUCCACAAGAAUUUAGUAGCUUAAAGUGUCUUCGGUCUGUGGUAAUAUUUGUGGUAAUAUUUGGGUAUGAAAAGAUCCUCUCACAGCUACAUUUUUAUCCAAGUUCUUAAGUGGUGAUCCCAAGUUGCUAAAGGUGUUGAAAUUGGAUGGAGCUGAAUUGGACAACAUCCCAAAGCAUGUCUUCAAACUAUUUCAUCUCAAGUAUCUUAAUCUCAAGGGAACUAGAGUUAAAAUUAUUCCAAAAUCUAUUGGGAAGCUUCAAAACCUUGAACUUAUAAAUCUGACAAGAACCAAUGUAACAGAGUUGCCUGUGGAAAUUCUAAAGCUAAGAAAACUCCGUUCUCUUUUGAUAGGCGGAUUGGGAGAUUAUUCAAAUGAGUAUGCAAUUUGGGGCUGUAAAUGUCCACUUGGAAUUGGAAAGCUUAUUUGCUUGGAAAAUCUGACUAAUAUAGAAGCAGAUAGUGAUAAAAUAGUAAGGGAGAUUGGAAACCUCAUGCAGCUGCAGCGAUUAUGGAUCACAAAGCUGAGAAGAGAAAAUGGAAAAGAGUUGCUCUCGUCCCUCUUGAGGCUGACCAACCUUCAAGAAUUGGUCAUCUCCUGUAUUGAAGAAGAUGAGACCCUUGAUCUCCAACAUUCCAUCUCUCCAAAGCUUGAAUUCCUCACAUCUCUGAGAUUGAAGGGGCGUUUAGAGAGAGUACCGCAAUGGGUGACAUCACUUCAAUCCUUGAGAACCUUACGGUUGGACAAUAGUAGGUUGAGAGAAGAUGAGAAUGUAAUAGGCUCCCUCGGACAUUUGUCCAAUCUGAUAACACUUACUCUCCGUUGUGCUUAUGAAGGGGAGACAAUAUGUUUCAAGGUUGGAGGAUUUCAAAAACUCCAGCGCUUAGAGUUUGUGCAAUUAACAAGACUGAAAUGGGUGAGAGUGGAAGAGGAAUCAAUGCCUAGUCUGAGAAAUCUGCAAUUAAUUGGUUGUAAACUGAUGCAGGAGUUGCCUACGGGCAUCCAAAACUUGACCGGACUUCAAUUUCUUGGGUUCUUUGAUAUGUCUGAUGAGCUAAUGCACAAAGUACAGAUUUGGAUAAACAAAGUGCAGAUUAUCAGAUAAUUUCUCAUAUCCCCGAAGUUUGCACUGGUUACUGGAUUGAUGGUCGGUGGGAACCCAAGUUCCUCUAAGAGAAGAGACAACUCUUGCAGUUCUCAGCGCUAUCUGAUAUGCAGUUAACUCAUCUCUUCAAAGUACGAAGUCGCUUACUAGCUUUCCCUUCUGUUUCGUUGAGUUCCCGUUUGCUUUUUCCCUUCCACUGCUUGUCAUACUUGUAUCAAAUCAUAUCAUGAAAUAUCAAUUCCUCAAAAAUGUGUAUGUGUACAUAUAUAGAUUUAGAUAUUUACCAAAAAAAGAAAAAAAUAGAUUUAGAUUUUCUUUUCAAAGUUACUUCCAUCAAACAUAGAGCAGGUCUUUAUUCCAAGUCCUAUAUAAUGCGCUGUUGGAAUAGUUUACUUAUAAUAGUUAGGGAAGAGCCAGAGAAGAGUUUUUAGAGUUUUUUCCGUUGAAUUUAAUUCAGGUUCUGAAUCGUGAGUAUUAUAAUUGGGACUGUUUAUUCAUAAAUUUGCAUGUAGUUUUUUGGUACUUAGAGUUGGAUUUAUUUAGAGUAAAGUGUUAGUUUAAAGUAAAAAUCUCUAGUAUGAUGAUGAUGGAUUGUAUUACGCCUCAGUUGUACAGCUGAGCAAAGCCCUGUGGGGUUAAGUUCCCACAUCGCUUGGGGGGGUUUGGGGGGUUUAGUAGUUAAGUGCUGCGGAGCACUUCAAAAGUUGCCGGCUUUUGAAGUGUCUUCGCAGAGUCCAUUUAUCGAAACACUCAUACAAAAAACUGUGAGUUAUGAAAGGGAAAAACCUGUCUCGGGGAGUCUGGGGGGUCUUUAUCUCUUAGCAGCGGGGCACCCUGUGGGGUUCAGUUCCCACAUCGCUUGGGGGGGUUUGGGGGGUUUAGUAGUUAAGUGCUGCGGAGCACUUCAAAAGUUCCGGCUUUUGAAGUGUCUUCGCAGAGUCCAUUUAUCGAAACACUCAUACAAAAAACUGUGAGUUAUGAAAGGGUACAGCUGAGCAAAGGAGCAAAAAGAGGGAAAGAUACCGUGAAGGACGGGUGUAUGGAAAGGGGGUCCCACACCAUGUGACUGAUGUGUAGGCUUCUGUUUAUCUCGGCCGUUGGAUUGGAUGAAAACUGGGGUCUGCGUCACAUCCAAGGGUCCAACUGUAAAGUUUUUAAAGAAACGAGUAAUUGAUUGUUUUGUUGAUGAUGGAUGCUGGUGCUCUUUCUAAUUUCUAUAGCUUUUUCUUGCCGACACAUAAUGGUAGAUCUGGUUAUUUGAUCGGCUUCGGCUGUCAAUUUUCUUCAUUUUCAUUUUAGAAAUUUUCCUCUCCAAGAUUUGAAACCAAAACUUUUUGCCAGAAAGUCACUACUAGUAGUUAGUUUUGUUCUUGUCCUAAAUGUGGGAUGGUCUCUCAAGUUUUGAUAAGUCAAAAAGAGAGUAGUAAAUAAAUAAUAAAUCGAAACACUAUAUUCAUCUCCUACAUCAAACUAUUUAAGCACAAAAAAUUAAACCUCUAUUUUUAAGUUCAAUAUAUGAUUGGGAUUGAUACACAUACAUCUCGCAUAUCUUAUAAAUUACUUCUUUGUUUUUGGGUCAAUCCACAUUUUUGUUUCUUCUGUCUUUUGCAAGUGUGGUCCAAGUAGGGCGAGUCAAGUAGUACUAAUUUUUGUACUAUAUUAGCCAAUAAUGAAAAUCAUGUAACUGAGUUUAAAGAUCAUGAAAAAUCAUAUAAUUGAGUAACUUUAACCACUAAAUUUGGGUUAAAGAACUGGGGUAAGUAAAAGGGCGGCUUGCAGGGAUGGGAUAGGCUUAGCCUCUUAUAUUGGCCAAAGAUAACCGAUAGUCUUAUAACUCAUACGGUGACACAGAUGAUCGGCAAGUAGUGAUAUAGAUAAUCUAUGAUGAUCUACAAGUAGUGACAUAGAUGAUCUACGAGUACCAAGCAAAUAUUUAAGUAUUAAUCUGUCUAACGGGGGCUCAUAGUGUACUCGUUAAGUUAUGAUAAGAUACAUUUCAGGUGUUAUAUUUUUGAUAAUAUAAUAUUAAUUUGGAAAAACAAAUAAAUAUAAGGGGUAGUAGGCAAGAUUAAAUAGAAAAAUUAUAUAAAUAUAAAAGAGAAUAAUAAUUGUUAGUAUAUAUAUAUAUAUAUAUGGUAGUUUAGGUGGAUGCUACGUGUCGUUCGAAAAACCCUAAUAUAGGACUUGGAAUAAACGAAAUAGAGCAGGUCUUUAUUAAGAGGGCAGUCUUCAUUAAGUUAAUACUGAAGUGUACGAAGCAUAAUAGAUGGAGUUAAUGAAAUUAGUGAAGCUUCGAUAACACCUUUUCAAAGUCCAAACUUGAAGGUUCAGUUGCAUUUUUUUUCCCUUCUAAAUUCUGGUUGUAUGCAUAUUUUUCACAAAUGCUUGACUGUAGAAUAUAUAUGAUUUUAUUCUUCAGCAAGUUUCUCAAUUGUGGAUUUGCAAAUGAAACAAUUUUUCAAAAAAAAUAAGGGAUAUGUCAAUAGAAAACAUGCAAAAUAAUAUCAUAAAACUGUUUAAACUUAUUUACAACUUAUUCCUUUCUAAUGAAGUAAAAUUACAGUCACCUUACUCAAAGGAAAUUAUAAUACUUUUCUCUAUCACACAAAAAGUUGCAAUCAAGAAACAUAAUAAUAAAAUAAUAAUAAGACCACCGACUUGAAAAGAGAAAUAUAGAAAACAAAACAAAACAAAACCCAAAGGGAAAAAAGAAGGAAGAAAGUGAAGGGUUUCAGGUAGACGAUCAUGUUCUUGUAUCAAAUUUUGCCAUGAUUUAUCCAUUUUUUGUUGGCAAUUUAAAUGUAGUAUGAUGUGCUUGUUAUCAUAUGCCAAAUUCGUACACUUCAAGAUUGUAAGAAUUUGAUUGUCAUUCUCAUGACAAUCUCAAGAUUGUCUUUCCAUGCCAACUUUCUCCUCUGCCGCUGGUUUUAUUUAGCCUCAUAGCUAUAAAUUUUAGAGACAAUUAAUUGGAACAACACAAAAUGGAAUUCUAAAUUACCCAAGAAUGUAUUGUUGGAUUGUCUGUGAAAGAUACCUUUUUUUUUCCCAACUUAGUAAACCAAAAUUUCAUCUAUGUCAUUCAAAGCAUAAAUGGAUAUUUAUUCUUAUUUAGAAAAUGCACGCGCGCGCUCGAAACUUGUCUGAAUUAUGAUCAACUAAGAUUAGCUAUUUUGAUUUUAUGAAAUCAAAGUAUAAUGAAUAAAUAAUAACAUUACAAUUAAAAAAAAAGCAAAUUUCAUGGAAUUAAAAGAUGAUAAACCAAAAUUGAUGGAUUGACAUUGCCCGAACUAAGGUUUGAUUGAGUAAGGUGUCCUCAUGGCUUCUACUUUUUAAUCCUCCUAACAAUUAUUGCUACAUUUUAAUUGUCAUCGAGGAUUUUUCUUAGUUAUUUUAUGAAAUGUAAGGGAUAAAAAAAUUCAUUUUAUUAAAUGUGAAGGACUAUCAAUUAGAUUAUGUGAAAUAUGAUUUGACAAUUUUUUCCCUCAAACAUGAUCACGUGCAGGGCACGUGGUGAAUUCCGAAAAAAAAUUAGUUGGAAACCUAGGUAGGGACAAAAUUUAACUGAUAUGAAUUUAUAAAAGACGUAAAAUUACUUUUUUAGAAUGAGAGACGGAAAAAAUCAUUUUACAAAAAUGUGAGUAACGAUUUCAACGAUUUUCCGUAUCAAUUAUAUUAAUUGCAUUGCCCGGAUUCGUUGUACCCAAAUGCCUAUGAGUACAAGCUUCUACCAGUAUACGAUGAAUAUAUAAAAAGAAAAAUAAUGUUGUUCUUUUCAUUUUUUUCCUAGCACAUUGUAAUGUUUCCUAUAUAUAUAAAAAGGAGUUUGUAAGUGAUUGUUGAAAAAUUUUCAUCUGUUAUCUUUAGAGAUAAUUUAGGUAGGAAAAAAAUCAAAUACAAGUGAUUAAGCCAAACGUGCAACAUUAUAAUGUAUAGUUGAGUUGGGUUUGACUAUUGUGUCCUCCCAUUUACAAUUGGCUUAUAUUCCACGUGAUUAUCAAGCAUUUAAGUGGUGUUUAAACCACUUACAAAUGUAAUUGCAAUCCUCUCCAUCUUCUUUUAUAAUUGUUGGGUAACUUUUAUAACUACAAUAAUAGAGGGUCUUAAUGCUAAAGAUGGUUGGUUCAGGAAGCACUUAAUAAUCAACAUGAUUGAUUUUGGUUCAUAUUUUCAAUCCAUUACAAGUAUAAUUGUAGUGCUCUUCAACUUGAUAAUAAUUGAGGCUUUAAAUACUGAAGAAUGUUGCUUCAAGUGCAUGUGCUCAAUUUUUUGUUGCGGGUGUUUAGAUAGGUAUGCUCAUUUACUUUUUCUCUUUCUGGAGUUUUGGUUGUUUAGCUAAUAUAAUAAAAACUGUGAGUUUUCUACUGCAAUAUUUUCUCAAUAGCUAUUGUGUGAAUAUGGAAAUUUCUUUAUGGAAUACUUGAUACAUACAUAUGAAUAUCCAUAGGAAACUUUUUAUAUCUUUUAACUAUAUUUCCAAAAUCCGAUGUUCGUGGCUGUAGGUGGUUAAACUGUGACUAAAGAUUAUCUAUUGACUACAAUUUUAUGACCAAGGUAGGACCUAAAUUUAACCUUAUAGUUUAAGUAUGUUAAUUGUUGAUUGAAUAUGGCUAUGAUUAUGUUAUAAUGGUAUAGGGACAAGGAUAAUGAUAUUUUUGUUAUUGUUAUUAUGGUAUGGUGUGAUUAUCUACUACAAUCCUAUUUCUUUUACUUAUAAAUUUUUUUCCUUUAUAAGUUUGUUGAUUUGGCCAAUUUACUUAUAAUUUCAUGCACUUCAAUUGAUUCAAUUAAACUAAUUAGCAUGCAGUUCUAAUUAAAUCAAUUAUCGCAUAGGUCAAAACUCCUAUGCUUAGCGCGGCUUUCCCCCUAGUAGUACUAAGCAUAGUUAUUGAACCCGGCCAGCCCGGCGAUCGAACCGGUGAACCGGACAUUGCACCGGAUUUCGUAUAAAAAUUUUAUUCCUUUGCUGGAACUUGAACCAUUUUAUUCCUUUGCUGGAACUUAAACCUUGGACCUUUGGUCCUUGCAGCAAGGCGCACACCACCAAGCUACUUCACCAUUUGUUGAUUAAGUAGCUUACUCAUAAUAUAUAAACGUUUUGUCAACUUUAUCUUUUUUUUUAUUUCUCUAAAACAAAUUUAUUUGGAAUCUUUUAAUAAAAAUUUAUGACCCCCAAACUCUAUAAGUUAUAAAAUGGACUUAAAAAAUGACAUAUUACAUAAUUCAUUUUAAAGACAAAUAUUAUUUUUAAUAAUUUUUUGCACUUAAAAUUCAUAAAUAAGUUAGAUAAUUACACUAAACAUAGAUAAAAUUUUAUACUUGAAAUUUGGUAUAUUACUAAAUAACUUAAUAUUGUAUUGAUUCUUAUAUGAAUUAAUUAUUUUAUAGCAAAUUAAAUUAUAUGAGCAUUUGCUAUGACAUUAUUUCUUAUAAUUUAUAUCAUAUAUCUUAUAUCAAAAAUUAUAAAAUAUAAUAUUUAAAUAUAUUUAGUGAUCCACCGGUACAACCACUCACCCACUGGUUAAACUAGUAAUCCGUUGACCCACCUCGUUCGCCGAGUUCCCUCCUGGGUUGGGUUUAAUAACUAUGGUACUAAGUUUAUGCUCUUCUUUUUUUUUUGUCUUAACGGCACAUGUCUAACCUACUCCUACUCUUAUGGAGCGGGAGAGAGGGGAAUCUACUCUAUGGGAAGGCCCAACUGAGCCAGGGGAACCUGACGGGAACUGAACCACUAUUAGAUCAGACGGGUGCUGUGACGACCCCACUUCCCCCUAAGGCGAACCAAAGGGUUUGGCGGGCCGCCUGCCCAACUCUCGCCGGGACUCACGACAAAACUCAAGCAUGAAUAUAAUCGAUGGUUCUUAAAAGCUCAAACGGAGUAUAAUAUAUCCACCAGUCCAACAUACCAAAGUACAAGUCCAAUACUUCAUCUAAAUUUUCAUAAUAAUAACUUAAGUACAAUCCUUAUGUUUGUAAUUCAAAUCAUUCUUACAAAAGUAUAAUCCCCAAAAUAUCAUGAGACUUACAUUCACUUCAACCACAAGUACAUUAUACCAUAAAGUUCACAAAUCUUUCGAAAUAACCAUUACAUUCCACAAAGAAAAUUAAUCACAACCCAGAUAAAGGAUAAUCCACGGUACUCCAAAUCCUUGUGCUUGAGUAACUACCCUUCUCGAGCCUUGCAUAGAACUAAAAUGUUUUUGGGGGUGAGCUAAAGCUCAAUGAGGUUUCAAAAGGGAAAAUCAAAUAUUUAUAAACCAGUGCGUAAUUGCUACUUUGAAAUCAUGUGUAGAAGUAGUACUUUUGCUGGUAACUUUACUAUGAGUACAGCUCAUAAAUCAUUUAAAUCACUAACGUACAUUUGGAAUGCAUGACCAUAUAAAUAUAUUUUCAUGAAUUUUAGUCAAACAAAUAGUGGCUCGUCCGACUAGAAGAGCAUUACAAGGAUUGCUUUGUCUCAGAGAUUAAUGCUCAUGAGGAGUCUUACCCGAGAAAUGUCAACUAGGAGAGCAAUAAUAGUAUUAAUAGUAAAGCAAACACAAAAGGAUACAAUACUCGGUCCACUUCCUGCCCUUAUAACUCCCAUCAGUAACUCCUUCAGUUGACUGGCCAUCACCUUAUCCCUCCAGUGGUAAUACUCGAGUAUACCAAAAUACAGUGCCCAGGGUUAUCAACCUAUCCGACCGAGUCCGCUUCUGGCUCGAAUAGGUGAUAACGAAGGGAAAAGGCCUUGUUCAGCCAAUGUGAUAAAGUACACAUGGCCUACAGCAUACGCAAAUAAUAUAUAAACAAUGAAAUAUUGAACAGUUAAGCGAUAUAGCAAUAGUUAGGUCGAAAGCGAUAAAGUACACACUCGCCUAGAAAUAAGCACUUUUCAUUCAAGUGAACAAGAUUCAUCAAGUAUUUGACCACUUAGGCAUGAAAGAAGCACUUAUCAAGUCACAUCACGUAUAUAUAUAUAUAUAUAUGCAAUUAUACAAACAGUGGUUAUAAAAGUUCGAGAAGCAAUUUUGUGCAAAACAGUUUGGAAUCCCUCACCGUAAUCUGGAGCAAAGCAAGAGCAAAAGCAGGAAAUUAAAAGAGCUUUUCGGUGUCCUCUGAACCACCUGAGAUUAAUCACCAUCACAAAUUACCUAGAUGCUCGAUUAAGGCGAAUAAAAGAAAACCUCUUAGAAUUAAAACUAGUAAAAGUGAUAAAAUAUUUCGUAUGGUUUCUUUAAAGAUACUUUUCUUUCUAGAGGUGCAACUAGAACUAAUACACUUCAUAUAAAUUUUCUUGCCGAGCAAGUCUUCUACACUUUUCAUUUAAAAUUAUUAAAAUCUAGUGUUUUUAACAAUUUUUCUCUAAAACAACUAGCCAGGAAUAAUUUCACGAAAAACUUAAAGUUUGGAUAAAGUUAGUGUAAGCAAAGAAAAGAAUCAACAAGUUAGCAAGGGUUUAAAAGUCCUGUCAUUUAAGUUUUAAUAUUAACGUGCUAUUCUCAAUCUCUAUAACUUGAUAGUAAGAUAAAAUAAUUCCACAGAGCUUGAUUUAAAAGUACUCAAAUUCAACAGACCAAAACGGGUUUCACGAUUUCAAAUCAUUUGCACAUUGUAUUCCCGGUUGCCAAAAUAGCAAAAUCACAAUUCAAACAUCAAUUUCACUAGGGCUUCAUCAAUCAUUAGCCCUAGGUCUCAACAGAUUCAAUUCCAAAUAAAAUUCAACAAAGGAAGUUCAAGGUAUCAAAGCAAUUCCAGAUCACAACCCAUGGGUCUUCCACGUACAUUUCAGCCAACCACUUGAACAAAUUCACCAAAACUUAAACUCUUGCAAAAAUUACUCAAAUGGCCAAGAGCUUCAUCAAUCAUUAGCUCUUGGCAUCAAACAAAUAUUUCUUGCAACAAAUCAACUAGAAAUUUAACUCAAACAUGAAAGAAAAUCACGGUUAGCUUACUCACAAAUAACUCUAGAAUUUCAGAUUCCUUUUCUUGUUUCGAUAGUCAAGAAAAAUCCAGCAAUUGCCAAUUCAAGACACCCAUUAAAUCUCCAUCUUUUACUUGCUAGAACCCCUAAACAUAUAGCUUAUAAUCUGACCGACCUUACUAAAACAAGUAAUACACAAAACCAGAGAAUAAUCUCACCAAAAGUCCCAAUUAAUUCGGCCAGCAAUCUUGAACAAAAUCCAGCAAUAUAACAGUUUGAUUAUAGUGCUUUGCCCCUAAUUUCCUUCAAUUUUUACUUCAACUCAGCGUGCAAAAAGUGAUUAACAAGCUACAAGUAAAUCUUAAGCAUCCAAUAUGAAAAUCUCAGCUACACAUUCGAAGAAAAACUAACCAAAUGUUCAACCCUUUCUCUCGGCCGCAAAUUUCAGAUUCCUUUUCUUUUCCCCUUUUUUUUUCUAUCCACGACUCACAUCAGCUUCAUGCAUGAUUAAAAUAAUUAGCUAUCUAUCAUUUUUGAUCCAAACCAAGUGCGGACAACAUCAACAACUUAUCAUUCAACCAGAAAUUUAUUCAAUCCCACUCGGUUAGCUUGCAUGCAAGCAGAUUCAGUUUUCCUUCAAUUUUCUGAUUUACUCACAUCCAAAUAUUCUCAUGCAAGGCUUAAUCAUCCAGUGUUUGGUUAGCUAAACACACCACCAAGUGAGAAUCAAGCACUUUCCAGCGAAUUUUAUACCAAAAUAUCCAUACAACUCCCAAAAUAACUCCAUCGGCUAAGCUGGAAAAUUGGUUCAGCAGUCAACCAACUUCCAAUAAAAAUUUCCAGCCAUACAACUUAAUUUCCGGCCAUACAAUUCACAUGCAACACCAAAUAAUUAACUAUCUAUCAGUUUUUAACUAGCUAAACCCACAAUUAAACUCAGAUCAUCACAAAUUCACAGAUUAAAGCUGAAAUUUCCAGAUCAAGCUCUCGACAAUUCCAAUUCCUUCACAACCAGAUUUCUUGUAACUUAAUUUUGUCAUCCAACCGCACAAACCCCACAUGCAUGCAUACAAAUAGCUUCAUCAACCCAUACUCAACUAGUUUAAGUCUAGAAAUUACCUCAGCUUGGAGCUCAACACACACGACUAGUGGCUGAAAAUCUUCCUCUCCUCUCGGCCUUGCUCACGCACGCGAGAAUGGUUGGUCUGAGUUCAGUAGUUGCAGCUGUGGUGAUUGUGAUUGAAUCGAUCACGGCUGAUUGAGGGUGAGGAAUGAAAUAGCAGCUCUCGGUGGUGAUGGAGGAAAUAAUAAAGCUCACACGGUUAUCUCCUGCUCUCACGGACUCUCAGACAGCUCAAGGUCUGCAACUCGCACAGUUCUCUCUCUGGUUUUCUCUCGUCAAUGGUACCAAGGCAGGGAGUAAAGUGAAAUGGAAUGAUGUUGUGAAAUGUUGGAGUUGCUGAAAUGGAAAGCUAAGCCGCGUAUGAGGAAGGUGGAAUGUAUUUAUUGAGGUGUUGUGAGUGGAGUUGAGUCGGCAAUAGCAAUGGAAGGUGCUGGUUUGAGAAGUGGAAAAUGGUAGUUGUUGUAGUGGAGCUGAGUCGAUUUUAUAAUGGCGGAAAUGCUGAAAUGAAACAUGGAGCCGACAUGUUGAAAUUGUAUGCAAUUGAAGACUGUUCCAGAAGACUCCAUGACUGCAUGGUGGAUUCGAAAUGAAGGAAGGCUAUUUCGGUCUUUUAGCAACUUAUUCGGACUUCCAUUUAAGCUCUCAUUAAUAAACUAACUUCAAAAUUUCACCCUAAAUGAAAUUUGAUAGCUUACUAAUAUACUAGUCCCGAAAGAAAAUUAAACUAUCGAGAUUCACGCCCUAAGCAUAAUUAUAAAAAGUUUUGACUCAAAACGACUUCAUCUUAAUUCUAGUUUCCCCUUAACACCUAACGCUAAUAACACUUAAAAUUAGCUGUUGAAAUUCAAGGAAUUAAUAUUAAAGCAAUAAGAUACUCUACAUCAUGAAAUAUUAAUUUAACUUAGCAAGAUUCAAGUAACUUAAUAUUUUCACAAUUAACUUAUUUAUAUAUAAAAAAUUAUGGUCACAUACUUAUUUAAGAACCAACAAUAAUAAAAUUUAUUAAAAGUCAAAGAUGCAAAUGCGACAAGUAUAUAUAACAAUCAAAAGCACCAUAAAUAAUUCAACUCGAAUAAAUUUGGUCAUUAAAAUAAUAAUUGUUUAAAGAACCAAUUGUUUAGACUCAUUUUUGAGAAAUUCAUGCAAUUUGGGAAAACUUGACACUACAAGAAAAAAGGUCAUUAGUGACAACAUUUCUUUGUGACGACAAAAAGUUGUCACAAAUGAGGUUGUUUAGUCACGACUUUGAAGGUUGUCACAAUUGACUCAAAGCAACUGAGUUUUCAGUGACAACCUUUAAUUGUCGUCACAAAACUAUUUCGCGCCAUAGGCCUUGGAUGGCGCGAGAUUUGCGAUAGUGACGACUUGAUAAAUGUUGUCAGUAAUUCUACCGCUUUUUUGGACAACUUUUCAUUGUUGUCACUGUUUAUGUUUACUGACGACAAAUUUUUGUCAGUAAAACUAUAGCGUAGUUAGUGACAACAUAAGUAUUAUCACUAACUUGAACAUCUCUAAUGCAUUUAUUUAAUUGUGAGCCUCAAUAUUAAUUUAAUUUUUAUAAAAUUUGAUGAUUUAUUAACUAUGACUUUAUUUAAUUGUGAGCCUCAAUAUUAAUUUAAUUUUUUUUAAAAUUUGAUGAUUUAUUAAACUAGUCAUAGUUACUUAAAUAUUAAUUUAAUUUUUUAAAAAUUUGAUGAUUUAUUAAACUAGUCAUAGUUACUCAAUAGGUUUUUAACUGAAAAAAAUUAAUGAAAGUUUCUAGUUAGAACAACUAUAUAAACUAUUACAACUUGAGAAAGAAUAUAUUUACUAGUUCUUUGAAUUUAGCAAAAAUUUUUCAUCCAUUAUAAUUUUUUGAUAAAUAUGUUAAGAAGUAGUGAUUAGAAAUACAUUAGUAAAUUUAAUUAAAAUUUGAAGCUAAAAAUUCACUUGUAAUAUUAAUAUCGGAUCAACUGUUUGAUGUCAUAAAAAAUUAACUAUUUGAAGCAGAUCCAAGGUGCAUUUACCGCUUGUAAUAUUUCAACAUAAUUUUCUCAUCCAUUAUGAAUAUUUUUACAAAAAUAUUUAAAAGUAGCAAGUAAUAUUAUAUUAGUAAAAUAUUAAUUCAACUAAAAUGUUGGAAACUAAAAAACGUUGAUUGAAAUUUUGGUACUGAACAAGGGGGAAAUCUAAGGAAUUGAAAUUUCAUUCAAAGUCAAUAUUUUGAGGAGAGGCGCGGAAACACUUAGAACACUUAGAACGAAAUAGCCAACACUACCAGUAUCCUAAAGCCAACACUACCAGUAUCACCGAACAAAACACACACUAUCAGUAUCCUAAAGCCAACAGCUAACACUUAGAACCAACCGUAGCACACUACUCCUCGCCAUCUCCUCGCCGAAACAUCUCCUCGCCCGUCUCCUCGCCAUCUCCUAAUUGAUCUUGGCUCGGAAAUGAUCAAAUAGAAGACCACAUUUAGCAGCAACUCUCUACCAAAAAAGGUAUGCCGAUUCUCUUUUUCCUCCCUAAUUUUCCCCCAAAUGUUUUGCCCUAAUUUUUUUUUUUGCCAAAAAUUUCAGUCCAGUUUUUUGGGUUUCAUUUGAUUUAUGGAUGGAGUCAUCUCCUCCUUUUGGAUUCUACUUACUUGUGGGUUUUACCCUUGUUAAUUUUUUGUCAACAUUUUAUUUCGGGUAUGUAUGGGUUCAUAACAGCCUCCUAACAUACAGGCUGUGGCUACACAGAUUUAGCCCUUUCCUGAUCCCUUGAAUUCCUCAACAAUUGUGGCUACAUAGGUUGUGGCUAAUUGAGAUUGUAGACGAGUUUUUGUUUUGCAUUGCACACAGUAGAUUGAUAUAUAGCUAUCAUGCUAAUUGAGCUUGUAGACGAGGCUGUGUUUUGCAUUUUAAUUCCUAUUCGCAAGAGUAUAUUGAAACAAUAAAAGUUCUUGAUAUAUAGCUAUCAUGCUCUGUCCAUGGCAUGGGGCCUGAAGAAAAUUGAUAGAGAUGCUUUGAAUGUAUUUUGGACUUUCCUUCUUGUCCAGAUGGUAAAUAACAAUUUAUGGAUACUCGCACCAAGAAAAGGAAAAAGAAAGAAAAAAUGUCUUAUGUCUAGGACCCAUAAUAACUCAAUCACAGCAAAUGCUGGAUGAAGACUGUCCUUAUUGAGGAAAUAUUUCACUCGUUUUCUUCUUAUUUUUAUCUUGGAUUUGUGUAUCAAUUUGCUUUCAAAGCAAAUCCAGAUUAAAAAAAAUGGGAUGUUGACUUGUGGAAAAUGUGAACCAAUUAAUGUUGAAUAUUGAUUUGAGUCCCAUUUCGGAUGGUUUUGUUCCUAUCCAUUUAUUAUCAUCACUUUUUUUUUGGAAUAAAGCAAAGUGGUCAUAUUGUUGUGCUCACAUUAUAGUAUUAUACUUAACAAAUUUGAAAAUUAGAUAACCUUCAUUGAAGAUUUUAUAAAGUGGCUUUAUGGAAAAUUCUUAACAUUUAUAACUGCUAAAUGUUGUGGUGUCGUGAAGGCACCAAGUUACCACGUUACAACUGGUAAGUUUACUUAUGUAAGAUGUAAAUUCUGUUAAGAUAGUAGAUGAAUUUUCGAUAUCUUACCAUUAGUAUGGCGAGAUUUAGUACUUACAUACAUUUCAAAGGGUGCACAAUACAACUCUCACUGAAAAUUAAUCAAAACUGCUAAUCAUCUGACUGCAAAUUUUGGACCCAAAAGUAAAAUUGUAGACAACCUCAAACACGAGAGAAGAACAGAUAAGCAUGAAAACAUUAAGCGGGAACAAAAGAAAAAGAAAAAAAGAACUAGACAAACUACUAUCAAACUUUUGACUGGGGUAAAAACUUUAAUGGUGCCUUUUCCCUAAUUGGUCUUUCCAGGGCCUUAGAUAACAAUGGCCACUGAUUGCGCUAGUUUGUUAAUGUGAUCUUAGUGCUGUCCCCAAAAACCUCAACUGAGAUCUCACAAGGAGCUAAACUUGCCUAAUUAAAGUAAGGGUUAUUUAUUCAUUAGAUACUCAUUAAGAAAUAAUUCAAGUGUUAAAUUUUAGAAAAUUAAAGUUAAACAGAAAAAUGCAUAAAUAUAAAAGAAAAUAAUAAUUGCGAAUAUGUAUAUUCAGAUGAUAAAUAACAUGUGAUUAAAAUAUUUUAACUAGUGUUGAAUGAGAUAAGAACACCUUUUAAAAUAUUCUACCUAGACUUAAUUAAGAACUAAUAACUUUAGAGGGAUACCCUUUUUAAAAUUUUUAUACUGCUCCAGGUAAUGAUAGCCAUUGAUUGAACUAGUUGUUUGUUACUGUGAUCUCAGUGCCGUCCCAGGAAAUCUCCACUGAGAUCUAAUAAUUAAAUUUCUCCCCUGUCCUUUUCGUUUUGUUGUCUUCUUUAUGAACCAAAAGUUUGUUUCCUUUUUGACAAGAACGUCCAGGUGUAUUUGUGACAUGUUUGACAGUUAGUUUCCUUUUUGUAUUUAUGAACCAAAUGUGUAGUUGUGACAUGUUUGAAUUUACUAAUAGCUGUGUUGUAUUUUGUUUAAUUUUUAUUAUUGUUGUAUGGGAAGAUUAAUUUCCUGUAUUGAGCUUAAUUUCCUAUAUUUAUUAUAUGUGUUGUCUUUGUAGUAUCAUGGUUGCGUAUUUUUUUGUGUUAGGAUCAACAGUGCUUGUGAAAAAACAUGGAUAGGAGUUGGAUGACAAUUAAAGAUUACUUGCAUCCUAGAUAUUUGGCAGGAGUGAAAGAAUUCGUUGAAUUUGCUUAUUUAGGCAAGGAUCCCACAUAUAAGCUCCCUUGUCCAUGUAAAGGGUGCAACAACUUUGAGGAUCAAACUAUGGAGGUCAUGAAAAGUCAUUUGUGUGGGGGAAUUGUUGAGAGCUAUACUAGGUGGGUAUAUCAUGGUGAAAGGUUUGAAGAUUCUGAUGAGGAUGAAAAUGAUAACAUAGUUUUAGAUGAAGAAAACAGUGAGUCAGAUGAUAUUCAAGAAAUGUUAAAUGACGUUGGUACUGCAAACUUUGGCGAGAAUUGGAGAAAUUCGGGGGAACAUAAUAGGGAUAUACCAAAUAAGCAAGAGGGGGAAGCAAGUAAGUUUCUUAGAUUAUUAUCUGAAGCUGAAAAAAGUCUCUACCCGGGUUGUGAUAAGUACUCAAAACUUUCCUUUGUUGUCCAUAUCCUUCAUUUGAAAACUAUGAAUUGGUGGACUUGCAAAUCCAUCGAUAUGCUGCUGAAAUUCCUCAUUCAAGUCUUCCCCAUGGCAUCAAUUCCUAGCUCAUACUAUGAUGCAAAAAAUUUAAUUCGUGAGCUAGGACUCAAGUGUGAAAAAAUACAUGCAUGUGAAAAUGAUUGUGCACUUUAUUGGAAAGAAAAUGAAAGCCUCGAUCACUGCCCAAAUGAAAAAUGUAAAGCACCUCGUUAUAAAUCCCCGGGUUCUAAAAUUCCUAGAAAAGUGCUUCGCUAUUUCCCCUUAAAAUCAAGGUUACAAAGACUAUUCAUAAACAAGGAGAUAGCUCAAGAUAUGAGGUGGCAUAAAGAGAGACGCGUUCCCAAGGAAAACACAAUGACACACCCUGCUGACUCAAUAGCUUGGAAGGAGUUUGAUAACAGUCACCCAUCUUUUGCCGAAGAUCCUCGUAAUGUUAGGUUGGGGCUUUCAACUGAUGGUUUCAAUCCCUAUGGAAACAUGAAUAAUGCAUAUAGUAUAUGGCCUGUAAUCCUCGUUCCUUACAAUCUACCACCUUGGAAAUGCUUAAAGGACCCUUUUUUCCUGUUAUCAAUGAUUAUUCCAGGUCCUAAGUGCAUAGGAAAUUAUAUGGAUAUAUUUUUUAGGCCUCUAAUUGAUGAGUCGAAAGAGUUUUUUGACACUGGCUUUGAGACUUAUGAUGCAGCUAUGGGAGAAAAAUUUAUGUUACGGGCUGCUCUAUUGUGGACUAUAAGUGAUUUUCCAGCAUAUGCCUAUUUGUCAGGGUGGAGUACAAAAGGUUAUAAGGCCUGUCCUAUUUGUUUAGAUGAUACAACCAGUGUAUAUCUGAGAAAUGGAUUAAAAUGUUGCUAUAUGGGGCACCAGCGAUUUUUGCCAGCGGACCAUAAAUGACGCAGAGAAAGAAAGUCAUUUGAUGGCAAGAGUGAUCUUAGACAGCCUGUUAGAACUUUAUCCGGUGAAGAAAUCUUUGAACAACUUCAAGAGUUUGAUCAAAUGGUGUUUGGUAAGGCACCUGAAUUGCUUAAAGAGAAGAAAAGAAAACGCAUGCAAAAUCAGUCAAAUUGGUUGAAGAAAAGCAUUUUUUUUGAGCUUCCAUAUUGGAGUACUAACAAAAUUAGACACAACUUGGACAUUAUGCAUAUCGUGAAGAAUGUGUGUAAAAUUUUGUUGGCUACAGUGAUGGGUACGGGACACAAAAAUAGGGACACUUGGCAAGCUAGAGAGGAUUUGAAGGAAAUGAGAUUGAGGGGAGAAUUGCAUCUUCAAACUCAAGGGGAUUCAAAGGUGAUGCCCGCUGCAUGCUACACUCUUUCACGCAGCGAAAAACAAAAACUAUGCCAGUUUUUGAGCUCACUCAAGUUCCCCGAUGGAUUUGUCUCAAACAUAUCUCAUUGUGUUAAGCCAAAAGAGUGCCAAAUUUCAGGGAUGAAGAGUCAUGAUUAUCAUGUAUUCUUGCAACGUCUACUUCCAUUAGCAAUUAGAGGCAUGCUGCCAAAGGAUGUUUCCCAAACUUUGGUAGAACUAAGCAAUUUUUUUAGGAAAAUUUGUUCCAGGACUCUUUAUGUAGAUGAGUUAGAUGCACAGGAGAAAAACAUUGUUGUAAUACUCUGCAAACUUGAAAAAAUUUUCCCUCCAAAUUUCUUCGAUGUAAUGGUCCAUUUACCUGCUGAAGCAAAACUUGUUGGCCCAGCACAAUACCGGUGGAUGUUCCCAUUUGAGAGGUAGUGUAAAGGCUAUUUUAAGACUGAAUCUUCUUUUGCUUCAUAGGGUCGUACUGCUGUGACAUCUUAUGGCUGCAUUUUUGUGACACAGAAAAAUGGGUCAAUACAAAGGUUAUGUGCACAACAGAGCUCGACCGGAAGGAUGCAUUGUUGAGCGUUACUUGGAUGAUGAAUGUCUAACAUUCAUUUCUAGGUACUUGCACAAUGUUCCUACAAUAUUUAAUGAACCAGAAAGAAACACCGAACGCUUUGAGGCUGCUGGAAAGUUGUCUAUUUUUUCUGGAAUGGCUCGGCCUUUUGGGGCAGCAACAUUUUGUUGCUUAAGUGAAUCAGAGUUGAUGAAAAUACAUUUAUUCAUCUUGAAAAAUUGUGAAGAAAUUGAUGAUUACAUAAGGUAAUAAAUUUAUUACCUUAUGUAUAUGAGAAGUGUUAUAUGUUUAGUCAAUUAUAGCACUAACCGUAGCACAUAGAUAACUAAUAAUACUAUUGUAUAGGAUGCACAAAGAAUUGCUUCAGCAGCAAAAUGUGUCGAAUGUAGAGUAGAUGCACGAUUUAGAGUUUCCAAAGUGGUUUGAAGAUCGUGUAAGUAUGGAACAAACUACUAGAAAACUUGUGGUAUUUAUAUAGUUGUUAAUUUGUUCAGUCAUUCUAAUUUCUUAUUUGGGUUAUAUAGGUCACUUACAUGCAUACACAAGGCAGAUGCUGUGAUGAAUUGUUGUCUUUGGCCAAAGGACUGGAUUUUAGAGUGAUCAAAUAUCCUGGUUGUAAUGUCAAUGGGUUUAGAUUUCAUACCAAAACACGUGAGGUAGACAGAAAAACCCAGAAUAGUGGCAUUAUGGUGAAGGGUGAGCAUGCUGAUGUAGAAAUAAACUUCUAUGGUGCUAUUACAGAUAUCUUAGAGGUUGAAUACUCCUUCAGUCAAAGCCGAGUAGUUCUGUUCAAGUGUGAUUGGUGGGACUUGAAAAAUAGCUCAUGUCUUAAAAUAGACAAACAGAGUAAUCUAAGCAGCGUCAAUUUGUCAAAAAAAUGGUAUAUAGACCAGCCAUUUGUAUUCGCUUCCCAAGCCGAACAGGUCUUUUACGUAAAGGAUAUGAGGCUUGGAGGUGAUUGGCAUGUUGUCGAGUCAGUCUGUCCACGUUCAUCAUAUGCUAUUCUUGAAAAGGAUGAGGAUAAAUCAUGUGAAGAAGAAGAGGUUUACCAAGAAGAUUAUCUUGAAGACCUAAUUGGGGUUCAAGAGAAUGUCGAUUUGUCUAACUUGAAAAGAGGUGAUAUGCUAGCUGAUGAAGCUGUAGAAACUGGCAUCCUAAAUUCUGAUUCUUCAGCUAAACAUGCCAGGAAAAUGGAUGAUUUUUUUGUUGAUGAUGAUGAGAUUCAGCAAUUGAGCUCGAGUGAAGAUGAAAGUGGAAAAUUUGUAGAAAGUGAUGACUAUGAGUCUGACUAAACGAUGUUGUAAAUAACAUUUUCAGUUUCUAUUUAUAGUUACCAUGUAACUUUUGGUUCAAAUCAAGUGUAUUUCUUAUCUUGAAUUACUUUUAGUCACUCUUAUCUUCUAAUUUGCAAUAUCUAUUGUAAAAUACAAGGCAUAUUAAUUAAGUUCCUCCUUCGGGUGAGCAUGCUGGUAAUUGUACCUUGUCCUGGCUUUUUAGACAUAUUUAGUCUAAAUGCAUGGCUGAUUGAUAUCUUUUUAUCAUGUAGUUACAUGGAUGGGCCAGGGAAGAAAGGAAAAUGUCCUAUGCGACCAACUCGAGGUGCUGAAAUACCUAAUGCAGCAGAAGCUAGAGAAAAAAUAGGUGAACAGGUGAUGAAAAUUGACUUUGCUAUGUACUUGUACCUUCACUUCUUUAUACCAUUGGUUUUAAACAAUUAAGCAUCUGCCCUGCUGUGUAUUUCUUACUUCACUAUAGCAAGUUGGUGGCCCAAAAGGUAGUCUGGCUAGCAAUGCCAAUAAUGGUGCUGAAUUCAGCCUAUCUAGAAAGUCAGUUCAAAUUCGCCUAUUUGAUGAGACUGAGGUUAGUUCUUACUUUUGGUAGUUGGCAAUAUUUGAAAAAUACAUUUCUAAUGUGUAGUUGGCUGGAUUUUAGGAUCCUACUACCUCAAAUGGUCGCAAAACUACUACAGGAUCAUCAAGACAUGAGUUGACAACUCCUACAUCUAUUGAGCAGCAAAAUACUACUCCUACUUCAGUACAAGUCGGAUCUAACCAGUCCAUUGGUUGUGGAAGUGACCGGAAUAAUGAGAGCGAUGAUGUUCAACAGAAUGAUACCGGUAUAUGAGAUUUACUUGUAAUUUAUAUUACACAGCUAAUUUCAUUUCAGAUUUUUCCACUCACAUUCAUAACUGUGUACUAUGUUUUGGGUAGGUGGUAUCAAUGUAACUAGGAAAAGAGGAUAUACUCGCAAUAUUGCACUGUCCAAGGAAAAAAGGCCGGCAAAAAGGUAAAAGUCCAGGUCUCUGAAGUUAGUGGAAGAGUAAUUGGAGAAGGGGCACAACAGUACAUCUCAGAGGCAAGUUGUGUCAUUCGUAAAUAUGGCAAAUGGAAAGCAGAAAAAUGGUCCAAACUCCAAGAAUCUGAUAGAGAAGGAAUGCUAAAACUUGUUAAUGUAAGUGAAAUUGUUUUGAAGGCUUGUUUUUCUUCUUGACUUGGUAACAACUAGUUCUGCAACAGGUCAUUUAUGCACUUUUUCUGACAUUUACAAUAAAUUUUUCACUCAUAUUUCAGAAUAGUUUUGCUUAUGAUGAAGGAGAACAUGUUAAGCCAGCACUUCUUAAGCAGUUAAAUACACAGUACAGAAGUCGACGAUACAAUUUUCACAAGAUUUUCAAGAAAUUUAGUACAAAAGAGGAAGCACUUGCAAAUCGUCCACAAUAUGUUGAAGAAUCUGAUUGGAUUUACCUUUGUGACUAUUUCUGUAGUCUAAAUUUUAUGGUAUAGAGGCCGACUUUUGAUCAUUUACUAUUGUUCUUUCUCAUGUUUUUUGUGUGUUAAAUUUUGAUCAUGGCUGAACUUGAUAAGUGCAGAAGAUAAGUGAGAGGAACAAGAUCAAUAGAUCAAAGCAAAAAACUGCUCAUACAGCUGGAACAAAAUCCUUUCUUCGUCAUAAAGCUGACCGGGUAUUUGAUUAUCUUGAAGACAUGUCUUUUGGAUUGUUUAGGCAGGUUAUUUAACUUCUUAUUGUAACAGGAAGCAUAAGAAGGGAGGGAAGUUGGACCAAUAGAACUUUAUGACAUCACCCAUUACAGCAAGAAGAAGAAUGCAAUGGUUGACGAAACAUCUGCUAUGAACUUAGUAAGAAAAAUGGAAUUGCUACUCUAAUAUUGUUGUACAACUCUUAUGAAAGUCUAACUUCAGAAUUUACCUUUGUGACAGAGCAUGAUGAGGGAGAAAAAGUUGGAAUCUAAAUCCAGUGGUGCAAAUAGGACUGAAGAAGACAUUUCCAUUGAAGUAACUGGACGUGUAACCGGAUACGUACAUGGCCGUGGUCCCUCCAAAGCUGGAAUAAUUGCCCAAAAGCUUGCAGAGAUAGAUGAUUUCAAGAAAAGAGCAGAACAAGCGGAGAAGCGCUCAGUUGAGCUGGAAAUAACAGUCCAAUCUCAACAACAACUUAUGGAGAAGCUUGUGAACCAGCAAAGUGAAAUGCAGAACCAACAAAGUGAAAUGCAAGAUCUCCUUAAAUCUUUGAAAGCACAGCUGCAAGCCAACAAGUAAGAUGAUGAAGGCACAUCUGAACGAACUGAUUGGUAAGCAAUUUUCAACUAUAUAUACUUGUCUAAAUAGAUAUAAUGGCUGCUAUGGUUUAAAGUUAACAUAAGUUAUUGCAAAUUAGUUAUUGGUAGGUGACAAUAUUAACUUGUAAUAUCAAGACUGAGGAGGGACAUUUAAGAAUUACUUCUGUCAACUCAAGGUUCUAAUCAGCUGGUGUUUUGAUCCUGGGAGUACAUUUGUGGCUUUAUCAUAGCUUUGUUAUCAUGAAACAAUAACAUUACACAAAAAAAAGCUUCAAUAGUGUUUCUGUUUCAUGAUAUUAAUUUGAGGAGCACAGAAGGGCUAAAGAAUAGAAAAGAUUAUUAUUGUCAUUUGGCCAAUGAGUUAGCUAAAAACUUAAAAUAUUGUCAUGUUUAAGACGUUUUAUGGUCAAGAUACAGAAACGCUUGCAUCUUGCAGGUUUCAAAGGUUCAUGGCAAUUCUGGACCUGUCUCUCCCUUUCAUUCUUGUGGGUGCCACUUAUUAUUCUCAGUGUUUUGAACACAAACUAGUGUAGUGUCUAUGUCACUACUGGUCGUUGUGGACAGAGUAGGAAGAUUUGAUAUCUUCUUACUAAUUUAGGUUAGGAAUGAACAGCAAAAACAAAAUACUGAUUUAGCUUUUUGAAUACUUGCUAAACAUUAAUGUCAUGCAAUUUCUAGUUAAGCCUAAUGAUUUGCUAUGUGGUGUCCUGAUUCUAGUUUUUCUGUUUUGCAAUGACAUUUAGGCUUUAAAGCUCAGACGGAAACUUUGGCGCUCCUAAUUACCGCCUUUACUCUGGAAAAUCCUUUCUUUCCUGGUUGAAUUUUAUCAUGGCACUGUCUUCUUCAUUCCCUUUGUCUCUGCUGACCAAAGCUUCUGAUUUCUUGUUAGAAAUAUGGUGCAGAGAAUUUGCUGUUCUGUCUCAGACCCUUCGUUUCUGAAAUUAGCUCCUACUUAGUUGCCAAAAACUGUUGUUCUGAUGAUAUGUAAAGUUGCAGAUGGAAAUGGUAAAGUAAUUCAAGUAAAGAACUAAUUACUAGUAAAUUAGCAAACAUGAACCUGAAGAGGACCUAAUUGUAGCGUUGACAGAAUAACCAUCUUCAAGAAGCCUUUUGAUCAACCAUAAUGCCAAAAAGUCCAGUUCCACCUGUUACACAUACUCUCCCCUUCUCCAUCUUCUCCCCUUCCAUUAAUUUGUGUCCGUCUAGCCUUUAAUACCAGUAUAGUACUGUUUGGUCUCUCUGCAGUGGAUUGUCAGUUUCAACUUGAAGAAUUAAUGUAUUUCUAGUAUAGUAUUUCACUUGAAGAAUACCAGUAUAGUACAUGCGAAAUGUAUUUCCUUCAAGUAGUUAAAGGGAAUCUUCCUUGUUAGUUAGACUGUUGUGCUGAGUCAACAAUCAAGUAGUUAUUUUGUUAUUCUUGAGCUGUAUAAGAAUGCAGAAAUCUGGAUUGGGCAAUAUGGAAAAAUCAUUUUGAAUAAUAUCUCUCUUUCUUCUUCCUCAAGUCUAGUUUCUCUCCCCCUUAUCACUCUAUUUCUGCUGCAAUUGCUGCAUUCAUUACGGUAGUAUCAGAUUAGUGAAUGCUUGUUACUUUUGUUGUUUAUUUAGCAAUUAGAGACUGUUUUGCUUUUGUCACCUGAUAACUUUACUAAUAACUUUACUACUUUAUUGCAGAUAUAUUGCUCAUUUUGGAGGUUUCGAAGAAGAUUAGCAGUACGGCUUACAUGUCGGCUCAAAAACUGUGGUUAUAGUACUGUCUUAAGUUUAGAAAAUGUUUCAGAAGCGCAGGAAAUGUUUUGGGACUUGGAAUAUGUUUUUUAGUGCAGCCUUGACUUAUAUGAGUAGUAUUUGUUCUACUCAAACUUAUGAAACUAUUUGUACUAUGAUGUUGCACUUAUUUAUGACAUUUGAAUAUUUAAUAUAUUAUUUUGGCAUAUUCUAUUGUAAUGGGUGCCUACAUUUGUUAUUUAUUAAACAUUGCUGAUAUUUUCAUUUUUUAGAUAUUAUUGUAGUAGGAAAGUCAUGUGUAAGGUGUUGUAAAUGAGUAGUAUUUUUCUAGGCAGGAUGUCUUUAUUGACAAUUGUUAUUGUCACUCAAUCAAAACUGUCUAUUGAUAAGGGAUUGUUGCCACAGUUGAUCAGGGGUUUAUUGACAACAAAGUUGUCACUAAUUCCCCUAUGCCCUCACUAUCGUCCCUUCAUGCAUCACUUGCAUCACUGACAAGAGAAGGUGUUGUCACUAGAUUUAUAGCUUUUACUGAUGACAUAUGUUGUCAUAAAAAGUUUCAUUCACUGACAACUCUAAGGUCGUCACUGUAUACUUUCAUCUUUUACUGACGACAUAGAUUGUCAUAAAAAAGGUUCUAUUUACUGACGACUUUAAAGUCGUCACUGUAUACUUUUACCGACGGAGAUUCAGUGACGACCUUGCGACAACAGAAAUGUUGUCAAUAAUGGUCAUCAGUGACGACUUUUUGAUUAUUUGUGACGAAAAGUAGUUAUCACUGAUGACCAAAAUUCUUGUAGUGUGAGUAAUUCACAUGCAAAAAUACUUUUAAAUGACCAAUUUAAGAAUAUUUUGCAAUAAUUAAAAUAUGAGUCCUCACAGGUGCACCACACACCCAUAUGAAUUUAGAGCAAAUCACAUAUUGAGGCACAUUGAUGGGAGGCAAGGUUUGAAUCCUUAACCUCCCACCCCACAAUUAAUGUGGUGGCCAACAUUAUGCUCUUCUUGUUCACUCCAACAUUUUGUUCAACAUCAGCGCUUACUUUAGGUUUGGUCAUCACUGAUUUGGGGACGAAAUCCUACCACUGAAUGUCCCACAUGAGUAGUUUCACUUCACAAGGACAUUCAAUUGACUUUGAGCACCUUUCUCUUUCGCAAUUGCCAAGCACCCCAAGACAUUGCGCAUCUUGGCCAAUAAGACUCCGUUAGUGCUAUGAUUUUUGAGGAAACCUCGUGAGAAUGUUCAACUGUCUAAUCUUCCGUUGAUUGGUUCUUGGAGCAUUUUAGAAAUUUCAGAAGCCGAUAAAGCAUCAAAAGGAAAAUUAUUCUUUGAAAAUUAUAGUAAAUUUAUCUAUAUUUUUAGUUCCAUAAUUUUCAAAUAUGUUCGUACUAUACAUGUACAAAUUUAUAUGAGUAAUUUUGCCGAACACGCCGAAUUUUUAAUCGUACCUUUGAAAAUAAAUCUUGUAUAAUAUGCAUACAUAUACCUCGUAUUAUACCCAUAGCAUAUUUUACAAUCUAUGCCCUUAAUGCUAUAAAUAAAAUACGUAGGAAGUUAAAUGAACAAAUUGACUACAUAUCAUCAUUUGAGGAUCUAGCUUUCAAAAAUCACAUUGUCCAUAGGUUAGGACAUGCCCAAGGCUGGUCUAGUGCACACUGCACAGUGCCUUGUAAACAUAUUUUAACAUGCCCUAAGGGUUUAGCACUAAUUGGACAAGCUUACCAAGUCGGAUAUUAAACAAAUUAACUAGAUUUUUAAUUAGCGAAGCUCUACCAUCUUUAAUUAUGUCCUUGGGAUGAAUAUUUAAGGGUUGGAAGUUGCAUUAAUCCAAAAUGCACAGAAGUUAGCUCAAAAUACCACCUGGCCCAACAAAAAUUAAUGAGCAAGAAAUUCAAAAAAAAGAAAAAGAAAAAAGAGAGACCCUUAAAAAUGAGAGAUUUAUGGCUAAAUUCAUCCUCAUCCAUAGAUUGUGCCAAAAAAAUUAAUAAAUCUCUUGAUUGACUCCAUUCCUUUACUAGUUUCUGAAUUGUAGUGUCUAAACAAACUGUGUCUAUUACUUAUAUUAAUUGUAUUGUUUGGAUUAAAUGCCUAUGAAUACAGGCUUCUAUCAGUAUAUGAUGAAAUAUAAACAAAAUGUUGUUCUUUUCAUUUGGUUUUUUCUCAUGGUAUCGGUGCAAAUGAAGAGAUUCUAGCACAUUGUUUAACGUUUAGUACUAAGUUUAUGCUCUUUUUUUUUUUUGGUUUACUUCAACAUUUUGUUCGUCAGCGCUUACUUCAGGUUUUGUCAUCACUGAUUCAGGGAAGAAAUCCUACCGCUGAAUGUCCAACGAGUAGUUUCACUUCAAAAGGACAUUCAAUCGACUUUGGCCACCUUUCUCUUUCGCAAUUGCCAAGCACCCUAAUACAUUGCGCAUCUUGGCCAAUAAGAAUCCAUUAGUGCUAUGAUUUUUUGAGAAACCUCGUGAGAAUGUUCAACUAUCUAAUCUUCCGUUGAUUGGUUCUUGGAGCAUUUUAGAAAUUUCAGAAGCCAAUAGAGCAUCAAAAGGAAAUUGCAGCGACAGGGCUGCCUGCCAGUUUGAAUACUUUUUCCUCUAUAAAUUAACCGUGCACGAAGCUGCAGCCUAUAGGCACAUUUCUGCAUCUGUUCAGCUCAUCAAUUUACGGUUUCCAUCCAAUUUUGCAGCAGUAGUCUACCAUCCCAGAGUUGGAAAUGGAUGUGAAAAGCAAGAUUUUGAUCAUUGGGGGCACUGGAAACAUCGGGAAAUAUGUAGUGGAAGCAAGCACAAAAGCUGGGCACCCAACGUUUGCACUGGUCCGAGAAAGCACAAUUUCAGAUCCUAAGAAGGCAGCCAUCAUCGAGAGUUUCAAGAGUUUGGGAGUCAUAUUUCUUCUUGUGUGCUGUUAUUUCUUUCUUCGUUGUCUAAAUACUGUUUCAAUUUUUUUUCAAAAAAUUAUAGAAACUAACGUGUACGCAUGGACUGAACAGGGAGACCUACACAAUCAUCAGCAGUUGGUAAAUGCAAUCAAACAAGUUGACAUAGUGAUCUCUGCAGUCGGGGGAGAUUUGGUAGCUCAUCAAGUUAAGAUUAUUGAAGCAAUUAAAGAAGCUGGAAACAUCAAAGUAAGCACAAUACAGUGUUACAAAUUCUUUCUUGAUUUUUAUUUUUUGCGUUUGUCCCUUUGUGAGUUGUGACUUCCAUAUUCCUAAAGAAGGAGCAGUCUUUGGUUUCAGAGAUUUUUACCUUCUGAAUUUGGGGGUGAUGUGGAUCGUGUGCAUGCCGUUGAGCCUGCUGCUAGCUUAUGCAAGACCAAGGUUGAGAUCCGCAGAGCUAUUGAGGCAGAAGGGAUACCUUACACUUAUUUAGUAUCUAAUGGAUUUGCUGAUUACUUGAAUUAUAUCCUCAACAACUUUGGAGACACUGGUUCUGCAAGUCCUCCCAGAGACAAAAUUGUCAUUCUUGGUGACAGAAAUCCAAAAGGGAUCCGAAAGAAGCUUGUCUGCUGCAUUUCUUGAUUGGUUUAGUAUCAUGUUUUAGAGUUCAUCGUUCUCAAUUUUUUCUUCAAUUUUAUGUUUCGUUGUAGUUGUUUACACCAAGGAAGAAGACAUUGCUGCAUACACCAUCAAAGCAGCAGAUGACCUAAGGACUCUGAACAAGAGUCUGUACAUUUCACCACCUGCCAACACUUUGUCCUACAACGAAAUAGUAUCAUUGUGGGAAAAGAAAAUUGGCAAGACCCUCGAAAAGACCUACGUUCCAGGGGACGAAGUUCUUAAGAAAAUUCAAGGUCAUCUAACAAAAAGAAGAAAGUGCACAAGUUGCUAAUUUUAAUACAAUAGCAUCUACUAUUAUUAACACCUAUUCCGCGUUCUAAUCAAAUUGGUUUCUUUUCUGUAUCUUUCGCAGAGGCUUCAAUGCCAUUAAAAUUGCUCCUGUCUUUGGCAUACACAGUUUUCGUGAAGGGAGAACUAACCAAAUUUGAGAUCAAGGCUUCUUUUGGCAUGGAGGCAACAGAGCUCUAUCCUGAUGUUAAAUACACCACACUUGAUGAGUACCUCAGCCAGUUUGCAUCAAAUUAGCUUAGAUGCUUUCAGAUUAGCUCUACAAGAUUUUUGCAGCAGUUUCUUGUGUACUACUAGAUUUUUUUCUUCUUCCAGAUGAGGAUUGUCAUGAAUGUGAUCGAAAUAAAAUCUGCCCUUAAUUUGUAUCCCGUCUUUUGUGUACUUGGGUUGAAUUCUUCCAACUUGAAAUCAUCAUCUGGUUGCCUCUGAGUAUCCUUUCUUGAUACUAACCACCUGCCUUAUGAUUUGGAUCCCUUUUUGGCCGAGGCUAAAUUCCGGACAAUGCAAGGCAAAUUAUAUACUCCUCGUCUCCUUGGUCCCGAAAUUGCAGAAAAUAUUGAGAUACACAGGCAUAGUUGUGCUCAUCUGAUUGAGCUCUUUUGAGACCUGAGUUUUCAGGAAGUGGACCAUUUCUCAUCUAAACAGUUGCCUAAGGCCAAAUUAUCACAAGAAGCACACAGAAAACAAAUUUGUAGCUAUUUUGAACUCUAUUAAUUUCCGAAUUUGAGUCAAAAGUCUUGUGCUUGAUCUUGAUGUUUCUCCACAGUCGCGAUUUGAUUUGGAUUUCUAUUUUUUUUAUAUAAAUUUUGAGAUUGUAUGUUAUAAAAAAAUAUCAACAUGAAACAUGCUUUGAGGUUGUAACCUAUUUGUUUAGGAAUUAAGAUUUCUUCACCAAAACAAAAAAGAAUAUGUCAUUACUAAGCUAUUAAAGUCAUGAUUAGGUUUCCCAUCACCUAAAAAAUGAUAUAUAAAAAAUAAUUUGAGAGCAUGAGAGCAUGUGUAUUCGUUUUGUGCUGAUAAAAAAAAAAACUAAAAAUGACCCCCCCAAAAAAACAAUACCAAAAAACCCCACCAAAAAAAAAACUAAAUAUAAUAGCAAAAGGUGAUAUUCAUACAUUCCCAGUGGUUAAGCACUUUUUAAGGUACACGGUUUGUAGCUACAUAUCCUCAUGCUUAUUCUUGUCAUCUACCUCUGUUUGAGUAAAUACUGCAGCAACAGGGUCAAUACAGAAAUUAACAUGCUCCCCAGGCUUGAUCUCAAGUCACUCAUCUAGUUCCUUGUUGGCAGAAAAACCAUGCUCCUUUGGUAUACUAAACAGCAAAAAUAGCAAAGAUGUUUAGUAUGUGAGGAUCUCAAAAUUGCAUUAAUUUCUGAAAAUUAAAAUCAAAAUAUUAUUUAAAUGUUGAAAUUAGUAAAUAAUAUGUAUUUAUAUUUAAUAAUGUGUAUUUAUAUUAUUAAUGAUGUUUUCACUUAUAUAAAUGUUAUAUUUUAAUUUACAUGAAUUAUUAAAAAUUUAUUUGACGGUUCGCGUUCGGCUAAGCAUUAGGGUGAAUUUUUGCUCACUAACGCGCAAUGUAGCCCUAAGUUGAAAUGUAGGGUAUCUAGAGGUUAUAAAAAUGUACAACUAAGUUGAGGAAAUGUUAAGUGGGGAAUUCCUACCAGUAGAUAAAAUUCUCGCGCGUAAACGCGAUUCAAUUCAAAAUUUCCUCACCCUUAAUGGCAGGCCCAAAAGUCAACAAACCUAUACCUUUAGCUUACCUUCAUUUUCAACCCAUCUUAUCCCAGCUUUCACGUCCCUAUCUUCCCUCCAAAUUCUGAUCUUCGGGUGCAAGAAAGAAACAGGAGCCGCUGCUCUUCCACAGCUUCCACCGAUUCUCCAUCUUCACUAACCUUCAACUCCUACCUUCACCUUCCUUUUCCAGCAUCAACCUUUACUCUUUGCUGCUGCCUCGAUCGAUCAAGAGGAAGGAGAAGAUCGCUGUUCCUGCUGCUACUCUCGCUGCUCCUGCCGCUGCUACUACUGCUGGGUUGUUCGGACCUGGGUGAAGGAGAAAAACCAGCUUCCUUUUUCUUCCUUCCACCAACCACAGAACCACCCCAAGCUCACCAAAAACCCCAGAACCCCAGCCCUCUUCAUCUUCGGUCGCUGUUGUGCUGCUGCGGUGACAGGUCAGACAAGCGGAAAAACAGAGUGCAAGGGUCACUACAAGAAAAUUGGUCAUCAGUGACAACUUUUCUCUGUGACGAAAAAAAGUUGUCACAAAAGUGGAUCCUUUAUUGACGACUUUCUAACUCGUCACAAACCUCUAAUGGGAGCCAACUCAUUUGUGACGACUUUUUCGUCACUAGUAAAUUCCCGCCAAGAUUUAGCAAGAGCGCGGCAGUGUUUAGAACACACAAUAGUGACGACAUUAAGAACAUCAUCACUAUUGCUUGGCCUAUUUACGGACGAGUGUUUGUUGUCGUCACUGAUCACUAAAAAAAAAAGUUAUUAGUGACAACAUUUUGUAGUGAUGACAAUAAGUUGUCACAAAAGGAGUUUCUUUAGUCGCGACACCUAAAGUUGUCACAAUUGCAUCAAAGCAACUAAAUGUUUAGUGACGACCCGUUAUUUUCGUCACAAACUACACUGCAAGAAAUAUGGUCAUUAGUGACAACAUUUUUUAGUGACGACAAAAGUCGUCACAAAACGUGGUUGUUUAGUGACGACAAGGAGAGUUGUCAUAAUUGCUCAAAGCAACUAAGUAUUCAGUGACGACCUUGAAAAAGUUGUAACUAAAAUGAUCUAUAUAGUGACAACUUCUCAUAUCGUCACUGUCACUCUACCGAUUCGGAUUUAGUGAUAAGAAUUAAUCGUCACUGUUUAAAGUACUUAUUUCUAAGUCACUUUCAUUAAUUCUACUGUGCCACCCUAACUUUUAUAAUUUAGCCCCAAAUGUUGUAAAAAAUUCCAUUGAUUCCAUUAUGAUACCUUAACUUUUACAAUUUAGCCCCAUAUGUAGUACACCGAUUUCUUUAAUUCUAUUAUUACUCCCUAACUUUUGUAAUUUAGCCCCAUAUGUAAUUCACCAAUUUCAUUAAUUCUAGUAUGACACUCUAACUUUUACAAUUUAACCCCAUAUAUAAUACACCAAUUUUAUUAUUUCUAUUAUGGCACCCUAGCUUUUACAAUUUAGCCCCUAUUUUUUUAUUAGGAAAUUGCGAAUGGUAUCUUGAUAAACUAUGCAUAAAUAUUUUAUAAUUUUCUCAAACUUAAGUAAUAAUUUGUUAUAAACUCUAAAGAUAUAUCUUUCAUUACAAUAGUUAUAAGGCAGGCAGGUCUUUUAUCAAUGGAAUAAGAAAUUUAUGCCAGAUUUAUCCUUUGUACUACAUGCCAAGUAGUAUUAGCAAAGGAAUAACAAAGUACUACAAAGUAAUUAACAAAAUAGCCUUCAGGGAGUGUAGUUUAUGGGCAAAUGAGCAUUAUCUAUUCAAAGUACCAACUUUUUAUGGGCAUUUUACUCUCAAACAUAUAAUUUAUGAUAAAUUUAUAAAUGUUUGCAAGUAAAAUUCAAAAAGUGUUACACUGAUUUCUUACAAAACGAAAACUGGCAGGUUAUCUUUUCAACAUAAAUUAAAUUUUUUUAAAAAAAGAAAUGGCCCAUAAAGUACCAACUCUUUGUGGGUUUCCUCCAUUACAUGAACAAAUAUUCUGCUCUUUAUGGGCAUUUCACUCUGAAUCAUUUAAUUUAUGUUAAAUACAUAAAUGUUUGUAAGUAAAAUUCAAAAAGUGUUGCACUAAUAUUUUUAUGAAAGGGAAACUGGUAGGUUUUGUAUUUAACAUAAAUUAAAUAUGUGAAAGCAAAAAAAAAAGAAAUUACCCAUAAAUCUAUGUCUUGCAAAUCUAUACUAGUAAAAUAGUUUCAAACAAAAUUAAACAUUAAAAUAAACUGUAAUUUAUACACAUUAAAAUAUCUGUAAUUUAUACACAUUUUGCAACUACUACUUUGUGUUUUCUCUGUAAUGAAUUUUUUAACUAUUGAGAACUUAAGUUUUGUCUUGCAAAUCUAUACUAGUACAAUAGUUUUAAACAAAAUUAAACAUUAAAAUAAAUGUUUGAAAAAGAACAAAAGUACAUUUAUCACUUGCAGUAAUGUAACAAAAUUUUCUCAACCAUUAUCAAUAUUUUCACAAAAGUAUUAAAAACUAGCAAUUGACAAUAUUAAAAACUAGCAAUUUAAUUAGUGACGACUUUUCUUGUCAUUAUAAUCUUGAAUAAAUUAGUGAUAACAUUAUGUCAUCACUAAAUUUUCUUUGAUUUUGACUUAACAAUAAUGUCUUAUUAAUAGCAUUUGAUUAUUUUUAAUGAAAGUCUGUUAUAACCAUAGAAUUUGACUUUCGUUAUUUUCAAUUAAUGAUGUACUUUAGUGCUGCAAUUAUAAAAAAUUGCAGGGCUAAAAUAUUUGCAAAUUAUAAAAGUAUAUUUUCCCUUAUAUGUAAUUAACAAAUUUUGCCACCUAUAUUGAUGAAAAUUUGUGUUUUUGUACUAAAAAAUAAAGAAUAAUACUAUAGCAAUAAAAUCUAUGCUUCAAACCAAAUUAAAAAUAAAAAAAGCAUGAUGAUUGGUCUCAAAUGUUGGGAAAAUGAUUAUUUUUAUUGAAACUAUGUUAUAACCAUAUAAUUUGAGUUUAAUUAUUUUCAAUUACAUGAUGUUCUUUAGUGCUGCAAUUGUAAGAAAUUAGUAUAAAAUAUUAGCAAAUUAUAAAAGUACAUUUUCAAUUAUAUGAAAUUAACAAAUUUUGCCACCUAUGUUGAUGAAAAUUUUUAUUUUUUGCUAAAAAAUAAAGAAUAAUACUAUAGCAUUAAAAUCUAUGGUUCAAACCAUAUUACAAAUCCAAAAAAAAACAUGAUUUUUGGUAUCAAAUGGAGGGAAAAUGAGUGAAGUCAAAAUUUUGAUCAAAUCAUAGUGAAAGUGCCGCGCAACAAAAACAAUAUCCAAAGCAAAGCAAAGACCAAAGCAGCGGAACACAUUCUGAAAACAAAAGCAACGGAACACUUGGUCUGAGUUAAAGCAACGGAACACUUGAGCAACACAAACUUUUACCGAGCUGAAACAAACAAGCUUCUGCACUGAGCACAAAACAGAGCUUCCGCACGGCACCUGAUACUUUCACCCACACAAGAAAAAUGGGGGGGGGUCUGAUGACAGAGAGAGCAAGAAAAAUGGGGGAAAAAGGCUUCGGCUGAGAAGAGGAAAAAGAAAGACAGGAGGAAAUAGAGGGAGCUGAAGGGAACAACGGGCGAGAGGAAAAAGAACAAUUAGAGAGGGGAGCUUGGUCUGAGGCUAGAGGAAAAACAAAGGGAAAGAAAGAAACAAAAAAGAAAAAGGGGGAAGAAAGCUUCGGGAGGUUGAGGAAAACAGAGAGAGUGGCGGCGGACGGCUGCUAAGGGUAGGAAACAAAAAGGAGGAAAAAGGAAAGCUACGGCGAGCUGAAAAGAAAGAAAAACAAAAAAUCAGAGAGGGAAGGUUUCAGAGGAGAGAGGAGUAAGCUAAGAGGAGAGGGCGGCGGAUAGAGCUAAGAAAAAACGGACAAAAGAGAGAAAGGGCUAGAGGAGAGAACAGGAAAGCGCAAAAAUGAAACAUAGGAAAAGAAACCCAAAGAAAGCAAGGGAGAGCUAGGGGCUGAAAGGAAGAAACAGAGAUAGAGGGAGCUUCGGCUGAGGUUUGGGGAAGCAGAAAAACAGAGGAAAAAGCCGAAAAACAGAGGAUAAGGAAAGGGAGGCGGCGGUAAGGAGUGAGAGAGGGAGGAAGUUGUCGGUUGGAGCAGAAACGAAAGCGAAGGAAAAACUAGAGGGAGAAAGACCAGGCGGAGCCGCCACAUUCCGUCGGAAUCCGCCACUGUCAUCCACGAACCUCCACCGUGAGAGAUCACUGUAAGUUAAUCUUCUCCUUUACAUUUCAGUUUUUUCAUUCGAAUACAAACUCUGAAAGUUUUCGGAGCAUGUCUGCCGAUGAACAUGCCAUGUUUGCUGUUAGUUUUUUGUUUCAAAUUUCAUGUCAAUUGUUCAUGGCUUUUUCUGGAUGUUGAUUGGACUGAAAUUUUGGGUUUGCUGAAAAUUUUGGGGCCAAUUAUAGCUUCAAUUGAGUAAGGAAGUAGUGAAGUUUCCAAUGCCCCUAACCUGUUCGAUGAAAUGCCCAACUGAGUUUUCUAAUUGAAAGAUAACUGGUCUGCAUUUUUACGUGUGAAAAAAUAAAUGAUGAACAUUCGGUUGGUUUUUUGUUUGUCCGAAUAACCAAAUUUUGGAUUGAAUGCCUGUGUUUCCGAUGGAUUUUUGGGGUUGAUUAACUUCACGUGUCCAGUUUUUGUUGUUUGCUUGGAGUGUGGUUCAGCUGAGCUACACGACUGCUAAUAAAAUAAAAUGGGUGGAGAGUUUGUUGGGUGAUUCUGUUUUGGUGACAUGUCCGGACUUUGAUAUGCUUUCUCGAAAGUGGUUGAGUUAGAAGUGGAUGUUCAUAUCAUGUAGCUGCAUUUUAUUUCUUCCUCUCCCUGUCCCAAGUUCACGCAUUUGAGUCUGGUUGAUGACUGUGAAAAUUUGAUUUGAAUAUCAUAUAUGUCAUUGAGAUUGGCUAGAUUUCUGCCAUUCGGGUUUGUUUCACUACCUGCUAUUCGGGUUUGUCUUUUGAUCUGAUGCUAUUCGGAAAAUGAUGCUUGGGGUUACAUGUUGUUGAUCCAAAGUUACAUAAAUCAAGCAUGUUUGGUUUUUUGAACUGUUUGGCAUGAAUAUAUCUAAGCUAAAAUGAAAGAAGCAAAAAGCUGCUGCAUUCUUAUUGCUGUUUUCCUCUCUGCUCACUGAGUUUUUGCACAUAAAUUGCUGUUUCAUCUUAUGUUGAAAGAAAAAAUGGAAUGUUUGGUGUUGAGUUUGCAUUUUUGGGUCCAAGAAAACAUAAACUAGCUUGAAUGUUGACCAAGUUAGCUAGAUUUCCCUAAAGAUCCAGAAUAGUGUAUGGUGUUUAUGUAUGCAAAUACAUGUUGGGAACAAAAAUGCAUGUCUAUGUAUAAUAAGCGAGUUAUGUUUGAAAUAAAAUAUGCUAAACAACAAAUGUUAGCGUGUGAGAGAGAGAGAGAGGAGAGACAAGUGUGCCUGAGAGAGAGAGAGAGAGAGAGAGAGAGAGUAUAUGUGAGAGGGAGAGAGUGUGUGUGUCAAAGAGAGAGAGAAAGUGUGCGUGAGAGAGACUAUAUGUGUGUGCGUGUGUGUGAAAGAGAAAGAGGCUGUGUGCAUGUAUGAAAGUGUGCUAGUAUGUGAAAUAAUAUUUUGGGUAAAAUACAAGGAACCUCCUUGUGGUUUCGCGAAAAGACACCUCACCCCCUUAUCGUUUAGAAACCUGCACAUAAACACCAUAAACUUCAUAACUAAAGUGGAAAUUACCUAUUCAACCGGCUUAGUUACCGGCAGAAGGUCAAAUACCCUGGCAGGAUGUCCAAUUCCUUCACAAAAAAGAAAAAAGUUACUGUCCAGGGAAACUAAUUUGUACAACGUCGACCAAAGAGAUAUCUGUGAUUCGACUUCACUCUCCCACCCGAUAUAAGCAUACAUAAGAGAGAGAAGGCAAAAGCGAAGAGAUCCGCAACACUCCUCCUUUCUCCAGUCUUGCAAUGGUAUCAGCAGCAUGCGACACCACCAAAGCAAAUUUGCUAUGAAUCAGAUUCUGCCAUACAGAUUGACAAGAAACGAGCUUUGUCAGGAAAAUUGGUGCUGAUAAUCACGUGAAUGCAGAUGUCAAAAAGAAAUGUUUGCCAAGCUUGAGAAGAUUGAAAAUAAGAGAUUGCAGCUGUUACGGACUUCGAAUCUGAGGAGAAGAAAGUGCAGUGAGGCUUGAGAAAGUGUAGUGAGGCUUGUUAAAACAGAGACCCAAUGCUUCAGGUCUGUAGGAACAACAUUGAUGAAAGAGGGAAUAUGGUAUCGCAAGAUUUUCCAUUCAAAUUUUUUAUUCUGAGUUUGAAUAUCCUUCAGAACACUCUGCAACAUGAGACGACCUUUAGUAGUGAAGACAUACCUUUCAUUGUUCAGAAAUGGGAGAGUUGAGUUCUAGCUUUACCAUGUCUGUCAUUGACUGGAUCCUCUGGUGAAAAAUUGCUAAAAUACAUAACCAGUUCAUUUUCCAUAUAUGGCAAGCAAAUUUAGUCAAUGAAAUUCCAUCUGGAAGUUGUAAAUUUUUAAAAACCAGAAGACACACGGAUCAAACACUUUAUCCAAAACCUGUGCCCACUUAAAAAGCAAAAAGACAAAAAAAAAAGGAAUUAGCAGAAGUUGAAAUACUGGUCCUGCAGAUUUAUUAACUAUUUGUAUUUGUAGCCCUGGGUUAGUUCUUCACUACAUUAAUUUCGAAGAGAUCGGUUAAUUUUGGCUCAGAUCUGCUUUAGCCUUUGGAAUUUGUUUGAACCUUGCCUGAGUGUAGCAGUCAAUGAAAUCCGAUGUUGUAAUUUCGAUUCUUUAAUCUGUAGUGGAUUACUCUCCAUUCAUGGGGAUCGAGAAGGGUGCUGUUCUGCAGGAAGCGAGGGUCUUUAAUGAUCUUCAAUUGGAUCCUAGGAGAUGUUCACAGGGUCCAAUUCCUUCCACUUUAGUAAUGAAGUUUAAGGUGUUUAUGUGCAGGUUUCUAAACGAUAGGGGAGUAAGGUGUCUUUUCGCGAAACCACAAGGGGGUUUCUUGUAUUUUACUCUAAUAUUUUUGAUGAAUAAUGUUACCCUUAGUUGCUCUUUCAAGCUGAACUGUUAACUUCAGUAUAGAAGUUGUCUGAACAAAACCAAACUGGCUUGGUUAUGUGAAUUGGCAGUUCACUUGGGCAGUUUUCAACUAUAGCAAAAAGCGCCAUAUUAAUUAGCUCAUUCUCUAGUUUGAUUAGAUUGGAAAUGGAAAAUACUCUAUUACUUGAUAUAAUAUGGGAUUGUGAGUGAUUAUAGAAUAAAAUCUAAAUUGCGUUAAACAUUUAACCUUGUUAUAUAUGUGAUAUUGCCUUACGACCUCUGUUUCUUUUGUUUCAUGUAUAUUGAUUUAAUUUUCUGAAGAUGGGAUCUCAUUGGAAACAAAUAUUGAAUGAUCUAGUAUGACGUCUCUCAUGUGUAAAGAAAGUGUAAACCUCUAGAGUUAUAAUAUUAGUUCUACAAUGAUUUUCUAUUCGAACUGUAGGAGCAGCAAUUAUAGGUAGAUAUCUCCAAAAAGAAGGGACACCCAUUUUAAUAUAUUUUUAUAAGAGGCUUAAAGUGCAAAUGGUUUUGUACUUGACUCCGGAUUUGUGUAUUAUCAAUUCUGUACAAGUUGCCGCAUUUAUUUAUUUAUUUUUUUUCACUUUAUGGUCUGAGAUGGUUCCUCACUAGACUGGCCAAAAGGUGGGGGGUCUUCAAGGGGAAGAGAUAAGACAGCCGAGGAGGUGAGGUGAAGGGAGAGGAAAGAGUACCUAGCAAACCUUGAGGGAAUCCAGUCUAACUUAAUCCUUUUGUAGUUGGUUGAAUACAUUUUGAUAUUACGCAUUCAAGUGAACCUUUUUAACUCUUAUACCACAAGUAGGAAACUUUCUUACGUGAUUUACACAUUAUUGGAACACUAGCUGUAUGCGAAACUUUUGUGUUUGGACGCAUACUCAUUGAUUGUUGUAUCGUAUUGUUAUAUAAAAGAUCAGAAAUUUUUUGGAAGCAGAUCUGGCCGUAUUUAGAAUGGUAAGGAAAACUGAGGAUGACCUUUGAGAGGUGAGAGAAGUAAUGAUUAAAAUAAGCUAAAAAAGAAAAAAAGGAAAUAGGUUAUGCUUCGUUCAUCAGGUUCCUUGUGCAUAAGAUUUGUACAUGUGCUAAAUGGUUAUCUUCUGGAAUAUGUGCUUGUAACAGUACAUAUUUCUGAUUUACCGGUUAUUCUUGUGGAGAUCCUCUUAGGUUAGUUUAACUAGACAUAUUACCAACAAUAUGGUAAUAGCAUUUUUUGGGCCUGAUGUUAUGCAUCAUUGUUAUCUGAACUUAUUCUUUGGGAAAUAUCUAGGUAUCAUGUAUAUAGUGCUGUUAGUUUAUCAAUAGAGAGGUAAAAAUCUGAUUGUUCAUCUGCAAUAGUAUAUUAUUUCCAAGUACAAGCGACAGACCAUGCAUGGAUAGCAAUCUUCUUUUUGCCUAUGUAGUGACUUGAAAGAAAUGAAUAUAAUGCAAAGGGGGCGUUUGUGAACUUUGAUUGGUUUCACCAGUUUAGAUGGUCUUCACUUUCACAUUGUGAGGCAAAUAGCUCAUUCUCUUUGCACAGUUUAAUCCUACAGAGGCAUCGUUUCCUUCAUGAUUUAUGAAGCAUAAACUCCUAAAAUCAAAGAGGGCUAGUACCUCCUGUAUUCACACCUCGUACAAUAAGUUGCUUUCUGUGUUUUAAUAUAUAAACAACCAAAAGCAUAAAGAUUAAACAAUAAUUACUGUGGGAGUCCAAUUUAAUUGUUCAAUAAGUUGAGCUAUUUAAAGAAGAAGAAAGAAAAUUAAAAAAAAAACUGUUUUAGAGAGCUCUUUAGUUGAGCUUAUGCAGUGUUGUAUUUGUAUAGAUUGGACUGUGAUUUCUAACUUCUUGCUGGUGUUGUAAUAUGUGGGCCCAAAUUAUAUGAGGUUCUUAAUGAAUUGUAAUUUUUGUCUUAAUAAUCUAAGUCUCAUUACUUGUUCUUUAUUAUUGUACUCCUCCCCUUACCUACUUCUUUUACUCUUUUAUGACAGAUAAAUGCUAUUUAUACUAGCUUUUGGAAGAUAUCUAUGGUUAUGGUUGAAGAAUGUUGAAGACAAAAUUGCCUUUUGCUCAUGGAGUGGUUCAUUUAGAUGUUCUUCAAUUUCUUAAACUGUGAUUGCUUUUGUAAAUGUACCUUAUGUACAAGUGAUAUUUUGAACAAAUGUUAUUUUUGUAGGCAUUAGUUGGAUAAUGUACACUUGAAUUUGGCAUUUGAGAAUGCUAUAUUAUUACCAUGUAAUCUAAUGCAAAUACUUUUGGUUAUCAAUCGUUCAUGUUUAUUUGUAUGGUUUGUUUAAAAUCAAUGAUUUAGCAAUGAUUACAAGCCAAAUUAUGACUAUUAAGCUAUUGAGAAAUUAUCUAAUGACAAAAAAAAGUUGUCACAAAAUAGAAAAUAAAAACUCCUUGUGACAACAGAGACUGUCACUAAAUCUAAGCUACAUUUGUGACGACAAUUGUUGUCAGUAAAAUAGUUAUAUACAAUGGCUUUCGGUGCUUUUUAGUGACGACCUUAAGUAGAGUAUUUUUGAUUAAAGGUCAAUUCGUCAAUAAAACACUUCCGGAUUGUCGUCACUAAUGACAACUAUUUAGUGACGACCUGAAAUGUCGUCACUAAAUAGUUGUCAUUAGUGACGACAAUCCGGAAGUGUUUUAUUGACGACUUGAUCUUUUGUCAAAAAUGCUCUACUUAAAGUCGUCACUAAGGAGAACUAUUUAGUGACGACAUUUUAGGUCGUCACUGUUUACUUUUACCGACGGGGAUUUAGUGACAACUUUGUGACGAUCAAAAAGUCGUCAAUAAAAGGUAUUUGUGACAAUAUUUGUAUGUUCUGUGAUGACUUUGUGUUGUCACUGAUGAACAAUUUUCUUGUAGUGGGUGCCGACUGACUUCUUUGAUAGGAGCAAACUUGGGGAACUAGGCACUUCAUUUAGCUAGUAAACAACCACCUGAAGGUAACCCAAAAACUUCCGCCUAGCACUUAGCAGGAUUUUAGAUUUUUGCAGCUUUUGGUUCUUGAAAUUUUAGCUUGCGUUGGUGAAACUUGUUGGGUUGCUGAUCCUCUAAGCUAAUGAUUGAUGAAGCUAGAGGUGUUUUAUGUGUUUAUAUGUGUGUUUUGUGGUGGUUAAAUGUUGGAAAAUUUUUAAGAAUGAAAAUGGGGUGCUGGCCGGAUGAGGAAGCAAUUUUCCAGCUUUGUUACCGGUUGUUGUUUUGCAAUUUUUGCUUAGGUAAUGAACUGGAUUGCUUGUUAGGAGGAUAGACUGAUUAGUUGUGAUUGUUAUGGACUUAAAGUAUGAGUUAUAAGUUGAGAAUGGUUGAGCAAAAAGAGGAGCAAAUUUCUGCUCUGCUAUAGCCGCACAAACAGGCUUGAUUUUCUUCUUUUUUUUACCCAAUUUUUUUGAGCUGGAUUUUGUGAAGUUAUUGAGCUAUUUAAAUCAUGUAUAUGUUCACUUAUAUGUGUAGAGUAGUUUUGGUGAAAAUUCAGCUUUGGUACAAUGGGAAAUUUCAUUGAAAAAUCAAAGAGAAAAAAGCCCCUUGAGCUGUCCAAAAAAAAAAAAAAAAUUCUGGAAAUUUCCAGAUUUUUGGGCGAAUUUUGGGGUUUGGUUUUGACAAGUUUUUGAACCAUUUGAGCUGUAAACAUGUUAACCUAUAUGUGAAGUAUUGUUUGGGUAAAAAUGUAGCUUUUGAGUAAUUGAAAAAUUUUGGACAAAUUGAAGAGAAAAUGGUCUGCUUGUACCAAAUGCACUUGGAAAUUUUUCCAGCUUUGCAUGAGACAUGUUGAAUGAUUUUCACGUUAACAUGAACCCAAUUUGACUUGUGUUUAGUUAAGGGGUGUGUAUAGCUCAAUUUGGGACAAAAAUCUAGUAGAGUUUACGUCCAAAAAGUGGACCAAAAUUUUAUUCUUCACGAGGCUACCCAAAACAGAAAUUUUGUUUGAAAUUAGAAAUGAUUUUGACGUUUGGAUUUCGUUUUGGUUAAAUGUGGACUAAAUUGUCCCGAAAAUGUUUUCUAGCAUUAACCUUUGUUACUAGGUCCACUUCGAGUCAAUAACCUUGAAUUUUAUUAGACCAAAUGCCCUAUUUCGAGAAAUAUGCCAAAUUUGGAAAUUUCCUUGAAAACUCAAGUUUUUGCCUUCAUGAAAAUCCUUGAACCAAGUUGGUCAAUGGAAUUUGGCAAACUUAAGGAGUUUCUAUUUUAUAGAAAUUCCAACGACUAGUUUUACUUGGUUUAUAUGAUUUCCUCUUAAAGGAAUUUUCCAAGAUAUUUUUGGGGAAAAUUAGAGGGGAAAAUUCCUCUAAAUGGUUAAAUGUGAUUUUUCUCAACUUGUGACACCAAAGUGGUGUUAAUUGCUUAUAUGACUCUAGAACUUGGUUAUUGGAAUAUUUGACGAAUUUAGCAAGUUUUUGGUUUUAAAGAAAUCUCAAAAUUUAAUUUCACUCGAAAUUCGUGGAUUUCACCUUAAGAAAACGAUUAGUGCUAGUUUGGGAUUUUUGAGUGAAAUUAAAUGCUAGUUGACUCGAGUUAAAUUCGCCAAAUCAAAAGUGGAAAUUUAUGUGAAUUAUUUGUAUGAUUUUAGGAGUUGGUGAAGAGCACAAUCUCGAUCAAAGUUUGGAAUUCUAGACUCUUCACUUGAGGUGAGUGUCUCUUGCAUGAAUCGUGUUUAACUGCUAGUUGAACUACUUGUUAAAAGUACUUGCUAGAGAUAUCAUGAAAUGUUAUAUGCUAUGUGAUUGCGUGAAAUGCCACAAGUACAAGUGUUGCAAUGUCGAUUGGAGCGUGGUCUCGUCGACUAAAUAAACCAAACGGAUGCACAUACCACGCUCUAUUAGAGUGGGAGGUACCUCUCUGCCGUCUUGGUAAAAGUGCUUGCAAAAUUCGUGUUGGAGUCGGGCCCGAAAAUAAGGAGGAAGUCGUUGCUAGGAGACGUGUAGAUUAGGGAAAUGUCUACAUGGAGAUUAGAUAGUGAAAGUUGACGGAGUGUCAACUACUAUAAAUUACCUGAUCAAGCGCGAGGACUUUGGCUCCUGAGAGCCCCGUAUCCUUUUCUUGUCAUGUUACUUCGAUUUUCUAAAUUGUUAAUUGCUUACUUGUCCAUUUGUACUUGUUAAAUUGCCCUAUGUGAAUUGCAUGUUUCGAGGCACCAUUGAGCUAUUGGCUCAUCCCUUCCAAUUUGUUUUCCUUGACAGGUUCUGAGUUGCAUGAAGUCUUGGAGAACUAGAAAAGAAAUGUUAUAUUUUGAAUGCCCACUUUUGUAUAUGUACUUUGGGAAAACUUUAGUAUCUUUUGGAUGACUUUUGUGUCUUUGGGAAAAUGUGAAUCCUGUGGUGCUUCUGUGCCCUGGAUUAGGAAUUUUAAAUUGUAAAUUAAGUUGAAUUUAAGUAUUUUAAGUUAGACAUUUUCUUUGAUGCUUGAAAUUGUACUUUUGGACAGAGUAAGUUGAAUGGUACGGUUUGUUUAAGUACUUGGCUUAUGCGAGAAGUAAAGUUUAUUUACGAAUUAUAUUUGAUGAUGUUAGAUGAUUGAGUGAGUGAGUCCCGGCGAGAGCUGGGCAGGCGACUCGCCGAACCCUCUGGUUCGCCUUAGGGGGAGGUGGGGCCGCCACAUAGUAUAUACAGUAUGGUUGAUUCGGAAGUUCUUUGGUACACUAAACAACAAAUGAUCAAACAUCCGAGUUCAUCAAUUUCCCAAAUACCAACCAUGAAUAUGUGCAAUUUCAGAACUGAACUCAAAAAACCUUCCUCACCACGGACCACUACAUAUGCACAUCUACUUCUGAUUGAGGGAAUACUACAUCAACAGCGUCAAUAUAGAAAUGAACAUGCUCAUCUACCUCGAGUUCAAGACUUUCGCCUAAUUCAAUGAUGGAAACAAAACAAGAUUCCUUCUUCAUCUCCUUCCUAUAAAGAAGUAUCAUCUUCCUUCUUCCCCUCCCGAAGAGGGGCAGCAGAAUGCUCCUCCUCAAGCGGUGAAGUGGUGAACACUCAACCUAGCACAAUGUGGUGGUUUUUGCCCCACAGUUGCGAGCCAAAGGGUAGCAUUGGACUAUGACCAUGAUAUUGAGAAGGAAAAUAAUGGUCAGGCAAUCCCUCAACUUUACUAUAGAAUGGAGCAGGUCCUUCAAAUAAACUCUUGUCAAAUACGCGGUAGCCAAAAACACUGAUGCCGAAAGUUUUGAACAAGUAAUUCCAUUCCACACAAAAGGGAUAAUAAUGAACCAAUCACGAUUGUCGACAAACCUUGAACACUUUGUCAACCUCUGAAUCGUAACACACAACAGCAACUUGAUCACCAGCACCGAUAGGAAACAGGACGUAGUGCUGAGAGUCAACUUUUUGAUCCAAGGGAGGGACGGAGAGAUCCUUCAAUGGGAGGUUCACCAACAGGAAAUUUACAACUUAGAGGAUGCUGCUAGGGUUGGCUAAAUGACUGAUCCAAAUACUUGCCCCAUGGAUUGCCUACCUCAUUUCCUAAGGACAGAGAUUCUGCUACCCCUGAUUGCUUGGUGAGUGGGCAAAAAUCUCCGUGUGCAAUCAAGGAAGGACCUUUGAAUCACCCAUUCUCAAGCUUGGAAGGGCUUGGAGGCGUCGUAAAAGUAAACUGUGCAAUCCUCUUAAUCGUCAGGCUUCAUGACAUAAUUAGAACCAUCUUCAGCAGGGUGAAAAUUGAAUCCUACUAGACCAUAAAUUAGGGAUCCACAGGAACCAAAAGUUACCUCUAAGCCUAAAACUGGCAUUUAAUUCUCGAUUUUCCGAGCGCGGAGUUUACCACCACCAGCGGUCUGUGAUAAGUUGACUACAUACCAAACCAACUCAAAUUCUCUGCCAAACCGACUACAUACCAAAAUUGGUACAUAGUUUAAGUCCUUCAAUUUUUUGGUCAAACUUAUGUUUUAAUCCUUUGUGAAUAGAGGAAGCACAAUCAUAUUUUUUUUUACUUUUCAAGUUAAUUAAUGAACAAUAUGUCCUCUACUCUUAGUGCAUUUUGAUACUUAUUUUCUAAACAUGAUUUCUGUAAUUUUGAUACUCAUAGAUAACUAAAUAAUCAAGCCCUAGCUAGCUGAAUGUACCGUGUGAUCCAAGAUAUUUUGCUCCAUUAUCUACCUUAAUGGGGAAGUUAAGACACCAUAAUAUCUACAUGUUUUUAUUGUAAGAACCAAAUUACAAUAUCUUUCUUAUUCUUUCAUCACUUUUGUGAUAAAGAAAAGAAUUGUUUGUUGUUCUUCUCCAGUUCUAACACUGUACAACAAAAUAGGGCUGUUGAAAGAAACAAUAGACAGUAAAAUAACACAAGUUCUUAAAACUUGUACGACUUUUUUAGAGUACAUUCUGUUCAUGCAAUCACAAUUAAUUUUCUAAUGAAAUGAAGCUAUCUGUUAGUUUUUUAGAGGGAAAUCCCAUUUCAUCUUUUCUCUGCCUUCUAAUAUUUUGGAUUGCACAAUUUUUCUCCAGCAAUUCUUUGUAACUUGCAAUCCACCAAAUCUUGCCUUGAACUCUACUCUUGUAUUAAGAAGCCAAAACUUUCACAGAUACACACCUCUCACAUAAACUAUUUGUAGCAAACUGGGUGGGUACACAGAAAAUUUUGCUAAAGGUUUUUUUUUUUUCAAGAAGAGGGGGGGUGGGUGGUUGAGAGUUUAUGCGUAUGGGCAGUAAUAGAGCCUUACACAAACUCAAACUAGCCUAAAUAAGUAUGUCACAGGGAUGGAGCUACCAUAAGGUAUUUUCUUUACCUUCCCCUUCUAUUAACUUCUCAUUCCCUUUCUUUAUAGUAACAUAUUUUUUUUUUAACUAAACUUGUUCUUAUUAUUUCAUGCAUAUAAGUCAUAUUACCUAUUCUUCAGACAAAUCCCCAGCCUCUUCAUUUUCUUUGUAGAUUUACAGGUACUUGUAUAUAUAUAUAUAUUUGAGGGAUUUGCAGGUAGCUAUACAUUAUAAUUUGCAUUAUCUGUAGAAGCAUGUGUAUAAACUAAAAUACCAAACUUAAACUAUUACCAGGUUCUCCAAAGUCAUCGGCCGCAUCUUUCCUCUCCAUAUUGCUGCCAAGUUCCUCAUCCGUACUUACUGAUAUUCUCAUCCUUUUAGCUGACAUAUUCGCAUCCAAACUUUCAAAACCUUCAGCAUUUAGACCACUCAAAGAUCUGAAAUACUGCAAAGAGUAUUUAACCAUAUAACUGGUCAACAUCUCACAAAACAUAAAUGUGACUUAACUUGAAUUAACCUAUAUAGCUUUACAUACACAACACAUGUAAGCAAAUGUACUGCAGCUAGGUAACAAGACACUAAACUGAUUAAUACACUUUACACCCUCUAGAUGCAAGCAGGCUUUCCCACUGAGAUACUUCAUAUAUAUGAAAUUGGAUGAACCGAUCAGAUCAACUAAACCCCAAAAAAAAGUAUGAUGGUGAAAAAUAUCAUUCAUGCUGAUUCUGCACAAGUUUAGUUGCAUAAGUAUAUAAAAGCCAAUGGCAAUUGUCUUCAAUAAUUGGAUUUCAUUUAACUGCAAUUUCUCUACUAACAAUCACAUCAAACAAUUAUGUCAGAAUUGCUCCCAAACUCGAGUAUUCUGCCACUAGACCAUCUGUUGUACAAUCAAUUUCUGAUUUAUCCUUGUGCUAAUUGUCACUCUUUUAAACAAGAUUUCAUAAAUUACUACAGCUAUUAAAAUGGAACCUAAUUAGAAAAAAAGUUCUAAUGCAAGAUGCAUUGUUCUAAAAUCAAAAGUGCUAAAAGUCAAUCAGAUUUUGUACAAAUUAAUGGAAAAAAAACCAUAAAGAAUGAUGAUAGAUCACCAUCAGCUAGACCAGACGCUAUUUUUCCGCCAGUUUUCAUGAGAAAACCAUUUACCAAGAAUAGCCAAGCAUAAAAAAUUCACCAAUGAGUAACUUUAACUCAUUCAUGGAUGGCCUAACAAACCAGGGUGUCUGGGUACGUGUACGGUGGAAGAUGCAGAAUGUACUGGGCUUCAGCUGCAGGGACCAGAAUAUCUUAUGGUAGGAACUUGGGGCAAAGAACCCCAACAUUUCAAUUAAGAGCCCUUCCAUCAAAGUCAAUGUAUAAGCCCAGGGUCCCAAACAACGGCCGAAGUGUUCUCCACUGCCAGUUUGUCAAACACUCUAAAACACGUAAAUACCUAUAAGCUACUAAAGCACCACAAAUUUUAAGUCUACUGAAAUACGUAAAACUUCAACUUCUAAUGAAUACCUCAAGAUCCUAAAAAGGUUACCCAUUGUUCGAAGUAGGUAAACUCAAUAUUCAGCCAAGUUCCCGUGAUUGUGUAGAUCUAAUCUUCCCUUAAACUCUUUAUUGGUUACAUCAGUCGUGAAUAGAAUGUCCUAAGAAAACAUUCAGUUUGAAGCCCUAAGAAAACAUUCAGCACACACAGCUUUUAUAAAAACUCCAUUAAGUCAAAAGAAUAGAAUGCCGCAAACACUAGAUGCACACCUUCCCAUUCUCCUAGUCGGUUCACUCUUUGCCUCCCUUUUGCAACACAUAAAGGUCCAAAAAAUAAAAAUGAUACAAGCUUUGCAAAGGACUUCAAAUAUAACUGAAACUCAUUCAUUUCUUUCACAUGGUAAUAAGCCUCAGCAAUGCUUGGCUUCUGGUGUAAAUAUAUCCAAAAACAAUUCCUAAAUCAUCUGCCACAAGUUUUUAAGCUAACUCUAAAUCAUCCACCUAUUAUUUGGUUCCUUAUAGCCCUAGAAUAGUGCAACAUCUCAUGCUUAUACAAGCUCCUUUAAGUAUGAACAAAAGACAAUCAUCCAAAGCUGCUGCAACGAAGAAUGCCUUUCUAUUGUUAAAAGCAAAAAUGAUGCUUACAUAUCUACUUCUCAAGAGCUCAUGCUACAUGACUGGCAAUCAGUGGAGUAUAUAAUACAUGCACGUGAUAUCUGAUGACUCAAAUCACUUACAAAAUUGAACUCAACGUUUUCUCCUCCAAGAAUUAUGAUCACUUAAGACCAUGUCAUUCUCUAGAGAAAUAUAAUCAUACCCUUAUUAAUUUGCUUUUAUAUUUAUAAAUUUUUUCUUACAGUAGAAAAUAUUGCAUAUCUUAUAUCUAUUGUUUUUGUUUUAUUUUCAAAGAAAACAAUGCAAAGCUUCCAUAUUAGUAAGGUGAAUUUCUUCUUAACCGAAAUGAGUUGUGUACAAGCUUAAGCUAACUAUGUAUCCAUAAGCCUCUCCAAAUUUGAGGAAAAUGGUAACUAAUUCAUAUAUAUACACUGGAAAGAUAUGGGUAAUAAAGAACUUAACCAGUGUUGCAUUUUGGAUGAUGAAUCAUGUCAGUUAGUCAAGAAGGCACAGCAGACUUAAAUGGAGUCAUUUGAUUGAACCAAGUGACAAAUGACAGAGUGAGCAAUGCAAGGGGAAUAAGACAUGUAAACAAGGAAUAAACCAUAUUAAUCUGUGACCUAACGAUGCACUAAUUACAAAUAAAUGGAUGAAGUGGAAGAUCAUAAGCAAAAAAAUUUCAAGCCAGUUACUAGACUCAGAUGUUAAUAACCUAUUGGCAGGAUGAUUGACAUCUUGUCCUUUCGUUUGUCUGCCAACUGAAAUCUUAAUCAAGUUUAGAACCCAAAAAUCAUAACAGAAGGAAACUGUGUCGACUGCAUUAUUUUCUCAGUUUUCUCUCAAAUGAAGGCUAUUAGCAUUACACUUCAGUUCCAAACACUUCUCACAUUUAAAAUAGUAAACAACUUUAAAUUGUUUGUUUUUCCCCCCUCCUUAAUACCUAACACAUUCGAACAACACAAUAUGUCUGUGCCUACCUGCUGCAUAGCUCACCCACUUCGCCAAACUUCAUAAGUUUUAUCUAUUAGUUGCCAUCCCAUUUGCUGUUUACUUAUGCUUGAUAAUUCAAUAUCUCUUUGUUUAGAAACCAAUUCCAUAACACUGCUGCUUUUCAUCUUACACCAAAACAUUUACAGCUGCAAACAGUGGCGGAACUAGGAAUUAACUUUGGGGGGGCGAGUCUAUAGCAAUGAAAGUAAAAUAUAUUUACAAAAAAAACAAUGUGAACAUAUAUACCACAAGAUUAGAAACAACCUUAUAUAGAAUGAAAAUUACUUAUACGCUUCACAUAUACAAAAAUAUCAUCAUAUUUACAAAUCUGUUUGACUGUGUGGGACAUAUGAAAUUGUGCACGACGACUUUUAAUUUUAUCAAAGUCAUCAAUGAUUGAAUUUAUAUCAAAAGUUCUAGCAAUUUCUUUCUCAAUAUACAUUAUCAUAGAGUUGGCAAGAAAGUCUUCCUUCAUCCUAGAACGCAAACAGGUGUUGAUGAUUUUCAUAGCAGAAAAUGCAUGCUCUGUUGUGGCUGUUGAAACAGGAAGAGUCAAAAUAAGACGAAUCAAUCUAUUAAUAAGAGUAUAGCACAUUGACUUUCUUGUCUUUGCUAACACUUGGCACAACUCCUGAAGUGAUGACAAAUUUUGAAACUGAGAAUUACAGGAAAGCUCAAUCUGGAAAAGCUCUAAUUGAGUUCUUAAGUGUAACUUCUCUUGAUCUGUGAAGUCAGCUAAAUAAAACUUGUUUGCAAGUUGACAAAUUUGUUCAAUAUUGAAAGCCUGAAAAUUAUCUUUGGGAUGCAAUGCUGAACUAAGAAUAAGCAACUCUAUUACAUCUUCCUUAAACCUAUUCUUCAUUUCAAGUAUUUGAGAAUCAACCGUUGCCAAAAACACAUCAAUCCUGUAGUGAUGCUCCAUGGUAAUUGGAUCAUUUUGUUUUCGAAUUCUUCCUCGACCUGCUUUAUAAAUGACAUUCAUACCAGGCAUCUCUUUAUUUCGUGCAUCACAAAAUGUCUUUACAUUGGUGAACAACUCAUUCCAUCCAUUAUCUCUGCAACUUUGAAGUCGAUCAUUUGUUACUGAAACCAACUUAAGGGCAUUCAAAAUAUCUUGAGAUUUGCAUUGUAAAGAUUGAGAAAGUACUUGUGCAAAUCCUAAAAUGUCCCUCAUCAUAUGCAUAACAAGAACAAAAUCAAAGGAUGUCAUGAAAUCGUAAACUCUGUCAGCUUCAUUUCUUUGAGUUGAUGUAUUUCCAUAAUUGAUAACAUCAAUUAGGAUAGAGCAAAUGUCUUCAUAUUCUGUGAAUAAGCUACAGAUAGAACUAAAAUGAGACCCCCAUCUUGUAGUCCCUGGCCGUUUUAAGAUACCAAUCUGAUUCAAGUUCAUCAAUAGCAAUCAAUUCAGCAAUUCUAGCAGUUCUAGCAACUCUAAGUUGGUCCACCCAUUUGCAAGAAGAUGAAAUUAAAUUUAUAAGAAGAGAUAAGUAUGUAAAGAAUUGUUCCACAGGAAUUACCUCUUGAGAUGUUGCUACCAAUGUUAAUUGCAGUCGAUGAGCAAAACAGUGAAUAUAAUAUGUAUAGGGGCACUCUUGAAUAAAUAAUACUUGCAGUCCAUUCCAUUCUCCACGCAUGUUACUAGCUCCAUCAUAUUCUUGGCCACGAAUGUUUUGCACACUAAGAUUAUGACGAGAAAGGACAUCACAUAACUCCUUCUUCAAAGUCAAGGAAUUGGUUUCGUGCACAUGAACAAUGUCAAAAAAUCUCUCUCGAAUAUAGCCUUGCUUGUCCACAAAUCUAAAAACAAUAGCCAUUUGCUCUCUUUUUGAUCUAUCUUGAGCCUCAUCAACAAGUAUAGAAAAUUUUGAAUCACUAAUCUCCUCUCGAAUAUACUUUUGUAUCUUGCUCGACCAAAUGGACAAUAUCUCCUUUUGGAUCGCAGGAGAAGUAUAAGAUGCAUUUUGAGGAGCAUUAUCAAGGACUACAGCAGCCGCUUUUUCAUUAUAAGAAGACACAUGCUUGAUCAACUCAAUAAAAUUACCUCGAUUGUUAGAAUCUAAACUUUCAUCAUGACCCCUAAAAGCCACCGCUUGAAAUGCACACCAUUUUGCAGCAUCUAUGAAAACUUGAAGGUGCAACUGAUUUUUUGCAACCUACUCAGAAUUUUGCUUCUCAAUAAUUUUAUCAAGAUGUUGCAAUGAGUUUCCCAAAUCAUGAUAGCAUUGCAUUGCCACUUUGUGUGAUGAGUUAGGAUCUUUUCCAAUGUGAUUUAAAAAAGAACAAUUUUUUCCAUCAUUUACCUUCUUCCAUGAUCUAAAUCCACUAGUUGUGAAGGCCAUUGAUCCAAAACGGUCCGUUGGCUUGGAAAAAAGUGAGCAAGGAAAACAAAAGGCAGCAUUCUUUGUUGGAGAAAAUUCCAACCAAUCUGGAAACAAUUUAUACCAAGAGAAAAGGAAACGUCGGCCCUUCUUGUCAACAACCAUUGAUUCAAUCGGAAGCUCAGGUUGGUAUGGCCCAAACUUAAUAUAUGCUCUCCGUACCUCAUCCCUUUGAUGCUCUAGAUAUUCCCAAAUGGAUUUUCGCUUUCCAGGAUCACGUUCUAUGGAUGAAAAAAGAAUCAAUUGUCCUAUUGGCCAUUACCACUACAUUUGUAACAAAACAACAACCUGUAAUAGAAAUAAAAUUGAUUGAGAAAUGCUGGUUAUGGCCUAGAGAGAUGGGAAUUUGACCAAUGCAAAAGACUGGUUUCCCUAAUUCCCUUACAAAUUUCGGCCAUUCAGCCUGACUGAAAAGUCCGGCCAUCACCCAAGGAAGCCAACAGGAUCCUUAAAAUAAAAUUAGUAUGAAAAUUGGAAAAGAAAACCACUCUCAGAAUCAACUAAAAUAAAUGCUUAUCACCCAAAUUCAGAAGGCCAAGUACGAAAAACAAUAGAAGUCCCUCUCGAGCAAUUCAUCAAACAACGGGCGGGCGAACUUUUUACACCCACAUUUCACUAAAUAAAUGCAAUGUCAAACUAACCUGGUAAAUGGUAAUAGCUACAAUAGUCUGAAAUGGUAUUGAUGAUCAGUGUUAGUUUAUCUGGCAUUGCAACUUACAGGUCAAUUUAAGCAACCAAUGCCUAAUUCAUUAACCUGCUCUGAUGAUACAAUAAUAUGAAACAACCCCUUUACUUCCUGAAAAAAAAAGACACGUUCAGCAAAUGCUAAAAGAAAAAUUACCUAGACCAUGCAAAAUGCAAUGGUACAAUCCUUAGUCAUGUGCGAGGGAAGGUCUUCACAGGAGAAGAUCAAUUCCAGUAAUUAAUGAUGUAUCGUUUGAGCAGAUUUGAUACAUCUCUGCGGAACAAGGUGAGAAGAUUUUGACGUUUCUACUUUCUAGGAAGAAGAACUGUAGCAGAGUCAAUAGCCAGGUUAACUAGCUAUCUUUUCUUUGUACUUGUAUGAAGUCCGUUAAGAAAAGUGGCAAUUCUCUGUUAUUUGGACCAAAUCCAAAUAACUUUCAAACAUUAUUGUUUGGGCCCUUGGGGGGGCAAAGUGAAUUUUUUGAUCAAUUUUUGGGGGGGGCAAAACAUAAUAAUAAAUUUUUUUUUACUUAGAAAUUUUUUUUUAACAAUUGGGGGGGGGGGGCGGUUGCCCCCCUAGCCCCCCUUCUCUCCGCCCCUGGCUGCAAACACAUUAUACAGGCAAUUCAAGUCCAAUAUAGUCUCGUUCACUUACAAAUAUCCCAAGUUACCAAACUUGGCCAGAAAUUAAGAAUCCCACAAAACCAACUUCAGUAAUCCAAUUCAACUGUCCUGAUUCUUAAGUCAGCAUGAAUUUUCUUUAUGUCUAAAAUUUCCUUAUUUUGGCAUUGAAAACUGGAAAGAACUAAGAUAGCAGAAGUUAUUACCCUUUCAAGAAUUGAAGUGGCUUCUUUUGUUGUACUCUUUUCCCUCUCCGCUAACAAAGAAAACAUUUUUUCUUUCCAAUCACCAUAUUGCCCAUACUAACCCAAAUAAUGAAAUUCAAAAUUUUCAAAAACCCAGAUGCAAAUUCCAUAAAUAAAUGCGAAUGAAGUAUGAAAAUAACAAAACAGAAAAUUAAAGAAAAACUUUCUACAUAGGAGGGACGGGAAGAGAGGCCUUACUGAUGGGGCAGGAGAUAGGAAGCCGGAGUGGGAAUGAUUGAGGAGAGAAGAAGGGGCGUUGUAGUCAAAACGAUGAAUUCUGAUCAUUCAUAGUAGAGUUCUGCUCUCAGGACUUCAGCUCCUUCUUGGUUUUCAGUUUCACUCUCACUGCUUCUUCUGCUCCUCUGUGUUGUCCGAAGCUUUUCAGCAAUUUUUAUGAGUCUACAGGCCAGGGUAUGUUUCAUUUCCAGUAUUUAUCUCACCCCCCGGGCCCCCUUCAAAUUUGGGUAUAAACGAGUUUUUAUAAGACAAGUUUUUUGUCAAGUUUGUCUGCUACAAGUUUUUUAAAAACUUUAGUUACAGUAAUUUCAAAAAUUUUUAAACUAUACACUUCAAAAUAUUCAAAACAAACACACUUCAAAAAUUUUUUUAAAAACUUCUACAGUAAGUUACAGUAAAGUUUUAGACAAAUACCCAAAAAACUCACUUGCCAAACGGGGUCUAAAGUUUACUAAAAGCAUACUACUGUUUAAUUCUUAAAUUUUUUAGCCAAGUUCUAACCCUAAAGAAUUCCUUACUCAGCAUUAGCAUAAGCAGGGAUCUUUUCGGUUUAUUCUUCGCAUGAAGCAAUUUUAUUUGUUUGGUUGAAGGUAGAUUUUAAAUCUUUAAAGGGCGGGAGAGGAGUGGUGGGAAUAGGGGGAUAGCAAAUGAGUCAAAUAAAAAACUCUUAAAAUCUCCUGGGAAGAGGGAUGGGUUGGAGGAAACUUCACUCAUCUCUAGUAAAUUCUUUUUCUAUUUUUCGUAGUGCAUAUCUGAAUGCACGACACGCGUUUUUAUUUAUUAACAAGGGUUAGGAUUAGUCAAAUUUAAAAUAAUCAUGUUUCAGUCUAUUAAAUGAAAACAUAUGUUAUACAUCCAGUUAUGUAUUGUGAAAAAUGGAGAGAGAUUCCACUAAAGGGAAGUCAAAUCUAGUACAAAGAAGGGAGUAUAAAUGAGAUAUUUUGAGUUCGAAACUUUCCACUUACAUUUAAAAAAUUCCUUAAAGUCACCCAAUUGAUAGGUUGCAAUUUUUGUUAUUAAAUUUAUGAAUGUUCUCCCCUUGUUUUUAGUCAAAUAUUGCAUUAAUUGGUUGAUUCUACUUAUAUUUAGUAAUUGGUUAUGGUUGUAGGGAUCUAAAGUAAAAAGAAAUUAAAAAUGUAAUUAUUAAUGGAACUUCUAUUCAAAUUAGCAUGGACCCAUCAAAGUCUAACUUUGUAUAUUUGGAAAGUUUGGAAUUUGACACGUGGUCUCUAAUUUUAAAUUGAAGUCGCAAUAAUCAAACUUUUGACCAAUAGAUAGUCUUUCUAUUUUUAUUAGGGGGAAAAUGGCCAAUUUCGUCCCUAUACUUUUUUAUAGUGUCAAUUCAGUUCCUAUAUAAUUUUUUUGGCCAAUUUGAUACCUAUACUUAUUUUGCGGUACCAAUUGAGGAACGCCGCAGUGGCUUCACCAUGUAAAUUCGAUUAACCUAUUAAUUGAGCAACUAAGCAGGGGUAUUUCGGGCACUUCACUGCUUCUUCAUUUUUCACCUUUUCUUCUUCAUCUUGCUUAUCACCAUCCACAGAAGCCAUAGCCGGAGUAGCAGAUCCGUCUCACUCCAACUCGAGGAAAGAUGCCGGUGACGUACGCGAGACCAGGCUUUCAGUAGAGUCCUCAAAUACACAAGAAGGAAUGUCAUUUUCAUUAUGUGGCUGGGAAACCGCCAUUGAGCUAGACUGAUUAUUAUAUUCAUGAUUGACAUUAGAACACUUCUCAGAUGCAUUUUGAUCAACCAUGGCCCUAGCUUCAAAUUCAAGUCAUUUUGCUUCAUAGGCUCUUGAAGCUUCCUUUACAAAUGACGUGCUCAGGGUAUACAUAUAAUAUUAAGCUCAUCUAAUCAAGUUUUACAUUUACAAACUCCUAAAUACCCCACAUGCGAUUUAUCGCAAGUAUACGAAUCGUGAGCGAGUAUAGGGUAUUAAGGGUCGAUCCCACAAGGAAGAUUGCAAUUACCGGCACUACUAUAGCUUCUCUAUUAUUUAGACUAUCAGUGAAUUAUAACAAAUUAAACCUACUGAAAUUAUACAAAAUAACAAAUGAAAGCUCCUUACGUUGUGGUAUCCCUAACUACUCAUGCAAGUGCUAUAUUUAGAUCAUUGAGUACUACUAUCAAGGCUAGUUAUGGUGUAAUUUGCUUAAACAUGUGAAACCUACUUUCGAAGUGAAUCAACUAUACUUAUAACUAAUCCAUACAUAUUCUCAUGGUUAUGAAAUUAGCUACAAGUUCAUUUCUUCAGUGAAAUUACAUGAAAUCAAUCACUAAAACCACAUAGAUGCACCUCUACUUUCGUGAGUGUACUCCCUAUGUUUAGCACUUCUUGAACUAGUGAUAAAUCUCAACUUUCAUUGCAGAAACAACACCUUAGAUAAUCACAAUUAAUGGUACCAGAUUAAUCAUGAUUUAAAGAGCCAAAGUGCUAAAUAACUUGCUCAAAUCAUAGCAAUCAAAUAACCAAAUAAUAAACACUAACAAUCAUAGAAAGUUCAACCAAACUCAAGGCAUAAACUUUAAAGAUACAUAUUAAACACAAAAUCCAGAACUUGUAUAUUAACCAAACUUAAGAAUUUGAUACAAAAGAUAAAGAGUUGGAGAAGAGAUAACCCAUGUCACUUGAGUUUCAACUCCUCCAUCUUCAUCUUCAUCUCCAUAUUCAUCCUAAUCUAGCCAAGACACAAGAAUGGAUGAUCUAUACCACUCUACACUAAGCUAAACUAACACUGACAGGUGCCGAACCUGUGCAAUAAUAAUUACUUAAAAGUCCUAACUACCACCACAAUUAAUUAUAGAGCAAAUCCAAGUACUAGAGCAGGGACCCUAGGUGUGCAAUGGGUUACUUGAUUCACCCUGUUCCCGAAGAGUUUGUUUGAUCCGAUAUACCAGAUUUGUCUAUACAAAUAUUAAUUUUGCGUACAAUGGCAAGUAGGGUCGAUUCCACAGGGAGCGGAUAGGAAAUUAUUUCUUUCCAAACCAAUAGAAUAAAUUGGGGGAUUUUUAAUGGGAGGCAAAUAAAAAAAAAUAAGAAUAAAAAUAAAGCAAACUAAGUUCGAAACUAAUUCACAAAGCACAAGUUAAUAAAAGUAGCAAUUAAUAAAAUUCUACCCAAAGGAUCAACUGCUCAGGUACGGUCCAAUUAAAUGAUCAUCGAUGCAAAGAUAUUUCAUCCAUUCAUCAUUAGGUUGGUUAUAGUUAUCAACAAGCUCUAACAACCAGUUCUUCCUUACCUUUUCGACAGUCAAGGUACGACCAUUGACUGCUUCUCUAACCAGAUAACAACUCUAGGUACGACCGUAGGAAUUUAAUUACCCAAUUGCAUUAAAGUUAGAAGAACCCAACCCUAACUAAUAAACACGCUAAGAGGAUUUAUUUAAGUUAGAUCUUACGUUUUCCCAACAUAAAGCCAAUUAUGGUGGUUGUCACUAGGUAUCAACUAAACGAACAAUUACGGAUUCAAUUUAGUUAAUGUGACAGUAGGCUAUUAAAUUAAAUCAAAUACCCGGCCGUUGAUAUUCAAUUAAUAAAAUACCCAUGAACAAUUAAGCCAGGAAACGCACGAAUAGCAGUAAAUUGGAAGAAAUAAUGAAGAUUCGAUUAGAUCUCACAGAUAUUAUGGACCGCGCCCUCACGUCAACCUUUGGGUAGAGGAGAAAAUUAGCCGCUCCUCAUCGCGUCAAUCCCGCGUGAUUUAAUUGAGUUCAUUCAAUUAACUGCCGAAGAAUUGGGAAGGUAAUUAUUUGAAGGAACAACCGAGGGGGCCCUGAUUUCGCAUUCGUUUUGGAGCCGCAAUCUCAAAGCAGAGAGCCACGAAGAAUUGUCACAGGCGGAAGGAACGAAUUCAAGAGUCAGAGUCGCAUAAAGCCAAAAACUACAGAAAAGAAGAAAGUCUCCAAUGUCUGACCCAAAGCCGCAGAAGAAACAAAAGAAAAACGUCUAACCCCAAAAAUUGCAAAAAGUAAAACUAAAGCUAAAAGAAGUGAUCCCCCCGAAUCUUGCUUUUUCCUUCUUUUUAUAUCCGCCGUCAGUAGUAUUCCUCCCAGGAGGAGGCUUUUGCCAAAGGGGCGCUGAUCCCACGCUUCAGGUUCACGUGGACCGAGGUCCGGCUUUUCGGUAACGUCUACCUUGUCUGGCGUGGCCACGCCCUGAAAUGAAAGGUCUUCUGGAAAUUUACCUCGAGAUAUCAUUUUUAAUGCUAACCACCUACAAUUCACACAAAUAUAAAAAAUGAGCGAAAUUCCAUUUCUUAGCACCAUGAAUAGCCAAAAUUAGGACAAGAUGACAAUGCAAAAUGUGCCAAAUAACUGUUCUAUCAAAUCCCCCCACACCUAGACAAUACUUGCCCUCAAGCAUUUCGGAGCUCAGAAGUGCAACCGAGAGAGCAAAGGUCAUGCAAUAAACUAUACUAACACAAGCACCUCAGAUCCCUGACCGUGUCGCCAAAAUGAGAAUACACCGGACAGGUUGUAAGUCAAAGAAAAUAUAUGAAUACUAGGGACGCUCAAAUCAACAUCACGGAAUGCCAUUACCAUAGGCUUGCACAUUUAUCGCAUCUCCACCACUCAAAAGUAAACUAAAUACAUAAAUCAAAGGACUUCGAUAGGGUUGUAAUGGGGUUCAGGUGAAAGGUGGGAUAAGAAGGUAAAAAUAGGGGAUAAUGAGUCAAGAGAAUGUCCGAAACCCACCAUAUCAAACAAGGCAGUUUUCAUUUGCUGUACACACUGUGCAAGUGUCGCGAAUUUUUUUUUCUCUUUUUUUUUUCUUUUUUAGACGGCUUGCAAGGCGUGGGCACGCCUUGUAGGCUGGAGUCUUCUGUUCACAAGCCUCUUUUUUUUUUCCGAUCUCAGAUAUACAGGAACAUCACCAUACAGCAUCUACUCUGAAACACUUGCGACCAUAGAUUUAUUUGCCUUGUAUAAGUAAUGAAUUUUAGACAUACCUUUACAACACAGGGGUGAACAAGAAAGUCUAAAGAGGUCUUGGGUGCUCACAUAGAUGACAACAACUCGACGGAUACAAGCUCAAAUUGGUUCACUAUUGGAAGAUAGGAUGGGGGCUUGAUUUUGAGACAGCUAAAGAGGGUUGAAUCCUAAAUGCCCUCUUCAUUUUCAAUGCAUCUAGUUCAACAAAAUAUAGCCUUGACAUGCAUAAAAUAGCAAAUUCUAGAAUGCCAAUACCAUGUGUGAUACCCACUCAAUCAAACAAAAAUAAAGCAAAUAAGAAUAGUGUGCUCAUACAUGGCUCAAAAGCUCACAAGAGUUUCCAAGAAUGGGUCAAGUCCCGUAUACUCAAUAUCUAACAACACAGUCAAGGGAAGACAAAAAUGCAUAGCUAGUAUAAUUAACCACACACCCAAGCACUGUGAUUGUAAAAUUCAUCAUAGCAAACAAAAAGUCAACUAACUACCCCCCUUUUCUUUUUUUUUCUUUUUUUUUUUUUGUAGAGAGAAAUAAUAGAAACCAUCCCCCCCACACCUAAAACCUACAUUGCCCCCAAUGUAGCAAGGAUAAAUAAAGUGCAAAGAAAAAUGGAGCAAAACUUCCCUGACUACUGGGGCGGUGCAGCGAGAGCCUAAGGAGGCGGAGGAUGUGGUGGUCGGAAUCCAAUAUGAGCAUAGAAAGCCGCUUGAUUCUCUGUCUGAAUACGGGCGAAUACCUGUAGUGCUCUAAGACGGUCCUCUAGUCCAUCAACUCGCCCCCCUAGCGCAUGGAUAGACUCAUGGAGAGAGUGAUAUUGGGACUCCCAAGCAGGGGGAGCAUGAUAGGAGGACGGACCCGCCUGAUCCGGAUGGGGUGGAGAGUCAGUGGAGGGUGCAGUUGGAGGCACCCGAGGUCGUGGCCCGCCCUCGCCAGGGGGCGUAAAUUGAUAGGCAUCCCCCACCUUGAAAAUAAUCCCCAUCCGCUCCAAACUGCGCAAAUCCAGAGGCUCAAUUUCCCGAGCUAGAGCGAAGUUGUGCGGUUUGUCGAGGUCAAGCAAACCCAAUCGAAUGGCCAAGUGGGUAAUGAGUGAGCCCACAAUGAUCGGUUUAUUGCGCUUCUGGAUGACUGUUUGCAUUUGAGUGGCUACCCAACAUCCAAAAUUAACCGGAACAUUGUUGCGCAUGCACCAAAGGAAAUAAAAUUCUGCCUUGGUAAGAGUGCCGGAAGAAUCUUUCCGCCCCGAGAAAUUGAUAGCCAGGAACCUGUGGAUGACCUUUAAGACCGGAUCCUUCAAAUGAGAGGCCUUGGACUGACUCGGAUUGUAAACUUGACGAUCUGUGGACCACUCCCUCCAAAUGUCAAUGUGGUCAGUCGAAAACGGUCGGGUGUAGUCACACGCACUGUUUAUAUAUGCUCCGGAAGCAAUGGUACCCUCACCAACAAACCCCAAAGUUAGAUUAAACUCAUUAAUGGACAUACCAUACUGGAUCCCUCUUAGUCGAAAUUUAACAAUCUCCGGCUCAUCCAGAGUGAUGAAUUCAUUGACGAUGAACUCGAAAGUGGAGAAGAAUUCACAACACAGCUCCUCAAACGUAGGGUAAUCAAUGGUCAGGUACUUCCCCCAACCUAUUGCCGAGAACAACUGUUCAACUUCUCGCGCAAUUUGCAAAUGGUCCAGGGUUGGAGCAUGGAAACACUUACAGGGGGCAAAAGGACGGUGGACCAAGUUAUUGAACCGGUCCUGUUGCGGCCUUGUAAGGUUAGUGACCGGUUCCCCCCAUUCCCCAGGAGACAUAGUGCUCUUAUUCAGACCCAAACGGGACCGAAUGGGGGGUUGAACCGGUGCUCGCCUCUUACGAGGUUGGGACCCAGAUGGCCCAGCAAUUGUUGCCUGUUUCGGGGGCAUUCGGAUACCACAGGCAAGGUGUAAAUCAGCCCAGAGACAGUUAAUCAAUUACCCAAAAGCAAACAGGGGACCACACUUAACAGUUAAUAUGCAACUACAGUCGUCUAAUAGCAAAGAGGGAACACAAUUACCUCAACAACCAACGACAAGUCAACAAACACAAGAAUUCCCUACUGGCGUCACGUGGUAGACAACAAUAAAGAAAACAGCACCAACACCUCAAAAAUUGCACUAGCAGUCAAUAAUAGUCAAUAUCAAAAACACCAGAGCCCACAAAUGUAUCCCAAAUUGAUAAUCAACAAAAGGCAGAUAUGACGUCUCCCACGUCCAGACAACAGUCAAAUGGUCCCCCAACCAAAAUCAACAGGUAUGUCAACCCGACAGGAGGCAAAAAUUUAGCAAUUAAAAGUCCCAAAUCGAAGUCAUUAAGUCAACAAGAGAGGCAAAUAGGGGUACCACUUUUACUCUUGGUCCACGCUGGAGAGGAAAAUGGCGGAGAAAAGAGAGCUGGUGGCUGGUCGGGUGCACGGGCUGAGCGUGGAACAGGCGCGGUGGUCGUGCGCAGGCAGGGGGUCGCGCGCGAGGGCACGCGCUGAGGACUCGCACACAGGCAGCUGGUCGCGCGCUUGGCUCACGGGCAGCCGUGCAGGAGGUAAUCAGCGCGCUGCUGGGGCUGCUCGCGCGCUGUGGAGGUCGCGCGCUUGGCUGAGCGUGCCUGUUGCUGAGGAGAGCAGGGGUUGUGCUGCGCAGGUAGCUGGAUCUGGGCGUAGGCGUACUGGGCUGCACAGGCGGGUGGUGGUACGACGCGAGAUGGGGGCCGCGCGGCGCUGAAGAGAGCAGAGGCGCGCGACGGCAGCAGCGGCGACGGCUUGACCAAAACAGGGAGAAGGAGUUGUUGCAGCGUAGCAAAAAGAAAUUUGGAGGAUAAAGGCCAAGACCGGUCAAAGAAGAAGGAAAAGUGGAAGAAGUAGGGUCUUGGUCAAUUUUUUUUUUUUUGACUUUCGCUAUCUGAAGGAUUAGAAGGCGUGGGCACGCCUUGGAGGACCUGGUCUUCUGACCAUCGCAUCCUAAUGAUACUCAAACGAAUUUUUUGUCAAGGCGCGGGCACGCCUUGGAACACCUAUUCUUCUGUCUAUCACUACAAAAACAAUCAAAACUGAAAAAUAAAACUGAAAAAUCGCGAAGUAAUGAAGAAUGAUCACAACUAAUACUGUAAUCCUUGGGUUGCCUCCCAAGCAGCGCCUUUUUUUAAUGUUUUUGGCUAGACAUGGCCUUCAAUUGUUUAGACUUCACCACUUUGAUUAUCAAGGAAUAGAACCUCCACUUGCUCACUAUUAAACCCUUCAUAAUAAAGCUUUAGAUGGUGACCAUUGACUACGAACCUUUUCUCUGUCUUAAGACUUUGGAUUUCCACUGCACCAAAAUGAAAAAUAUUAGAAACAACAAAUGGACCAAUCCAACGGGAACGCAGCUUACCAGGAAAAAGCUCAAGUCUCGAGUGAUAGAGUAGGACUUUUUGCCCUACGACAAAUGACUUUCUUGAAACUUGUUGGUCAUGAAAAAUUUUGCUUUUCUCCUUAUAAAUUGCAGCGUUCUCAUAAGCUUCAUGCCUUAGCUCCUCCAACUCUUGCAAUUGGAGCUUUCUCUGCCCUCCGGCCUCCAUAAGGUCCAUGUUACACUGUUUAAGCGCCCAGAACGCUCGGUGUUCAAAUUCCACUGGGAGGUGACACGGCUUACCAAAGACUAACCUGUAUGGGGACAUCCCAAUUGGUGUUUUGUAUGCGGUGCGGUAAGCCCAGAGAGCAUCUUCCAGCUUCAAGCUCUAGUCUUUCCUAUCAGGCCGCACCAUCUUCUCCAAGAUUGACUUAACUUCCCUAUUCGAUACUUCGGCCUGACCGUUCGUCUGCGGAUGAUAUGGAGUGGACACUUUAUGGAGCACGCCAUACUUACGAAACAAUGCAGUGAUUGUCUUAUUGCAAAAAUGGGUGCCCCUGUCACUCACUAUAGCUCUCGGCAUUCCAAAACGAACAAAAAUGUUAGAUUUUAUAAACUCUGCAACCACUCUCGAAUCAUUAGUCCGGGUGGCCUUCGCCUCCACCCAUUUGGAAACAUAAUCGACAGCAAGUAUAAUAUAUAGAAAACCAAAGGAUGAGGGAAAGGGACUCAUGAAAUCUAUGCCCCAGACAUCAAAAAUUUCAACAAAUAAUAUGGGGGUUUGACUCAUUUGGUCUCUACGAGAGAUAUUCCCCACCCUUUGACACUUAUCACAAGAUUUGCAGAACAAAUAUGCAUCCUUAAAAAGAGUAGGCCAAUAGAAACCACUUUCUAACACCUUACGAGCCGUCCGCUUUGGACCAAAAUGCCCUCCACAUGCAAAUGAAUGACUAAAGGUCAAAAUAGGCUGGAACUCACUUGCACUUACACACCUUCUUACCAUUUGGUCCGCGCAUUGCCUCCACAGGUACGGGUCAUCCCAGAUAUAGUGCUUGGCAUCACUCUUCAAUUUUUCUCUCUUAGCUUUUGACCAACCUGCAGGCAAUUGAUUCGUUACCAAAAAAUUGACAAUAUCAGCGUACCAAGGUAUUGACGAAUCCAUGGCUAAUAAUUGCUCCUCAGAAAAUGAUUCUCUCAACGGUAGAUCCUCUUGAUUUGUGAGCAACCGGCUCAAAUGGUCAGCCACCAAAUUCUCGGCCCCGCUCUUGUUCUUGAUCUCUAGAUCGAACUCUUGCAGGAGCAAGAUCCACCUGAUCAGCCUCGGUUUUGCAUCCUUCUUCGCCAGCAGGUACCUCAGGGCUGCAUGAUCAGAGAAAACAAUUACUUUUGCACCCAAUAAAUAUGAUCUAAAUUUCUCUAGUGCAAAAACGACUGCUAAUAGUUCUUUCUCCGUCAUGGAGUAAUUAGUUGGGCUCCACUUAAUGCUCUCGAUGCAUAGUAGAUUGCGUGUGCCGCUUUUCCUAUCCUUUGCCCCAACACGGCUCCCACGGCAUAAUCGCUCGCGUCACACAUGAUCUCAAACGAAAGGCUCCAAUCCGGAGGUUGAAUGACAGGCGGCGAUGUCAACGAUUCCUUUAGUUUAUCAAAAGCCAUCUUGCAUUCAUUGGUGAAAUCAAAUAUCACAUCCUUUUGCAGCAACUUGAACAGGGGUGCUCCAAUCUUUGAGAAAUCCUUGAUGAACCUCCUGUAAAAUUCUGCAUUGCCUAAAAAGGAACGUACUUCCUGUACACAAACGGGGUAAGGCAGAGCAGAAAUAAGAUCUAUUUUAGCUUUGUCUACCCCUAUCCCCUUAGCCGACACAACGUGCCCUAAGACAAUGCCAUGUUCUACCAUAAAGUGACACUUCUCCCAGUUAAGAACCAAAUUCGUCUCUAUGCAUCUUUUUAAAAUUAGAGCUAAAUUAUCAAGACAUUCAUCAAAACUAUUCCCGUAUACACUAAAAUCAUCCAUGAACACCUCAAUAAUUUUUUCUACAUACUCGGAGAAAAUACUUACCAUACACCUUUGAAAGGUUGCUGGAGCAUUGCAGAGACCGAAAGGCAUCCGACAGUAAGCGAAUGUACCGAAUGGGCAUGUGAAUGUAGUUUAUUCCUGGUCUUCUGGUGCUAUCGCGAUCUGAAAGUAACCUGAAAAGCCAUCCAAGAAACAAUAGUAAACACGACCCGCUAAUCGUUCUACCAUCUGAUCAAUAAAAGGGAGGGGGAAAUGGUCCUUUUUAGUCACAGAAUUUAGCCUCCGGUAGUCGAUGCACUGACGUCAGCCAAUAGCUUUCCUAACCGGAACCAUGUCACCCUCCUGGUUCUCCUCUACGGUUACUCCCGCUUUCUUCGGGACCACCGGAACUGGGCUCACCCAGGGACUGUCUGAAAUGGCGAAAAUGAUCCCUACCUCCAGGAGUUUGAGUAUCUCCUUCUUCACAACCUCCAUAAUUAAGGGAUUCAGUUUUCGCUGUGCUUGCUUCACCGGUUUUGCAUCAUUCUCGAGUCUUAUCCGAUGCAUGCACAAGGACGAGCUUAUCCCUUUUAUAUCGGCUAUGCUUCACCCGAUUGCCUCCUUGUGAUCUCUAAGGAGUCGCACCAGUCUUUCCUCCUGACUUAGAGACAGAUGAGCAGAGAUAAUCACAGGAAGUGUCUCUCUGUCUCCCAGGAAUACAUACUUCAAAUGCUUCGGGAGGGGUUUGAGCUCUAACUCCGGUGCCUGCACAACUAAAGGAAGCGACUUUGUCUGAGCCUCUAGCACAAAAAGAGAAGUAAGCUCGUGCCUUGGAGGUACGGUUGGAAGUGAGUGCAGGGCUUCAACUGUGUGGUGUAGCUCAUUCCUCAUGUCCACAUCAAGAGUCACACCCAACUCAAGAUACUUGGUUAGGGCCACUUCUAAUGCAUCUUCACCAUCCAAUUCAAAAGUUUCUUGCACAAACGGCUCAAUAACACUCAAAGCGAAGACUGAGUUAGAUUCCUCUGGAUAUUUCAUUGCCUAAAAAAUGUUAAAAUUCACAGUUUCACUAUCAAAUUCCAUUGAUAAAGUACCCCCAUUCACAUCUAUUUUGGUCCUGACAGUGCUAAGAAACGGUCUACUCAACAAGAUAGGCGAUGGAUUUAAUGAUUUCUCAUCUCCCAUAUCCAAGAUAUAAAAGUCUGCAGGAAAGACUAAUUCAUUUACCUGAACCAAAACAUCCUCAACUAGCCCCUCUGGAUAAGCAUUUGUGCGAUCAGUUAGUUGGAUUAUGAUGGCUGUUUCUUUUAGUGGCCCAAGGUUCAGAGAAGCAAAAAUGGUCUUUGGCAUCACAUUAAUUGACGCCCCUAAAUCUAACAUUGCUUUUCUAAUCGGUGUAUUUCCUAUUUUGCAUGGGAUCGUGAACAUACCUGAAUCUCCACACUUGGGUGGGAGAUUUCUUUGGAGAAUGGCUGAUACGUUUUCUCCCACCGCUACUCUUUCAUCCCCUCUCAAUUUCCUCUUAUGAGUGCAUAAGUCCUUGAGAAAUUUCGCGUAUUUCGGCACUUGCUUAAUUGCUUCUAACAAGGGGAUGUUGAUCUCCACUUUCCAGAAUACGUCCAGGAUCUCUUUUUCCUUCUCUGUCUUUUUCGUCUUUGCCAACCUGCAUGGGAAAGGGGGUAAAUUAGAUUUAACGGGUAUUGAUGGUGUACGAGUUAUCUCAGGAUCUCCACGAAUGUGUCAUUCUUCAUCCAUCUCCUUCUCGAUCUCGUCUUCACUUUUACUCUUCAAGUUCGUGACCUUUGGCCCCUCCACUUCCUUGCCACUCCUUAAUGUCAUGGCACUUACAUUUCUGGGGUUUGCCUCAGAUUGCGAUGGUAAUUUUCCAUAGACGUGGGACUCCAGGCGAUUAAUGGCAGUUGCCAUUUGACUCAUACGAGUCUCCAUGUCUUUCAUGCCUGUUUUGGUGUCAUGCUGGAACUGAGCUAUAUUCGAGGUCAAUAAUCUGGUCUCCUGCUGGAGCUAUCUUGUCUCUUGCUGGAUCUGGGAGGUAGUAGUAGCCAGACUUUUGACAAUAUCCUCCAAAGAACUCCCUGUGUUGGAGGAUGAAGGUUGGGGUUUCGGUUGCCAUGGUUGCUGAAACCCUGGUGGACGAUUGGAGAGUGAAUUUUGCGGUCGGUUUCCAUAACUGAAAUUGGGAUGGUCUCUCCAACCGGGGUUGUAUGUGUUGGAGUACGGGUCAUACUGCUUGAGGGGCGCGGGCACGCCUCCGGCCAUGUUUACCUGUUCCGCCCCGUCCUCUUGCAAAAUGGGGCACGUGUCCGUGCAGUGGUCCAUGCUAGUGCAGAUUCCACACACCUUUGCUUGCGGCGUGUCUCUCAUGGCUAAUUGCCUAACAACAGACGUCAACUCUGACAGUUGCUGCUGUAUGGAUGAAGUCUCUACCUCGUUGACUCUACGGGGAGGGUUGCUCUCACGGAAGCCAAAUUGCUGGAAGUUCUCUGCCAUGGCUUCGAUAAGCUCCCACGCUUCCUUCGGUGUCCUGUUUGCCAGUGCUCCCCCACUCGCAGCGUCAAUGAUACUCCUAUCGGUUGAUUGGAGCCCUUCAUAGAAGUAUUGGAUUAACAGUUGUUCACUAAUUUGAUGAUGCGGGCAUCUAGUGCACAACUUGUUAAACCUUUCCCAGUAUUCAUACAAGGACUCACCGGGAUACUGUUUAAUGCUGCAGAUCUCCUUCCUCAAACUUGCAGCCCGGGAUGCAUGGAAGAAUUUUUUCAAAAAUUUCUUUUUCAACUGUGCCCAUGUGGUAAUACUACCCGCUGGUAGGUAGUAUAGCCAAUCUUUUGCUGCAUCCUUGAGAGAGAAGGGGAAAGUUCUAAGUCUUAUCUGCUCCUCAGUGACCCCAGGAGGUUUCAUACUAGAGCAAACCGCCUCGAAUUCCUUGACAUGUUUGUGGGGUUCUUCACCAGAGAGACCAUGGAAAGAAGGUAAGAGGUGAAUCAACCCCGACUUCAGUUCGAAAGCAGUAUUCUCAGCCAAAGUGGGGAAUGUGAUGCAUAAGGGCUGAUGAGUUAGCUCCGGGGCAGCCAGCUCCCUUAAUGUUUGAGUGUUGGCCAUACUUACUUCAUAUUCUACUGACUCGUUUGCAAUAAACGAGUGCCCUUCUUUUCGUCUCUUGGUCUCUUGGCUCCGCCUACGCGCUAUCUUCUCAACCUCAGGGUCGUAUAUCAAUUCACCUGUGCGAGAAGAACUAGGCAUAAACUAGUAAAAAUACCAAGAAGAAUAAAAAAAAAAUGAAAGCUGAAUUUGAAAAGAAACAAAUAAUCCAAACGCCAGCUCCCCGGCAACGGCGCCAAAAAUUAACAGGUGCUGAACCUGUACAAUAAUAAUUACUAAAAAGUCCUAACUACCACCACAAUUAAUUAUAGAGCAAAUCCAAGUACUGGAGUAGGGACCCUAGGUGUGCAAUGGGUUACUUGAUUCACCCUGUUCCCGAAGAGUUUGCUUGAUCCGAUAUACUAGAUUUGUCUAUACAAAUAUUAAUUUUGCGUACAAUAGCAAGUAGGGUCGAUUCCACAGGGAGCGGGUAGGAAAUUAUUUCUUUCCAAACCAAUAGAAUAAAUUGGGGGAUUUUUAAUGGGAGGCAAAUAAAAAAAAAUAAGAAUAAAAAUAAAGCAAACUAGGUUCGAAACUAAUUCACAAAGCACAAGUUACUAAAAGUAGCAAUUAAUAAAAUUCUACCCAAAGGAUCAACUGUUCAGGCACGGUUCAAUUAAAUGAUCAUCGAUGCAAAGAUAUUUCAUCCAUUCAUCACUAGGUUGGUUAUAGUUAUCAACAAGCUCUGACAACCAGUUCUUCCUUACCUUUUCGACAGUCAAGGUACGACCAUUGACUGCUUCCCUAACCAGAUAACAACCCUAGGUACGACCGUAGGAAUUUAAUUACCCAAUUGCAUUAAAGCUAGAAGAACCCAACCCUAACUAAUAAACACGCUAAGAGGAUUUAUUUAAGUUAGAUCUUACGUUUCCCCAACAUAAAGCCAAUUAUAGUGGUUGUCACUAGGUAUCAACUAAAAAAACAAUUACGGAUUCAAUUUAGUUAAUGUGACAGUAGGCUAUUAAAUUAAAUCAAAUACCCGGCCGUUGAUAUUCAAUUAAUAAAAUACCCAUGAACAAUUAAGCCAGGAAACGCACGAAUAGCAGUAAAUUGGAAGAAAUAAUGAAGAUUCGAUUAGAUCUCACAGAUAUUAUGGACCGCGCCCUCGCGUCAACCUUUGGGUAGAGGAGAAAAUUAGCCGCUCCUCAUCGCGUCAAUCCCGCGUGAUUUAAUUGAGUUCAUUCAAUUAACUGCCGAAGAAUUGGGAAGGUAAUUAAUUGAAGGAACAACCGAGGGGGCCCUGACUUCGCAUUCGUUUUGGAGCCGCAAUCUCAAAGCAGAGAGCCACGAAGAAUUGUCACAGGCGGAAGGAACAAAUUCAAGAGUCAGAGUCGCAUAAAGCCAAAAACUACAGAAAAGAAGAAAGUCUCCAAUGUCUGACCCAAAGCCGCAGAAGAAACAAAAGAAAAACGUCUAACCCCAAAAAUUGCAAAAAGUAAAACUAAAGCUAAAAGAAGUGAUCCCCCCGUAUCUUGCUUUUUCCUCCUUUUUAUAUCCGCCAUCAGUAGUAUUCCUCCUGAUAAGAGUUUAUUUUACGUUAUUUUAAGUGCAUUUUAUUAGUUAAUUUUGAGUUGAUUAUUUAGUUUUAUAAUUAAAAUAAAGAGGUUUUUGGUAAAAUUAUAUAUUUUUGGUAAAAGUGGAUAAUAUUGCAUUUUUAGUGAUUUUAAUGGUAAAACCUUCAUUUUUAUGCAGGAAUGAUGACUCAAUCACCAAAGGAUGGCAAAUGAGGUGAAAAAUAGAGAUUUGGUGAUGAAAUUAAGUGGUGAAAAGAAAAAUGAAGUGAAAAACGUUCAAAUGAAGAAUUGCACUUCAAGACAGUUUUGACACGCUUCAGUAUUUCGAUCAUAUCUCAGGCUACAAAACUCUGAUUUGGAUGAUUUUUAAAGCAUUGGAAAGCUAACUCAAAGGGUUACAACUUUGGUGUUUUACACAAAAACCAGUUCGGCCUGUAUCAUGGAGAAAAUCGCAGUUGAAAUAAGGUCAAAGUGAAAACGCGAGUACAAAAAACGCGAGUUGUAGCCGCGUUUUGUGUAAGCGCGUUUUGUAGCCAAAAUUCUGCAAAUUGCUCAGCUAUUUUCUCUUGUGUUCAUACCACUUUCCAGCUAUAAGAUGCAAGGGAAUCCGGUGCACAUGCUUCAGAAGUCAAAAGGGCAAAGGUGGCUUAUUUUCAAGUCAAAAACAUUGGUUAUUGACAAUUAUAACAAAGUUAGAUUUGGGGAAUCAAAAGUUGGAAUUUGACUUGGAAAAAGAAGCCUUUUGAGUGUUUUUUAUGCAGAGAUAUAGGGAGAGGUCUGGAUAUUCAUUCGUAGCUUAGCUUCUUACAGAAAAACAUAUUCUCUCUACCUAGGAAUUGCAAGAAAAAUUGGGAUCUCAUUGUGUAAUCAUCUAAGUUGAAGAACAAAGAAGAUUUUUGAAGGCUUCACCAUAUCUUGGCUAAGGCUUUCUUUACUCCUCUUGUAUUUGUAAUUCAUGAUGAUUUACAUUAAUGAAGUUAUGAGUGUUUUAUCAUUCAUGAGUAGCUAAUUUUCUUUAUCUAGGGAGUAGAUGAAGCUUAUGGCCAAAUGAUAUGAAUUGAUUGUUAUUCAUUCUUGUUAUAUGUUGUAUUAACUUGUCUACUUGUGUAUGCUUGAUUACUUGUUGUUGUUUGAUCACCAAUAACAGGUUUAUAGUUGUUUUUAUUCAUUAAGAAAUGGUAAAAAUAAUGGAAUGACACAAGUAGAACUUGAGUUGUAUAUUCAUGAGAAUAGAAAUACAUUCAAGUGGAUGAAAUUUGCAUUUCAUGUGUGAAUAAGAGCAGAUUUAGUAUUACCAAGAGAUUAGGACAAACUAAUCUGUUUUAACCCAUUAUUAUCAUGAGAAUGUGAUUUUGGUAUUUCUGGAAAUGAAUCAUUGGUUAAACAAGAGUAGUAACAAGUGUUGAAUUAAUUCAUUUUAGAUCUUUUGUGUCAUAAGUGGAAUCUACAUCCCUAGAUCUUAAUAUUUAGUGAAUUCUACUCCCCUUGAGAUAUUGCAAUUUUCUAGUUAAGAACUCUUGUAGUUGAAUUUAAUUCUAAAUUUUCUGCUUAAUUUUAUUGUGCGUCUAAAUAAUAGAGUAAAUUAGUAUCUAAUAAUUGUUUUAAUUGCUCCUCGUGGGAUCGACCCGAUACAUACCCAAUAUUACGAUUUUGGCCUGUAUACUUGCAGAAAAACGGGUAUAAUUCGGAAUUAAACUUGCACUUAUAGUAAACACCCGUCACCUCCCAGGAGGAGGCUUUUGCCAAAGGGGCGCUGAUCCCACGCUUCAGGUUCACGUGGACCGGGGUCCGGCUUUUCGGUAACGUCUACCUUGUCUAGCGUGGCCACGCCCUGAAAUGAAAGGUCUUCUGGAAAUUUACCUCGAUAUAUCAUUUUUAAUGCUAACCACCUACAAUUCACACAAAUAUAAAAAAUGAGCGAAAUUCCAUUUCUUAGCACCAUGAAUAGCCAAAAUUAGGAUAAGAUGACAAUGCAAAAUGUGCCAAAUAACUGCUCUAUCAAACACUAGGAAGAUAAAAGAGCUACAUUUCUGCACUCCAAGCUUUCUCCCGUAUCUCCUCUCUAUUUUUCUUCUAUGGUCUCCCAUCCCUUCUCUUGCAAUGAAUUUGGCUAUUUAAUGAUGAAAAUUGGUCAAGAAAUUAGGCCUCCAUCUUCCUUUUACAGCUGGGAAUGUUUCUCACAUGUCUAGCAACGCAUGUGAGUUGGUGGGACUGAAAUUGAGUUUUCCGCAUACAGAGCAGUCUUUUUCUGACCACAAUCCGGCCAGAAAUCCGGCCGGAUUGCUACAGUGAUCAUUUGGUCACUUCUGGUUCAAUUUCCAGUUCUGCUCCAAUUUUGCAUCAAUUUCAACUGAACUUUUCUUGAUGAUAAAAGCUGAUUUAGCUCUUGAUCAAAACAUAAAACUUGUAGCCCUUUGAGUUAUCUUUCCAAUGCAACAAGAAUAACCUCAUUUGGAUCUGUGUAGGCUGAGAAAUGACUGAAAUACCCUUGACUGCUCACUGCCCUGUUCCAGCUUCGACCAAUACAAAUUUGCUACUGUUAUUCGGCUUUUUGACCUGGAAAACCUUCAAACUGGAUUCAGAUGUCUUCAUCAAAGUUAUAUAUCUAUCUCUUAUCUUCAAAUGGAUUUAAUAAUCAUCCCAAUCCGAUUAUUGUAGCUCAAAUUAUAGCUGAAAUACGAAAAUGUGUCAAAACUGUCAAAAUACACAAAAUCCAAGUAGAAAGUGAUAAAAACCUCAUUUAAUCACUUCAAAGUAUUUUUCACCAAUUAUAGCCAAAAUCAUUCAUUUUCUUCCAAUAAUAUACCCAAAGUGAAUAAAAAUAAUAUAAAAUAUCAUACAAUUAUUACGUAAAUUAGUUGCUUAUCAAACUCCCCCGCACUUAAAUAAUUGCUUGUCCUCAAGCAAUCCACACAUAAUCAACUACAUUGAUUCAAGAGAUGAAACAAUAUACGCACUAUUGUCAAAUUUAAUUCCUCAAGACCUGGAAAAUAAUCAUUAUACAGUUAUUCUAAUUACACUAAAUACUCAUAAUAUCAAGUAAAGGAAAGAUAAUUAUACCCUAAUUUAACAAGUUAAAUUUAAUCUCUCACCCUAACUUAAUUUCACAAAUAAACAAAUCACAUAGUCAAUUUAUAGCAUUCCUCCUCCUAUAAUCAUUUUUUUCUCAAAAUUUUACAACUAAGAGGGAUUUAUUCAUACUAAUUUUACUUAAAUAGUGAAAAUGUCUUUUUACGCGAAAAUCGACACUUUUAGGUGAAGAUCUCCGGUUACUCGACAUUUCACUUAUUCAAGUUGCUAUGCAUACUCUUAAUUCAAAUACCUUUUUACGCGAAUGUCGACAUUUGUAGAUGCCAACUCUCCCAGUUACUUGGUACGAGAAUCAUUGGAAUAGAACAAUUUUUAUUUACUUUCUUUUCUUCUUUUUUUCUCUUUUUUUUCUUUUUUUUAUCAGAAAAUAAAUAGAUUUUUCCUCAUAGAAAAUUAAAUCAAAGGAGGAGUAUAGCUUUUAUUGACUAUAUCAAUUGCUUACUUGCAAAAUUAAGUAAAUAGAAGAAAUCUCAUUAAACAUGUAAAAUUAUAAGCAUAAUUUUCUUCACCUUACCAAAUAUACUUUCUAAAAUGUAAAAAUCCUAAUUGCAUAAUAACCAUUUUCAAGUUAAAUGAGGACUAAACUUUCCAAAAUACACAUAAAGUUUCAACAAUUGGAAGAAUUUAAACAUUUAAAGUUGGAACAAAUUAGCCCUUUUUGAAUGAAAAUGCAAAAAUUUGAAGAACUUUUGGGCCAUAGUGAAAUACUGGAAAAGAUUUUAGCAAAAUUUUUACAGAGUUUCUCCUUAUAAAUUGAUGAAAACUCUCUGCCAACAAACCUAUUUUCUAGCAAAUUAUCCACAUGACAAGCAUUUCAAACACAAUUCCAACAUUUCUAAGCAUUUAAAUCCACAAAAUAUCAUCACAUAGCCUUAAAAUGCAAGUUCAAAUAUUUCCUCCCCCACACUUAAACUUCACAUUAUCCUCAAUGUGAGAAAAGGAAAAUAAAUAAAGAGUAAAAGAAAAUACUGCUAAAUUGAACUUGCGCAAUCCGAAUCCAUGUCCAAGUGAUGAAUUUCCAACCGUAUUUGAGAAAGAAUGGAGAGUUCACUUAUUGCACCCUGAAAAAGACAAAAUCAAAACAAAUAAAUUUCUUAAAAAUAAAAUGUUGCAAUCAACAAAAACAUGCAAUUCAAGGAAAAAGGAAAAAUGAUCAAGCAUGCGGAACCAUACAAUGUUCAAGGGAUAAAAACAUGAAAUGAGCUAAUCUUUGCUAAUCAAAUAUAUGCAUUAGUAUCCAAAGCAAAGGGAAGCUAAUUUCACACAAUAAAUCCGCCAUCACGAAAGUAAGUUCCAUUUAUACAUUUUGUCAUCAAUGAUCAAAUCCCCUCAAGUACAAAAGUAAUCUCAAAAUGGAGGCAAACACAUCAAACCAAAAUAUAAAUGACCUUCGUGAGAAUUCAUGAAAUAACUAAAACCACUGAACCACAAAAAUGGUAACAGCAUUUAUGAAUUUCAUCAAUUAAGGCCAUCUUCAAUUCAUGUGAGGACCGUAAAUCUUCCUUAUUUCAUAAUAUUUUUAUUUUAUUUUCUCGCAUGCAUUUUCUUCAUUAUACCCUAUUAUAUUGAUUUUUUAGAGAUUUUUAUAAGUGAGUAGAGUUUUCAAAUCAUUUUCCUAGUUUAAGUUAGUUCAUAUUAAAUUUGAAGUGUAUUAUGGACGUGGAACCCGCUAGUGUGCUAAGUGCAAUAUAUUUUUGACAACUCAUUGGAGUUUUGUAUUAAGUGAUAUUAUUUUACAAGGUGCUAGGAGACAAUUAGAGGUUAGCUAGAUUAAUUAGUAUGGAGAGACAAGAAGAUAAGCUUAAACAUUAAAGGAGCCAAGUGUCAUGAACCUAUUGGGUGUGGACUUUGACCAAACCUUCUUUACCUUUACUAAACAUCAAAAUUGACCAAAAUUUCCUUCAUUCUUUUGCUUGCUUGGCCGAACCAUAGAGCGGAGAGAAGAGAGAAAAUCCAUCAUCUUGUACAUCAAUUUCUUUCUCCAAUCUUGAUUUCCAACCAUCAAAAUUGUAAAUUACUCCAUAAAAACUUCUUGCUAGGAAGGAUUAAAGGUUUUAGUGGAGUCAAUUUGGGAGGAAAGAUACUAAGUUACCAUCUUUCUAGUGUUCUAAGGCAAGGUUCCAAGAAAACCUCUCUUUAUUUUUUUUAUAAUUGCAUAGUAGUGGUUUAUAGUGUUAAAUAGGUAGUUUUGUGGAAGAUUUCAUGGUUUAAAGUAGUAUUAUGGUAAUUUUUCAAUUUUAUGGGAAUUUUCUGCCCUUAUUUGAUGCUUAAGCAUAUGCCAUGGAUUGAUAGCCUUGUUGUGUGUGAAGUGAAGCUUGUAUAUGCUAGAUGUGAUUUCCUAUGAAAAAUUUCAGUUUGUGUAGUCAAAUUUCAGUUUUAGGGUUUAAUCUGCCCUGUUCUGACCGGAUUUAUUUGAGCAUGUUAGAGGCCAAAUAAGGCUUAGGUUAAAACAUGAAAGUUGUACUAAAUGGUGUUAAAAAUAUUCCUACAAAAUUUCAGCUUAAUCCGAGCACUGUACCAUGUGAAAUGACUGAAAUACCCAUGAACCCUGUUUCGCGCCCAGAUUUUUGUUUUCGUGGAGUUUUCCAUUUUUGACCAUGAAAAUGCAUGAUUUGGCUUUGGAAGUCUUCAUAAGAAAUGUAGGUAUAUGUCUUAUCUUUCUAACGCCACUAGAAUCACCUCGUUUGGACUUCGGUAGUCUGAGUUAUUGUCAUUUACGUAUAAGGCGGUCAACAAGCCCGAAUGUGAGAUGCUGGUUCUGUUAUUUGAGAUUUUGACUUAGAUACACUACAAACUGGACUGAGUGGUCUUCAUCAAAGUUGUAGGCCUUUGUCUUAGCUUCGAAACCAUAUAAAUUUCACCCCAAUCCGAUAAGCGUAGCUUCGAUUGUAUCCGUUACGCAAAACAACGUCAAAUCUGUCUUUUGUUUCUUGACUCAACCUUCAUUUCCGCACAUGCUCCUAGCUUGAUUUUGUACUUGUAUGACUUGGAGCCUAUGGAAUGGCUAUUGAAAUGAGAUGAUUUUGUGUAUGACUUUGGAUUUGAUUGAGGAAAAGAAUAAAGCCAUAAAUGACUGAAAAAUAGGUAAAUACAAAGGGCGUGCUGCCCAAAUUUACGCUCGAGAACUAGGUCGAUAUACUUGCGACUUGAGUAAGGCUUGAGAGAGUAUACCACGCGAACCAUCUAGGGUAUUUACGUUUUCUUUGCCACUUCGACUCAAAUAGCGAUUUUAAAGUUUUAACAAGUGAGUCUAAGUUUUACAAAUAUUUUACUUAUGUCCUUUGGUUUCAAUGUACUCUUUUCACUACCAAAACCAUCUUUAUACUUUGUACUAGUACGUAUUUGACUUGUCUUUGACUCACUUACAUCUUUGAUGGUUGAAGCAUAAUGUGUUCAUUUGAUUAUAUUAGGAUACCUUGGUGCUUGAGGGUGUAUCCGGAAGGAAACUUUGGACGUUAUUUUGCUUAAAUAGGUGAGUUCCCUGUUUGUUAUAUUUUCCUUCACUUUAUGAUUUAUGUUAUUGUUUGAUAAAGUGUUAAGUGCUCUCAAUGAUUUUAAACGAGUUUUCUAGGCGAGUGUGUACUUUAUCGCACUCGACCUAAAUGAAUGUGAAAUUUCAAUGAUUUAAUCAUUGAAACGUUAGUUGUGCAUGAUGUAAGCCUUUUGGCUGAACUGGGCCCUGCCCUUCGUUACCGAUCGUCUCGAGCCAGAAGCGGACUCGGUCGGGGGAUAUGGUGACCCUAGGUGUAAAAGUGGUAUGCUCGAGUAUUACCUUAAAUUCUGUUGGAGUCUGACCAACGUCCAGGAAGGGGGUGAAUGAAAUGAAUGAACGAACGAGGGUUUUACUUGCAAAAAUGCAUUUUCAAAUGAUUGGAGAAAUAAGGGGAAAUGACAGGAGAACGAAUGAACGAACGAAUGAAUGGCUCCCUGUGAGCUCGUAUCCUUUUAAUGAAUGUGUUAUUAUAGCUCUCCAUUGUAAAUAUUUCCUGAGUUAUUGAUGCUCUAUGUUUAAUGUAGUGGAUUGAUUGUUUGAUUAUGUGUUUGGAACCUCACUGAGCUUUUAGCUCAUCCCUUUUUUUUUUGUUUUCCUUAACAGGGGAAGGCGAGCAAGGACGAGAGCUCUGUAUAGACUAGCUUGGUCUAGCUCUUGGUUUCUGUAAUGGUUCUCGCCCUAAUGCUUGGCACGAGCUGGUUGUGUGGCGAAUUGAGAACCUUUGUAUAUUUGAUGGUUGUACUUCCUUUUGAGAUAGCAAUGUAUAUAAGUUUUGUUUAAGUUUUUGAUCGUUGUUAUGUUUAUUCUUAUGGGUUUGUGCUGGUUUUGAUUGAGGAUGGAAGUGAACGACUGAGUCCUGGCGAGAGUUGGGCAGGCGGUUCGCCGAACCCUUUGGUUCGCCUUAGAGGGAGGUGGGGCUGUCACAGUUGGUAUCAGAGCCAGGUUCGCGUGGUCUCUGCGCGGAGUGAGCUUGGAUUAAGUGGUGAAUAAGUAUGAAAGAUUAAGUGCUCGUUCGAGCAUAAGCUCUGAAUUGUGAAUGUUAUAGGCUUUAAAUCUUUUUCGUGGUAUCUGAGGAUCAUAGAUAGGUACGUCAGGUAGGAAUCUCGAUUGUAGAUAGUUUACUCUUGGAACUGGCCAGCUCGAGAUGUGAAUUGUCUUAUUUCAGAUUCUUGUGCCCGAGUACUCCAGAGUUGAGACGGUGUUAAGUAUUUGAGAUUUGCAUUUUGGGACCAUGAAUAGGCUUUGUCUGGCUAGAAUGAGUACAAGAGGUCAAUGGAUAUCUAGUUUGGAUAGUAAGUGACGUGAGAAACCAGACGGGGUAUUUAACUGAGACUGGGACGAUAUCGCCUUUACUUUUGAUUUGCCCUUAUACCGUUAUGACAUGACAUUGGUUUGAGUAUUUGUGCAUAUGAUCAUCUGUCUAAUUUGAUAUGAAUUUAUGUAUUUGAUCGUCUGUCUUCUUGAUAUCUGGUGUGUUAUGUGUGUACAUGUCUAUUUGUGUAUUGGUGUGCUAGAAUUUGAUUACUUUCGUCCAUUUACUGCAUUUAUUCACUAAAUUAUCUUUUUGGGAAAAGAAAAAAAAAGAGGGGGAAAAUAUAUAUGGAGGGAAGACGUAGUCGCGGACGUGAUCGUGGCCGUGGGACUAAGCGAGUCCAAGAGCCAAUAGAAGAAAGGGAAACAACAGCUGAACCAGUACAAGGACCCAGGGUUGAAGCCAGAGACCAAAUGGCAACGGCAAUUCAACAAAUGACAAACAUUUUAGCGAGGUUGGUGGACCAACAAGGUCAAAUGCCCGUGAAUCAACCCCAAAACCCUGAAAUAGGAGAAGAUCGGGCUUUUGAGAGGUUUGAAAAGUUUGCACCUCCAAAAUUCGCUGGAGGGCCUGAUCCGGAUAUCGCUGAACAGUGGUUAGAGGCCAUGGUUAAUAUAUUCACAGCUUUGAACUAAACUGAACAGAGACAAGUGAGCUUUGCAGUGUUUCAGUUUGAAGGGCCGGCUCGCGCAUGGUGGAAUGUGAUUAGAGCAAAGUGGAAAAGAGAACGGACUGUAUGGACGUGGGUGAACUUUGUAAGAGAAUUUAACGAGAAGUACCUCCCACCUUUAGUCCAAGAAAGGAGGGAUGAUGAAUUUAUUGGACUACGCCAGGGGACCUUAAGUGUGGCUGAAUACGAAACGAAAUUCACCAAACUAUCCAAGUUUGCUUCCGAAUUAUUAGCCACGGAACCGAGAAGAGUGAGACGGUUUAUACAGGGAUUGAAUUUGGAAAUUCAAGAAGCUCUAGCGGCGGUUCAAGUGAAUACGUUUACAGAGGCCCUUGAGAAAGCCCAACGAAUCGAGAAUGCAAAGGCACAGGUAAAAGCCUCCCAAACCCGGAAAAGAAGUGCCGCGGCCAGUGUGGUUGAGGAACCGGGUGAAUCGAUAACACCCUCUAAAGUGCAGAAAGUGAAACCGUUCACCCGGCCACCAUGGACAUUAGGGGCAGUAGAUGAAAGGUCUACAAAAGGGAGCCAAAUCGGACCUGAGGAAAUUUCUCAAGAAAGCCAAAAGAUGGCUUCUCACUUGACUUGUGGCUACUGUGGAAAUGCCAAUCACACCAAGACCGAUUGUUGGCGAAAAGGGCGGAAGUGUUUGAUUUGCAGAAAUGGGGAUCAUCAAGUUAGCAACUGUCCGAGUAGACAGUCACGUGAAGGUAGUACUCCGCGACUGGAUGGAGCCAAAUCAAAACAAGCGAACGAAAGAGGGAAACGAACUAGUGUACCGGCAAAAGCCUAUGCGUUGGAUAACCAAACAGUUCCGGACUCGUCUGUAGCAACUGAAGGUAAAAUUUCGAGGACGAAAUUUCUUAAGGGGGAGAGAGUGUGAGGACCGUAAAUCUUCCUUAUUUCAUAAUAUUUUUAUUUUAUUUUCUCGCAUGCAUUUUCUUCAUUAUACCCUAUUAUAUUGAUUUUUCACAGAAUUUUUGAGUUUUCAAAUCAUUUUCCUAGUUUAAGUUAGUUCAUAUUAAAUUUGAAGUGUAUUAUGGAUGUGGGACCCGCUAGUGUGCUAAGUGCAAUAUAUUUUUGACAACUCAUUGGAGUUUUGUAUUAAGUGAUAUUAUUUUACAAGGUGCUAGGAGACAAUUAGAGGUUAGCUAGAUUAAUUAGUAUGGAGAGACAAGAAGAUAAGCUUAAACAUUAAAGGAGCCAAGUGUCAUGAACCUAUUGGGUGUGGACUUUGACCAAACCUUCUUUACCUUUACUAAACAUCAAAAUUGACCAAAAUUUCCUUCAUUCUUUUGCUUGCUUGGCCGAACCAUAGAGCGGAGAGAAGAGAGAAAAUCCAUCAUCUUGUACAUCAAUUUCUUUCUCCAAUCUUGAUUUCCAACCAUCAAAAUUGUAAAUUACUCCAUAAAAACUUCUUGCUAGGAAGGAUUAAAGGUUUUAGUGGAGUCAAUUUGGGAGGAAAGAUACUAAGUUACCAUCUUUCUAGUGUUCUAAGGUAAGGUUCCAAGAAAACCUCACUUUAUUUUUUUUAUAAUUGCAUAGUAGUGGUUUAUAGUGUUAAAUAGGUAGUUUUGUGGAAGAUUUCAUGGUUUAAAGUAGUAUUAUGGUAAUUUUUCAAUUUUAUGGGAAUUUUCUGCCCUUAUUUGAUGCUUAAGCAUAUGCCAUGGAUUGAUAGCCUUGUUGUGUGUGAAGUGAAGCUUGUAUAUGCUAGAUGUGAUUUCCUAUGAAAAAUUUCAGUUUGUGUAGUCAAAUUUCAGUUUUAGGGUUUAAUCUGCCCUGUUCUGACCGGAUUUAUUUGAGCAUGUUAGAGGCCAAAUAAGGCUUAGGUUAAAACAUGAAAGUUGUACUAAAUGGUGUUAACAAGAUUCCUACAAAAUUUCAGCUUAAUCCGAGCACUGUACCAUGUGAAAUGACUGAAAUACCCAUGAACCCUGUUUCGCGCCCAGAUUUUUGUUUUCGUGGAGUUUUCCAUUUUUGACCAUGAAAAUGCAUGAUUUGGCUUUGGAGGUCUUCAUAAGAAAUGUAGGUAUAUGUCUUAUAUUUCCAACUCCCCUAGAAUCACCUCGUUUGGAUUUCGGUAGUCUGAGUUAUUGUCAUUUACGCAUAAGGCGGUCAACAAGCCCGAAUGUGAGAUGCUGGUUCUGUUAUUUGAGAUUUUGACUUAGAUACACUACAAACUGGACUGAGUGGUCUUCAUCAAAGUUGUAGGUCUUUGUCUUAGCUUCGAAACCAUAUAAAUUUCACCCCAAUCCGAUAAGCGUAGCUUCGAUUGUAUCCGUUACGCAAAACAACGUCAAAUCUGUCUUUUGUUUCUUGACUCAACCUUCAUUUCCGCACAUGCUCCUAGCUUGAUUUUGUACUGGUAUGACUUGGAGCCUAUGGAAUGGCUAUUGAAAUGAGAUGAUUUUGUGUAUGACUUUGGAUUUGAUUGAGGAAAAGAAUAAAGCCAUAAAUGACUGAAAAAUAGGUAAAUACAAAGGGCGUGCUGCCCAAAUUUACGCUCGAGAACUAGGUCGAUAUACUUGCGACUUGAGUAAGGCUUGAGAGAGUAUACCACGCGAACCAUCUAGGGUAUUUACGUUUUCUUUGCCACUUCGACUCAAAUAGCGAUUUUAAAGUUUUAACAAGUGAGUCUAAGUUUUACAAAUAUUUUACUUAUGUCCUUUGGUUUCAAUGUACUCUUUUCACUACCAAAACCAUCUUUAUACUUUGUACUAGUACGUAUUUGACUUGUCUUUGACUCACUUACAUCUUUGAUGGUUGAAGCAUAAUGUGUUCAUUUGAUUAUAUUAGGAUACCUUGGUGCUUGAGGGUGUAUCCGGAAGGAAACUUUGGACGUUAUUUUGCUUAAAUAGGUGAGUUCCCUGUUUGUUAUAUUUUCCUUCACUUUAUGAUUUAUGUUAUUGUUUGAUAAAGUGUUAAGUGCUCUCAAUGAUUUUAAACGAGUUUUCUAGGCGAGUGUGUACUUUAUCGCACUCGACCUAAAUGAAUGUGAAAUUUCAAUGAUUUAAUCAUUGAAACGUUAGUUGUGCAUGAUGUAAGCCUUUUGGCUGAACUGGGCCCUGCCCUUCGUUACCGAUCGUCUCGAGCCAGAAGCGGACUCGGUCGGGGGAUAUGGUGACCCUAGGUGUAAAAGUGGUAUGCUCGAGUAUUACCUUAAAUUCUGGUGGAGUCUGACCAACGUCCAGGAAGGGGGUGAAUGAAAUGAAUGAACGAACGAGGGUUUUACUUGCAAAAAUGCAUUUUCAAAUGAUUGGAGAAAUAAGGGGAAAUGACAGGAGAACGAAUGAACGAACGAAUGAAUGGCUCCCUGUGAGCUCGUAUCCUUUUAAUGAAUGUGUUAUUAUAGCUCUCCAUUGUAAAUAUUUCCUGAGUUAUUGAUGCUCUAUGUUUAAUGUAGUGGAUUGAUUGUUUGAUUAUGUGUUUGGAACCUCACUGAGCUUUUAGCUCAUCCCUUUUUUUUUUGUUUUCCUUAACAGGGGAAGGCGAGCAAGGACGAGAGCUCUGUAUAGACUAGCUUGGUCUAGCUCUUGGUUUCUGUAAUGGUUCUCGCCCUAAUGCUUGGCACGAGCUGGUUGUGUGGCGAAUUGAGAACCUUUGUAUAUUUGAUGGUUGUACUUCCUUUUGAGAUAGCAAUGUAUAUAAGUUUUGUUUAAGUUUUGGAUCGUUGUUAUGUUUAUUCUUAUGGGUUUGUGCUGGUUUUGAUUGAGGAUGGAAGUGAACGACUGAGUCCUGGCGAGAGUUGGGCAGGCGGUUCGCCGAACCCUUUGGUUCGCCUUAGAGGGAGGUGGGGCUGUCACAGUUGGUAUCAGAGCCAGGUUCGCGUGGUCUCUGCGCGGAGUGAGCCUGGAUUAAGUGGUGAAUAAGUAUGAAAGAUUAAGUGCUCGUUCGAGCAUAAGCUCUGAAUUGUGAAUGUUAUAGGCUUUAAAUCUUUUUCGUGGUAUCUGAGGAUCAUAGAUAGGUACGUCAGGUAGGAAUCUCGAUUGUAGAUAGUUUACUCUUGGAACUGGCCAGCUCGAGAUGUGAAUUGUCUUAUUUCAGAUUCUUGUGCCCGAGUACUCCAGAGUUGAGACGGUGUUAAGUAUUUGAGAUUUUCAUUUUGGGACCAUGAAUAGGCUUUGUCUGGCUAGAAUGAGUACAAGAGGUCAAUGGAUAUCUAGUUUGGAUAGUAAGUGACGUGAGAGACCAGACGGGGUAUUUAACUGAGACUGGGACGAUAUCGCCUUUACUUUUGAUUUGCCCUUAUACCGUUAUGACAUGACGUUGGUUUGAGUAUUUGUGCAUAUGAUCAUCUGUCUAAUUUGAUAUGAAUUUAUGUAUUUGAUCGUCUGUCUUCUUGAUAUCUGGUGUGUUAUGUGUGUACAUGUCUAUUUGUGUAUUGGUGUGCUAGAAUUUGAUUACUUUCGUCCAUUUACUGCAUUUAUUCACUAAAUUAUCUUUUUGGGAAAAGAAAAAAAAAGAGGGGGAAAAUAUAUAUGGAGGGAAGACGUAGUCGCGGACGUGAUCGUGGCCGUGGGACUAAGCGAGUCCAAGAGCCAAUAGAAGAAAGGGAAACAACAGCUGAACCAGUACAAGGACCCAGGGUUGAAGCCAGAGACCAAAUGGCAACGGCAAUUCAACAAAUGACAAACAUUUUAGCGAGGUUGGUGGACCAACAAGGUCAAAUGCCCGUGAAUCAACCCCAAAACCCUGAAAUAGGAGAAGAUCGGGCUUUUGAGAGGUUUGAAAAGUUUGCACCUCCAAAAUUCGCUGGAGGGCCUGAUCCGGAUAUCGCUGAACAGUGGUUAGAGGCCAUGGUUAAUAUAUUCACAGCUUUGAACUAAACUGAACAGAGACAAGUGAGCUUUGCAGUGUUUCAGUUUGAAGGGCCGGCUCGCGCAUGGUGGAAUGUGAUUAGAGCAAAGUGGAAAAGAGAACGGACUGUAUGGACGUGGGUGAACUUUGUAAGAGAAUUUAACGAGAAGUACCUCCCACCUUUAGUCCAAGAAAGGAGGGAUGAUGAAUUUAUUGGACUACGCCAGGGGACCUUAAGUGUGGCUGAAUACGAAACGAAAUUCACCAAACUAUCCAAGUUUGCUUCCGAAUUAUUAGCCACGGAACCGAGAAGAGUGAGACGGUUUAUACAGGGAUUGAAUUUGGAAAUUCAAGAAGCUCUAGCGGCGGUUCAAGUGAAUACGUUUACAGAGGCCCUUGAGAAAGCCCAACGAAUCGAGAAUGCAAAGGCACAGGUAAAAGCCUCCCAAACCCGGAAAAGAAGUGCCGCGGCCAGUGUGGUUGAGGAACCGGGUGAAUCGAUAACACCCUCUAAAGUGCAGAAAGUGAAACCGUUCACCCGGCCACCAUGGACAUUAGGGGCAGUAGAUGAAAGGUCUACAAAAGGGAGCCAAAUCGGACCUGAGGAAAUUUCUCAAGAAAGCCAAAAGAUGGCUUCUCACUUGACUUGUGGCUACUGUGGAAAUGCCAAUCACACCAAGACCGAUUGUUGGCGAAAAGGGCGGAAGUGUUUGAUUUGCAGAAAUGGGGAUCAUCAAGUUAGCAACUGUCCGAGUAGACAGUCACGUGAAGGUAGUACUCCGCGACUGGAUGGAGCCAAAUCAAAACAAGCGAACGAAAGAGGGAAACGAACUAGUGUACCGGCAAAAGCCUAUGCGUUGGAUAACCAAACAGUUCCGGACUCGUCUGUAGCAACUGAAGGUAAAAUUUCGAGGACGAAAUUUCUUAAGGGGGAGAGAGUGUGAGGACCGUAAAUCUUCCUUAUUUCAUAAUAUUUUUAUUUUAUUUUCUCGCAUGCAUUUUCUUCAUUAUACCCUAUUAUAUUGAUUUUUCACAAAUUUUUGAGUUUUCAAAUCAUUUUCCUAGUUUAAUUUAGUUCAUAUUAAAUUUGAAGUGUAUUAUGGAUGUGGGACCCGCUAGUGUGCUAAGUACAAUAUAUUUUUGACAACUCAUUGGAGUUUUGUAUUAAGUGAUAUUAUUUUACAAGGUGUUAGGAGACAAUUAGAGGUUAGCUAGAUUAAUUAGUAUGGAGAGACAAGAAGAUAAGCUUAAACAUUAAAGGAGCCAAGUGUCAUGAACCUAUUGGGUGUGGACUUUGACCAAACCUUCUUUACCUUUACUAAACAUCAAAAUUGACCAAAAUUUCCUUCAUUCUUUUGCUUGCUUGGCCGAACCAUAGAGCGGAGAGAAGAGAGAAAAUCCAUCAUCUUGUACAUCAAUUUCUUUCUCCAAUCUUGAUUUCCAACCAUCAAAAUUGUAAAUUACUCCAUAAAAACUUCUUGCUAGGAAGGAUUAAAGGUUUUAGUGGAGUCAAUUUGGGAGGAAAGAUACUAAGUUACCAUCUUUCUAGUGUUCUAAGGUAAGGUUCCAAGAAAACCUCACUUUAUUUUUUUUAUAAUUGCAUAGUAGUGGUUUAUAGUGUUAAAUAGGUAGUUUUGUGGAAGAUUUCAUGGUUUAAAGUAGUAUUGUGGUAAUUUUUCAAUUUUAUGGGAAUUUUCUGCCCUUAUUUGAUGCUUAAGCAUAUGCCAUGGAUUGAUAGCCUUGUUGUGUGUGAAGUGAAGCUUGUAUAUGCUAGAUGUGAUUUCCUAUGAAAAAUUUCAGUUUGUGUAGUCAAAUUUCAGUUUUAGGGUUUAAUCUGCCCUGUUCUGACCGGAUUUAUUUGAGCAUGUUAGAGGCCAAAUAAGGCUUAGGUUAAAACAUGAAAGUUGUACUAAAUGGUGUUAACAAGAUUCCUACAAAAUUUCAGCUUAAUCCGAGCACUGUACCAUGUGAAAUGACUGAAAUACCCAUGAACCCUGUUUCGCGCCCAGAUUUUUGUUUUCGUGGAGUUUUCCAUUUUUGACCAUGAAAAUGCAUGAUUUGGCUUUGGAGGUCUUCAUAAGAAAUGUAGGUAUAUGUCUUAUCUUUCUAACUCCACUAGAAUCACCUCGUUUGGACUUCGGUAGUCUGAGUUAUUGUCAUUUACGCAUAAGGCGGUCAACAAGCCCGAAUGUGAGAUGCUGGUUCUGUUAUUUGAGAUUUUGACUUAGAUACGCUACAAACUGGACUGAGUGGUCUUCAUCAAAGUUGUAGGCCUUUGUCUUAGCUUCGAAACCAUAUAAAUUUCACCCCAAUCCGAUAAGCGUAGCUUCGAUUGUAUCCGUUACGCAAAACAACGUCAAAUCUGUCUUUUGUUUCUUGACUCAACCUUCAUUUCCGCACAUGGUCCUAGCUUGAUUUUGUACUUGUAUGACUUGGAGCCUAUGGAAUGGCUAUUCAAAUGAGAUGAUUUUGUGUAUGACUUUGGAUUUGAUUGAGGAAAAGAAUAAAGCCAUAAAUGACUGAAAAAUAGGUAAAUACAAAGGGCGUGCUGCCCAAAUUUACGCUCGAGAACUAGGUCUAUAUACUUGCGACUUGAGUAAGGCUUGAGAGAGUAUACCACGCGAACCAUCUAGGGUAUUUACGUUUUCUUUGCCACUUCGACUCAAAUAGCGAUUUUAAAGUUUUAACAAGUGAGUCUAAGUUUUACAAAUAUUUUACUUAUGUCCUUUGGUUUCAAUGUACUCUUUUCACUACCAAAGCCAUCUUUAUACUUUGUACUAGUACGUAUUUGACUUGUCUUUGACUCACUUACAUCUUUGAUGGUUGAAGCAUAAUGUGUUCAUUUGAUUAUAUUAGGAUACCUUGGUGCUUGAGGGUGUAUCCGGAAGGAAACUUUGGACGUUAUUUUGCUUAAAUAGGUGAGUUCCCUGUUUGUUAUAUUUUCAUUCACUUCAUGAUUUAUGUUAUUGUUUGAUAAAGUGUUAAGUGCUCUCAAUGAUUUUAAACGAGUUUUCUAGGCGAGUGUGUACUUUAUCGCACUCGACCUAAAUGAAUGUGAAAUUUCAAUGAUUUAAUCAUUGAAACGUUAGUUGUGCAUGAUGUAAGCCUUUUGGCUGAACUGGGCCCUGCCCUUCGUUACCGAUCGUCUCGAGCCAGAAGCGGACUCGGUCGGGCGAUAUGGUGACCCUAGGUGUAAAAGUGGUAUGCUCGAGUAUUACCUUAAAUUCUGGUGGAGUCUGACCAACGUCCAGGAAGGGGGUGAAUGAAAUGAAUGAACGAACGAGGGUUUUACUUGCAAAAAUGCAUUUUCAAAUGAUUGGAGAAAUAAGGGGAAAUGACAGGAGAACGAAUGAACGAACGAAUGAAUGGCUCCCUGUGAGCUCGUAUCCUUUUAAUGAAUGUGUUAUUAUAGCUCUCCAUUGUAAAUAUUUCCUGAGUUAUUGAUGCUCUAUGUUUAAUGUAGUGGAUUGAUUGUUUGAUUAUGUGUUUGGAACCUCACUGAGCUUUUAGCUCAUCCCUUUUUUUUUUGUUUUCCUUAACAGGGGAAGGCGAGCAAGGACGAGAGCUCUGUAUAGACUAGCUUGGUCUAGCUCUUGGUUUCUGUAAUGGUUCUCGCCCUAAUGCUUGGCACGAGCUGGUUGUGUGGCGAAUUGAGAACCUUUGUAUAUUUGAUGGUUGUACUUCCUUUUGAGAUAGCAAUGUAUAUAAGUUUUGUUUAAGUUUUUGAUCGUUGUUAUGUUUAUUCUUAUGGGUUUGUGCUGGUUUUGAUUGAGGAUGGAAGUGAACGACUGAGUCCUGGCGAGAGUUGGGCAGGCGGUUCGCCGAACCCUUUGGUUCGCCUUAGAGGGAGGUGGGGCUGUCACAGUUGGUAUCAGAGCCAGGUUCGCGUGGUCUCUGCGCGGAGUGAGCCUGGAUUAAGUGGUGAAUAAGUAUGAAAGAUUAAGUGCUCGUUCGAGCAUAAGCUCUGAAUUGUGAAUGUUAUAGGCUUUAAAUCUUUUUCGUGGUAUCUGAGGAUCAUAGAUAGGUACGUCAGGUAGGAAUCUCGAUUGUAGAUAGUUUACUCUUGGAACUGGCCAGCUCGAGAUGUGAAUUGUCUUAUUUCAGAUUCUUGUGCCCGAGUACUCCAGAGUUGAGACGGUGUUAAGUAUUUGAGAUUUUCAUUUUGGGACCAUGAAUAGGCUUUGUCUGGCUAGAAUGAGUACAAGAGGUCAAUGGAUAUCUAGUUUGGAUAGUAAGUGACGUGAGAGACCAGACGGGGUAUUUAACUGAGACUGGGACGAUAUCGCCUUUACUUUUGAUUUGCCCUUAUACCGUUAUGACAUGACGUUGGUUUGAGUAUUUGUGCAUAUGAUCAUCUGUCUAAUUUGAUAUGAAUUUAUGUAUUUGAUCGUCUGUCUUCUUGAUAUCUGGUGUGUUAUGUGUGUACAUGUCUAUUUGUGUAUUGGUGUGCUAGAAUUUGAUUACUUUCGUCCAUUUACUGCAUUUAUUCACUAAAUUAUCUUUUUGGGAAAAGAAAAAAAAAGAGGGGGAAAAUAUAUAUGGAGGGAAGACGUAGUCGCGGACGUGAUCGUGGCCGUGGGACUAAGCGAGUCCAAGAGCCAAUAGAAGAAAGGGAAACAACAGCUGAACCAGUACAAGGACCCAGGGUUGAAGCCAGAGACCAAAUGGCAAUGACAAUUCAACAAAUGACAAACAUUUUAGCGAGGUUGGUGGACCAACAAGGUCAAAUGCCCGUGAAUCAACCCCAAAACCCUGAAAUAGGAGAAGAUCGGGCUCUUGAGAGGUUUGAAAAGUUUGCACCUCCAAAAUUCGCUGGAGGGCCUGAUCCGGAUAUCGCUGAACAGUGGUUAGAGGCCAUGGUGAAUAUAUUCACAGCUUUGAACUAAACUGAACAGAGACAAGUGAGCUUUGCAGUGUUUCAGUUUGAAGGGCCGGCUCGCGCAUGGUGGAAUGUGAUUAGAGCAAAGUGGAAAAGAGAACGGACUGUAUGGACGUGGGUGAACUUUGUAAGAGAAUUUAACGAGAAGUACCUCCCACCUCUAGUCCAAGAAAGGAGGGAUGAUGAAUUUAUUGGACUACGCCAGGGGACCUUAAGUGUGGCUGAAUACGAAACGAAAUUCACCAAACUAUCCAAGUUUGCUUCCGAAUUAUUAGCCACGGAACCGAGAAGAGUGAGACGGUUUAUACAGGGAUUGAAUUUGGAAAUUCAAGAAGCUCUAGCGGCGGUUCAAGUGAAUACGUUUACAGAGGCCCUUGAGAAAGCCCAACGAAUCGAGAAUGCAAAGGCACAGGUAAAAGCCUCCCAAACCCGGAAAAGAAGUGCCGUGGCCAGUGUGGUUGAGGAACCGGGUGAAUCGAUAACACCCUCUAAAGUGCAGAAAGUGAAACCGUUCACCCGGCCACCAUGGACAUUAGGGGCAGUAGAUGAAAGGUCUACAAAAGGGAGCCAAAUCGGACCUGAGGAAAUUUCUCAAGAAAGCCAAAAGAUGGCUUCUCACUUGACUUGUGGCUACUGUGGAAAUGCCAAUCACACCAAGACCGAUUGUUGGCGAAAAGGGCGGAAGUGUUUGAUUUGCAGAAAUGGGGAUCAUCAAGUUAGCAACUGUACGAGUAGACAGUCACGUGAAGGUAGUACUCCGCGACUGGAUGGAGCCAAAUCAAAACAAGCGAACGAAAGAGGGAAACGAACUAGUGUACCGGCAAAAGCCUAUGCGUUGGAUAACCAAACAGUUCCGGACUCGUCUGAAGCAACUGAAGGUAAAAUUUCGAGGACGAAAUUUCUUAAGGGGGAGAGAGUGUGAGGACCGUAAAUCUUCCUUAUUUCAUAAUAUUUUUAUUUUAUUUUCUCGCAUGCAUUUUCUUCAUUAUACCCUAUUAUAUUGAUUUUCCAGAGAUUUUUGAGUUUUCAAAUCAUUUUCCUAGUUUAAGUUAGUUCAUAUUAAAUUUGAAGUGUAUUAUGGAUGUGGGACCCGCUAGUGUGCUAAGUGCAAUAUAUUUUUGACAACUAAUUGGAGUUUUGUAUUAAGUGAUAUUAUUUUACAAGGUGCUAGGAGACAAUUAGAGGUUAGCUAGAUUAAUUAGUAUGGAGAGACAAGAAGAUAAGCUUAAACAUUAAAGGAGCCAAGUGUCAUGAACCUAUUGGGUGUGGACUUUGACCAAACCUUCUUUACCUUUACUAAACAUCAAAAUUGACCAAAAUUUCCUUCAUUCUUUUGCUUGCUUGGCCGAACCAUAGAGCGGAGAGAAGAGAGAAAAUCCAUCAUCUUGUACAUCAAUUUCUUUCUCCAAUCUUGAUUUCCAACCAUCAAAAUUGUAAAUUACUCCAUAAAAACUUCUUGCUAGGAAGGAUUAAAGGUUUUAGUGGAGUCAAUUUGGGAGGAAAGAUACUAAGUUACCAUCUUUCUAGUGUUCUAAGGUAAGGUUCCAAGAAAACCUCACUUUAUUUUUUUUAUAAUUGCAUAGUAGUGGUUUAUAGUGUUAAAUAGGUAGUUUUGUGGAAGAUUUCAUGGUUUAAAGUAGUAUUAUGGUAAUUUUUCAAUUUUAUGGGAAUUUUCUGCCCUUAUUUGAUGCUUAAGCAUAUGCCAUGGAUUGAUAGCCUUGUUGUGUGUGAAGUGAAGCUUGUAUAUGCUAGAUGUGAUUUCCUAUGAAAAAUUUCAGUUUGUGUAGUCAAAUUUCAGUUUUAGGGUUUAAUCUGCCCUGUUCUGACCGGAUUUAUUUGAGCAUGUUAGAGGCCAAAUAAGGCUUAGGUUAAAACAUGAAAGUUGUACUAAAUGGUGUUAACAAGAUUCCUACAAAAUUUCAGCUUAAUCCGAGCACUGUACCAUGUGAAAUGACUGAAAUACCCAUGAACCCUGUUUCGCGCCCAGAUUUUUGUUUUCGUGGAGUUUUCGAUUUUUGACCAUAAAAAUGCAUGAUUUGGCUUUGGAGGUCUUCAUAAGAAAUGUAGGUAUAUGUCUUAUAUUUCCAACUCCCCUAGAAUCACCUCGUUUGGACUUCGGUAGUCUGAGUUAUUGUCAUUUACGCAUAAGGCGGUCAACAAGCCCGAAUGUGAGAUGCUGGUUCUGUUAUUUGAGAUUUUGACUUAGAUACACUAUAAACUGGACUGAGUGGUCUUCAUUAAAGUUGUAGGCCAUUGUCUUAGUUUCGAAACGGUAUAAAUUUCACCCCAAUCCUACAAGCGUAGCUUCGGUUGUGUCCGUUACGCAAAACAACGUCAAAUCUGUCUUUUGUUUCUUGACUCAACCUUCAUUUCCGCACAUGCUCCUAACUUGAUUUUGUACUUGUAUGACAUGGAGCCUAUGGAAUGGCUACUGAAAUGAGAUGAUUUUGUAUAUGACUUUGGGUUUGAUUGAGGAAAAGAAUGAAGCCAUAAAUGGCUGGAAAAUAGGUAAAUACAAAGGGCGUGCUGCCCAAAUUUACGCUCGAGAACUAGGUCGAUAUACUUGCGACUUGAGUAAGGCUUGAGAGAGUAUACCACGCGAACCAUCUAGGGUAUUUACGUUUUCUUUGCCACUUCGACUCAAAUAGCGAUUUUAAAGUUUUAACAAGUGAGUCUAAGUUUUACAAAUAUUUUACUUAUGUCCUUUGGUUUCAAUGUACUCUUUUCACUACCAAAACCAUCUUUAUACUUUGUACUAGUACGUAUUUGACUUGUCUUUGACUCACUUACAUCUUUAAUGGUUGAAGCCUAAUGUGUUCAUUUGAUUAUAUUAAGAUACCUUGGUGCUUGAGGGUGUAUCCGGAAGGAAACUUUGGAUGUUAUUUUGCUUAAAUAGGUGAGUGUUCCCUGUUUGUUAUAUUUUCCUUGAUUUCAUGAUUUGUGUUAUUGUUUGAUAAAGUGUUAAGUGCUCUCAAUGAUUUUAAACAAGUUUUCUAGGCGAGUGUGUACUUUAUCGCACUCGACCUAAAUGAAUGUGAAAUUUCAAUGAUUUAAUCAUUGAAACGUUAGUUGUGUAUGAUGUAAGCCUUUUGGCUGAACUGGGCCCUGCCCUUCGUUACCGAUCGUCUCGAGCCAGAAGCGGACUCGGUCGGGCGAUAUGGUGACCCUGGGUGUAAAAGUGGUAUACUCGAGUAUUACCUUGAAUUCUGGUGGAGCCUGGCCAACGUCCAGGAAGGGGGUGAAUGAAAUGAAUGAACGAACGAGGGUUUUACUUACAAAAAUGCAUUUUCAAAUGAUUGGAGGAAUAAGGGGAAAUGACAGGAGAACGAAUGGCUCCCUGUGAGCCCGUAUCCUUUUAAUGAAUGUGUUAUUAUAGCUUUCCAUUGUAAAUAUUUCCUGAGUUAUUGAUGCUCUAUGUUUAAUGUAGUGGAUUGAUUGUUUGAUUAUGUGUUCGGAACCUCACUGAGCUUUAGCUCAUCCCUUUUGUUUUGUUUUCCUUAACAGGGGAAGGCGAGCAAGGACGAGAGCUCUGUAUAGACUGGCUUGGUCUAGCUCUUGGUUUCUGUAAUGAUUCUCGCCCUAGUGCUUGGCACGGGCUGGUUGUUUGGUGAAUUGAGAACCUUUGUAUAUUCGAUGGUUGUACUUCCUUUUGAGAUAGCAAUGUAUAUAAGUUUUGUUUAAGUUUUGGAUCGUUGUUAUGUUUAUUCUUAUGGGUUUGUGCUGGUUUUGAUUGAGGAUGGAAGUGAACGACUGAGUCCCGGCGAGAACUGGGCAGGCGGUCCGCCGAACCCUUUGGUUCGCCUUAGGGGGAGGUGGGGCUGUCACAAUUCACCUCUUCUUUUAGAAUUACCUAAAAAUUCAAGAAAUCAUUCAAUCAAGCACCUUUUCAUUCAUUAGGUAAUCUAAGUUACUCACAUAAAUUUCAAAAACUCCCACUAAGCUAAUUAAAAUGCUACUUUUGGCUACUUAAUAUGUAACUUUGUUACCAAACCAAAUUAAGCAUAAAACUAUCAAGAAUUCACCAAAUAAAUACAAUAAAUGCAAAUCACAAAAUAUAUUUAUCAUUAACAAUCACCAAUAGCAUCAAUAAGCUCAAAUUAAUGCACCUAACUUCACAUAUUAAAAAUUGCCUAAAAAUAGAAAAUAUUUAAUCAUGGCAAAAUGCAAAUAACAAAGUUAGGUGAAGAUUUGUUACCUCAAGGUGGUUUGGUGAUGUUCAGAGAUGAAUAUGAUGUGAAAACCCCCAAGAAACUUACUCCAAUUUGACCUCAAUUGAGUGAUUCAAUAAAGUGCAACCCUAACUAUUGGUAUGCUUGAAACCACUUCAGAGUUGUUUUUGAAAAACUAUGAACUAUGAAAUUCACUCUAGAGGAUGGGAGAAAGUGAUUUGGUGAAGGUUAUUUGAAGAUUAAAUGGUGAAAAGUGGUGUUUUAGUGAGUGAUGUGUGUUUGAGGUUGAAGAUUAUAGCCAGAAUCCGGCCGAUUUUGGCCGGAUAUCCGGCCGGAUUGUCGGCCGGAUUCUGGCCAGUGAGCUGGAAAAAAAAUUCUGAUUGCAGAAGUGGAUCCGAGCUCGGAUCCAUUGAAUCUGCACUUAUUGCAGAAUUUUUGUAAUUUUCAGUUUGACCCCAAUUCUCCAAAAUACACCCUAGAUCAUUUCUAUGUCAAAAUAAAUCGUUCACGCACAUGUAAAAUGAUCUAAACAUGCAUUCUAAACCUCUUUAAUGCAACAAAAACCACAAUUACUGAAUUUGAGAUGUUGAGAUCUUUGAUUAAACUUCGCCUUUUUCACCUCAUUUGGUCACUUUUGCAUCUUUUUCCAAAACCUACAAAUGAAAAAUAACAAAAUAACUUAAACUCAUACUUUAAACAUAAAAUCACUCCAAAGUAACACGAACUUAAACAAACAUUGGGUUGCCUCCCAAUAAGCGCUUCUUUAAAGUCAAUAGCUUGACUAUUUCACCUCAUUUUUUCAAGGAGGCUUUGUUAGCGAAUAAUCCACCAUUUUUGGUCAUGGUGGAUCAUUAAAUGGUGACUUUAAAGCAAAAGUCACAUAAUCUAAUGAUGUGAGAAAUGGAAUUGACUUACCUAUCCCAAGUGUUUCAUAGAUAUUACCUUGAAUAUGCACCACUUGAGAAUUCACCAAAGGAAAUGCCAUGAGAGUAUCCUGGGUAGCAAUACCCUUAGAACCUAUACUUUCAAUGCACUCCUCAAGAGGGGUGAAAAAUGAGUCAUUAAAACUCACCUCUAGAGGCUCAAAGUUAGUUCCAAAGAUAUUGUCAUGUGAAAUGGAUAUUUGCUCAUUAUAACACACUUGGGAUUCAUCAUUUUCAUCAAAAUGUAACCCAUUUUCACAUACAACAUUCCCACCAUUCAUGCUAGGAUCAUUUUGCAAAUUAUUAGAGGAAAUAACUUCACACAAUGCAUUCAGUUGCUCAUGUAUUCUACCAAAGUGAUAAGCUAAUUCAUCUAGUCUUUCCUCAAUCCUAUCAAAAUGGUCGGCAGUUGCAUUUGCUAGCUUUUCUAUUGCUAAAUCAAAUUGAUUAGAAAACUUUUCUUCAGCUAGCUCCCAAGAUGCAUUAGAAUCAUUAGCUAAUAGUUCACUUUCUAAUUCCCAAGGCAGAGGUGCAUUAGCUAACUUCUCUAUUACUAACUCCCAAGAUGGUUUUGAUUCAUAUUGGACACUUUCAGGUUGGUAAUCAUAAAAAUAUGGAUAAUCACUAUAUGUACAUUGAUUAUCCCAACUAUAAGUAGGAGAAUUGCUCCAAUUAGCACUAUAAUGAUCAAAGCAGGGAUUGUAAUGGUCUAAUUCAUCAUAAUAAUCCACAUUUUGUACUUGCAUACAUGUAUUAGUAGCAUGAUAACCUCCACACAAGUCACAAAUCACAUGAUAAGAAUUAAAAACAUUAGCAUUCCUCCUUUGUUUAAUUUCAUGCAUAAUUGUGUCCAUUUGAACUUGUAGCAUCAUAACAUCAAAUUUAGCCUUUAAACACCUUAAACCAUCUUCAAAAGACACACAUUCAGUAAAUUCUUGGUUACCUCUGUUGAAGGAGUUUUGCCUUUGGUAACCAUCCAUUGCCAAACUUCCACUUCUCAAGCAUUGUCCUCUAAAUUGACCUACCAUUCUCAUCACCUAAAAUUGCUUUUUAACAACCUCAGAAGCAAAAUUAGUAAGAAAAAUAGGUAAUGAAACACAUACACACAUAAAACACAAAACUAACAGAAAAUAACAUUCACACUAUAACUAAUGAAAUAUCUAAACUAAUAAAGUUGCUCUUCACACCGAUAUUGCCAAAUCUUCCCCGGCAACGGCGCCAAAAACUUGACGUGCGCAGGGUAUACAUAUAAUAUUAAACUCAUCUAAUCAAGUUUUACAUUUAUAAACUCCUAAAUACCCCACACGCGAUUUAUUGCAAGUAUACGAAUCGUGAGCGAGUAUAGGGUAUUAAGGGUCGAUCCCACAAGGAAGAUUGCAAUUACUGGCACUACUAUAGCUUCUCUAUUAUUUAGAAUAUCAAUGAAUUAUAACAAAUUAAACCUACUGAAAUUAUACAAAAUAACAAAUGAAAGCUCCUUAGGUUGUGGUAUCCCUAACUACUCAUGCAAGUGCUAUAUUUGGAUCAUUGAGUACUACUAUCUAGGCUAGUUAUGGUGUAAUUUCCUUAAACAUGUGAAACCUACUUUCGUAGUGAAUCAACUAUACUUAUAACUAAUCCAUACCUAUUCUCAUGGUUAUAAAAUUAGCUACAAGUUCAUUUCUUCAGUGAAAUUACAUGAAAUCAAUAACUAAAACCACAUAGAUGCACCUCUACUUUUGUGAGUGUACUCCCUAUGUUUAGCACUUCUUGAACUAGUGUUAAAUCUCAAUUUUCAUUGCAGAAAUAACACCUUAGAUAAUCACAAUUAAUGGUACCAAAUUGAUCAUGAUUUAAAGAGCCAAAGUACUAAAUAACUUGCUCAAAUCAUAGCAAUCAAAUAACCAAAUAAUAAACACUAACAAUUAUAGAAAGUUCAACCAAACCCAAGGCAUAAACUUUAAAGUUACAUAUUAAACACAAAAUCCAGAACUUGUAUAUUAACCAAACUUAAGAAUCUGAUACAAAAGAUAAAGAGUUGGAGAAGAGAUAACCCAUGUCACUUGAGUUUCAACUCCUCCAUCUUCAUCUCCAUUUUCAUCCUAAUCUAGCCAAGAUACAAGAAUGGAUGAUCUAUACCACUCUACACUAAGCUAAACUAAAACUAGGAAGAUGAAAGAUCUGCAUUUCUGCACUCCAAGCUUUCUCCCGUAUCUCCUCUCUAUUUUUCUUCUAUGGUUUCCCAUCCCUUCUCUUGCAAUGAAUUUGGCUAUUUAAUGAUGAAAAUUGGUCAAGAAAUGAGGCCUCCACCUUCCUUUUACAGCUGGGAAUGUUUCUCACAUGUCUAGCAACGCAUGUGAGUUGGUGGGACUGAAAUUGAGUUUUCCGCGUACAGAGCAGCCUUUUCUGACCACAAUCCGACCAAAAAUCCGGCCAAAUUCCGGCCGGAUUGCUACAGUGACCAUUUGGUCACUUCUGGUUCAAUUUCCAGUUUUGCUCCGAUUUUGCGUCAACAUCAACUGAACUUUUCUUGAUGAUAAAAGCUGAUUUAGUUCUUGACCAAAACAUAAAACUUGUAGCUCUUUGAGUUAGAUUUCCAAUGCAUUAAGAAUCACCUCAUUUGGAUCUGUGUAGGCUGAGAAUGACCAAAAUACCCUUGACUGCUCACUGCCCUGUUCCAGCUUCGACCAAUACAAAUUUGCUAGUGUUAUUCGGAUUUUUGACCUAGAAAACCUUAAAAUUGGAUUCAGAUGUCUUCACCAAAGUUGUAGAUCUAUCUCUUAUCUUCAAAUGGGUUGAAGAAUCAUCCCAAUCCGAUCAUUGUAGCUCAAGUUAUAGCCGAAAUAUGAAAAUGUAUCAAAACUGUCAAAAUACACAAAAUCCAAGUAAAAAGUGAUAAAAACCUCAUUUAAUCACUUCAAAGUAUUUUUCACCAAUUAUAGCCAAAAUCAUUCAUUUUCUUCCAAUAAUAUACCCAAAGUGACUAAAAAUAAUAUAAAAUAUCAUACAAUUAUUACGUAAAUUAGUCACUUACCAAUAAAAUAAUUACCCGACCCGAUCCUCUUUCCCUUAAACGGGUUGCGAAUUUCUGCAGCCCAUUUUCCCCAUUUCCUCUGCCUGAGACCUUUGUAUUUGGAAGAGGAAGGCCUUGAUUGAGGUUAACUCUAUAGUUUAGCUAAACCAGUCUUUUUCUUGGGGUUGUUUUUCUCCACAUUAUUGCUCUCUUGACAGGAAUUUUUAGCUUCCGAUGCAAUAGCCAUAGUCACAGGCUAACCAGGUUGCCUUUUCAACUCCACAAUAGGGAGAAUAAUCUCCCUAAGAAAUCUCUUAGGCUUCUUUUCAAUCAGCCUUUCAUCAUCUGAUGAAUCAGUAUCAGUAGCAUCCGAAUCAUAACAAAAGACCCGAAUCUUCCUCACGGGUCUGGUGGGUUCAGCCAUGAUUUUUGGCCUUUUUUUAUGGUACUCUUGAUUCAGUAAGACUUAUCUUCGAGGCUCUGGCAUUUUUAUUUUCUUUUUCUUCAAUCACUCAACUCCAAAACCCUGAAUCAAAUACUUAGAAAAUCUCCAAGAAUGUGCUUGUAUCCCUGCAACAGAAUUAAACAAAAAUCAACUACCCAACAUAAUUUAAAUUCUUCCAAAAAAAAUAAAAGAAAAGGGGAUGUAUAUCAGGUAUGAGGCCCUCUAAAGAAUAAAAAAAGUGAUAAAAAUCACUUUAUGUGAAGUCCCCAAAACAUAUUACUCCAGAACAAGUCCUUUUGGGCCUCAAACGUAUUGAAACAGUUGGAAAAAGAAGAGAGAGAGCUCUGCUGGUUUGCAAAGAAGAGGGAUUUCUAAUUGGUGAUAGCUAGUAACAGAACAGCAGAGGAAACCGAAAUCCAGUAGAGCUUCUUCGGCAAAGCCCCAAUAUUCCCAAAACUCAAUUGGAAUCUUGCCAACAUAAAUCUCAGCACCCAACCCUAGGUUUAGAAUUGCGUCCUUCAUCAGUUCAACCUAGCAAUGAAGUGCCCGAAAUACCCCUGCUUAGUUGCUCAAUUAGUAGGUUAAUCGAAUUUACAUGGUGGCGCCGCCACUGCGUUCCUCAAUUGGUACCGCAAAAUAAGUAUAGGUAUCAAAGUAGCCAAAAAAAUUAUACAGGGACUAAAUUGACACUAUAAAAAAGUAUUGGGACGAAAUUGGCCAUUUUCCCUUUUAUUAGGAUACUAGUUUAUCUAUCUUUUACCACCUUUUGAAAUAGGUUGGUUAAUCUUAUUAGGAUGUAGACUUUGCUUAGGAGAAGUAGUUGUGGCAGAGAUAGGGAACGAAGCAAGCAACAAAACAUCAUCGUUGUCAUUCUUUUCUUUCAUGAAAAAGCCAGAUUAUCGCGAGACUCUUUGCUUUUCUCGUAAGAAGAAACGAGAAACAAUUCUUCUUUUUCUUUUCCACUGGACUUCAUCACAUAUUUGAAGAAUGGGCAUGAAAAUUACUUCUACUAAUUCCCGUGUGAUUUCUUCUGUGGAGAUGAACUAAGUUUUUUAUUCUAGUCAAGAAAUAACGGAGGAUUUGGUUUAACUAAAAUUAUGAGAUCAAAUUGAUUACAUUUAUUUCUUGUAUUUAGUGGUAUUGGUAUGUUCCCUGGUUUAAGUUCUUAUGCCUAUUAUGUUAUUUGAAUAUCAAGGGUCUGGUAUUUGAAUUAAUCUAAUAACCUAAAACUAAUUAGCACAAUUAAAUUCAUAAUUGUUUAAUUACUUUAAACUAGUGGUAACUAGCAUGAUUGGAUUUGUGUUAAGGGAACAUAUGGGCUAAUUUAAAAUAAACAAUAACCCUCGUAGUAUGUUAUUUGGUUAGAACAGGGUUUCUCUAAUUAUUAAAGCAAUUAAAAAAUUGAACUUUAAUGUCAUACCUAGGAUUAUUUCUUAAUUAGGACAGUGGUUAACGGUCGUACCAUAAUCACCAAUACAGUAAGGAGAAAUUGAUUGUCAUCGCUUGUUUGGCAAUUAUAACUUGUUUAUCAGUGAGUAAAUGAAAUUAUUAUUGGAUUAGUGAUUAAUAGAGUGAACCAUUUUUGAAGUUAUUUCUUGGCUAGAGUUUGUUUAUUAUUGAUUCAAUUUCAAUUAAUUAUAAUUUAGUCCUUUUUAUUUAAGUUGUUUAAUUAUUCCCAAUUCUAUAAAAAUUUCCCGUACUCUGGGCUCUAGAAGAAACGAAUUUUUUCCAGUUCCUGUGGAUUCGACCCUGCUCACGGCUAUAUACAAAAUUUAUAUUUUACUCAAGUAAAUAUUUAUUAUUGCACAGAUUCGACACCUGUCAUUGACUAAGCUCCAUUUCCACAAAUCCUGUCUCAUGUCCUUGAUCACUUUUAAUAUGUAAAACCAUAUGCAUGAUCCUAAUUCAAAAUAGUAAGGUACAGCAUAGAACAACUCAAUGGAAAGCUUAUGAUUUACCCAUUUAAACACUAGGAAAUUUUGCAAAAAAUUGAAAUUCAAAAAAAAUGCAAAACUUUGAACUAUGUUACUAACUUUACCAAAAUUUUUUGGUGCAAGUUAUGCCUAAAAAAUUCAGUGUCAUUUAAUUAAUUCAUAUGUGUAAUUUUUGGUUAUCAGAUGCGUGUGAACAUGUUAUUAUCUAAAUCCAUUAACUUUAAGUGCUGAAUUGAAUUAUCAAAUAAAACCUAAUAUUUAACAAUUCAACAACUUAACUUAAUGGAAUUCAAACUUCAGACUUCAAUUUUCAAAUUUUAAUUUUAUCAAACGCACCCUUCUUUUACCCAAAUUCUACCAAACAGAAUUUUUUCUACAUAUUAACAGCCUCACAAUUCACAAAGUCAUUUUAACAAUUGAAUCUAUUAAAUAAUGUCAAUCGGUUUGGAUUGUUGUGUGAUAUCAAAGGUGAAAAAAAUCACAUGUGUGCAAAAAAAAGAGGUGCAGAUUUUUCUUUUGGAAAAACGGAGAAUUGUAGUCUUAGUCUCGAAUUUUUAACAUAUGUGCUAAAUUAGUCUCUAAUGUUCUGACCAAAAUAAAUUUGGUUCUCAAAGUUUUUGGUAGUAGGUACACGCAACAAUGACGAAAACUCAACAAUGACUAACGGUCAAAAUUUGAUUGUUGUUAUUUAACAAUUUUGAUUUUGUACUUUCAGACCAUAAUGUUUGAAAUUUUAAUCAUUUGAGUUGCUUAAGUUUUCCAUAGUGGUAUUGAGGGUAUUAGAAAUAAGAUGCGAUUUACAACACAAUUGUCUUAAAUGGGUACUAGCAAUUCUAAUUAAACUUUUUAUUUUUUACUUCAUUUAUUCAUUGACGUGCGCGAGGUAUACAUAUAUAAUUAGCUCAUCCACAAUUAAGUUUUUCAUUUAUAAAUCCUAAAUGCCCCACACGCGAUUUAUCGCAAGUAUACGAAUCGUGAGCGAGUAUAGGGUAUUAAGGGUUGAUUCCACAGAGAAUAUUGCAAUUACCGGUGUUUCUCGAACUCCUUUAUUAUCUAGACUACCAUAAAUAAAAAAUUAAUGAAAAUAACACUAGAAAGCUCCUAGAGAUAUAGAAUUCCUUACUACUCUUGCAAGUGAAUACUAUUAUCUUGGUUAGUUAUGGCGUAAUUUCCUAAUGUAUGUGAAAUCUACUCUCGUGAGUGAAUCAACUAUACUUGUAACUAAAUCAUACCUACUCUCGUGGUUAUGAAUUUAUUACAAACUCAUUUCUUCAAUGAAACUACAUGAAACAAGUCACUAAAGCCACAUAGGUGCACCUCUACUCUCGUGAGUGUACUCCGUAGGUUUAUCACUUCUUUGAACUAGUGUUAAAUUCCAAUUCUCAUUGCAAAUUUAAUACCUUUAGAUAAUCACAUCUAAUGGCCGGUUAAUCACGAUUAGAAAAGCAAAAGUGACGAAUAACUUACUCAAAAUAAUAUCACCAAAUAACUAAGUAAACAUCAUAAACAAGAUAUAGAAAGUUCAUCCAUACUCUAGGCAUGAACUUUAGAAAAACAUGAAGAAAAACAAAGCCAAACUUGUAUUAUAGCUAAACAUGAAAUCAAAUACAAAAGAGAAAGUUAUAGGAGAGAUGUCACCCUUGUCACAUGAGCUAUAACUCUCCAUCUUUGCUCCUCCAAUCUUCAUCCAAAUCUAGAUACAAAUACAAGAAGGAUAAACUAUUCUACCUAUACUAUACUAAUGAACUAAGCAAAACUAGUGAAAGCUAUAUUUCUGGUAAGUUUCUCUAGCCUUCCAAAGUUUUUUUGAAUCUUGCAAGUCCAUGGCUAUAUAUAGAUGAAUGCAGUCAGCAAAUGAGGCUUGAAACAUCCCUUUUACAGCUGCUAAUUGGUUGUCAUACGUUCAUCCAUAGCUGUGAAUUAUUAAAGGAGAAAACAGGUUGUACCAGUGGAGAGCAGCUAUUUCUGACCAGAAUCUGGCUACUUCAACUGCUAUUUUCUCUAUGAUGGUGGCUGAAUUGGCUCUUGUCCAAAACAUAGAAGUUGUAGUACAUUGCAAUAGCUAUCCAAUGCUUCAAGAAUCAUCCAAAUUGGAGUUUAGUAGAUUGAGAUAUGACCAAAAUACCAAAACCUAGUCAGAGCUCUGUUUUCAACUUUGGACAGCAGUGUUGAACUUUGAUAUUUCGACCUUUUGACUGAGAAAACGGCCAAACUGGACUCUGACGUCUUCAUACCAAAUUUAGAUACAUCUCUUAACUUCAAAAUGGUUUAAGAAUCAUCCCAAUCCAAUGUUUGUAACUCAAGAUAUAGCCGAAAUACCAACAGCUGCCAAGGCUGACUUUUUGUUGCUUUUUUUUUUACCUUAAUUGCAUUUAUUCUUUUACACUUCAUAUUCUAUUUUUAUCACUUUAAUCUAUCAUUACACUCCAUUUGAUGAUUGAAUCAUUAAACCUACAAAAUAUGAAGUUUUUACCGUAAAAAUCCAUAAAAAUGUAAUUUUUGCCACUUAAACCAUAAAAUGCAUAUUUUCACUAGAAACUUAGUUUAUUAGCUAUAAAAUUAAAUAAACCACACCAAAACUAAUUAUUAAAGCACAUUAAAAAUAUGUAAAAUAUAUUAUUAUCGAAUAUCCCUGCACUUGAACCAUUGCUUGUCCUCAAGCAAUUAGAAAUACAAACCAACAAUGAUCCAACAUUUUGAAAAUAAACAUAUGUGCACCAUUCAACUUCAUUUUCUCUAAACAAGGUAAAUAACUAUUAUGCAAUCUUUCAUUAAUCCUCAAGUACUCAUAUUUUUUUUUUUAAUCCGGCUAACCUCGAACACGAGGGGGGACGCCACUCCCAAAUUUAUUCAAAAAUAGACACAAGAGAUGUUCUGUUUUGAGAUGUUCGCCAGAAGGGCUAAGACAACCGUACAUAAGGCAUUCGCAUCUUAUCUAGGCGGGCUAGCCCCUGUAUGUAGUCCGGGAGGGUGGAGGCCCCAAAGCUGUGAUCGACACCCGUGGAACUUGCUAGAUUUGCCAGGGCGUCAGCCACCCCGUUUGCCUCCCGAUAGACAUGAGAGAAGGUAACCUGGCGGCCCAGCGCUAAGGCUUGGAUGCGUGAGAUAGUCUUCCAUAGCUUCCAAGGUACUCGUCCAUUGUCAUUCACCAUAGCCAUCAGAACCUGAGAGUCCAUUUCAACUUGCAGAGAGUGGUAACCUGUGGAGAGCAACAUACCCUCCAGUAAUGCCGAGGCCUCCGCUUCCAUGUUUGUCCUUGAGCCCAAAAAAUAGGAGAAACCACGGAGGACAUUACCCCCCGAGUCACGAAACACACCUCCCACACCAGAUGAGCCUGGAUUCCCUAGAGAUGAGCCAUCAACAUUCAAUUUUACAAACCCCUCAGGUGGUGAUUCCCAAAGGACCCAGCGUGGGGCCAUCCGCUUCGGUGACGUCAGUCGGAGAAACAAGCCCGAGCGGACCAGCUCCCCGUCAUCCUGCGUCACUCGAGCGAAAGGCCGGACCUGGGACAAGUGAUGCAGCAGCGUUUGAAUAUUCCAGCAAACCUGAGUUGGGGUUAAAACAACGCCCUCAAACACCGCCAUGUUCCUAGCUUUCCAAAGGCCCCAACAGAUUAGCGACGGCAAUACCUUGCACAGCUUACCCCGUGCAGAGCCUGGAGGAUGACAUAGCCACCAUUGCUGUAAACGGGAGAUAGUGUCGGCCGUAGGCGACUGAGGAACCCACAUGGCCCUGGCGAAAAAACUCCAAACCUGAGAUGCUAGAACGCAUUCCGAGAAGACGUGAUCUUGAGACUCUCCAUUCAAGCAAAACGAGCACUUUGAGGGGAGUUGGAGGCCAAACCGCUGAAGGGCAUCAGGGAAAGGGAGAUACCGAUUGAGCAGCUUCCACAUAAAGACAGCAAUCUUGCAAGGAGCACUGGCACUCCAUACACACUUCCUAGAUCCAAGGCAAGCUCUUUUGGGCCGCAAAGCGUCCCAAGCUGAAGAAAUGGUGAAAUCGCCAGAAGAUGUGAGGGUCCAAGCUGGUUUAGCUCUGUCGUCUAACUCAAUUAAGCGGGUGGACUGCGUCACCAUAUCAGAAACGGACAGCAUUCGUCGCCAGACUCUGGAUGCUCCACAGACUACCCCAUUGUGCCUAUUUUAAAUAACCUCAAUAUCAAGUAAAGGAGAGCCAAUUAUACCACCAUUAUAACAAAUUCAAAUCGAUUUUUCAUCUUUACCCAAUUUCACAAGCAAGCAGCUCAUAUGGUCAAUAAUAAUGCUUCCUAAACUCAUGAUCAUCUUUUUAUUCUAUUUGAAAAGAUAUUUAUUCAUAUAACAUAUCUAAAUAUUAUUUAAGAUGUGAGACUGCCUUUUGACGCGAGAAUCGACAUUUUUAGAUGAAGAUCACCGGUUACUCAACACUUCACAUAUUCAAGUUGUUUUGCAUACUCUUAAUUCAAGUACCGUUUUAAGCGAAAAUCGACAUUUGUAGAUGAAGACUCCCGGUUACUAAGUACAAGAAUCAUUGGAGUAGAACAAAUCUUAUUUUCUUUUUUCUUCUUUUUUUCAUUUUUUCUCUUUUUUCUUUCCACUUUUUUUUUCUUUUUUUUAACAGCAAAGAUAAUAAUAAUUGUCUCAAAAGAAUAAUCAUGAGAAGAGUAUUGUACUUAUUGACCAUAUUUAUCACUUAAUUUAUAAAAUCAAAUAAGGAGAAGAAAUUUCAUUAAAUAUGCAAAAAAAUAGGCAUAAUUUUCUCCACUUUACAAGAUAUACUUUCCUACAAAUGCACAAAUUAUAAUCACAUAAUAGUUAUUUCCAAAUUAAAUUAGAAAAGAAGUUUCCAAAUCACAUAUAUUUACCUCAAAAAAUAGAAGGAAUUUGAACUACUAAUGGUAUGAAACUGGUUAUCCCUUUGAUAAAAUUAAAAAAAUUUAAAACUUUUUGGGGCAAAUUUGCAAAUUUGGACAAGAUUUUGAAAAAAUUUUGGAUUUAAACACAAGUCCAAUAUUUGUAACCAACAAGUCAAUCACAUACAAUGUAUAUAAUCUCAAUUCUUCCCCCCACACUUAACAUGCGCAUUGUCCUCAAUGUGUAAAAAGGAAAAUCAAGAUAAAGAAAAGUAAUACUCCCAUAUUGUUGCGAUCGAAAUGUCAAAGCAUGAAAUUCACGAACUAUUGUCUACUUAUCUCCAAUACUUCAUGCAUUUCAUUUGAUAACCAUUAGUAAUAUUACCCUAAAGAUGGAAAAUGAGGAACAAAUGGAAAACAACAAAAUAACUAAACACAUAAUUUAAACAUGAAAUUACACCAAAAUAAAAUAGCCAAAACAUUGGAUUACCUCCCAAUAAGCGCUUUUAUGUACAGUCGUUGGCUCGACUUUUUCACCUCAUUUCUCAAGGAGGCUUUGUUAAUGAAUAAUCCACCAAUUUUGGUCGUGGUGGAUCAUUAAAAGGUGGCUUAAUAGCAAAAGCCAUAUGUUCUAAUGAUAUGAGAGAUGGAAGAAGCAUACCUAUCUCAAGUGAGUCAUAGAUAUUACCUUGAAUAUGCACCACUUGAGAAUUCACCAAAGGAGUUGCCAUAAAGGUUUUUUAGGCAAUAAUACUUUUAAAACCUGUACUUUCAAUACACUCCUCAAGAGGGGUGAAAAAUAAGUCAUUAAAACCCAUCUCUUGAGGUUCAAAAUUAGCUCCAAAGGUGCUAUCAUGUGAAAUGGAUAUUUGCUCAUUGAAACUCGAAUUAGAUUCAUCAUUUUGAUCAAAAUAUAAUUCAUUUUCACUUGCAACAUGCUCACCAUUCAUGCUAGGGUCAUUUUGCAUAUCAUUAGAAAAAAUAACUUCACACAAAAUAUGUAAUUGUUCUUGUAUUCUACCAAAGUGAGAAGUUAAUUCAUUUAACACUUCUUCAACCCUAUCAAAAUGGUCGGAGGUUGCAUUUGCUAACUUUUCUAUUGCUAACUCCCAAGAUGGCUUAGAUUCAAAUUGGACACAUUUGGAUGGAUAAUCAUAAAAACAUGGAAAAUCACUAUAAGUACAUUGAUUAUCCAAAUCAUAAGCAUAAGAAUUGUCCCUAUUAGGACCAUAUUGAUCAAGAUAAGGAUUGCAAUGCCCAAAUUCAUUAUAAUAAUCCACAUUUUGUGCUUGCCUAUAUGUAUAAGUAGCAUGAUAACCUCCACACAAGUCACAAAUCAUAUGAUAAGAAUUAAAAGUAUCAACAUUCCUCUUGUGCUCAAGCAUAUUCAUAAUGGUGUCCAUUUGAAUUUUUAACUUUAUAACAUCAAAUUUAGCCUUUAAGCACCUCAAACCAUCUUUAAAUGACAUACCUUCGGUAAUUUCUUGGUUACCUCUAUUCAAGGAGUUUUGAGCGUAGUAACCAUCCAUUGCCGAUCUUCCACUUCUUAUGCAUUGCUCCCCCAUAUAUUCUACUCUCCUUGGUCCCCUAAACAUGUCUUCAAAGUAACUCAAAAACACGUUUAGUCAAGAGGAAUAGGUGACUCUAAACAAAAAAAAAAAAAUAACCAAAGACUCACAAAGACACUAAAACAAUACUUAAGACAUUAGACACAACAAUAACAACAAAAAUAAGUAAAAUAGUCUAAAUUAAUAAAAUUGCUGUUAGCACCAAUAUUGACAAAUCUUCCCCGGCAGCGGCGCCAAAAACUUGACGUGCGCGGGUAUACAUAUAUAAUUAACUCAUCCACAAUCAAGUUUUUCAUUUAUAAAUCCUAAAUACUCCACACAUGAUUUAUCGCAAGUAUACGAAUCGUGAGCGAGUAUAGGGUAUUAAGGGUCGAUCCCACAGAGAAAAUCGCAAUUACCGGUGUUUCUCGAACUCCAUUAUUAUCUAGACUACCAUAAAUAUAAAAUUAAUGAAAAUAACACUAGAAAGCUCCUAAAGAUAUGGAAUUCCUUACUACUCUUGCAAGUAAAGUUACUGGUUAAGUGAAUACUAUUAUCUUGGUUAGUUAUGGUAUAAUUUCCUAAUAUAUGUGAAACCUACUCUCGUGAGUGAAUCAACUAUACUUGUAACUAAAUCAUACCUACUCUCGUGGUUAUGAAUUUAUUACAAGCUCAUUUCUUCUAUGAAAUUACAUGAAACAAGUCACUAAAGCCACAUAGGUACACCUCUACUCUCGUGUGUGUAUUGCCUAGGUUUAUUACUUCUUUGAACUAGUGUUAAAUUUCAAUUUUCAUUGCAAACUUAAUACCUUUAGAUAAUCACAACUAAUGGCCGGUUAAUCAUGAUUAGAAAAGCAAAAGUGAUAAAUAACUUACUCAAAAUAAUAUCAUCAAAUAACUAAGUAAACAUCAUAAACAAGAUAUAGAAAGUUCAUCCAUACUCUAGGCAUGAACUUUAGAAAAACAAGAAGAAAAACAAAGCCAAACUUGUAUUAUAGCUAAACAUGAAAUCAAAUACAAAGGAGAAAGUUAUAGGAGAGAUGUCACCCUUGUCACAUGAGCUAUAACUCUCCAUCUUUGCUCCUCCAAUCUUCAUCCAAAUCUAGAUACAAAUACAAGAAGGAUAAACUACUCUACCUAUACUAUACUAAUGAACUAAGCAAAACUAGUGAAAGCUAUAUUUCUGGUAAGUUUCUCUAGCCUUCCAAAGUUUUUUUGAAUCUUGCAAGUCCAUGGCUAUAUAUAGAUGAAUGCAGUCAGCAAAUGAGGCUUGAAACAUCCCUUUUACAGCUGCUAAUUGGUUGUCAUACGUUCAUCCAUAGCUGUGAAUUAUUAAAGGAGAAAACAGGUUGUACCAGUGGAGAGCAGCUAUUUCUGACCAGAAUCUGGCUACUUCAACUGCUAUUUUCUCUAUGAUGGUGGCUGAAUUGGCUCUUGUCCAAAACAUAGAAGUUGUAGUACAUUGCAAUAGCUAUCCAAUGCUUCAAGAAUCAUCCAAAUUGGAGUUUAGUAGAUUGAGAUAUGACCAAAAUACCAAAACCUAGUCAGAGCUCUGUUUUCAACUUUGGACAGCAGUGUUGAACUUUGAUAUUUCGACCUUUUGACUGAGAAAACGGCCAAACUGGACUCUGACGUCUUCAUACCAAAUUUAGAUACAUCUCUUAACUUCAAAUUGGUUUAAGAAUCAUCUCAAUCCAAUGUUUGUAACUCAAGAUAUAGCCGAAAAACCAACAGCUGCCAAGGCUGACUUUUUGUUGCAUUCUUUUGACCUUAAUUGCAUUUAUUCUUUUACACUUCAUAUUCUAUUUUUAUCACUUUAAUCUAUCAUCAAUCAUCCAAAUAUCUUCUCAAUGCACUCCAUUUGAUGAUUGAAUCAUUAAACCUACAAAAUAUGAAGUUUUUACCGUAAAAAUCCAUAAAAAUGCAAUUUUUACCACUUAAACCAUAAAAUGCAUAUUUUCACUAGAAACUUAGUUUAUUAGCUUUAAAAUUAAAUAAAACACACCAAAAAUAAUUAUUAAAGCACACUAAAAAUAUGUAAAAUAUAUUCUUAUCAUUCAUGCCACUAAUGUCUCGUAUACUUCUUCCCUUUGGUAUAAUUGGUCUCAAAUUCGGUAUUAUAUAUGUAAUUAUUGUUUUAUUCUAUUAGUAAUUCAUUGAUAAUUAGCCCAUAAUGAUUAAAAACACUUGAUAUUAGUAUUUAUGUUUGCUAGUUUUUAUAACAAUUCCUAACUAUAACAAUUUGAGGCCUAUAUGCACAAGCCAUGCAAGAAGUAGCAUAAAUGAUAAUAAAUUUUAUAUUAAUACUAGAAUUUUCCUUUUUUAAAUUUUAUAUAUUAUGUAUAUAUUGUCAUUUGAUUGUAACUUAUUCAAAAAAAAUCUUUACGUUCAACGAUGUUAUUAUGUUGAUAUAAAGUGUUUUUUUUGAAAUUUUAUAGGAAUUUAGGAUGACAUUUGUCAUAUAUUUAAUUCAAUUCACAUCUUUUUUUUUUCAUUUUAAAACCUUUAACUAUAACUAGAAACUUAAGAGACCAUAUUGAUUGAAAUUUCAAACAUUAGGAGCUAAAAAUGUAAAGUUAAAUUCAAAAAACUUAGAGACCAGAUUUGUUUUGGUUGAUACAUUAGAAAACAAUUUGAUAUAUAGGUCAAACAUUGAGAAUCAAAUUUGUGUUUCUCUCUUUGGAAAUUUUUGAGUAGUAGUAAUAGAAAGAUUUAAAAUUCUUAAAGACAGAAUUUUUGGCAAAUUCACAUAUUCCUAAUAUCUAAUAAAAAACAUGUCAUAAUCAAAAUUACCAAAUUAACCUAUCCAACCAAGCAAGCCCCCACUCUAAUUAUCUGAUCCCCAAAUUCCCUUUCUUACUCAUGUUGAGAGGGAAAUGAAUUAGCACAAAAAUAUGAGGCAAUCCUUUUAGGACUACCAAUGGGGUCGAGUCAAUUUAAAUUCGGCACUGAGAAAAAGUCUAAUGAUCUUGACCUUUCAUUGAGUUGGGUUAAAAUUGGAUCUAAAUAUUAGUCCCGAAUUAAAUGUUAGUAGAGUUUGGAUCUUAUUAGGGUCAAACUCGAUAUAUGCUCCACCCUUUGAUAUGCAGCUAUAUAUAUAAUUAUACAUAAUAUAUUCAUAUUUUGAUAUAUAUAUAUCUAAAUAUAUAAUACUAAUGCUUAUGAGUUAUUUGUCAAAAUAUCUUACUAUAAGAUAAACAAAAGGCUAUAGUUACUGUAGCAGUCCCCUUUGCUGACACGUGGCACUUUAUGUGAAUUUUGAGCUUUCUCUUUUGCUUUCUUUAUGGAUUUGGCAUUGCUUUAAAUGUGCUCAAUGACCCAAAUUAGAUUGCAAUUUUCAUUUCUUUAUAAGGUUGAAUUAUUUUUAGUAGACUUUUCAAUCUCUAUAUUUUGAACAUAUAUAAUUCAAUUAGAAUUUAUAUUUAUUUCUAUUUACAUUAACAUUUCAACUUAUAUUUGAUAAAAUAACCUUAAGAUUUAAUUAUUUUUAUUCGAGUUUUCAACCUUAUCAUUUAAAUUUAGAUUUGUCAAAAUAAGUUAUCAUUUAAAGUUAAUGCAAAGCAAAAGAUUAUUUAAAAUUUAUUCUAUCCUAUAAUAAGGAACAAUAUUGUUAUUUCUACUCAAUGCAAUGUACAUUUUUCUGUGUCAAUUUUAUUUUCAUUUGUUCAUGUUCAAAUAUUUAGUAACAUUUGACUUUAUGUUUAUUCAUAUUUUUAUUGUCUGAAUUUUGAACUUUCUCUUUUGCUUUCUCUAUGGACUUGCAUUGCUUUAAAUGUGCUCAAUGAUCCAAAUUCAAUUGUAUUUACCAUUUCUUUAUAAGGUUGAAUUAUUUUGAGUAGGCUUUUCAAUCUCUAUAUUUUAAACAUAUAUAAUUCAACAAGAAUUUAUAUUUAUUACUAUUUACAUUAACAUUUCAACUUAUAUUUCACAAAUUAACUUGAGAUUUAAUUAUUUCUAUUCAAGUUUUCAACCUUAUUAUUUAAAAUUAUAUUUCUCAUAAUAAGUUAUCAUUUAAAGUUAAUGUAAAGCAAAUGAUUAUUUAAAAUUUAUUCUACCCUAUUACAAAGAACAAGAUUAUUAUUUUUGCUUAAUGCAAUGUGCAUUUUCUGUAUCAAUUUUAUUUUCAUUUGUUCAUGUUCAAAUAUUUAGUAACAUUUGACUUUAUGUUUAUUCAUGUUUUUAUUGUCAUUUAAAGUUAUACAAUUGAACUAACAUAUUGCCACUUAAUAUAUUCCAAGGAAAGAGAUUCCUGUGCUUUGUUAAGAAAGCAACUCCAAGAGAAAAAGCAAUCAAAGGAACAACUUUCAAGAUUGUCACAAGUUAUGAAGCUAAACAAGUCCCAGUUGGCCAGGAGACUUAAAUGAACCUUCACAAUGAUUAUGCAUAAAAUUAGUUUCCAACAAUAUAAUGCUUAUGUGCCUCAGAAUUGAACUACUUGUGUUUUAAUUUAAUUAUCUUGUAUCUAUUUAUUGUUUGUGUUAAUGUACUUCGACUUGGUUGCUUUGACUUGCUACCUACAUAUGCUUUAAUUCUGUUAUCUUGUAUUUGUCUAUCCUUUAUGUUAAUGUACUUCAAUUUAAUCUCUUUUGCCUUGAAAAGCAAAUUUACUAAUAAGCUAUAAAUCCAAUUCAUAUAUAGAUGUCCCUCUAUCAAACACAAAAAACUUCUACAAAAAUGCUAGCCAUUAUUAAUCCUAUUGUUUUUCAAUUUCUCUGCGUAUAUUUGCUGAACAACUUAUACAUAUAAUUUUAAAACCAAAAGUAUAUAAGUAUCUUAUUAAUUUGUACACUGAAUUAAAUUUGUUUAAUGAAAAAUGUAGACAAUUAUAAAUCUAGUGAAAUGACAAAAAAAAAUGUAUAUUUGAAAGCUAUCAUUAAAAGAGGAAAAAAAAGCAUUUUAAUGAAAUGUAAUAAAGACAUAUAUAUUUUUCUUAUCAAAUUUGCAUGCUAUACUUGGUGGUAAUUUCAGUUAGCAUUAAUGACUCAUAUUUUAACUAAAUAUUAAUGUAUUAAUGACUCAAAAGAAAAUUGACAAAAAAAAUGACAAAGUUCAUUUGUUCAAAUUUAAAUAUUGAUAAUUCAAUUUCUCUCCAUUUCAGUAAUAUACAUACGUUACGUAUACUUUCACACAUGACACUCUACUGACAAACAUUCCAUCAAAUUUUGCUAACCUUAAAAGCUUCAAGAUGGGCACUGGCUAUGCGUAACACCCUUACUAGUGUGUGUGCAUGUGUAUAUAUAUAUAUAUAUAUAUAUAAGGAAUAUUAAAUAUACAAAAUUAUGUCAAAAGAAUUAGAAGGACAAAUCUUGGUAUGAUCAAAUUGAGGACCUUUGAAGAUGUAUUAACCGUUGAUAAUGUUUUACUACUAUUUUCCAUGUACAUUGAAUUAAUUGGAUAUAUGAUUGUUGAAAAAUUCUUGGUUUUAUAUACUUAUUAAUGAACUGUUACUGGUUCCUAUAUAGUUUUAACGUUGUGGUUCUAAGGAUAUUAAAUUAGUUUAAAACUUAAUAAUUAUAGUGAUUAUAGUAAGGAAAUUAAGGAGUUAUAAGUGAGCUUGAGUUAAAUCAGAAUUAAACUUAUAAUCCGGAUAUUUUGUGAGUCAAGUAUGAGUUUUGAUGGGUUUUUACUGCAAGUGCAAGUUAAAUCCGAAUUUAUACCCGUUUGACUGCAAGUAUACAGGCCAAAAUCGUAAUGUAGGGUAUGUAUCGGGUCGAUCCCACGAGGAGCAACUUAAACAAUUACUAGAUCCCAAUUUACUCUAUUAUUUAGACUCACAAUAUAUUUGAGCAGAAAAUUCAGAGUUAAAUCUAACUACAAUUUUUUUACUAUCUAAAAUCCUUAGCUAGAUAAUUGCAAUAUCACAAUUGGAAAAACAUUCACCAAAUAUUUGAAUCUAGGGAUGUAGAUUCCACUUAUGACAUAAAUGAUCCAAAUGAAUGAACUUAACACUUGUUACUACUCUUAUUUAACCAGGGAUUUAUUUCCAAAAUUGCCAAAACUUCAUUCUCAUGAUAAAAUUGGUCUAAAACAGCUUAGUUUCCCUAAUCUCUUAGUGAAAACUGAAACUGCUCUUGUUCAUGCAUGAAAUGCAGAUUUAAUCCACUUGAGUGUAAUUCUAUUCUCAUGAAUUAACAACUCAAACUCCACUCAUGUUAUUCCAUUGUUUUUACCAUUUCUCAAUGAGUAAUAACAAUUAUAAACCUGUUAUUGGUGAUCAAACAACAACAAGUAAUCAAGCAUACACAAGUAGACAAGUCAAUACAAGAUACAACAAGUGUAAAUCACAUUCAAUUCACAUCACUUGGCCAUAAGUUUCAUCUACUCCUUAGAUAUAGAAAUUUAGCUACUCAUUGAUGAUAUCAUAAUCAAACUCAUAACUUCAUUAAUGGAAAACAUCUCAGUUUACAAGUACAAGAAAGAUAAAGAAAAGUUUAGCCAAGUAAUGGUGAAGCCCUCCAAGAAUCUCCUAUGUCUUGUACUAGAUGAUUACAAGAUGAAGCCUUCAAGUGUUUCUGCAAAAUUUACUAGCUAGAGAGAGUUUUGCUAUCAGAAAAUCUGGCUACGUAUCAUGUUUGACCUCCCCUUGUUUCUCUCCAUAAAACAGCUCAAAAGCUCCUUUUCCACUGGUCAAAUUUCCACCCUUUGAUUCCCAAAUCUGAAGUUUGUUAAGAUAGUUAAUAACCAAUGUUUUUGACUUGAAAAUAAGCUAUAUUGUCUGCCCUUUUGUCUUCUGAAGCAUGUGCACCGAAAUCCCUGGAAACUUAUAGCUGGAAAGUAGUCUGAACACGAGAAAUGGCUGAGCAAAUUGCAGAUUUUCGGCUACAUAACGCGACUACACAAAACGCAGCAUCAACUCGCGUUUUGUCAACUCGCAUUUUCAACUUGGCCUUUCUUCAACUGCAAUUUUCUCUAUGAUGAAGGCCGAACUAGCUUUUGUACAAAACAAAAAAGUUGUAACCCUUUAAGUUAGCUUUUCAAUGCUUCAAGAAUCAUCCAAAUCGAAGUUCUGUAGCCUGAGAUAUGGUCGAAUACUAUCACCUGGUCAAACCCCUGUUUCAAUUUCUGACCACAGAAUGCAGCUUCUGUUUCAAUUUCCGACCACAGAAUUAGAUUUUGAUGUCUUCAUACCAAUUAUAGGUCUCUUUCUUAGCUUUAAAAUGGUAUAAAGAUCACCUCAAUCCGAUAAGUGUAGCUCCAGAUAUAGUCGAAAUACCGAAGAGUGUCAAAACUGUCUUGAAUUGCAUUUCCUCACUUGAACGUUUUUCACUUCAUUUCUCUUUUAACCACUUGAAUUCAUCACCAAUUAAUUGUUUUUCACCUCACUUGACAUUCUUUGGUGAUUGAAUCAUUAAUCCUGCAAAAAAAUGAAGUUUUACCACUAAAAUCAAUACAAAUGCAAUAUUAGCCACUUUUACCAAAAAAUGUAUAUUUUUACCAAAACCUAGUUAUUUUAGUUAUAAAGCUAAAUAAUGAAACCAGAAUUAACUACUAAAAUGCACUAAAAAAUAUGUAAAAUAAACCCUUAUCAAAUACCCCCACACUUGAACCAUUGCUUGUCCUCAAGCAAUUCAGAAUUACAAAUAAACAGUGAUUCAAAGUAUUUGAAAAAUAACUAUAUGUGCUCAAGUCAACUUAAUUUCCUCAAAAUAGGGUAAAUAACCAUUAUGUGAUUUUUCUUUAAUCCUCAAGUACUUAUAAUAUCAAGUAAAAGGGAGCUAAAUAUACCAUAAUUAUGCUAAUUCAACUCAAUUUCUCAUUUGUAUCCAAUUUCACAAGCAAGCAACUCAUAUAAUCAAUAACGAUGCUAACUAAUCUCAUGAUGAAGUUCUUUUUUUUUAUAAAGAGGGAUUCAUUUUCUUUUUCUCUUUUCUUUCUUCUUUAUAUAUAUAUAUAUAUAUAUAUAUAUAUUAGAGCUAAACACUACUUAAGUUGUGAAAAAUGCCUUUUGAUGCGAAGAUCGACAUUUUUAGAUGAAGAUCGCCGGUUACUCAACAUUUCACAUAUUCAAGUUGUUUUUAAUACUCUUAAUUCAAGUACCGUUUUACGCGAAAGUCGACAUUUGUAGAUGAAGACUCCCGGUUACUAAGUACAAGAACCAUUGGAGUAGAAUAACUAUUAUUCUUCUUUUUUUCAUAUAUAUAUAAAUAAUAAAAUUCCCUCUAAAGAAUAAUUAUGAGAAGAGAAUAACACUUAUUGACCAUAUUACUUCCUUAACUUAUAAACUCAAAUAAGAAGAAGAAAUUUCAUCAAAUAUGCAAAAUAUAGGCAUAAAUUUCUCCACUUUACUAAAUAUACUUUCCUACAAAUGUAAAAAUUAUAAUCACAUAAUAGUUAUUUCCAAAUUAAUUGAGAAAAAGAAGUUUCAAAACCACUUAUAUUUAUUUCAAAAGGAUAUUUGACAAAAUUUUAUUUAUUUAUUAUGAUUAUUAUAUAUACAAGUAUAAGGUUUUGGAAAAAUUUUGACAGAAUUUCCCCUUAAAAGUGGACUAAAUUUCCUGCCAGCAAACCCAAGAUAAACAACAUUUAAGCCAACUACUUGUCCAACUUCAAACACAACUGAAAAAUCACAAGUACCACACAAUUUCUCCCCCACACUUAAAAUACACAUUGUCUUCAAUGUGUAAGGGAAAGAAAAGAAAAGAAAAGGAAUAAAAGUAGGAACAAGUUACUCCCCAGUUGAGAUGGAUGCGGUCCAGUUUAUCCUUGAAUCACGAGCCAUCGACCGAUCAACCAUCUACAAGCAACUAGCUACAAGUAACUGCCACAAGUUCCAAUAUUCAAAAUAGACACUUAAGUUAAACAUCCUACAAAUAAAAGAUGAACAAUAAAAAGCAAACAAGGAAGUAACAGAAAAGUCAUCCAAAGAGGCGGCCUCAAUCAUCCUGUUCAUUGUCAUCUUCAUCAUCAUCGAUGGGAGGUGGAUGUAGGCCUAGAUGAUCUUUAAUAUAGUCUAGGCGAGUAUCUAUUCUGGCUAAAUGAUGCUCAAGGUCAUCCAAGCGACCAAAGAGUCACUGCCAAUUGGUUUGUGGCAGAGGAUGAGGGGGUGUCGCAGUAGAAGGUCCAGCUUCCUCUCGACCAUGUCUAGCCUUCUGUCUCUACUCUUGAACAGGUCGAGGAAUCUCUCCCGUGCCAAUACCAAGUCGACGGAGAGUAGUAACCGAUAAUUCAGUUUUCGGUGGAACAUUCUCCCGCCGCAUGCCUUCCAACCGGACUUCAAAAAAUGGAAAGAUCAAAGUCAGUAUACGAGGAAAUGAUAAUUUGAAAGAAGUUGUUUUACGCCUCGCCGUAGACCAAAUGUGGCUAAUGAUGAUAUUCGGCAGGGAAAUUCGAGCAAAAAGAGAAUUCCGAUUAUGGAACAUGUAAUCAAGGAAGUAGAUGUCACUCUUGCGAACCUCUGUGUGCCCCGUCUUUUUGGGAAUAACAUUGUGAGCCAUCAUAUAACUAAGGAGACGAUGGCGAGGUUCGAAAAUAUUUGCCAAUAUCGUCUCCUUCCUCGUAGAGCGAAAAGGUUGGUACUCAAUGCCAAAUCUGGCCAUGGCCAAUGAUGGAUCUCACCUCCUAUUUGGGGGAACAAACUCCUUCUUCAAAUCAACUGGACGUCCGUCAUCUAUACAUCUCAAAAUAGCAGCCAAAUCUUGACGUGACAAGACGAUUCGUCGUCCACGCACCCACGACUCAACCAUUUCAUCACUGUGACGCGCCUUACUUUCAAUGUUGGCGUAAAACUCUCGCACCAAGUUGGAGUAGUAAUGGUCUGGUAGGGUGAGAAUCGGAGCCCACCCAAGCUAAGCAAAAGUUUCCGAGAUGCGAUACACCAUUUCUAUCUCUGGACUAAUGUGUAUCUCGAACAAGAACUCCAAAUUAGCAUGCUCCUCAUGCCACUCUUGAUUCCUGCGAUGAUUGAAUCUAGCACUGUCAAACAUAGAUCUCUCCGCUCCACGAGAGGUGCCCUCACCCGGCUGUUGGAUAACUGGUGGUGGUGAAGGUGACGUCUCCUCCCUCUCAUUACUACUAGAGGAGGAAUAUAUCACUCUGCUUCCCCUUCUCAUAGUACCUAAUAAAAAAAAUGCGAUUAGCCACAUGUACUAGGACACAGUUCAUAAUUUGGAAAUAAAUCUUGAAUUGAUCCAAAUAAUUGUCAAAUUUAUUUCUUAAAGAUAUAAAUCAUCUAAUAAUUUAAUUAUAGGACCAUACAAGAAGAGUCAUAUUUAAUGCCAAAAAUUUACCAAAAUCACCAAUUUAAGCAAGAUAUGUAACAAGUAUGACCCAAUCAGUGAAAAUAGCAUCAAUCAUGAUUAUAGCAAUGUAUAAUUAACAACAAUAAUGUGCAAUUAGCUAUAAUCAUGGUUAGGCCAAAAUUUAACUAAUUAUCCCACAAAAUUAGCCACAUUACUCACUAUACAUAAUGCACAUGCUAAAACAUCAUCCACUAGCCAUUAUUAACCAUAAUCAUUGAUCAUUAAUGGCUAAAAAAAUCUUAAUCCAACUUUCUAAUUUUAGCCUAAAUAUAGCAAUUAAAAAAAAUAAAAAUUAUUAAUCAUCAAAUCACUAUAUUUGAACAUGUAAUCAUGUAUAGAUAACCUUAAUAAGCAUCAAUGAGGUCAAAAACAUCAUCAUUCAUCAUAAAAAAUUCGAGAUUAAAAAAUGCCAGAAAGCUCAGGAAAUUGAAAAAAUGAACUUCUAAAAUACAAAGAUUUGAUGAAGAAACUUACCUCAAUCACGUAAAAAGAUAUUUGGUGAUACUAAAUAUGUGAAAAUCCCUAUGAAACAACCUUCAAAUGACCUCCAAUUGAAGAAAUUAGAGUUUAAGAACCCUAAUCUUCAAUCCCUUAAAAACCUAAUUUUAGGUGUUUUUCUUGGAUUUUAAUCGGUUAUAAAGGUUGUAUGAAGCUCAAUAUGUGUUGGAUUGAUGAUUUCUAGCAAGAUAAUGGAGUAAAAAUGAAGAUUGGUGAAUUGGGGUUGAGAGCAAGUAGAGAAACGCGACUGAAAUUUCCAGAGAAGAAGGAAAAAAUGAACUGAAAUCGCGUUUUUGGAAGCUAUAUUCGGACACAGAAAACGCGAGUAGAAACACGCCUUCAACUCGCGAUUCUGAAGUCGCGUUUUCUCCCAAAAGUUGCAGUAUUGAAAACGCGGUUCUGAGAGGAAACGCGACUCAAAGUCGCGUUUACCAUGGCGCGUUUUUUAUCUUGAGCCAGACGUGAAAACGCGAUUUCCUUCAAAAUGCGUUUUGAAGGCGCGUUUUCUGUUCUGCUAGUGCAGAAUUGAAAAUACGAUUCUGUACAAACACUACUUCUAAGCGCGUUUUCUUGAAAAACGCAUUUUCUGCUGCGAAUUUUAGCAGAAAUUCAUUUUUACAAAAUUUCAAAUGGUACCCCAAUCACUCAAAAUGCAUCAUAGAUCAUUUGUUUGCCAAAUUUAUCAAUGUGUGCACAUGUAAAACAAUGAAAACAUGCAUUUUACCCCUCUUUAACAGAUCACAUACACCUUUAACGCGAAUCAAGGGGUUGAGUUGCUUGAUCAAAGUUCACCUUUUUCACCUCAAAUGGUCAUCUUUGCUUCCAUAUGCCAACCCUAUAACGUAAAAACAACAAAUCAAAUAAAAUACAAGGAUUAAACACAAAAUCACUCCAAUUUAAUAUAUAUAACUUAAACAUUGGGUUGCCUUCCAAUUAGCGCUUUCGUUCAUAGUCGUUGGCUCGACUUACAGGUUCGGAUUAUUUUAGAACAUUAGGGAGCAAUUUUCUUUCACGGGUCGAAACUCCCGAGCCAAUCUACCAUGUGGUGAGUCAUGCAUUGAUCUCCAUAGUCCAAUUUCCUCAAAUGCCAAGGAGGAGUAUUAGACUUGUCAUAUAAAGGUUCGACUUCACCUUGGAGUGAAAUUUGCUUGUCUUUUUCGAGUUGGCUCAACUUUUCUCUACUUUCUUCAUGGAAUCACGAAUUUAUUAAGCCAACUUCCAUCCUUAUCUUCUCCUCCCUUGCUCCUACACCAUGAAAGUCAGUACCAAGGACAUUUAUAUAUGUAACUUCUUCGUUCCUUUCUUGGUUAACCUUGUCAUCACAUGGCAUAUUAGAAACAAGAGCAGUAGGCUCUAUACUCCCUUCUUUAUUACCCAAAUUGAAUUCUAAUUCCUCACCAUUAACCCGUAAUAAAAGCUUACCUUUUUCCACAUCAAUUAUAGUUCAUGCAGUAGCUAAAAACGGUCGUCCUAGAAUAAUUGGUAUUCUCACAUCUUCCGCAAUAUCUAAGACAACAAAAUUCACAGGUAUUAUAGAUUGUCUUAUCUUUAUGAGCACAUUUUCCAGAAUACCCAUUGGAUGUGUGAUUGACCGAUCCGCCAAUUGCAAUGUGAUAUUGGUAGCUUUUAGCUCUUGAAGUCCCCACCUCCGAGCAAUCGAUAGUGGCAAGAGUGACACACUUGCACCUAAAUCACAUAAAGCAUUAGAAAAAUGCAAUUGACCAAUUGUGCGAGGAAUAGAAAAGCUUCCCGGAUCUUUCAAUUUAGGAGGGAGUUUGUUUUUAAUCAGUGCACUACACUCUUCCGUUAAUACUAUCAUCUCAUUAUCUACAAGUUUUCUCUUUCUUGACAUGAUGUCUUUCAAGAAACGUGCAUAAGAGGGAAUCUGUGUUAUGGCAUCAAUGAAAGGAAUGUUUAUGUGUAAUUGUUUAAAUAUUUUGAAGAACUUUUCAAACUCCCGAUCCUGUCCAUAUUUCUUCAACCUUUGAGGAAAAGGAAUCACAUUAGAAUUUAACUGAGAAUUUAAUUUGGGAGGAAGUGCAUCAAUAUCAAUGACAACAUGAUCAUUUCGGCUUUCUUUCUCCCCUUCGAUUGCUUGCUCCUUGUCUUUUUCACCACCUGAAUUUUCAAAAUUAGGUCCCUUAACCGUUUUACCGCUUUUAAGAGCGAUUGCAUUGACAUGCUCUCUCGGAUUCACUUCGAUUUUACUCGGCAAUUCACCAGGGUUUCUGUUGUUGAUCAUAUUGGCAAUUUGACCAACCUGAACCUCCAAGUUUCUGUACAUCCCAGCCAAUUGGUCCAACCGCUCCUCAACUCGCUCGAAUCUAUCCGAAGUCACCUUAGCAAGUUUUUCCACUGCGAUCUCCCAACUUGGUUUAGUUUCAGCUUGUGGUUGCCUCGGUUGAAAUCCGGGCGGAUUAGUUGGCCUUUGUUGUUUGCCUUGAUCUUUCCAUCAAAAUUUUGGAUGAUUUCUCCACCCUGGAUUAUAGGUAUUGGAGUAUGGAUUGUUUUGGGGUGGACGGUUAUAAUUGUUGAGAUAUUGAACCUGUUCGCUGCUAGAACACAUAGAAUCAUCAUGGUCUCCUCCAUAGUUAGUACAACACGCAACAACUACUCCUUGGUUAGAACUAGAACCAACUUGCCCGUUAAACAUUUUAACCACAUUAUCCAUCUUUGCACUUAACAUAUUCAAGGUAUCUACUUCAAGCAUACCUGCGGUUCUCCUUGUAUUACCUCGUUCGUUAGCCCAUUGGUAAUUAUUAGCAGCCAUUUCUUCAAUCAAUUGUUGAGCUUCCUCGGCUGACUUUUCCAUUAACGCUCCUCCCGCUGCCGCAUCUACAUGCGUCUUUGGUGGAUAGGUGAGACCAUUGUAAAAUGUUUGGACUAUUAGCCAAUCAGGGAGACCAUGUUGAGGACAUCUUUGUUGUUAUUCCCGAUAGCACUCCCAAGUUUCGUACAAUGUCUCUCCUUCCUAUUGAGAGAAACUAGUUAUAUCCAUUCUAAGUUUAGCAGUUUUUCUAGGUGGAAAGAAUUUAUUAAGAAAAGCCUUAGCUAAUUCAGCCCAAGUAGUAAAAGUAUUUGGAGGAUGAGAUUGUAACCAAACCUUGCCCUUAUCCCUUAGCGAAAAUGAAAACAAUCGAAGUUUAAUUGCAUCAUCACUAACACCAUUAAACUUAAUUGUAUCACAGAUUUCAAGAAAUGUUGACAAAUGAGAAUUUGGAUCUUCGGUAGCAUUACCUCAACAUUGAGAUUGUUGAACCAUUUGAAUCAGUGAUGGUUCAAUCUCAAAAUUGUUAGCAUUUACCGUUGGUCUUGCGAUGCUAGUUUGAGAUCCUUGUAUCUCCGGUAAAGCAAAAUCUCGUAGAGCUCGUCUCUUUGAUUCGUUUUCCUCCAUUUCUUCCUCAAACGGUAACUCUAUCAAAAUUUCCUCUAUCGCUUGCCAAACCUCUUGUUCCUCUUGAUGCAGUAUAUGCCUCCUUUAUCUCCAUAGUGUCCUCUCAAUUUAUGGAUCUAAAGGUGCAACUUCUCGAGAUGCCUAGUGCAUGCACUACAAACAGAAAUACGAGAGAUUAUGCAGUUUUAAUUGUCAAAAACUGACUAUAAACUGCUCAACUAAUAAAAAUAAAGAUGUCUAAAUUAAUAGAGAUGAUUAGACUCUAAUAUUGCCGCUCCCCGGCACCAGCGCCAGAAACUUGACAGAUUUUUAUUACAAAUGCAAGUUAAAUCAGAAUUUAUACCCAUUUGACUGUAAGUAUAUAGGCCAAAAUCAUAAUGUAGGGUAUGUAUCGGGUCGAUCUCACGAGAAGCAACUUCAACAAUUACUAGAUCCUAAUUUACUCUAUUAUUUAGACUCACAAUAUAUUUGAGCAGAAAAUUCAGAGUUAAAUCUAACUACAAUUUUUUUACUAUCUAAAAUCCUUAGCUAGAUAAUUGCAAUAUCACAAUUGGAGAAACAUUCACCAAAUAUUUGAAUCUAGGGAUGUAGAUUCCACUUAUGACAUAAAUGAUCCAAAUGAAUGAACUUAACACUUGUUACUACUCUUAUUUAACCAGGGAUUUAUUUCCAAAAUUGCCAAAACUUCAUUCUCAUGAUAAAAUUGGUCUAAAACAGCUUAGUUUCCCUAAUCUCUUGGUGAAAACUGAAACUGCUCUUGUUCAUGCAUGAAAUGCAGAUUUAAUCCACUUGAGUGUAAUUCUAUUCUCAUGAAUUAACAACUCAAACUCCACUCAUGUUAUUCCAUUGUUUUUACCAUUUCUCAAUGAGUAAUAACAAUUAUAAACCUGCUAUUGGUGAUCAAACAACAACAAGUAAUCAAGCAUACACAAGUAGACAAGUCAAUACAAGAUACAACAAGUGUAAAUCACAUUCAAUUCAUAUCACUUGGCCAUAAGUUUCAUCUACUCCUUAGAUAUAGAAAUUUAGCUACUCAUUGAUGAUAUCAUAAUCAAACUCAUAACUUCAUUAAUGGAAAACAUCUCAGUUUACAAGUACAAGAAAGAUAAAGAAAAGUUUAGCCAAGUAAUGGUGAAGCCCUCCAAGAAUCUCCUAUGUCUUGUACUAGAUGAUUACAAGAUGAAGCCUCCAAGUGUUUCUGUAAAAUUUACUAGCUAGAGAAAGUUUUUCUAUCAGAAAAUCUGGCUACGUAUCAUGUUUGACCUCCCCUUGUUUCUCUCCAUAAAAACAGCUCAAAAGCUCCUUUUCCACUGGUCAAAUUUCCACCCUUUGAUUCCCAAAUCUGAAGUUUGUUAAGAUAGUCAAUAACCAAUGUUUUUGACUUGAAAAUAAGCCUAUUGUCUGCCCUUUUGUCUACUGAAGCACGUGCACCAAAAUCCCUGGCAACUUAUAGCUGGAAAGUAGUCUGAACACAAGAGAAAUGGCUGAGCAAAUUGCCGAUUUUCGGCUACAAACGUGACUACACAAAACGCGGCAUCAACUCGCGUUUUCAACUUGGCCUUGGUUCAACUACGAUUUUCUCUAUGAUGAAGGGCAAACUAGCUUUUGUACAAAACACAAACGUUGUAGCCCUUUAAGGUAGCUUUUCAAUGCUUCAGGAAUCAUCCAAAUCGAAGUUCUGUAGCCUGAGAUAUGGUCGAAAUACUAUCACCUGGUCAAACCCCUGUUUCAAUUUCCGACCACAGAAUGCAGCUUUUGUAUUUCGACUUUUUGUCCAUGAAAACAGUAGAAUUGGAUUUCGAUGUCUUCAUACCAAUUGUAGGUCUCUUUCUUAGCUUUAAAAUGGUACAAAGAUCACCUCAAUCCGAUAGGUGUAGCUCGAGAUAUAGUUGAAAUACCGAAGAAUGUCAAAACUGUCUUGAAUUGCAUUUCCUCACUUGAACGUUUUUCACUUCAUUUCUCUUUUACCCACUUGAAUUCAUCACCAAUUAACUAUUUUUCACCUCACUUGACAUUAUUUGGUGAUUGAAUCAUUAAUCCUGCAUAAAAAUGAAGUUUUUACCACUAAAAUCAAUGAAAAUGCAAUAUUAGCCACUUUUAUCAAAAAAUGUAUAUUUUUACCAAAAUCUAGUUAUUUUAGUUAUAAAACUAAAUAAUGAAACCAGAAUUAACUACUAAAAUGCACUAAAAAAUACGUAAAAUAAACCCUUAUCGAGUUUCAUAAUUAUCACUUCAAAUCUCAUAAUUCGAAAUCCAAAAGUGGUACUAACUAUAUAAGCCAAAUCUAUGUUUGUUAAACCUCACUUCAGAUGGCCCAAUGAAAAGCCUAAAUCCUUCGCUUUUCUGAUUUAAAUGAAAUCAAAUUUAAACCUAUGGUUUAGUACUCGUAUUCUUUUGUACCCAAACAGCCUUUUGACCUUUCAAAAAAUUACCAAAAAUACUACAAGUUAUCUUCUGCUUGAUUAGAAUUAUGUCAAGUAAUCAAGAGAGUCAAGUCACAUAAUCGAUUUUGUUGUCUAGGUUCUAUUUUUCUGUUUUAGUUUUUUUAUUCUAACUGCAAAAAAAGUUCCUAAUCGCAAUACUACUAUGAUUGAUCAUGGAAGUCUAUUGUUUGGAUUGCAUUUUCUGGAAAGGGUAUGUUGUAACACUUUUUUAGAUGUGAUUUAUAUGAAGUAAAAAGAUCACUGAAAAAUGUAUCAAGGAAAUAUUCCCAAAAAACAUGAGGUUUUUGUCUAGAGAAUGGCAAUCCAAAAAAAGCCAGUAUAUUGGCAUACUAUUGCACAUUGACCUCUUUCUACAAAUAUAUUAUUUUUUAUAACUUAAACUAUCCAAAAAAAAAGAUCUCUAAUCAAAAUAUUGAAUUGUUAUGUUCAAACUUGUUAUAAAACAAGAAAAAAAAAUGAAAAAGUUCAAUCUUUAAAAAUAUUACCUAACAGAACACAAACACGACUUGAAUUAACUUAUUUCAUUUUACAUACACAACAAGGUAUGUAAGAAAAUGUACUGCAAUUACAGGUAACAAAGACACCAAGCUGAUUUCUACACUUUACACCUCUUAGAUGCAAGCAGGUUUCCCAUUGAGAUAGUUCAGAUAUAUGAAAUUGGAUGAAUCAAUCAGAUCAUGUAUAAAAAAAAAAGAAAAAGAAAAAAGAAAAGAUGGUGAAGAAAUAUCAUGCAUGCUGAUUCUGCACAAGUUCAGUAGCAUAAGUAUAUAAAAGCCAUAGGCUAUUAUCUUCAAGAAUUACAUUUCAUUAAACUGCAAUUUCUCUACUAAUAAUCAUAUCAAACAAUUAUGUCAGAAUUGCUCCCAAACUCGAGUAUUCUGCCCCUAGACCAUCUGUUGUGCAAUCAAUUUCUGAUUAUCCUUAUGCUAAUUGUCACUCUUUUAACCAAGAUUUCAUAAACUAACACAACUAUCAAGAUAGAACCUGGUUAGCAAAAAAGUUGUAGAAAGAAGCAUUCAUCUAAGAUCAAAAGUGCUAAAAGUCAAUCAAAUUUUGUAAAAAAUUAAUGAAAAGAAAAAGUAAGUAAUGACAAUAGAUCACCACCAGCAAGAAAACAGUUUCGAUGAGAAAACAGUUUACAUAGCAUAGCCAGCAAGAAAAGAUUAUCUAUAUUUGACACAUAAUUCUCCUGUCUCCAUAGGAGGAUUCAGAAGGAUUCUCAUCUUUAAAAGUCAAUAGUUCGAUUGGUCGCAGAUAUUUCUGUUGUCAUGGAAUUCUUCAGGUUUCAAUCAGCAAUCAGGAUAUAAAAGUCUUCUAUACUUGCAACUGAUGGAAGUAGAAGAAUACAGAUAGUUAUUGAUGCAUAUGAAAAUAACAUGAGAUUUGGAGAAUAUGCAAGGUUGUCCACUGUAGGAGUGAUAUAUCAGAUCUCUAUGUUGGUAGUUUGAAAAGGAGAACUGGUACAAAAUAGUAUCCCCAUGGACGCAACGGUUUCUAAAUUUCUUCCUCCCUACUCCUGUUCUAAUUUUCUGCACCAAUUGUAUCCUAGAGCCCUAUUUAGUGCACAAAUUCAGCAACUCACUAUUCCAACAACACAGAGCAUGCUUCAAGCUUAAGACCCAUGCCCAGAUAACAAAGCUCUUCCCCAACUUUUGAAAUCCAUUAGAAGUACACUAAAAUAGCUUCUGACUUAUACAGUCUGCUGAUCAGUAAAAAUGUCCUGGACUCUUUUAACUAAUAGUCUUAAAAGCUGCAAACUCAUUCAUACAAAAUUUGAACACAAGCUUUUAACACUGAAUGUUAUUUGACAGUGGGGAAGAUAGGUUCAACUCUUACUAUCUCAUUGGUGUAUAUUCAAGGACAGGAAAAGAAAAUAACCACAUGCAAUGGAAGAUGAGAGUAAAAAGUCAGGAAGAAAGCCACAUAUGACACAAAGGUUUAGGACAUCACUUCCAAGACAAAGAUGCAUAACAAAUUCACCAAUGAAUAACUUAAAUAACUCCUUCACGGAUGGCCUAACAAACCUGGGUAUGUGUACAAUAGUACAUGCAAUAUGUACUGGGCUUCAGCACAGCCCUGGGGACUAGAAUAUCUUAUGACAGGAAAUUGAGGUGACGAAUCCCAACAUUUCAAUUAAAAGCCCUUCCAUCAAACUCAAUGAAUAAGCCUAUGGUCUCAAACAACGGCCGAAGUGUCCUUCACUGUCAGUUUACCCAAUACCCAUAACACGUAAAAUACCCAUAAGCUACUAAAGCACCAUAAAUUAAGUAUACUGAAAUAUGUAGAAUUUAAAUUGUUAAUAAAUACUCGAGAUCCUAAAAAGAUUACCCAUUCUUCAAAAUGGGUAAAUUGGAUCUUCAGCCAAGUUCCCAAGAAUAUUAAAAUUUACUCUUCCCUUAAACUCUUCAUUGGUUGCAUCAGUCGUGAAUAUUGAUGGCAUUCAUAAAAAAAAAUGGAACACAUAAUGUAUCAAUAUAUCAACAUCAGUUUGAAGCCCUAAGAAAACAUUCAGCACACACAGCUUUUAUAAAAACUCAAUGAAGUCAAAAGAAUAGAAUCUUGCAAGCACCAGAUGCACACCUCCCCAUUCUCCAAGUUGGUUCAUUAUUUGUCCUCCAUUUGCAACAAGAGAGGUCAAAGAAAUAAGAAUGAUACAAGCUUUGGAGAGGACUUCAAAUAUAACUGAAACUCAUUCAUUUCUUUCACAUAGGGAUAAGCCUCGGCAACGCUUGGCUUCUGGUGUAAAUAUAUCCAAAAACAAUACCAAACAAGUUGUCUGCCACAAGAUUUUAAGCUAACUCUAAAUUUUCCACUUAUUAUUUGGGCCCUAGAAGCGUGCAACAUCUCAUGCCUAUACAAGUCCCUUUAGGUAUGAGUGAAAGACAAUUAUCUAAAGCUACUGCAAUGAAGAAUGCCUUUUUAAUGUUAAGAGCAAACUGAAGCUUAUAUAUCUAUUUCUUGAGAACUCAAAAUAGAUGAUUGGCAAUCAGCUAUAUAUUUCAUGCAUAUAAUAUCUGAGGUCUCAAAUGCCUAACAAAAUUGGAAUAAUGGUCUUCUCCUUCCAGAAAUAUGAUCGCUUAAGACCAUGUCAUUCUUUAGAAAAAUAGAACGAUACACUUAUUAAAUUGCUUUUAUAUUUAAAAAUUUUUUCUUAUGGCAAAAAAUAUUGCAUAUCUUUGAUCUAUUGUUUCUGAUUUAUUUUCAAAGAAAACAAUGCAAAGGUUCAGUAUUAGUAAGGUGAAUUUGUGCCUAACUUGUAUGAGUUAUGUGCUCAAGCUUAAGCUAAGGUUACUAUGUAUCCAUAACCCUCUUCAAAUUCAAGGAAAUUGGUAACUCAUAUGUAUAUAUAUAUACUGGAAAGCUGUGAGUGAUAAAGAAUUUAACCAGUGAUGCAUUUUGGAUGUCGAAUCUUGUCAUCUACUCAAGAAGGCACAGCAGACUUAAGCAGUCACUCGAUUGAACCAAGUGACAAACGACAGAGUGUAAGCAAAAAAAGUUGAAUAAGACUUGUAAACAAGGACUAAACCAUACUAAUCUGUGACCUAAAAAUGCACUGGCUACAAAUAAAUGGAUGAAGUGGAAAAUCAUAUGCAAAAAAAUUUGAAACCAGCUACUAGACUCAUAUGUUAAUAACCUACUGGCAGGAUAAUUGACAUCUUAUCCUUCUCUUUGUCUGCAAACGGAAAUCUUAAUCAUAUUUAGAACCCAAAAAUCAUAAACGUUUUUCCUAGACUAAGUUCAACAGAUGCAAAUAGUGUUGUGUGCAUAAUUUUGCCAUUAUUCUCGCAAAUGAAGACCAUUAGCAUUACUCUUCAUUUCCAAAAAUUUAUCAUGUUUAAAACGGUAAACAACUUUGGUUUGUUUGUUCCCCCCCCUCUUAAUACCUAAUGCAUUUGAACAACACAACAUGCCUGUGCCUAUCUUCUGCAUAGCUCACCCAGUUCUCCAAACUUCAUCAGUUUUAUCAAUUAGUCGCCAUCCCAUUCGCUGUUUACUUAUGCUUAAUCAUUCAAACAUCUCUUUCUUUGGAAACCAAUUCCAUAACAAUGCUACUCUUCAUCUCAAACCAAAACAAUUACAGCAGCAAACACAUUAUACCAGUAAUUCAAGUCCGCUAUACCCUUGUUCACUUACAAAUACCCCAAGUUCCCAACCUUGCCCAGAAUUUAAGAAUCCCAUAAAACCAAGUUCACUAAACCAAUUUAACCGUCCUGAUUCUCAAGUCAGCAUGAAUUUUCUUUAUAUCUAAAAUUUCCUUAUUUUGAAAUUAUUCCAGAGAACUGACAAGAGACAAAACCAGCAGAAUUCAUUACCUUUUCAAGAAUUGACAUGGCUUCUUGUGUUGCACUCUUCUCCCUCUCUACAUAACAAAGGAAGCACUUUUAUCAAUCACCACACUGCCCAGACUAUCCCAAACAAUCAAAUUGAAAAUUUUCAAAAACCCAGAUGCAAAUUACAUAACUAAAUGCCAAUAAAGUACAAAAAUAACAAAAAAAAAAGAACAUAACUUUCUGGACAGAAGAGAUGGGAUGAGAGGCCUUACUGAUGGGACAGGUGAUGAGGAAUCCGGAGUGGGAAUGACUGAGGAGAGAAGAAGGGGCGUUGUAGUCAAAACGAGGAAUGGUGAUGACAGUAGAGUGCUGCUCCCAGGGCUUCAGCUCCUCCUUGGUUUUCAGUUCCACUUUCAUUGCUUCUUUUUCCAAUUCUUUUGCUCUUUCUUUUGUUUUUGCUGUCCCAUGUUUCAUUUCCAGUAUUAUUGAGUUGCAAUUUGUUUGGCAGAUGAGAUCUAUAUUUAUAUUUCGCCCCCUCUUUUGUAUGGCAAAUGAGUUUUUUUACCCUAGUUCUUCCACUUUACUAAUAAAAUGUGAUUUAUUCUAAAUAUUUUAGACCCUCUUUGAUAACCCAAUUCAGUAUUUAAACUUAAUGGAUUCAGAUUUGAUGUCUUCAGACGCAUUGAUAAUAAAAAAUAGAAUGUCUAAAUUAAUUAAGUGAUAUUGAAUUUCUUAGGUAAAACUUGCUCUCAAAAUAAAAUAUUAAAUAUGAAAUUUGAAUUUAUUAAGUUAUUAAAUUGUUAAGUAUUAAAUGUGAUACAUUUGAGUAUAUAUCAUAUUAAGUGAUAAAUGAAUAACAUCACUUAUUUUUUGAAACAAGUUUUACCUAGAAAAUCGGUGUCAUUUUAUUUUUUGAAGUAAAUUUUGGCUAAAAAAUUCAGUGUCAUUUAAUUAAUUCAGAUGUGUAAUUUUUUGUUAUCAAAUGCGUUUAAAUAUGUUAAUAUAUGAAUCCAUUAACUUUAACUGUUGAAUUGAGUUAAAACAGUGCUUAAUACUUCACAAUUCAACAACUUAACUUAAUGAAAUUCAAAUUUUAGACUUCAGUUUUCAAACUUUAAUUUUAUCAAACGCACCCUCCUAUUACCCAAAUUCUACUAAACAAAAUUUUUCUACAUAUUACCACCCUCACAAUUCACAAAGUCAUUUUAAUAAUUGAAUCUAUUAACUGAUGUCAGUCGGUUUGGAUCAUUUUGUGAUAUCAAAGGUGAAAAAAAUCACAUGUGUGCACAAAAAUAAAACCAAAAAAAUGGUAUAGAUUUUUCUUUUGAAAAAAUGGAGAGUUGUAGUUGCAGUCUCCAAUUUUUAACAUUUGCACUAAAAUAAUCUCUAAUGUUUUGAUCAAAAUAAAUUUGGUUCUCAAAGUUUUUGGUAGUAGGUACAUUCAACAUUGUCGAAAACUCAACAAUGACUAACUGUCAAAAUUUAAUUACUGUUAUUUAACAAUUUUGACUUUGUACUUUUGGACCCUAAUGUUUGAAAUUUUAAUCAUUUUAGUUGCUUAAAUUUUCAAUAGUGAUAUCGAGGGUAUUAGGAUAAAACAAGAUGCGAAUUACAACACAAUUGUCUUAAAUUGGUACUAGCAAUUCUAAUUAAACUUUUUUUUACUGCAUUUAUUCAUGCCACUAAUGUCUCAUAUACUUCUUCCCUUUGGUAUAAUUGGUCACAAAUUUGGUAUUAUAUAUGUGAUUAUUGAUUUAUACAAGCAGUAAUUAACUGAUAAUUCACCCAUAAUGAGUAAAAGCACUUCAUAUUAGUUUUUAUGUUUGCUAGUUUUUAUAAUUACAAUUCCUAACUAUAACAAUUUAAGGCCUAUAUGUACAAGUCAUGCAAGAACUAGCAUGAAUGAUAAUAAAUUUUAUAUUAAUACUAGAAUUUUCCUUUUUAUUUUAUAUAUUAUGUAUAUAUUGUCAUUUGAUUGUGACUUAUUCAAAAAAAAAUCUUCAAGUUCAACGAUGUUAUUAUGUUGCUAUAAAGUGUUUUUAUGAAAUUUUAUAGCAAUUUUGGACGACAUUUGUCAUAUAUUUAAUUCAAUUCACACCUUUUUUUUUCAUUUUAAAACCCCUAACUAUAACUAGAAACUUAAGAGACCAUAUUGAUUGAAACUUCAAACAUUGGGGACUAAAAAUGUAAAGUUAAAAUCAGAAAAUUUAGAGACCAAAUUUGUUUUGGCUGAUAUAUUAUGGACCAAUUUGAUAUAUAGGUCAAACAUUGAGAGUCAAAUUUGUGUCUCUCUUUGGAAAAUUUUGAGAAGUAGUAAUAGAAAGAUUUAAAAUUCAGUAUAAGUUUUGGCAAAUUCACAUAUUCCUAAUAUCUAAUAAAACACAUGUCAUGAUAAAAAAAUACCAAAUUAACCUAUCCAACCAAGCAAGCUCCCACUCUAAUCAUCUGAUCCCCAAAUUCCCUUUCUUACUCAUUUCGAGAGGGAAAUGAAUUAGCACAAAAAUCUGAGGCAAUCCUUCUGGGACUAUAAAUGGGGCGAGGUCAGCUUGAAGUUGGCUCCAAGAAAAAGUCUGAUGGGCCUGACCUUUCAUUGAGUUGGAUUGAAAUUGGGUCUGAAUAUUAGUUCGAAAUUAAAUGUGAACAGAGUUUGGACACUAUUAAGGUCAAACCCGAUAUAGGCUCAACCCAUUAAUAUGCAUAUAUAUAUAAUAUUCAUAUUUUGAUAUAUAUAAUUAUAUAUCUAAAUUUAUAAUACUAAUACUUAUGAGUUAUUUGUCAAAAUAUAUUAAUAUAUAUAAGGAAUAUUAAUAUACAAAAUUAUGUCAAAAGAUUUUUAAGGACAAAUCUUAGUACAAUCAAAUUGAGGACCUUUGAAGAUAUAUUGACUGUUGAUCAUAUUUUAUUACUAUUUUCCAUGUACAUUGAAUUAAUUGGAUACAUUAUUGUUGAAAAUUUCUUUGGUUUAUAUAUUUUUUAAUGAACUAUUAUCGAUUCUUGUAUAGUUUUAAUGUUGUGGUCCUGUGGAUAUUAAAUUAGUUUAAAACUUAAUAAUUAUAGUAAUUAUAUUAAGGAAAUUAAGGAAUUAUAAGUGAUCUUAAGUUAGGUCUAAAUUAAACUCACAAUUUGAAUAUUUUGUGAGUCAAGUAUGAGUUUUACAUUUAUCAAUCCAAAACUCAUAAUUCGAAACCCGAAAGUGAUACUAAGGCUCCGUUUGAUAAAACUGAAUCUGAAUUCUAAAUUCUGAAUACUGAAACAAUUAAUUUGCUGAAUAUUAAGCACUGAAAAGAGACAUAUGAAUAUCUAAAUCUUAAUGCUGAACAUAUUUAUACUGUUUGAUAAACAUUUAUAACUUAAUGCUUAAUAAGCUAAAUUGUACAAUUUUGCCCUUCUAUCUUUUAAUACAAAAAGGAAAUAGAACCUAUGAUUUAAUUAGCUUAAAAUUGUUAGGUAUGAAAAUGACAAUAUUUAUUUUUAAAUCAAAGUAAUAUAAAAGAAGAAAUAUAUUAUGGAAAAGUCCAAAUAUCGGUGCAAAUAUAUUUUUAAAUCAGAGUUUGAUAAGAAAAGUCCAAAUAUAAGCAAAAGGAAGCAAAAGUCCAAAUAUAAGCAAAAGGAAGCUGCAAUAAACAAGUUUUAAAUUCACACCAAAUUAUAUAGAAAUUUAAUUACUUCAAUGGAAAAAUGUUGAAGCAAAACAACAAAUAAUCAAUGUCACUCACCUUGGAAAUAAUGAAUUUGAGAUCGAUGAGUAUGGUAGCAAUAAAAAAAAUUGGGAGGAAAAAAUGACAAAAUUAUAAAAGAGUAGAAAGAUGAAAAAAGAUAAAGAGUAGACAGAUGUGAGGAGCAUGGAGAAAUUGUAAAAAAGUCAUUAAAUAGGGAGAAAAUAGAAGUAGAAAGCCAUUAGACAGAAAAUAUCAGGUUGUUUAAUUAGAUAAGGAUUUUGAAUGUAAUUAACAAACAAGGAUAAAUUUGGUAGAUAAGAUAAAGUAGUUGAAGUAAAUCUCUUGAUUCUUAUCAAAUUAAGCAUUCAGUUACGAUUCUUGUGCUGAAAAAAAUACAUACAAACUCAGCACCACUUAAUAAGUUCAGCAAAAAAAUUUUUAUUUAUCAAACACCCAAAACACCCAAAACAUCUGAAUGUCUGAAUGAAUUCAGUUUCAGCACUUUUUUAUGUUAUCAAAUAGACACUAACUAUAAAAGCGGAACCUAAGUUUGUUAAACCUCGCUUCAAAUGGCCCAACUGAUAGGCCUAAAUCCUUCCCUUCUUUUGAUUUAAAUGAAAUUAAAUUUAAACCUAUAGUUUAGUACUCAUAUUCUUUUGUACCCAAACAGCCUUUUGACCUUCUUUUUUUUUUUUUGGUAUUAACCAGAGGUGUUCGCAUCCGUUUUACGGUCUGCGACUAAUCCUAUUCGAACCACGUCGGGCCCUUUGUAGGGGAAAGCUCUCCCAACGUUGUUUUUUCCAUCCCCAUGGGUUUCAAACCCAAUACCUCAUGGUUAAGGGAUGCAAACGCCUUCCACUUGUACCAACAUCCGUUGGUGCCUUUUGACCUUUGAAAAACAUUACCCGAAAUACUACAAGUUAUCUUCACCUUGAUUAGAAUUAUUUCAAGCAAUCAUGAAAGUCAAGUCACAUAAUCAAUUUUGUUGUCUAGGUUCUAUUUUUAUUUUUUAGUUUUUUUAUUCUAACUGUAAAAAAAGGUUCAUAAUCGCAAUACUAGUAUGAUUGAUCAUGGAAGUAUAUUGUUUGGUUGCAUUUUUUGGAAGGAUAUAUUGUAACACUUUUUUAGAUGUGAUCUAUAUGAAGUAAAAAAAUCAUUGAAAAUGUGUCAAGGAAAUAUUUUCGAAAAACAUGAGAUUUUUGUCCUGAGAAUGGCAAUCCAAAAAACGCCACUAUAUUUGCAUACUACUGCAAAUUGACCUCUUUUCUACAAAUAUAUUAUUUUUUAUAACUUAAACUAUCCAAAAAAAAAAGAUCUCUAAUCAAAAUAGUGAAUUGUUAUGCACAAACUUGUAACAUAUAUGCUUCUAAUAAAACAAAAAAAAUAAUGAAAAAGAUCAAUCUUUAAAAAUAUUACCUAUGGAAGAUAGAAGCAAUAGAUAAAAUUUAGGAAUUCUUCCAGACUUGUGGUUUUCAAAUAUCAUUGAUUUCCUCCAGUUUCACGUGAUCUAGUAGGCCUUUGCAAUUUUAAUCUUUUGCCAUUUGUAGAAAAUGUACAAUGGUAGGGAAAGAAUGGUUUUAGUAGUGACGAAAAAGGCAAAGGAACUCUUUUAUAGCAAUCGUGAAGCCUUAGGGCAAUUGCAGUAGUUGACGAAUAGACACAACUGAUAAAUGGGCAAUAUUGCCUCUUUAUGCAAUAAAAAGAAAAGAAAGAGUGCGUGAGACUUUUUUUUUGUGGGAAUGCUAAUAUUAUUUGCCUUUUGAAAAAUCCAAUUUUGGGAAAGAAUGGUAUCAACUUUCCUUCUCUCAUUUGUUAAUAUUGAGAGAACUCCAACAGGCACCGCUUUGUUACACAAUAUGAAGGGUUGUUUUUAGAUUCUUCUUAUUGUUUGCAUUUUAAGUAUUGAACCUAUAGUUAAAACUCUACUAGAUUUUGAUUAGUUGGGAAAAUUUAAUAUAUAUGAGACUAGAACCAGCAAUACCCACUAAGAAUUGAGAAUACUUGGGUACUGCGAUGGAGUCCCAUGAGACCCAAUCUUUUGAGUUUUUAUAACAAAUAAUUUUAUUUCCACAAAAUUUUUUCUGAAUAAUCACAUUUUUAAAUUAUAUGUUUAAUGUACGUGAACUUCCGUGGUACAACACUAGCUCUUUUCCUCCUCUUUUUUCCUGUACUUUUAGCAUCUUCAAUCCAUGUGUUUUUACUUAAGAGAAUUUUUUUUAAGCAAAUGAGGAGCAUUCAGUGUAACGAUGUAAAAUUCACUUGGAACUUUAUUUAUGCAAGAUAAAUUCUUAAUAACUAAUACAUAGCAUUUUGUACAAAGUUCUUGUUCGUUAGAAAAAAUUAUUGUUAUGUUAAUCUUGAUUGUAGGUGAUUAUGAUAAAAAUUUAAUCCACUCAGUAUGAUGAAAUGCCUAGUAAUUUUUCUUUUAGCUUGAUGAAAUGCUUAGUAGACAAAAAUUUGAAAUUUAGAAUAUGGAUUUCUUUGGUAGGUUUUACAAGUGGUGCGGAUAUUUUAUUGUAUUCUACAAUUAUUAACCAUUUUAGUUAUAUCCAAAACAAUUCAUUUGAGCAACUAGUGGAAAAAAUAGAAAAAAAAUAGGGGUAGGGUAUUUGUCUGAAUUGAUUCUUCCAGUGGAAAAUGCUUCAAGAAAGUCGGGAUGUAAAAUGGGUAAAAUAUUUGAAGUAUUAGUUCGUUCCUAUUGUUUUCUCUUAUCCUAGUUCGUAUAUACUAAUAUUAUACUCGUAGAAUAUACAUUCUUACAUAUCAUUCCAAAAAACAUUCAUAUUUCCUGCAUUUCAAAAAUAUUUUGAAAAAUACUUAUACUUUUCAAUUAACCAUACAAAACACGUAAUAAACUUUUAUAAUGUAUCAUCUUCGCAAAUUAUACUUCAAUUUAAAAAAUUUUAAAAUUUGAGUGAUGAUAAUGACAUGUUUAUGAGUUAUAUACAAAUAAGAGUCACAUAUAACAUAAUAACUGUAGAUUAUACAUAUUUAAGCAAUAUGGUAACAAAAUUAAUAAAUGUAACAUCUCAUACACGAAAAUAAUUUUAAGAUUGGUAUAAGAGAGCAGCAUAUUCUUUGAAAACUAUAGUAAAUUAUCCGGAUGGUCACUAAACUUUUGCAAUCGUCGAGUUUUGGUCACUCAACUAUUAAAAGUCUGGUUUUGAUCGCUAAAAUGUAUAAAGUUAAGGUUCCAGGCCAUUCUGUUAGAUCUAGUCGUUAAGUUUGCUGAUCCGUUUAUCCACACGAUUUCCAAGACAAAAUAAAGGGUCAAUUUAGGAAGUUCAACAUGCAUCUUCUUCUUCUUCUUCUUAUUGUGAAGCACCCGGCUUAUGGAUUCGAUCAGUCCAACGGGUUCGACUCCAUACCUAAUCCGAUUGUCCUCCACUUCUUCAACAAAAUCUCUGACAUCAAAACCCUAAUCCGUUGCCGCUCCGUUUCCAAAAGGUUCAAUUCGCUGGUUCCUUAAGCCGACUCGCUCCUCCUCCGAGUUGACCGAGUCAUCUCUACGACCAAUACCGACAACGACGAUGGCGAAGCCUUCUUUCUCGCCUUCCUUCGAUCCAUCAUUGAAUCCCUCCAUAAUUUCAUUUCCAUAAACAAGCAUACCCAUUUUGGCAGCCCGACUAGGACUCAAAACUCUCCCACUCAGAUCCUCCGCAGGUUCGAGAACAUCCGGAGUCUCCAAAUCGAGCUCCCCUCCGGCGAUCUGAGGUUGGAAAAAGGCACCACGAUGAUAGGAGUUUAACAUGCCUUUUCAACCUACUUGCAAGAAAAUUUGCAGCUUGAUAUACUCCUCUGGCUAAGUGUAUCGUUGACAAUUGAGCAAACUCUCCACACUUCUUAUUUUUUAUAAAGAAAGGAAACCUCAAUCAUCCUCCUUCUCAACGGCACUUUCCUCCAUGGCAUCCAUCAAUAAGAAAAUAGUAUUAGCAUCAACCAGAAUUCUUCAGAGAUUUUAAUGACCUCCGAAUCCAGUGAAACUCUUUCAUCAGCCGAAGUAUCAUAAGAAAAGGAUUUGUUUGGGUAUGGUUGGAAUGCCGUAGUUUAGAAUUACAGCAGCGAAAAAGAGAUUCUUAGCAGAGCUUUUGGGUGGUUGACAUACGAGGCACGGAUGGAGAAGAAGAAGAAGAUGCAUGUUGAACUUCCUAAAUUGACCCUUUCUUUUGUCUUGGAAAUUGUGCAGAUAAACGGAUCAGCAAACUUAAUGACUAAAUCUAACAGAAUAGCCUGGAGCCUUAACUUUAUACAUUUUAGUGGCCAAAACCAGACUUUAAUAGUUGAGUGAUCAAAACUCGACGAUUGCAAAAGUUUAGUGGCCAUCCGGAUAAUUUGCUAGUAUAUCUAUCCAUAUUUUUAGUUUUGUAACUUUCAAAUAUGUUCAUACUAUUUAUGCACGAAUUUAUAUGAGUAAUUUUCCCGAACACGUAUUUUUAUGCUGAAUUUUAAUCAUACUUUUGAGAAAAAAAACUCGUCUAAUAUGUAUACAGAUAGCAUCUCGUAUUAUAUCUGUCCUGUAUUUUAUCAACUAUGCUCUUAGUGCUGUAAGUAAAAUGUGUUGGGACUUAAAUGAACGAUAAAAUAAGUCUAGUUGGUAUUAGAGAUGAAAACGAGUCGAGUCGAGGUUGAGUAGUGCUAUACUCAAACUCAACUGAAUCUCGAACUCGAUAGGUGAUACUGGUACUUGAACUCGAGUUCAAACUCGUUUGAGCAACUAAUAUAUGGCUUGAGCUCGACUUGUGAGGAAAUUGUUUAAGCUCGAACUUGAUUCGAUAAGGCUGGAGUACUUAUCAAGCCAAAUCGAGCCUUAUCAAGCUUGAGUACUCACAGAAAGAAUUAUUCUCCAAGCUCAAGAAUCUUGGAAAAACAAUCAGUUAAUAACAUAGCCUGAUUCAAUAUGAAAUUUGUGAACUGAUCCUAGAAAAUCUCUUAUCACCGAAAGAACAAGUUUCUAAACUCAAAAAUCCUGGAAAAACAAUCUAUCUAUAACAUAGCCUGAUGCAAUAUAAAACUUUUGAAUCGAUUGUACAAAAUCUCUUAUAUAUAUAUAUAUAGGAUUUAAGUUUGGGUUUGGGUUUAAGUAUGGAUCAUAUAAAAUUAGACCCUACUCAAAUGUAUAAUGCUUUUAUAGGGUAUGGCUCUGUGUAGGGUAUGAAUUUAAAAACUUAAAUCCAAACCCAAAAUAUAUAUGGUGGAUUUGGAUUGGAUUUGAAUAAUAUUCGACUCAUUGACAUGUCUGAUAAAAAAUUUAUGUAGAACAAUAAAUUAGAAAGACACGCCUGGAAGCUGUGAGAAGUUCAUUCCCAAUGAAUCCUCUACGGGGUUCAAAUAUAUAUCAUUAAAAAUUAACUAUAUAUCUUCGGUUGAGGGUUGACGGGUAUUUUACAUACGUACAAGUUAAAAAAAAAAACCGAAUUACACCUGUUCACUGCAAGUAUACAGGUCAACUAGUAGUUUAGGGUAUAUAUCGGGUCGAUCCCACGAGGAAGAGUGAACAAUUACCAGUAUUACUAAAACUUCUCUAUUAUUUAGACUAUCAAUGAAUUAUAGAAAAUGAAACCUACUGAACUUGUACAAAAAUAACAAAUGAAAGCUCCUUAGGUUGUGGUAUCCCUAACUACUCAUGCAAGUGUUAUAUUUGGAUCAUUGAGUACUACUAUCUAUGCUAGUUAAGGUGUAAUUUUCUUAUGCAUGUGAAACCUACUUUCGUAGUGAAUCAACUAUACUCAUAACUAAUCCAUACCUAUUCUCAUGGUUAUAAAAUUAGCUACAAGUUCAUUUCUUCAGCGAAAUUACAUGAAAUCAAUCACUAAAACCACAUAGAUGCACCUCUACUUUCGUGAGUGUACUCCCUAUGUUUAGCACUUCUUGAACUAGUGUUAAAUCUCAAUUUUCAUUGCAGAAACAACACCUUAGAUAAUCACAAUUAAUGGUACCAGAUUAAUCAUGAUUUAAAGAGUUAAAGUGCUAAAUAACUUGCUCAAAUCAUAGCAAUCAAAUAACCAAAUAAUAAACACUAACAAUCAUAGAAAGUUCAACCAAACCCAAGGCAUAAACUUUAAAGAUACAUAUUAAACACAAAAUCCAGAACUUGUAUAUUAACCAAACUUAAGAAUCUGAUACAAAAGAUAAAGAGUUGGAGAAGAGAUAACCCAUGUCACUUGAGCUUCAACUCCUCCAUCUUCAUCUCCAUCUUCAUCCUAAUCUAGCCAAGAUACAAGAAUGGAUGAUCUAUACUACUCUACACUAAGCUAAACUAACACUAGGAAGAUGAAAGAGCUACAUUUCUGCACUCCAAGCUUUCUCCCGUAUCUCCUCUCUAUUUUUCUUCUAUGGUCUCCCAUCCCCUUUCUCUUGCAAUGAAUUUGGCUAUUUAAUGAUGAAAAUUGGUCAAGAAAUGAGGCCUCUACCUUCCUUUUACAACUGGGAAUGUUUCUCACAUGUCUAGUAAUGCAUGUGAGUUGGUGGGAGUGAAAUUGAUUUUUCCGUGUACAGAGCAGCCUUUUCUGACUACAAUCCGGCCAGAAAUCCGGCCAAAUUCUGGCCGGAUUGCUACAGUGACCUUUUGGUCACUUUCUGCUCAAUUUCCAGCUCUGCUUCGACUUUGACUCAACUUCAACUGAACUUUGCUUGAUGAUAAAAGCUGAUUUAGCUCUUGACCAAAACAUAAAACGUGUAGCCCUUUGAGUUAGCUUUCCAAUACAUCAAGAAUCACCUCAUUUGGAUCUGUGUAGGCUGAGAUAUGACCGAAAUACCCUUACCUACUCACUGCCCUGUUCCAGCUUCGACCAGUAGAAAUUAGCUACUGUAAUUCGGCUUUUUGACCUAGAAAACCUUGAAACUGGAUUCAGAUGUUGUCACCAAAGUUAUAGAUCUAUCUCUUAUCUUCAAAUUGGUUCAAGAAUCAUCUCAAUCCGAUCACUGUAGUUCAAGUUAUAGCCGAAACACCAAAAUGUGUCAAAACUGUCAAAAUGCACAAAAUCCAAGUAAAAAGUGAUAAAAAACUCAUUUAACCACUUAAAAGCAUUUUUCACCAAUUAUAGCCAAAAUCAUUCAUUUUCUUCCAAUAAUAUACCCAAAGUGACUAAAAAUAAUAUAAAAUAUCAUACAAUUAUUACGUAAAUUAGUCACUUAUCAAGGGUCUAGCUUCAAAAAUCACAUUGUUCAUAUGUUAGGACAUGCCCAAGCUGUAUAUAAGAAUUCUCGGCAUGGAUCAUAGGCAGACUAAAUGGGAGAGUAGUGGAAGCUCAACUGCAUUAACAGAAAGAAUUUCUAUAGAAAGAAUCAAAUAGCUUUUUAUGCUAUUUAGAUGGAAUCAAAAGAGGAAACCAAACAAUAGUUAUACCUUCCAUUUGAUCAGAGGGUUGGUACACCGGUGCAAGAGAAGAAGAACUCUUAUGCUGAGAUUCUGUAUUAUCCUUAGAUGUUGAAGCAAAUCGAAAGGACAGGCUAUCUAAUGUAGAAGCUACAUUAUGAGACAGUGUUCUAUGUAGAUUCUGAUUAUGGAGUUGAAGUUUGUCAACGCCUACUAUAUUACCACCGUGACUAUGAGUGGCAAGUAGUUCAGACCAGGCGUCCAAACACCUGUUUCAAUGUGACCUAAUUGUGUCUUAGUAAUAUAACGUUGCCGCUUUCUUUUUACUUUCUAAUCUGUGCUACAACUGAAGAACCUGAGUUUUCAACCUACUUGGCUUGCUUUUUUAGAUCAUAGGAUUCUCUACACAAAAUGAAUCACACACAAACAAAAUAAACCCGCAACCACUAAAAGUGCGAUACUUUAAUCUCCAACAGGACAUGAUAUAAUUACCACUGUCAAUUAAAAAGACUAAAUCUUAUAUACACGGACGUUAUAUGCAUUAUCACUAUUGGAUUUAUGAUACAUGUAUAAAAGUUGAAUUUCAAAUUCAAAUUUUGCACAACUAUUAUUUGUCCAAAACUAACAGUAUACACAAUAUCAGUGUAAAAGAGAUUAAUCCAAAAAAAUAUGCAAACAAGCCUCACACUUCUAGCUUUCUUCACUCAACCAAAAUGGCAAAACAAAGACUCACGUGCAAACCAUAACCAAAUGGAGGAUGACGAAAAUCACUGGAAAAUUUCCUUAGCCACUUUGUAUAUAUGUACAUGUUUCUGUGUGUGUGUGUGUAUAUAUAAUAAAUAAUUGAAAGUUCUAUGUAUGGCUAAAGAUGUGUACAUUUGUCAAUUAUUUGAGUUCUAUAAUAUGUCAAACAUCUGUUGUUAACAUUUACAAUUUGUCGUAUAAGCAUUAACAUUCUACUUAAUUAUUGGAGGAAUAAGCUUGUACACAGAGAGCCAUUGGUUCGUGCAUGACUUUUCCUUAAGUUAAUAUUUGCCCCUUGCUUUAUAAAAUUAUUUCUAGUAGCUGAAAUUUGAAAAAGAAAAAACAAAGGUAUGUUUGUUUGGUAUUAGCGGAUGAAUAGAACGAAUAUGGCGAGAUUUGAGUCAAUUACGGGUGUCAGAUACUUUUGAGAAUCUCCUCUUUUCUGUUUUUCUUUUUUCAAAAACUAACAUUUAUUAAAAUUUAUGAAUAAUAGUAUUAUCUUCAUGGAAUUGGGAGUACCAUUCCAAUAAUAAAUUGUGAAUAUAGGGCAUUUGAACAUUGAGAAGCUUGUCAUACAUCCACAUUUGUUGUGAUUAUAUUGACCUGGUCUAUGGAUCAAAACAUGGCUAGUGCAAGGGAGUGCCAAGGAAGGAUGGAAGGGUUCAGUUACUAUUUUCGAUGGUAUAUUCAUGUAUCGAUUGAAGAGGAAUUGAAAGACAGAAGAUAGUGCUAAUGGGGGAAGAGCAACUUGAUUUAAUCAAAAUUUUUUUAAAAAAUUUGAAUUGCUAAGUGAAAUGGAGGAAAAUUUUAUGUUGAUCAUGCCUAAUAAUUGUUUCCGAACCAAUGAAAAGGUUCCAUGAGAACAUACAAGGGUUCCGCCUGAUUUUAUAUAACAUGCCAAGUGGAUUUCACUUAACAUGUAAAUUAGUAAGUGAGAUCCUCAUAUAUCCACUUGGAACUUUUCCAUUGUUCCCGGAUCAUGUCUAAUAGUUGUUUCGAACAUACAUAAAAUUCUUCGUGAAGCAAAUGAUAAGUUUUUAAUUUACUCUUCAACCCCAGUUCAAACAUUUAAUUGUAAAAGAAAAAAGAAAAUUAGUAAAUCGGUUCCAGAGUUUGGAUUUUACUAGUUGUGGCCGGUUUCAUAAGCUCUAUGAAUCAUCCGACAUAUUAACCACUAAGGUGUUAAAAAUAGGAAAGAGAUGCCAAAAUAGUGGUUGAAAAAGCAGCCAGCUUGAAGUUACAGCGCGGACUAAGUAGAAGUUAAUUGUCAAAUGAGCAUAUGAAUCAACUUGGCCAUAGCAAACAUAUACAAAAGCUCUAAGAGCAACUAUUAGUAGAAAAUAUUGAUCUUUGACAGGCAAAUUAAACUUUACCCUCCCGUGGUAUAGCUAAUUUUUACAUAAUUCCCUAUAGUUUUAAAAGCUAUAUAUAAUCCCUUAUAAUUUGGAUUAAAGUAUCAAAUUGACGGAAAUGGUCAUCCUUAACGGAACCUAUAAAAAUGUCAAAAUUAUUUCUAUUUAAAAACUAAAAUAGUUGGAGUGACCAAAAUAUAUAAACAUAAUAUGCAUGACACUCUAACCUCGUAUGAUUUUUAUAUUUUAGCAUAUAACCCUUUUAUGGUUUAGUGUUUUGCCAUAUAGCCCCUUUAUGAUUUUCAGUAUAUAUACAUAACCCCCUGUGGUUAAUAAAUAAUUUUCAACUUUACACAGGGAUAUUUUUUAUAUUUCAGUUGACUCCAUUAUGGAUUGUAAAUUCCGUUAUUUUGACACUUUAAUCCAAACUAUGAUGGGACUAUGUAUAGCUUUUAAAAUCAUAGGAGAGUUAUGUAAAAUAAUAAUAAUAAUAAAUCACAGGGGAAUAAAGCAUAAUUUGCCCAUCUUUGACACUAAAACUAUUCACUACACUCAUGGCAUGAGUCUCUUCCAAUUGUUAUCUACCACUUUUGUAUAUAUCUCAUUUUUCAGUCAUUUAAAGAAAUAUGGGCACAUUUAAUUUUAAUCACUUUUCCAGUGAUAUAUUGUCCCUUUUCAAUGCCAACAUUUUUUUUUAAAAAACAAUUCACAAACAAUUAUGAGAAUUUGUUAAAAAGAGUAAAUUGAUUUGAUUUUCACUUUUUUCUUUUCCAUUGGACAACCAUGUCAUGUCCAGCUAAUUUCUGACCUUAUAAGAUAAUAUCUUUUAAGGUCAUGUAAGAUCAGAAAUUAUCUUGUAAGAUAAUAUCUUGUUAGGUCAGAAAUUAGUAUUAUAUCUUGUAAGGUCAUGUAAGGUCAGAAAUUAUCUUGUAAGAUCAGAAAUUAGUAUUAUAUCUUGUAAGGUCAUGUAAGGUCAGAAAUUAUCUUGUAAGAUAAUAUCUUUUUUUUUUUCGGAAACGAUAGAUGAAUUUUAUAAUAAUCAAGACUUUACAAUAUUUGAGCAACGGCUCAACUACCUAUACAAAGUGUACAAUGACACUAAGGAGAUACAACAAAUCUCUCCUCAUCCAUAACUAUGCUUGAAGCAUAAAAACUAAUUGUUUUACAUAGAGCCAUAUUAGUAGAUUUUCCUUCUUCAAAAAAGCACAUGUGAAACAGAUUUACAAGAGCAAGUAUGUCUUCCACCAACGUAGCUAUAUUCGGGUUGUUUCCCUUCCCAUUUUUCAGCAGGCCAAUAAGUUGUUUAUUGCCAUUUAUGACUUUGAUCCUUUGCCAACCGAGCUGAGCUGCUUUGAUAAGUGCGAGACGCACUGCUAUAGCUGCAUCUUGGAUGUCCAUAUGUGAGCUUCUGUCCACAAGCGCCCAUUCAGCUCUGAUUCUGGUAUCUUUCUGUUUGGACACAACCCCAAUUCCCAUCUUGUGACCCGAUGAUGCUUUAUGUGUUGCAACAUGAAGUUCCAUCAGGUCUGUUGCCUCUAUUUGUUCCUCCCCUUGGCUUGCAUUUGUUGCAUCUGUUUCUGAUGUACUCCUAGCUGGUGUGACUCUACCAGCUUCAUCAAAGUCGAACCACUCAGUGUUCGCUCUUUGCACAACUCUGAAUCCAUCCUUCACUUUCCCUUCGAAUUCCAGUUCAUUCCUGUCUUUCCAUAGUUGCCAAAGAAUAUUAGCUGUCAAAGCUAUAUGCUGUCUUCCUUCCUUUCUACUUCGAGCUUGAGUUAAGGCUGCCCACCACUGCCUAAAGCAUCCAGUUUGGUUCUGUAACCCAUCCUAUUGAACUGGUGUGAGUUUCCACUCCUUCUGAGCCUGAGUACAAUGAAACAAAAUGUGUUCCACUGUUUCUAUGUGAUCUCCACAUCUGGAGCAGCAUGGUGAGCCUUGUUUCGUUCUCCUAAAGAUUGUUUCCCUUGCUGUUAAGGUGUUAGUGAUACACCUCCAUAUAAAUAGUUUAAUCUUGUGCUUAAUAUUCAAGCCCCAAAGAGUUUUCCAAAUCUGAGUGUUAGAAUCAUCAUAGCUAGAACCUGAUUCCCCCUUAGCUUGUUCUGCCUUAUACCUUGCUUCCUUCAUUUGAAGUUGAUAGCACGACCUAACUGAGUAUUCUCCUUGCUUACUAUGGAUCCAAAAAUGCAAGUCUCCAGUCCUUGACAGGCUAAUAGGUGUGCGCAAAAUGUUCUCCGCAUCCGCUCUAUUUAAUCUUCUGAAAAUGACACUUCUCUUCCACCUAAAAUUUGAGAUCAACUCCUCCACUUUCUGCCCCUCCCCCCCUCUGGCACCAUUGUUAUUGUUGUAAGAUAAUAUCUUGUAAGGUCAGAAAUUAGUAUUAUCUUGUAAGGUUAGAAAUUAGCUGGACAUGACCUUACAAGACAUUGUAGAACCAAGAAUCGAAAGUUGAAUGUGACUUUUUUGUUUCUUCCUUUCAAAGCCAACUUCAGUGGGCUAAUUUCUUAGAAUAUAGAUAAAAAAAAAAAUUGUCCGUCAAAUGUAGUUUUGACAUUCUUUUGGUACAAAACUAUAGCUACCGUACCUAAUCAAUACAGUAGCAAAUAUAUUUUUUUUUAAAGUGUCAGACUAUCAUGCUAAUUGUGCACGGGAGCUCACAGGUGAAUUUUGGAGUGAUGUAAAUAUAUAUAUAUAACAAAAGCUAGGAACUCAUACAUGAGAUUAUAAGAUUUCAGGCCUUGAAAACAAUUAAACUACAACUAAAUGACUGAAUUGACCUUAGGACUUCAGCCAAAAUACCAUGCGGCCAGCUAGUAGUCUGAACAAUGUAAGAGCCGAGCGAGAAAGCUGUGGAUUGUCUGAUGAUAGCAACAAAACUGAGUGGAGAGUUUAGAGUUUGUUCCCCACCGACUGAUGAAAAGUAGUGUCAUCUGUUGCUUAGUUAUUAUCGAUCGAGAGAGAGUGAUAGGAAGUUGCAAACCGUGAGAGAGUUUUACAUUUCUGUUCUGGUCAGUAGCAUCCCAGAGAAAACUGAGAGCUUCACCAUUUCUUUCUCCUUCCACUGUUCCAAACCGAGAGCUAAGGGGGUGAUUGAAGGAGGAAACGUUGCUAGUGCAUCCCUGAUCAGUUAUCAGGGAGAGGAAGGAAGGAAGUAGUUGCAGUUGAGGAACCGGAAGCUAAGCAUAGGAACAGUCUGCUUUUUGCUGAGCUUUAAGGGGAAAACAGGUAAAGAAAUUCUGUAAUCACCUUUUAUUUACUAGAUAUCAGAGAGUAGAUUGAAUGCAUGUUAGUUUUAGCAAGGGAAUAACGAGUUUUAACCGAAGGAAAAAUCUGUUAAAGAAGAAAAAUAGAAGCUGGACUGAAGUUGGAAACCGAGAGCUUGCAGGCUGAGUUGCAGCCUGUUGUUAUUGAAAAAAAAUGGAAACUAAUGGUAGAUUUUGCAUGUGAUACGUGGGUCUUUGAUGUUUGGGAGGUUUAGUUGAAGAAAACUUGGGGAAACGUUGGAUUUUGGAUUGAAACCGAGGGAAGUUUCUGCUGCAAAAUUUUCCAGGCUAUCCGAGAGAGAAAAUGGACAGAUUCCUAGCUGUUUUCAUGAUUUUUGGUCUUGAUUAUCAAUGUUAAACUGUAAUAUAUGAUGUAUAAGAGCUUGGUCUGAACAUGCAUGAAAGAUUUGAGCAUGAACUGAAGAGAUUAUUAGAGAGAAAAAUUGUGUUAAAAUUGCUGCUAUAAUUCUGGAAAAACAAAUGCCGAGAGAGGGAGUUGAGAGCAGGACCAGUGUUGUUCUGAUUUUCCUUGGCUGCCAUCUUGUGUGUUUGCUGAGGAUACUGUUGGAUCCUUAAUCCAACAUUGGACUUAUAUGUGAAUAAUUAUGUAUUGCAAACUGUCAAUUAAGGUUAAACCCAAUUAAAGUGAUCAAAUAUAGUUUGAAUUUAAUGUAUCUAAUAGGAUGUGGGCCCUUUAAUGUGUAGAAACUUAUGGGCUCCUAUUUCAAUGAUGGGCUGAAAUAGGGCUCCAAAAGGUAACAGGAAUGUUACCUAUAAAUAGGGUUAUGGUCCCCAAGUCACAGGUAUCGUUUUAGUUGUCGUAUUUCCUAAUACCACAAAACAUCUCUUCCCUGAUAUCCCAUCGUCAGGAAAGAUACCAGAGAGAAACUAAAGGUCUCUCUCAAAGGAUCGGUGAAUACCUGUUGACCUGGAAGGCCACCCCAAAUCUCUAGGGAUUCAAGUAUCAAGUUUAUCAAUAUGGAUUCAAGUACGCUUCCGCUAUUUUACAGUUAAUUUAUUUCUUAAUAAUCGCCAUACAGAUCUUGGGUUUAAAGGUGAUGGUUUUCACCAGUGGUUAGAUUUAGAUAACCACCCUAACAAGUGGUAUCAGAGCCCAUAUGGUUGAUUAUUAGGAAUAUUUUUUUUUUGGUAAUUCAUAGUUUUUUUUUUUGUACGGCUAAGUGUUUCGGAUUUCAUGUUCUGGCUUUGCCUUUUACUUUUUGCAAGUCUUGGUAAUUUGCUGUGUAAAUUCGGUCAUAGUAAAUUUGCACGGUUGAUUUAGUAAUUUGCAAGCCUUGGUUGCUGAUGGCUUUAUAAUUGCAUGCCUUGUGUUUUCGGCCUCUGACUCAAAAAAAAAAAAAAGGGGGGGGGGGGGAUUCAUGGUCAGGACCAUGAUGCUUUUGGUCUUCGGUCAAUUGUUAACCAUUGAAUCCAGGUUUCGUGUCUUUAUACAUGCUAUUGAUGCAUAGAUUUGGCUAUAUAGAAUGUCUGUGGAACCCACCAUGUUAGACAAGUUAAUUUUUGUUUCAUGUUAACAAUUUUUAAUUCAUGGGUCUUGUUGGCUUCCGCGGCUCGAAUCAAGGUGCUUCCGUACUUUGACUUUCGGUGGUAGCAGGGUCAUUAUUUAUAUGGUUUAUGUCUAAAAUUUUGGGUACACAACUUGCCAUGUUUGGUUCAACCGUUAUUAGUAUUUUAUUUUGGCUUGUUUUCUUAUACAAGAAUAAAUAUGCAUAUAUUUAUGUUAAGGAUAUUAGGGUUUUCUUUAAUUUAGUGAACCCUAAUAAAGUUAAAUAGGACAUUUAAGCCCUAUAAAAUUCAUAUGUGUGGCCCAUUAAAUAUGUAGUUUUUAUAAAGUAUUUAUGGAUUUCAAGAAAAUUUUUGGGCUUGAAUGUUAAUUUUGGGUCAAAUUAUGGAUAUGGACAUUUGGUCCAAUAGGUCAUGAUUUAAUUUGAUUGAUUUGACCAUGUUUUGACCAAAGUUGACUUUGAUCAAAAAUUUUUUUUGUUCAAUUUGGAUAAUUUUAAAUUUGAAUAUUGGUAUGAUUAUAUAUAUUUUGGAAUAAAUUAAUUGAAAUAAUAUGCCACCAAAGUGACCUCUAUUAUGGAAAUUAAUUUAUUUUAAAAUAUAAUUAGUUAAGUACUAGUAAUUUUAUGAAUAUUGAUCAGCCCAAAGGAAGGUCAAUAUUUAAUGAAAUUACAUGUGCACUUGUGGUAAUAAACAUGUGAUAAUUAUUCGGUUUUUUACAUGUGAAUUAUAAAUUGGCCCAAAGGAAAAUUUAUUUUUCGACAUGUUAUUAUUAUCAGUAUUUAUUACUGCGCCAAGAUAUCACUUAGAAAUUAAUAUUUUGUCCAAAGAUAAAAUAUUAAUGGAAUAUCGGUAUCUUGAGAUGGGGUUACCAUUAUUUAAAUUUAUUAUUAUUUUGGUUUAUGUGAGUAUUAUUUUAAUUAUAUUAUGUUUUCUGUUCAGUUGCAAAUGAUCUUACAAAUAUUACUUCCAACAUCAAUAAUAUUCCUAUGCUGAAUGGCACAAACUUCAAGUCCUGGAAAGAAAAUCUCUUGAUAGUAUUUGGAGUAAUGGAUCUCGACCUUGCGUUAAGGAUUGAUUCUCCCCCACCUUUUACAGACCAGAGUACCUCUGAUGAAAAGAAAAAUAAUGAGAGGUGGGAGAGAUCAAAUCGUUUGUGUCUGAUGAUCAUUAAAAAGGCCGUUCCAGAAGCAUUCAGAGGAACAAUGUCAGAAACAACUGUAACCGCUAAAGAGUUCCUUCAGGACAUUGAAAAAAGGUUUGUCAAGAACGAAAAUGCUGAAAUUAGUACGCUCUUGACACGCCUAGUUUCAAUGAAAUAUAGUGGUAAAGGCAAUAUCAGAGAGUACAUCAUGGAAAUGUCUCAUCUUGCUUCGAAAUUAAAUGCACUUAAGUUGAAACUCUCUGAAGAGUUACUAGUGCAUUUGAUUUUAAUAUCUCUUCCUACACAGUUUAGCCAGUUUAAGGUGAGUUAUAACUGUCAAAAGGAGACUUGGUCUCUAAAUGAACUCAUCUCACACUGUGUAGAGGAAGAGGAAAUGUUGAAACAAGAGCAGACAGAAAGUGCCCAUCUGGUGUCAACCGCUAAUAAUAAAAGUAAGGGACUUAAAAGAAAGAAGGAAAAAGGAGCUGCAGGUACAGCGCCACAAAAGAAACAACAAAAGAAAUCAAAUGAUCAGGGAAAGAAUAGUUGUUUCUUCUGUGGAGUUGAAGGACAUCAAAAGAAGCAUUGCACCAACUAUCACGCUUGGCGUGCUAAGAAAGGUAUGCUUCUUAAUUUGGUUUGUUCUGAGGUUAAUUUGACUUCGGUACCUAGACACACAUGGUGGUUAGAUUCUGGUGCAAUAACUCACAUCAGUGUGUCUAUGCAGGGUUGCCUGAAUUGCCGAAAGCCUAAUGAUAAUGAAAGAUAUAUCUACGUGGGCGAUGGCAAAACAGUUCAAGUUGAGGCAAUUGGAGUUUUUAGAUUAUUGUUAAAAACCGGAUUUUAUUUGGAUCUCUAUGAGACAUUUGUUGUACCGUUUUUUAGACGGAAUUUAAUUUCUAUUUCUGCUUUGGACAAAUUUGGUUAUUUUUGUUCAUUUGGAAAUGAAAAAUUUGAAUUAUUUCAUGAUUCAAAAUUGGUUGGUUCUGGUUCUUUAAUGCAUUACGAUAAUCUAUAUUUUAAUUGAUACGAUUGCCUCAUUUAAUGAAUCUCUGCAUUUGAGUACUAGAGGAGUUAAAAGAAAAUUAGCCAAUGAGAAUUCAGCUGCAUUAUGGCACAAGAGAUUGGGACAUAUCUCCAAACGGAGAAUGGAAAGGCUUGUGUCAAAUGAAAUUCUCGACCCCUUGAAUUUUACAGAUUUUAAUGAUUGUAUUAACUGUAUAAAGGGGAAACAAUCCAAUCAAAGGAGAUUUGAAGCCAAUAGGUCUUCAGACGUCUUAGAACUUAUACAUACGGAUAUUUGUGGGCCAUUUUCUACAUCUGCUUGGAAUGGUCAACAAUAUUUUAUAACGUUCAUAGACGAUUUUUCAAGAUAUGACUACAUAUAUCUCAUUUCUGAGAAGUCACAGUCACUGGACGUGUUCAAAAAUUUUAAGGCUGAAGUUGAGAAUCAACUCAACAAAAGAAUCAAAAGCGUCAGAUCUGACCGUGGUGGUGAGUACUAUGGUAGAUAUGACGGUUUAGGUGAACAACGUCCAGGACCAUUUGCUAAAUACCUAGAGGAAUGCGGUAUCGUCCCACAAUACACUAUGCCGGGUUCAUCCACUAUGAAUGGUGUAGCUGAAAGACGAAAUAGAACGCUUAAAGAUAUGGUAAGGAGUAUGAUAUGUCAUUCUACCUUACCAGAGUCACUCUGGGGUAAAGCACUUAAGACUGCAGCAUAUAUCCUUAAUAGAGUUCCAACUAAAGCAACUAUCAAAACCCCUUAUGAGGUUUGGACAGGAAAAAAACCCAGUUUAAAGCAUAUGCAUGUUUGGGGGUGUCCAGCUGAGGCAAGGCCUUACAGGCCUAAUGAAAAGAAAAAGGACUCAAGAACGAUUAGUUGUUAUUUUAUUGGAUACUCUGAAAGAUCCAGAGGUUACAAGUUUUAUGAUCCCACAGCCAAAUCAAUUUUUAAGACAGGAAAUGCUCGGUUCUUUGAGGAUGUUGAGUUUGGAGGAGAAAAUACAGUAAGGGACAUUGUCUUUAAAGAGGAAUAUAUUAAUAUUCCCACAGGUGUCAUUGAUCUUGUUUUGGAUCCUAUUCCUGAACAAGAUCAUGACAUAACAAAUCAAGACAAUGUCGAAAAAUAAACUGUUAUAGAAGAACAAACUCUUCCUCUCCAAGAACCAGUGCCAUUAAGAAGAUCCACUAGAGAAAGGAGAAGUGCAGUGCCAGAUGAUUACAUUAUUUUUCUCCAAGAACAUGAGGAUGACAUUGGAUUGAUGGAAGAUGAUCCAAUCAACUUCCGUCAAGCCAUGGAAAGUUCAAAUUUUCAAAAGUGGAUCGAUGCCAUGAAUGAGUAGAUUAAAUCCAUGAAUGACAAUGAUGUUUGGGAUCUUGUCCCAUUGCCAGAAGGUGCGAAACCCAUUGGUUGUAAAUGGAUAUUUAAAAUCAAAAAGGAUUCGAAAGGCAAUGUGGAAAGAUACAAAGCUCAUCUUGUCGUUAAGGGAUUUACACAAAAAGAAGGUAUCGACUAUAAAGAAACUUUCUCUCCAGUCUCUUCAAAGGACUCUUUUAGAAUUAUCAUGGCACUAACGGCGCAUUUCGAUCUUGAGUUAUAUCAGAUGGAUGUAAAGACAGCGUUUCUCAAUGGUAACAUUGAUGAGACGAUUUAUAUGGUGUAACCAGAAAACUUUGUGUCAGGAGAUCCAAAGAAUAUGGUUUGCAAACUUAAAAAAUCCAUCUAUGGGCUCAAACAAGCGUCUCGACAAUAGUAUUUCAAAUUUCAUCAAGUGAUCAUCUCAUUUGAUUUUGAGAUGAAUUUAGUAGAUAAUUGCAUAUACCAUAAGUUCUGUGGGAGCAAGUAUAUUUUUCUGGUAUUGUAUGUUGAUGACAUUUUGCUUGCCAGCAACGAUAUGGGUCUAUUGCAUGAAACCAAGAAAUUUCUGACUAAGAAUUUUGAGAUGAAAGAUCUUGGCGAUGCAUCUUUUGUGUAAGGUAUACAAAUAUAUCGAGAUCGAUCUCAGGGUAUUUUAGGACUAUCACAAAAGAGUUAUAUCGAAAAGAUUCUCAAAACGUAUGGCAUGCAAAAUUGUAAAUCAGGUGACACUCAUGUGGUUAAAGGAGACAAAUUUAGUCUUGAACAGUAUCCCAAGAAUGCUUUUGAGAAAAAAGAGAUGCAAAAGAUUUCUUAUGCAUCAGCAGUAGGGAGUCUAAUGUAUGCUCAAGUAUGUACGCGUCCGGAUAUUACGUACAUUACUGGAAUGUUGGGUAGGUAUUUGAGUAAUCCUGGAUUAGAUCAUUGGAAAACAACCAAACGGGUCUUACGAUAUCUACAGAAAACAAAGGACUACAUGCUCACGUAUCGGAAGUCAGAUGAGUUAGAGAUCAUUGGGUAUACUGAUUCCGAUUAUGCUGGAUGCAAAGAUACUAUGAAGUCAACGUCAGGCUAUGUCUACUUGUUGGCUGGAUGUGCCAUAUCCUGUAAGAGUGCUAAACAGUCCCUCAUAGCAUCUUCCACUAUGGCUGCAGAAUUUAUAGCUUGUUAUGAGGCAUCCAACCAAGGAAUUUGGCUGCGAAAUUUCGUCACAGGAUUACGUGUAGUGAAUGGCAUUGAAAGACCACUCAAAUUAUUCUGUGACAAUAAGUCAGCAGUCUUAUAUUCCAAUAACAACAGGAGUUCGACCAAAUCUAAAUAUAUAGAUAUCAAGUUCCUGGCUGUUAAAGAAAGAGUGCAGAAUGGACAGUUAUCGAUAGAGCACAUCGGGACAAACUCCAUGGUUGCGGAUCCGCUUACGAAGGGAUUGCCACCCAAAUUGUUUCAUGAGCAUACUGCUCAUAUGGGUGUCGUGUUAUUAAAUGAUGUACAGUUUUAGUGGGAGUUUUGUUAUUUUGAAUGCUCUUAUGAUAUUUUUCAGUUAUUAAGGAUUUAAGAAUAUUUUAUGCAUAAAUAAAGUUUAGAUUUAUUUACACUCUAACUUUGGUAUGGUUUGAUCUCAUAAAAUUUAAGGUGGACCAGUUCGAAAUAGGCAUGUUUUGAUCACAUUACAUGAAAUUUCCAUGCUACACAUCCAUAUCAUGAUUCAUGUCAUUCAAUUGCAUUGAUAUAUGUGACCAUUGAUGGGUCGAGUUACGAAAUUGUAACAAAGGCCGCUUUGAUCCUAUAUUUGUGUAAUUGUUGGACCGAAUUGGUUACAGAUACAUUGUGAUAGUGACAGUAAAGUUGAGCUCAUACGGUUAAUUGCAAAACAUAAUUAUAAGGUUACACAUAUAGUCCAAGUGGGAGAUUGUUGCAUCCUUAAUCCAACAUUGGACUUAUAUGUGAAUAAUUAUGUAUUGCAAACUGUCAAUUAACGUUAAACCCAAUUAAAGUGAUCAAAUAUAGUUUGGGUUUAAUGUAUCUAAUAGGAUGUGAGCCCUUUAAUGUGUAGAAACUUAUGGGCUCCUAUUUCAAUGAUGGGCUGAAAUAGGGCUCCAAAAGGUAACAGGAAUGUUACCUAUAAAUAGGGUUAUGGUCCCCAAGUCACAGGUAUCGUUUUAGUUGUCGUAUUUCCUAAUACCACAAAACACCUCUUCCCUGAUAUCCCAUCGUCAGGAAAGAUACCAGAGAGAAACUAAAGGCCUCUCUCAAAGGAUCGGUGAAUACCUGUUGACCUGGAAGGCCACCCCAAAUCUCUAGGGAUUCAAGUAUCAAGUUUAUCAAUAUGGAUUCAGGUACGCUUCCGCUAUUUUACAGUUAAUUUAUUUCUUAAUAAUCGCCAUACAGAUCUUGGGUUUAAAGGUGAUGGUUUUCACCAGUGGUUAGAUUUAGAUAACCACCCUAACAGAUACUCCGUAGUUUAGUAACCAACUCUUGCAUGUGGUUUUUAACGAACAAAAGUGAAGAAAUCUGUUGCAAGAGAGAAGGAUAGCCGAGAGGAAGAGAAAAUGUGUAAGAACAAUUUUUUUUCCUUUCCAAUUUCAAUUCGGUGAACUUCAUUACCUGAUAUUGAAGGUGCUCUGUCGUUUAGUUGUUGUUUUAGCUCAUGACUUGGGAGUAAACUGAAUGGGUUAAGGGGAAAAGCUUUGAACUAUGUAGUUCAUUAUUUUACAACCGAGAGAGAGAAAAAUGGACUGAUCAGUUUUUCUUUUCCUCCAAGUGAGCUGCACAAUCUUUUGUGUUCUGUACAAGGCUCAUUUGUAGUUUAAUGAACGUGGUUAACACAUCUAGUUGGGAUAUAAAAACUUGGAAGGUGGAACUUGAGUGAAACGGCAAACAUUGGACUGAUAUAUACAUAGCUAAGGGAUUGCUUAAAAGCUGUGAUAGUUAAGACUGAUUUGUGUGCAUAGUUUGCACAAAACAUUGGUUACAAUUAAAUGUUUCUUUUCCUAAUUCAUGUUAGAUUAAAUAUAAGUUAAGUAGUUGGUGAUUUAAUCAAGUGAAAAAUGAAGUUAUUGGAUGAAAACUUGAAGUUUUGUUGCUGAAUUUAUGUAGAUAGGUUGUAUGGCAAUGAGUUAAAACUUAUUUGAUAUUUUAGAAACUCUAAAGUAAUUUGUUAUGGCCGUAUUCAUGAAAUGACUUCUAAUCGCUUAAAAUUGGCUUUCUUGGUAAUUCAAAGACUAUAAAUUGUGAGAGGUGAAGGUUGUGGACUAAGUUAAUCUACAAAUAACUUAAAGUUUAGUUAGUUUAAAAAGGGAGUGGAGUAUCUAUAAGCCAUAAUUAAUAUUGGAUUGAGAAAGUAUAUUGGAUUGAAUGAGUAUACAAGUUAAACUUGAAGAUAGGUAUGUUUCAUGGUUUGAAAAUGAUAAAGUUAAUAAGUUCUGAAAAUAAAAGUAUAAAUGAAUAUUAAGAAUGUUAAAUUUAUAUAUUAAGGUCAAACUUGAUUUUAAUAGUUUAAAUAAUAAAGUAAGAAUGAUAAGUGAUCACUUACGAAUUAUAAAUUUACCGUUGAAAUUAUUAAUUUGCUCAGGAAGUAGCUGUGAGCCAGGAAACAAACCCGAGGUUCAAGAGUAAUUUACUUGGAGAAUUGGUGAGUGUUUUCCGAAUUUAUGUGUUAAACUGCUUAUGUGUACCUAAGUGAAAUUAUGUGACAAAUGUGCUUAUUAUGAACUAUUACUAAAUGAUUCAGUGUAAAAUGUAUCUCAAUUGUCCCUCGCCUUCUAAGUCGGGAGUGUAUUUUAUCACACUCGGCUUAGUUGGGUUUGAAGGUCGAUAAUUGACUGAAUAUUACUGUAAGUGUGCAUGACUGUAAACCGUAUGUGUGCCUCGCUGCGUUGGCUGAACUGGACCCCAAAACCCUCUGUUCAACGGACUAUUCGAGCCAGCAAAGGGUUUGGUCGGGUAGGACGGUAGAUUUGGGUAAAUGUUUCGGUAUACUCGAGUAUUACCACGAGGUUGGGAGAUCAUUGCACUGAUUACUGAAUGUAGGGGAUUGUUUAUUGUUUUGGAGGACAUAAGGAGGUGAAUUGGGAGAAAGUACAGUGAUAUUGAAAUAAAUGUGCAAUGAUAUUGAAAUGAAUGUACAAUGAUAGUGAAAUGAGUGUCUCUUGACACUGAAAUGAAUGCUGAAUGACAUUGAAGUGGCUCUAAUGCGAGCACCGUAUCCUUUUAAAAGUGAUUGUACAGUGAAAUGUGCACUACUUGCUUAAUUGUACUGAUUUAAGUGCUUAUUGAUUGUUGCUUGCAUGGAAACCUCACGGGCGUAAGUUCACCCUUUUAACUUUGUUUUCCUUACAGGAGUCGGAGAUUGAAGAGUGAUUGGAUUGAACUAGAAAGUUAUUUUGUGAAGAUCUGUUAUUCUGUGUAUAUAGUGAAGUCAUGGUCUCUUUUGAAUUUUGAGACGGUUGAAUUUUUGUUUGAGUUGGUGUGAUAUUAAGAUUGGAUAUUUAGAACAGGUAUUUUGUUUCUUUUAUUGGACAAAUUUAUGUUUCAAACUGAUUGGAGAUGUACUUAAGAGUAAAUGUUCAGUUGUCCAAUGGUAAUGUUAUCUCUGAAGUUAAAGUGAGUGAGUGAGUCCUAGCGAGAGCCAGGCAGGCGAUCCGCUAACUUUUAGGGUAUGGCCUAAGAGAAGGUGGGGUCGUCACCCCCUGCGUAUGAUGAAAUGCCUAGUAAUUUUUUCUUUUAGAAUGAUGAAAUGCUUAGUGGGUAAAAAUUUGAAAUUUAGAAUAUGGAUUUCUUUGGUAGGUUUUACAAGUGGUGGAAACAUCUUAUUAUAUUCUACUAUGAUCGACCAUUUUGUUAUAUCCACAAUAGGGCAAUUAGUGGAAAAAGUAUAGAAAAAAAUAGGGGUAGGAUAUUAAUCUGAAUCGAUUUUUUCUAGUGGAGCAUACUCGAAGAAAGAAGGGAUGUAAUAGUGUAAAUGAUUUGAAGAUAUUAGUUUGUUCCUCUUGUUUUCUCUUAGUCCUAUUUUUUUUUUGGUUCCAGAUUAUUUAUUAUUUUAUAAAAAUUUCGGCAAAGUUUCCCCUUAUAAAGGGACGAAACUCCCUGCCAUCAACCCACAAUUUAACAACCAAUUUACAUCAAAGAGAAAAUUUUAAGCAUUUAAGAUGUGAAACUAAGAUUAAACUCAGUUUUCAACUUCAGCUCUUCCAGUCAAUCUGCAUGAUGAUCCUUGAAGAUCAUCAUUCAAUCUUCUCCCAAAGGCAAUCAAUUGCGCACAACCCUAAUGCGUAUUACAGGACAACCUUCUUUGUCCAACCCCAUGGCGGGUCGUGGCAACUCCGAAAGGGAAGAGUACACGACACUUGACGUUCCCCAUACCCCCCAUUUAGAUAAAACAUCUGCCACCUGGUUUGUCUCUCGAAAACAAUGACCACGAUCCAAUCCAAUCCCAAAAUUGAAUGGAUUGUCUCUAUAUCAGAACGAAUUCUUCAUGGAUACCUGGAUUUGCCACAAAGAACGUUGACUAACAAUAGCGAGUCCACCUCCACCUGUACCCUGGUGGCCCCCCGCACCAGGCAUUGUUGAAUCCCAUAUAACAAUGCCUUGGUCUCAGCUUGCAAUCUUGUCAUCUCCCUGAGGGAAAUGGAAAAGCCAAAGACCAGAUUGCCAGAGGAGUCCCUAAGGACACCGCCCCCUCCACUAGGUCCCGGAUUACCUAAUGAACAUCCAUCUGUAUUUAACUUGCAUGUCCCCGUCACCGGUAAUUCCCAACGGAGUACCCGAUGUGAGUAUCAAGGCCUCCACCCAGAAAUAGAAGAGUAAAAAGCAUGCCAGGAGAUAUUCCCCCCCAUGUCUCCUACAACUCCCUCCCCAACUAGCCGAACUAAAUCCGCCAGGAUACGAUCGCAAACAGUCAGCCUGCGUAGGAAAUGCCCUUCAAAGUGUGCUAAAUUCCUUACCAGCCAAAUAUUCCAGCAGAUGAUACUAGGCAGCACCGUAUGGAAUGACUCCACUCGUGAGUGACGUGUCGACAAACACCACCAACCCGCCAACCUUGCACAUACCCCUGUCCCUCGGUAUGCCACCCCGGCAACAUUGCCAAAGAAUGUCCAAAGGAAUCGUGCUAGACCACCCUCCGAGAAAAUAUGGUCCAACGAUUCGGAUUGGAAGUCUGUACAACAAAAGCAAUAAGAUUGAGCAUUAAGUUUGAACUCGACUCAAUAAGGCUCAAGUACAAAUUGAGCAUUAUCAAGCUUAAGUAUUCGCAAUAAGAUCGAGCUUUUAAGCUCAAAAAUUUUGGAAAUUUUUUUUCAAAAACACAAUCUAUUUCAAUAUGAAAUUUGUGAACUGAUCCUGGAAAUUCAUUUUAAUAUAUACAUAUGGGUUUGGGUAGGUUUUAAAUUUGGGUCUAGAUUUAAAUAUGGAUCAUACAAUAUCAAAUUCUACCAAAAAUCGUGAUUCUUUUACAGGAUUUGGAUUUGAAUUUAAAAAAUUAAAUCCAAACCCAAAAUAAAUAUGGUGGAUUUGAGUUAAAUCUGAAUAAUGUCCAACCCAUCUACAUGUCUAGUAGCAAAUUCCUGAGUGGAACAAUAAAUUAGAAAGACACACCUGAAAGUUGGGAAGAAGUUUAUCCCGAAUGAAUCCUUUACGGGGUUGGUAUAUAUGUCAUUAAAAAUUAACUAUGUAUCAUCAUUUGAGGAUCUAGCUUUCAAAAAUCACAUUGUCCAUAGGUUAGGACAUGCCAUGGUGCAUACAAGAAUUCUCGGUUAGGAGUUUUGUGCAAGUAUGAUAGGCUUGUUUAGUGCACACUUCACAGUGCCUUGUAAAAUUAUUUUAACAUGCCCUAAGGGUUUAGCACUAAUUGGACAAGCUUACCAAGUCGAAUUUUAAACAAUUUAACAGACUUUGUAUCUACAUCUAUCCUAGGAUUUAGCGAACUUCUGCCAUCUUUACUUAUUUCGUUGGGAUGAAUAUUUAAGGGUUGGAACUUGGAAGUUGAAUUAAUCCAAAAUGCACAUAAGUUAGCUCAAAACAUUACCUGCCCUGAAAAAUUAAUGAGCAAGAAAUUGAAAAAAAAAUAGAGACUCUAAAAAAUGAGAGAUUUAUGGCUAAAUUCACCCUCAUUCAUAGUUUGUGAAAAAAAAAAUUAAUGAAUCUCUUGAUUGGCUCCGUUCCUUGACUAGUUUCUAAAUUGUAGUGUCUAGAUUUACUGUACUUAUCAAUUAUAUUAAUUGUAUUGAUUGUAUUGUUUGGAUUCGUUGUACCUAAAUGCCUAUGAAUACAGGCUUCUUCUAUCAGUACAUGAUCAAUAUAUAUAUAAAAAAAGGAAUUCAUUUUUUUAUAUUCUCAACUGCUUUUUUAUCUUAAUACAUCACAUCACACAAAUUACUACAGUAAUUAUUUCAGAUAUAAAACAAUUCAAAUACUCCUGUUGCCAUUUUCAUUUUUUUCUCAUGGUAUCGGAGCAAAUGAAGAGAUUCUAGCACAUUAUUUAAUAUUUAGUACUAAGUUUAUGAUUUUUUUUUAAGAAAAAAAACUCAACAUUUUGUUCGUCAGCACUUACUUCAGGUUUGGUCAUCAUUGAUUCAGGGACGAAAUCCUACCGCUAAAUCUCCCAUAUGAGUAGUUUCACAAGGACAUUCAAUUGACUUCGACGGUUUGACCCUUCUCUUUCGCAAUUACAUAUGUCAAGAACUAAACCAUAUUCAUUGCACUAAAUGCACUCAGGUGAUCAGGUAAAAGUAAAUAUAAGUCCUUCAAAGCUUGUAACAAAUACUUGAUGACAAGUGCAAUUGCGCAUGCUUGCCAUUAUUUUUUUUAAGAAAAACGUUUGGACGCUCAGUUUGAUUUCGACCAUCAUCACGAUCAGGACAUACCCUUAGGACUGACCAUAGGUUGUUUACAAGAAUUUUAUAGAUCACCCACCAACAUAACUCUCACAUCGAUAGUAAAAUUUGAACACGCAACUCUUUGUAAGGAAGUGACCGUCCUUACCAAUUGAAACAACUUAUGUUGGCAUUUGCCGAUAAUCUGUAUAGUGCGAGGCAGGGGCAGAGGGAAGGGGGGGCCAGGGGGGGCAACCGUCCCCUUCCAAUUGUUAAAAAAAAAAUUCUAAGUAAAAAAUUUUUAUUGUUAUGUUUUGCCCCCCCAAAAAUUGAUCAAAAAAUUCACUUUGCCCCCUCCCCCAAGGGCCCAAACAAUAAUGUUCUCUGUUAUUUGGAUUUGGUCCAAAUAACAGAGAAUUGCCACUAUUUUCUUAACGGAGAAUAAUAGACUUGGUCCAAAUAACUUACAUACUAUUUCCUGAACUUCACAAUUGCCAUUUUGAAUCAAUUCACCUCUUAUUUCCUUCUUACAGAAAAGCCUCAACUCUCAACUCCGAACUUCAAUUCCCACACAGUCAAAUAGAUUUGUAAAUAUGAUGAUAUUUUUGUAUAUGUGAAGCGUAUACGUAAUUUUCAUUCUAUAUAAGGUUGUUUCUAAUCUUGUGGUAUAUAUGUUCACAUUAUUUUUUUUUGUAAAUAUAUUUUACUUUCAUUGCUUUAGACUCGCCCCCCAAAGUUAAUUCCUAGCUCCACCACUGGUGCAAGGAUUUUUGGGGAAACCUUGUGAGAAUGUUCAACUGUCUAAUCUUCGAUUGAUUAAUCCCCGGAGCAUUUUAGAAAUUUUAGAGGCCAAUAGAGCAUCAAAAGGAAACUACGGUGACAGGGCUGUCAUUUGCAAUAUUUUUUCCUCUAUAAAUUAAUCUUGCAUGGAGCUGCAGCCUAUGGUCACUAGGCACAUUCUGCCUCUCUUCAACUCAUCAAGUUACAGUCUGUAUCCAAUUUGCAAUAGUAGUGAUAAGUGAAUAUUUAACGUAUAUUUUGUACAAGUUUGGAAUGAAUUUUUGGUAUGUUUUGAGAAGAUUAAAGCCACAUUUGAACUCUUCUGGUGAUAAUUGCUUAAAAAUUGUUUAAGUGUUCAAAACUUGAUAAAUGAGUGGAUUAAUGUGUUAAUUUUGUGAAAUUGUGAAGGAUAUCGAUGUAUGAAAUUCAUGCACAAGAUGAAGGGAAUGUAAGGAUUGUCCAAAGGAUAAAGUACACAAGAAAUUAGGAGCAAAAAUGAAGGAAAAAGGAAAGAAGUGAAAAAACUGGAAAUUUAAUGGCACGGAUCCGAGCUCGGAUCCGUGAGAGCAAAGAUGGAUCCGAUCCCUCGUCUGUACUUCUGGAAGAUUGUAUCCGAGGUCAGAGGAUCCAACCUCGGAUCCAUUAUGGAAAGUCCUCAGAUCCUGAAGAUCCGAGCUCGGAUCAAUUUUCACCCCUCGGAUCCGAGGCUCGGAUUUGUCUCUCUCUUCAGCAAGUGGCACAGCCGUUUUACUUUACCUUUCUUAAAACUUUUCCAGCUAUUUUGAGGGACAGAAAUCGGUGGCACAUGCUUCUGCAAUAAAAGAGAAGACCAAAUGAAUUGUAGACAAAAGAAAACAUCAUAUCUUUGACUUCUUUUUACAAAAUCUGAGUGGAGGAAAUUAUGAACUGAGAGGAAUAGACUUUCUACCACCUUUUAUGCAGAGACACAAGGGGAGAAGAAAAAUAUCAUAUACGUAGCUAGUUUUCCUUCUUGUAACUAGUUUCUCUCUAGCUAAGAGUUCUUGGAGAAGCAUUUGGAGUUUUCACUUGUAAUCAUAUUGUGCAAGAGCAUAGCAGGAAUUGGAGAGCUUCACCAUCAAUUGGCUAAGCUUUCUAUUAUCUUUUUUGUACUUGUACUUCAUGAUGUUUUGCAUUAAUAAACUUGUGAGUUUGAUUGUUAAAUCAUUCAUGAGUAGCUAAACUCCUUAAUCUAGGGAGUAGAUGAAACUUAUGGCUAAAUAAUACUAAUUGAAUGUGAUUUACACUUGUUAUAUCUUGUAUUAACUAGCCUACUUGUGUAGCUGUGAUUACUUGUUAUUGAUUGAUCACCAAUAGCAUGUUUAUAGUUGUUAUUAUUCAGUAAGAAUUGGUAAUAACAAUGGAAACACAUGAGUAGAGCUUAAGUUGUAUGUUCAUGAAAAUAGAGAUACACUUAAGUGGAUUACUUAGCAUUUCAUGAAAGAAAAUAGAGUAGCAGUAGUAUUUCACCAUGAAAAUAGGGAAAACUUUACUACUCUAGGUCAUUUCAUCAUGAGAAUGAGACUUGGUAAAUUUGGAAAUGAAUCUCUGGUUAAACAAGACUAAUAACAAGAGGUAAAUCCAUUCAUUUGUGUUGUUUAUGCCAUAAGUGGAAUCUACAUCCCUAGAGUCUUUCUUGAGUAAGAAUUCUUCAUUUGCAUUUAGCAUUUGUUAAACUAGAUUUGCAGAUCAGAUUUGUAGAAUAUAGCAAUAAACUUUCUCUGCUCAAAUUUAUUGUAAGUCUAAAUAAUAGAGAAAAAUAAGGGUCUAGUACUUGUUUCAAUUGCUCCUCGUGGGAUCGACCCGAUACAUACCCUACAUUACAGUUUUGGCCUGUAUACUUGCAGCUAACGGGUAUAAAAAUCGGAUUUAAACUUGCAUUGAUAUAAAAAUCCUGUCAAGUUUUAGGCGCCGUUGCCGGGGAGCGGCAAUAUUAGAGCCUAAUCAUCUUUAUUAAUUUAGACAGCGUUAUUUUUUUAGUUGAGCUGAUUAUAUUUAAUCCUACAUUGUAAUUAAAUUUUGACAAUCGAAGUUGUAUAAUAUCUCUUAUUUCUAUUUGUAGUGUAUGCACCGGGCGUCUCGAGAAGUUGCACUUUUCGAUCCAAAAAUUGAGAGGACACUACAUAGACAAAGGAGGAACACACCACAACAAGAGGAACAAGAGAUUUGGCAACCAAUAGAGGAAAUCUUAAUAGAGCUUCCAUUUGAAGAAGAAAUGGCAGAAAACGAAGAAAAUAGGCGAGUUCUACGAGAUUUUGCUCUACCGAGAACACAAGGAUCUCAAACGAGCAUAGCAAGGCCUUCGGUAAAUGCAAACAAUUUUGAGAUUAAACCAUCACUUAUCCAAAUGGUUCAACAGUCUCAAUUUGGAGGUAAUGCAGUAGAAGAUCCUAAUACACACUUAGCUACAUUCUUGGAAAUUUGUGAUACAAUUAAAAUGAAUGGAGUUAGUGAUGAUGCUAUAAGGCUAAGAUUGUUCCCAUUUUCAUUGAGAAAUAAUGCCAAACUUUGGCUACACUCUCAUGCUCCUAAUACUUUCACCGGAUGGGAUGAUUUAUCAAGAGCAUUCUUAAAUAAGUAUUUUCCACCAGGUAAGACUGCUAAGCUUAGAAUGGAUAUCACUAGUUUUAGCCAAUUGGACGGUGAAUCAUUAUAUGAGGCAUGGGAAAGGUUUAGAGAUUUGCUUCGGAAAUGUCCACAUCAUGGACUGCCGGAGUGGUUAAUCAUACAAACCUUCUAUAAUGGUUUAGUUUUUUCAACUAAAACUAUGAUCGAUGCAGCUGUAGGUGGAGCUUUAAUGGGUAAGUCACCCCAAGAAGCUCAGAAUUUGAUAGAAGAAAUGGCAGCAAAUAACUACCAGUGGGCCAAUGAGAGAGGUAAUACAAGACGUCACGCAGGUAUGAUAGAAAUGGAUAUUCUCAAUAUGCUGAGUGCCCAAAUGAAUAAUGUGAUGAAGUUGCUAAGUAGACAAGGUGGAGUUGGUCCAAGUUCAUCUAAUGCACAUGUAGCGUGUUGUUCUGUAUGUGGAGGUGAACAUGAUACUAAUGAGUGUGUUGAUUCUGAACAGGUACAAUUCGUCAAUAAUUACAAUCGUAAUGCUCAAAAUAACCCCUACUCGAAUACUUAUAAUCCGGGGUGGAGAAAUCAUCCAAACUUUGGAUGGAAGGAUCAAGGAAAUCAACCAAGCCCAGCCAAUCCACCAGGAUUUCAAUCAAGGCAACAACAAGCUGAAACUAAACCUGGUUGGGAGAUGGCAGUGGAAAAACUUGCAAAAGUUACUUCGGACAGAUUUGAGCGAGUAGAAGGAAGAUUGGACCAACUCACUACAAUGUACAGGAAUGUAGAGGUCCAAAUUGGUCAAAUUGCUAGUUCUUUGAAUAAUCGAAAUCAAGGAGAAUUACCUAGCAAAACUGAGGUAAAUCCUAAGGAGCAUGUCAAAGCCAUUACUCUUCAUAGUGGUAAGCAAUUAGAAGAACCUCCAGUGGUGGAAGUUGAGCAAGAUGAGAAUGGAAAACAAGAAGAAAAGCAGAGGAACCAAGAGGCGAUAGUGGAAGAAAAUAGCCGGGAGAAACCAAGAGAAAAUCAACCAUCAUCUUCCGCUACCAUUCCAAUACCUCCUGCGGUUCCAUUUCCACAAAGAUUAAAGCAGAAUAAGUUUGAUAGAGAUUUUGAAAAAUUUGUUAAACUUUUCAAACAAUUGCAUAUUAACAUUCCUUUUGCCGAUGCUAUUUUGCAGAUUCCGUCUUAUGCAAAAUUUCUCAAGGAAAUCAUGACUAGAAAAAGGAAGUUGGAAGAUUGCGAAACAAUAGCAUUAACUGAGGAGUGUAGUGCAAUUAUACAAAAUAAGCUACCACCGAAAUUGAAGGAUCUAGGAAGUUUCUCUAUACCUUGUACCAUAGGUAACAUUGUGACGGCCCCACCUCCCCCUAAGGCGUACCAAAGGGUUCGGCGGACCGCCUGCCCAACUCUCGCCGGGACUCAGUCGUUCCUUAAUCAAAUCCGGAAUACAACCAAAGGAAUAACAUACAACAAUCCAAAACUUAAGCGAAACUUAUAUAUACAUUACUAUCUCAAAAGGAAGUACAGCCAUCAAAUGUACAAAGGUUCUCACUUCAUCAUACAACCAGCCAGUGCCAAGCACUAGGGCGAGAACCAUUACAAAAGAAACAAAAGACCUAGACUAGGCUAGUCUAUGCUCUCAUCCUGCUCGCCGUCCCCUGUUAAGGAAAACAAAACUAAAGGGGUGAGUUAAAAGCUCAGUGAGGUUCCGAACAGAUAAUCAAACAAUCAAUUCAAUACAUUAAACAUGGAGUAUCAAUAAUUCAAGAAACAUUUACAAUGGAAAACGAUAGUAACAUUCAUUAAAAGGAUACGACUCACAUGGAGCGAUUCGUUCGUUCGUUCGUUCACCUGUUAUUUCCCUUAUCCCUCCAAUCAUUUAAAAUUGCAUUUUUGUAAGUAAAACCCUCGUUCGUUCGUUCGUUCGUUCUCCUCCAUCCGGACGUUGGCCGGACUCCACCCAUCCGGACGUUGGCCGGACUACAAGGUAAUACUCGAGUAUACCAAUCGUUCACACCCAGGGUCACCAUAUCGCCCGACCGAGUCCGCUUCUGGCUCGAGUCGAUCGGUGACGAAGGGCAGGGCCCAGUUCAGCCAAACGGCUUACAUUCAUGCGCAACGAGCAUUUAAUCAUUUAAUCAUUGAAAAUUUCACAUUCAUUUAGGUCGAGUGCGAUAAAGCACACGCUCUCCUAGAAAAUUCGUUUUGGAAAUCAUUGAAAACAUUUAACACAUUAUCAAACAAUAACAACAAGUCAUGAAGUCAAGGAAGAUAUAACAAACAAGGAACACUCACCUAUGUACUCAAAACAACGUGCAAAAUAUCCUACCGGAUAUUAUCAUUAGUCACCGAGAAAACCUAAAAUUAAACGAGAAAGAAUAUUACAGUUCAUCUAACACAAACAAUUAGGUGAAAUCAACGAAACUCGACAAUUGAUGAGUAGAACGUAUAAAAAGACUUUAAAGUGAAACGAGGAUAUUUGGACCCGUGGACAAAAAUAACUAGGGUUUCAAAGACCAAAUGUAAAACCAAACUCAAAAGGGUUAUAAAAUUUUCCAAUGGAAACACUUGAACUAAAGGCAAGUCGGAAUCCAACUAGAUAGACUCAGAAAUAUUGUCUUGACUGAGAAAACCUUAAGUCAUACCUCUAUAUUUUGGUAUGAAGUAGUAAAUAAACAUUUGAAGGUUCAAACGGAAAAGGUAUCAUGUUUUAAGAUGGAAAAUGGUCAUAGUAUUUGCCAAACGAAAAUAUACAAGUUCAAAUAGAAGCUUAGCUCUCGAGCGAAAAUUUGGGCAGCACGCCCUUUGUAUUUACCUAUUUUUCAGCCAUUUAUGGCUUCAUUGUUUUCCUCAAGCAAUCCCAACAUUACACACAACAUAAAUAGCCACUCAAUAGGCUCAAGACAAUACAAGGACAAAAAUCAAGCUAAUAACAAGUGCGGAAAUGAAGUUUAACAAAAGACAGAUUUAAUGUGUUUUUGCGUAACGGACACAACCGAGGCUACGCUUAUCGGAUUGAGGUGAAACUUAUACUGUUUUGAAGCUAAGGCAGAGAGCUACAACUUUAGUGAAGACCACUCAGUCCAGUUUACAAUGUAUCUAGGUCAAAUUUACCAAAACAACCCCAGAUUUUUCAGUUCGAAGUUUACUGUGGCAGUCCUGAUUCAUUCAAUCAUAUCUCAGCACAUACAACUUCAAUUAAAGAGAUUCCAAAGCCAUUUGAAAGCUAAGAUACAGGGAUAUAAUUAUUAAGAAGAUGUCGACACCCAAAUCAGUAGUAUUCCCGGUCGAAACAACCAAUUACAUAAGCUGAUUAUCAGUUUCGGGUAAAUACAGGGUAGCAGGGGUAUUUCGGUCUUUUUACAAUCUACGUUACUCCGAUUGAGCUGAAAUUUUGUAGGCAGCCAUAAAAUAUUAUUAUAUACAACUUUCAUGUUUUGUGCUAAGGCCAAUUCGGCCUAUAACAUUGUCAAACAGAAACGGGCAGAACUGGAACCUAGAAUUUCAGAAAUCUGGAUUCCAAGCAUAUAAGUGCUAAUCCUCACAAAUUGAACUUGAAACACCACUAAUACCUCCUAUACAUGCUUAUAUACAUCAUAUAUCAUUCAAACAACAAAUAUGAGAAGGAAAUUAUUCAAACCCUGACUUAAAUACAUCAACCCCAAUCAUCCAAAUCCACUUGAUAUAAGCAUAACAAGCAAAAUUACAUGCUACUACACAACUCAAACAUGGUUAAGGGAAAAGAAAAGUUAGUCAGCCAUUAUACCUCAAGACAAGAGCUGUCAAGAGUUAUCCUUCACUUCCCUUGGCAAAAUUUAGCUCCUUAAGCUUCCCAAGCUUCCAAACUAAUGAUUAAUCGGUUUAGUUUUUCUUGUUUUCAUUCAUUCAAGCUCAAACCAAGAUUGAUUGAAGUUUCCUUUUCUCUUGUUUUUCCUCCCUCAACUCACGGCUGAUAUGCAGAAAUAAUGGAGGAAAUAGGUUGGUUUUUGGUGAUAAAUAUGGUGUAAAUUAGUUAGUCAACCAUCCAAUGAAAUACCGCCACUUGUCGCCACCAAUUCCAUUCAUUUUUUCCCUUCUCUCUCUUGGUAUUUAAAGUCAACAAUUGUGGCUGAUGUAUGAGAUAUUUUGAGGGUUAAUUAGCUGUAAUAAAAUAAGAAGAUUAAGGUAAUAAAGUAGGGAUCAAGUGGUGUGUUCAAUCGGUAGCGCGCGGCACCCGUCGGUCCAAGCCGUUUGUCCUUAAAUUGCAUAUACUUGGAUUUUUAACUUCUAAUCACUAACUUAUUAUUAUCACUUCUAAUCAUAUAAUAUUUCCUCAUCCAAAAGUCACUAUUAGCUACCAAAUUUGAUCCUUACUCGGUACCCAAUAGGCACACUACGGAAAAACGUGAAAACCCUAAUUCGUUCUUCUUGAAAACGAAAAGUUAAACCCUACUUUCUAGGUUCAUUUGCACUCAUUGUCGGGUAAUUGGGUAGUAGGGCUAUUAUAAAUUAAUAAUUUCCAAAAAAAAGAGGGUAUUUUUAAGAAACAUAUAAGGAAUUUUACGGGUUCUCACAUCGAUAAUGCGUUUCAAAUUUAAUGUACACUAACUCAUACUAUGAAAAUGAAUUUAAAACUGUACUUGCUUGUAAAAAAAAUGCAUAGAGAUUUUAGUAAUUCCAAUGAGAGUAUAAAAUGUAGGCAAAGGAAUAAAAUGAUGCUGAGAAAAUGUGAAAUUUUUUUUUAUUUUUGGGUUCUCACAUUGUCUCCUCCUUAAAGAAAUUUCGUCCUCGAAAUUUUUACCUUCUGUUGCCUCAGAGGCCCCCGGAACUUGUUGCUGAUCUACGGUAUAAACCAGUGCUGAUACUUUUGUUCGGUUUCCUCUUUCAUUAGUUUUUCUCGGUUCGGUUCCUUCCACUCGUUGGGUAUAACCCUCUCGUGGCUGUUUCUUUGGAAAUUGCUAAGUUGAUGAUUGCUACUCCCACAAAUCAAACAUUUUCCCCCUUUCCGCCAGCAAUCAUUAUCAGUGUGAUUUGCCUUUCCACAGUAUCCACAGGCCAAUCGAGGAGCUACUGUUUGACCUUCUCGAGAAAUGUCCUUUGAUCCGAUUUGACUUCCUUUCGUAGACCUUUCAUCUAAUCCUCUAAAUGUCCAAGGUGGGCGAGGUGAAUGGUUCACUUUUUACACUUUGGAGAGCAUUAUCUUUUCUCCGGAUUCCUCAGAUACGCUGCUGGAUGUAUCCCUUUUCCGCAUUUGAAAGGCUUUUACAUGGGCUUUCGCAUUCUCAAUUCUUUGAGCCUUCUCAAGAGCCUCUGUAAACGUAUUAACUUGAACCGCCGCUAAUACCUCCUGGAUUUCCAAAUUUAGUCAUUGUAUAAAUCGUCUAAUUCUCCUUCGCUCCGUAACCACCAAUUCGGAAGCGAAUUUAGACAGUCUAGUAAAUUUGGUCUCAUAUUCAGCCACACUCAGGGUUCCCUGAUGCAACCCAAUAAAUUCGUCCUCUCCCCUUUCUUGGACCAAAGGUGAGAGAUACUUUUCGUUAAAUUCCCUUACAAAGUUCGCCCAUGUCCAUACAGUCUGUUCUCUUUCUCACUUGGCCUUAAUUACAUUCCACCACGCGCGGGCUGGUCCUUCGAAUUGAAAUACAACAAAAUUUACUUGUCUUUGCUCCGUGUAAUUCAAAGCCGCGAAGAUAUUAAUCAUUGCCUCCAACCACUUCUCAGCUAUAUCCGGAUCAGGCCCUUCUUUAAAUUUCGGAGAUAGAAACUUUUGAAAUCUCUCAAGAGCCUUAUCCUCUUCGAUCUCAGGAUUCCGGGGUUGAUUCACUGGCAUUUGACCUUGUUGAUCUACCAGUCGUUUUAGGAUAUUUGUCAUUUGUUGCAUCGCUGUGGCCAUUUGAUCUCCAGCCUCAACCCUCGAUCCAUGUUCUUGCUCGUCCACUGUUUCUCUUUCUUCUCUCGGUUCUUGAGCUUGCCUAGCCCCACGGUCACGACUAGCUCCACGUCCACGACUACGUCUCCCCUCCAUUCUUUUUUUUUUCAAAAAUGAUUUAGUAUGUAACAAAGGAAAUUGACUAGAACGGCAAAAUUUACCACAUCAAGUUCACAAAGAAACAUAUCAAGUAGACAAGAUCAAAUGCAACAAGUACUAUACAUGUGAAUAUUAUCAUGCCACAAGCCAAAUACACACGGUAGCAGUACAAAGACAAAACAAGAAGAUAACACGACAAGUCGUUUCACACUUGGUUAACAUAGCCCCCGUCCGAUCUCUCACGUCACUUCCUAUUCACUAGAUGUCCGUUAACCUCUUAUACUCAUUCUAACCGAACAAAGCCUGUUCAUGUUCCAAAAUACAAGUCUCAAAUACCUAGUAGCUAGCAUCGCCUCAACUCCAGAGUACUCAGGCACGAGAAUCCGAAAUAAAAUAGUUCACAUCUCGAGCUGGCCAGUCCCAAGAGUAAAUCAUCUACAAAUCGAAAUUCCUACCCGACAUACCUAUCUAUGGUCCUCAGAUACCACAAGAAAAUUUAAGACCUAUACCAUUCACAAUUCAUAGCUUAUGCUCACUCCGCACAGAGACCACGCGAAACAGGCUCUAGGUUUUAUCCCUCAAUUGCUUAACUUUAAAGUCAAAUCGAAUUCCCACAGUCCGGCAUCCUAAACUUCAAGCCUUGGAUACACUACAGAGAUCUGAUACCACCUGUGACGGCCCCACCUCCCCCUAAGGCGUACCAAAGGGUUCGGCGGACCGCCUGCCCAACUCUCGCCGGGACUCAGUCGUUCCUUAAUCAAAUUCGGAAUACAACCAAAGGAAUAACAUACAACAAUCCAAAACUUAAGCGAAACUUAUAUAUACAUUGCUAUCUCAAAAGAAAGUACAGCCAUCAAAUGUACAAAGGUUCUCACUUCACCAUACAACCAGCCCGUGCCAAGCACUAGGACAAGAACCAUUACAAAAGAAACAAAAGACCUAGACUAGGCUAGUCUAUGCUCUCAUCCUGCUCGCCGUCCCCUGUUAAGGAAAAUAAAACCAAAGGGGUGAGUUAAAAGCUCAGUGAGGUUCCGAACAGAUAAUCAAACAAUCAAUUCAAUACAUUAAACAUGGAGUAUCAAUAAUUCCAGAAACAUUUACAAUGGAAAGCGAUAGUAACAUUCAUUAAAAGGAUACGGCUCACAUGGAGCGAUUCGUUCGUUCGCCUGUCAUUUCCCUUAUCCCUCCAACCAUUUAAAAUUGCAUUUUUGUAAGUAAAACCCUCGUUCGUUCGUUCGUUCGUUCUCCCCCAUCCGGACGUUGGCCGGACUCCACCCAUCCGGACGUUGGCCGGACUACAUGGUAAUACUCGAGUAUACCAAACGUUCACACCCAUGGUCACCAUAUUGCCCGACCGAGUCCGCUUCUGGCUCGAGUCGAUCGGUGACGAAGGGCAGGGCCCAAUUCAGUCAAACGGCUUACAUUCAUGCGUAACGAGCAUUUAAUCAUUUAAUCAUUGAAAAUUUCACAUUCAUUUAGGUCGAGUACGAUAAAGCACACGCUCGCCUAGAAAAUUCGUUUUGGAAAUCAUUGGAAACAUUUAACACAUUAUCAAACAAUAACAACAAGUCAUGAAGUCAAGGAAGAUAUAACAAAUAAGGAACACUCACCUAUGUACUCAAAACAACGUGCAAAAUAUCCUACCGGAUAUUAUCCUUAAUCACCGAGAAAACCUAAAAUUAAACGAGAAAGAAUAUUACAGCUCAUCUAGCACAAACAAUUAGGUGAAAUCAACGAAACUCGACAAUUGAUGAGUAGAACGUAUAAAAAGACUUUAAAGUGAAACGAGAACAUUUGGACCCGUGGACAAAAAUAUCUAGGGUUUCAGAGACCAAAUGUAAAACCAAACUCAAAAGGGUUAUAAAAUUUUCCAAUGGAAACACUUGAACUAAAGGCAAGUCGGAAUCCAACUAGAUAGACUCAGAAAUAUUGUCUUGACUGAGAAAACCUUAAGUCAUACCUCUAUAUUUUGGUAUGAAGUAGUAAAUAAACAUUUGAAGGUUCAAACGGAAAAGGUAUCAUGUUUUAAGAUGGAAAACGGUCAUAGUAUUUGCCAAACGAAAAUAUACAAGUUCAAAUAGAAGCUUACCCCACUACCAUCCCAAACAACUGUAAUUUUUGAAUCUCAUGGAAAAACAUCCAAAAGCAAUGCACAAAUCACCAUGGAAGUGUUUAAGAAAACAUCUUGAUAUUAGGUUGUUCGGUACUCAAAUGUAAAAUUCGAACAAAUCAUAUUUCUUCUAUUUUUAACAUUUUCCAAUUAUUCUUAAUCCUUUUGAUUUCAGAGACUCCAAUCACUAAGUAGUUUUCACUAGAUAUGAUGUAAGUCCAUUUCUUACUCCGGCAAAAAAAAAUUUUAUUGUGCUUCAGGACUGUGUACUUGAAUCUUUGAGUACAUCCAAAUUAACAUAAGAUUAAUUAUUCAAACCUUUCAAAUCCCAACAGGAGCGAAAAUUUGGGCAGCACGCCCUUUGUAUUUACCUAUUUUUCAGCCAUUUAUGGCUUCAUUGUUUUCCUCAAGCAAUCCCAACAUUACACACAACAUAAAUAGCCACUCAAUAGGCUCAAGACAAUACAAGGACAAAAAUCAAGCUAAUAACAAGUGCGGAAAUGAAGUUUAACAAAAAAUAAAUUUAAUGUGUUUUUGCGUAACGGACACAACCGAGGCUACGCUUAUCGGAUUGAGGUGAAACUUGUACUGUUUCGAAGCUAAGGCAGAGAGCUACAACUUUAGUGAAGACCACUCAGUCCAGUUUACAAUGUAUCUAGGUCAAAUUUACCAAAAAAACCCCAGAUUUUCCAGUUCGAAGUUUACUGUGGCAGUCCUGAUUCAUUCAGUCAUAUCUCAGCACAUACAACUUCAAUUCAAGUGAUUCCAAAACCAUUUGAAAACUAAGAUACAGGGUUAUAAUUAUUAAGAAGACAUUGACACCCAAAUCAGUAGUAUUCCCGGUCGAAACAACCAAUUACAGAAGCUGAUUAUCAGUUUCGGGUAAAUACAGGGUAGCAGGGGUAUUUCAGUCUUUUUACAGGCUACGUUCCUCCGAUUGAGUUAAAAUUUUGUAGGAAACCAUAAAAUAUUAUUCUAUACAACUUUCAUGUUUUGUGUCAAGGCCAAUUCGGCCUCUAACAUUGUCAAAAAGAAACGGGAAGAACUGGAACCUAGAAUUUCAGAAAUCUGGAUUCCAAGCAUAUAAGUGCUAAUCCCCACAAAUUGAACUUGAAACACCCCUACUACCUCCUAUACAUGCUUAUAUACAUCAUAUAUCAUUCAAACAACAAAUAUGAGAAGGAAAUUAUUCAAACCCUGACUUAAAUACAUCAACCCCAAUCAUCCAAAUCCACUUGAUAUAAGUAUAACAAGCAAAAUUACAUGCUACUACACAACUCAAACAUGGUUAAGGGAAAAUAAAAGUUAGUCAGCCAUUAUACCUCAAGAUAAGAGCUGUCAAGAGUUAUCCUUCACUUCCCUUGGCAAAAUUUAGCUCCUUAAGCUUCCAAACUAAUGAUUAAUCGGUUUAGUUUUUCUUGUUUUCAUUCAUUCAAGCUCAAACCAAGAUUGAUUGAAGUUUCCUUUUCUCUUGUUUUUCCACCCUCAACUCACGGCUGAUAUGCAGAAAUAAUGGAGGAAAUAGGUUGAUUUUUGGUGAUAAAUAUGGUGUAAAUUAGUUAGUCAACCAUCCAAUGAAAUACCGCCACUUGUCGCCACCAAUUCCAUUCAUUUUUUCCCUUCUCUCUCUUGGUAUUUAAAGUCAACAAUUGUGGCUGAUGUAUGAGAUAUUUUGAGGGUUAAUUAGCUGUAAUAAAAUAAGAAGAUUAAGGUGAUAAAGUAGGGAUCAAGUGGUGUGUUCAAUCGGUAGCGCGCGACACCCGUCGGUCCAAGCCGUUUGUCCUUAAAUUGCAUAUACUUGGGUUUUUAACUUCUAAUCACUAAUUUAUUAUUAUCACUUCUAAUCAUAUAAUAUUUCCUCAUCCAAAAGUCACUAUUAGCUACCAAAUUUGAUCCUUACUCGGUACCAAAUAGGCACACUACGGAAAAACGUGAAAAUCCUAAUUCGUUCUUCUUGAAAAUAAAAAGUGAAACCCUACUUUAUAGGUUCAUUUGCACUCAUUGUGGGGUAUUUGGGUAGUAGGGCUAUUAUAAAUUAAUAAUUUCCAAAAAAAAAGGGUAUUUUUAAGAAACAUAUAAGGAAUUUUUUGGGUUCUCACAUCGAUAAUGCGUUUCAAAUUUAAUGUACACUAACUCAUACUAGGAAAAUGAAAUUAAAACUGUACUUGCUUGUAAAAAAAAUACAUAGAGAUUUUAGUAUUUCCAAGGAGAGUAUAAAAUGUAGGCAAAGGAAUAAAAUGAUGCUGAGAAAAUGUGAAAUUUUUUUUUUUUGGGGUUCUCACAUUCUCUCCUCCUUAAAGAAAUUUCGUCCUCGAAAUUUUUACCUUCUGUUGCCUCAGAGGCCCUCGGAACUUGUUGCUGAUCUACGGCAUAAACCUGUGCUGAUACUUUUGUUCGGUUUCCUCUUUCAUUAGUUUUUCUCGGUUCGGUUCCUUCCACUCGUUGAGUACAACCCUCUCGUGGCUGUUUCUUCGGACAAUUGCUAAGUUGAUGAUUGCUACUCCCACAAAUAAAACAUUUUCCCCCUUUCCGCCAGCAAUCAUUCUCAGUUUGAUUUGCCUUUCCACAGUAUUUCCAGGCCAAUCGAGGAGCUACUGUUUGACCUUCUCGAGAAAUGUCCUUUGAUCCGAUUUGACUUCCUUCGUAGACCUUUCAUCUAAUGCUCUAAACGUCCAAGGUGGACGAGGUGAAUGGUUCACUUUUUACACUUUGGAGAGCAUUAUCUUUUCUCCGAAUUUCUCAGGUAUGCUGCUGGAUGUAUCCCUUUUCCGCAUUUGAAAGGCUUUUACUUGGGCUUACGCAUUCUCAACUCUUUGAGCCUUCUCAAGAGCCUCUGUAAAUGUAUUAACUUGAACUGCCGCUAAUGCCUCCUGGAUUUCCAAAUUUAGUCAUUGUAUAAAUCAUCUAAUUCUCCUUCGCUCCGUAACCACCAAUUCGGAAGCGAAUUGAGACAGUCUAGUAAAUUUGGUCUCAUAUUCAGCCACACUCAGGGUUCCCUGACGCAACCCAAUAAAUUCAUCCUCUCUCCUUUCUUGGACCAAAGGUGAGAGAUACUUUUCGUUAAAUUUCCUUACAAAGUUCGCCCAUGUCCAUUCCGUCUGUUUUCUUUCCCACUUGGCCUUAAUUGCAUUCCACCACGCGCGGGUUGGUCCUUCGAAUUGAAAUACAGCAAAAUUUACUUGUCUUUGCUCCGUGUAAUUCAAAGCCGCGAAGAUAUUAAUCAUUGCCUCCAACCACUUCUCAGCUAUAUCCGGAUCAGGCCCUCCUUGAAAUUUCGGAGAUAGAAACUUUUGAAACCUCUCAAGAGCCUUUUCCUCUUCGAUCUCAGGAUUCCGGAGUUGAUUCACUGGCAUUUGACCUUGUUGAUCUACCAGUCGUGCUAGGAUAUUUGUCAUUUGUUGCAUCGCUGUGGCCAUUUGAUCUCCAGCCUCAACCCUCGAUCCAUGUUCUUGCUCGUCCACUGUUUCUCUUUCUUCUCUCGGUUCUUGAGCUUGCCUAGCCCCACGGUCACGACUAGCUCCACGUCCACGACUACGUCUCCCCUCCAUUCUUUUUUUUUUCAAAAAUGAUUUAGUAUGUAACAAAGGAAAUUGACUAGAACGGCAAAAUUUACCACAUCAAGUUCACAAAGAAACAUAUCAAGUAGACAAGAUCAAAUGCAACAAGUACUAUACAUGUGAAUAUUAUCAUGCCACAAGCCAAAUACACACGGUAGCAGUACAAAGACAAAACAAGAAGAUAACACGACAAGUCGUUUCACACUUGGUUAACAUAGCCCCCGUCCGAUCUCUCACGUCACUUCCUAUUCACUAGAUGUCCGUUAACCUCUUAUACUCAUUCUAACCGAACAAAGCCUGUUCAUGUUCCAAAAUACAAGUCUCAAAUACCUAGUAGCUAGCAUCGCCUCAACUCCAGAGUACUCAGGCACGAGAAUCCGAAAUAAAAUAGUUCACAUCUCGAGCUGGCCAGUCCCAAGAGUAAAUCAUCUACAAAUCGAAAUUCCUACCCGACAUACCUAUCUAUGGUCCUCAGAUACCACAAGAAAAUUUAAGACCUAUACCAUUCACAAUUCAUAGCUUAUGCUCACUCCGCACAGAGACCACGCGAAACAGGCUCUAGGUUUUAUCGCUCAAUUGCUUAACUUUAAAGUCAAAUCGAAUUCCCAUAGUCCGGCAUCCUAAACUUCAAGCCUUGGAUACACUACAGAGAUCUGAUACCACCUGUGACGGCCCCACCUCCCCCUAAGGCGUACCAAAGGGUUCGGCGGACCGCCUGCCCAACUCUCGCCGGGACUCAGUCGUUCCUUAAUCAAAUUCGGAAUACAACCAAAGGAAUAACAUACAACAAUCCAAAACUUAAGGGAAACUUAUAUAUACAUUGCUAUCUCAAAAGAAAGUACAGCCAUCAAAUGUACAAAGGUUCUUAUUUCACCAUACAACCAGCCCGUGCCAAGCACUAGGACGAGAACCAUUACAAAAGAAACAAAAGACCUAGACUAGGCUAGUCUAUGCUCUCAUCCUGCUCGCCGUCCCCUGUUAAGGAAAAUAAAACUAAAGGGGUGAGCUAAAAGCUCAGUGAGGUUCCGAACAGAUAAUCAAACAAUCAAUUCAAUACAUUAAACAUGGAGUAUCAAUAAUUCAAGAAACAUUUACAAUGGAAAGCGAUCGUAACAUUCAUUAAAAGGAUACGGCUCACAUGGAGCGAUUCGUUCGUUCUUUCGUUCGCCUGUCAUUUCCCUUAUCCUUCCAACCAUUUAAAAUUGCAUUUUUGUAAGUAAAACCCUCGUUCGUUCGUUCGUUCGUUCUCCCCCAUCCGGACGUUGGCCGGACUACAAGGUAAUACUCGAGUAUACCAAACAUUCAUACCCAUGGUCACCAUAUUGCCCGAUCGAGUCCACUUCUGGCUCGAGUCGAUCGGUGACGAAGGGCAGGGCCCAAUUCAACCAAACGGCUUACAUUCAUGCGCAACGAGCAUUUAAUCAUUUAAUCAUUGAAAAUUUCACAUUCAUUUAGGUCGAGUGCGAUAAAGCACACGCUCGCCUAGAAAAUUCGUUUUGGAAAUCAUUGGAAAUAUUUAACACAUUAUCAAACAAUAACAACAAGUCAUGAAGUCAAGGAAGAUACAACAAACAAGGAACACCCACCUAUGUACUCAAAACAAUGUGCAAAAUAUCCUACCGGAUAUUAUCCUUAGUCACCGAGAAAAUCUAAAAUUAAACGAGAAUGAAUAUUACAGCUCAUCUAGCACAAACAAUUAGGUGAAAUCAACGAAACUCGACAAUUGAUGAGUAGAACGUAUAAAAAGACUUGAAAGUGAAACGAGAACAUUUGGACCCGUGGCCAAAAUAAUUAGGGUUUCAGAGACCAAAUGUAAAACCAAACUCAAAAGGGUUAUAAAAUUUUUCAAUGGAAACACUUGAACUAAAGGCAAGUCGGAAUCCAACUAGAUAGACUCAGAAAUAUUGUCUUGACUGAGAAAACCUUAAGUCAUACCUCUAUAUUUUGGUAUGAAGUAGAAAAUAAACAUUUGAAGUUUCAAACGGAAAAGGUAUCAUGUUUUAAGAUGGAAAACGGUCAUAGUAUUUGCCAAACGAAAAUAUAAAAGUUCAAAUAGAAGUUUAGCCCUCGAGCGAAAAUUUGGGCAGCACGCCCUUUGUAUUUACCUAUUUUCCAGUCAUUUAUGGCUUCAUUGUUUUUCUCAAGCAAUCUCAACAUUACACACAACAUAAAUAGCCACUCAAUAGGCUCAAGACAAUACAAGGACAAAAAUCAAGCUAAUAACAAGUGCGAAAAUGAAGUUUAACAAAAGACAGAUUUAAUGUGUUUUUCCGUAACGGACACAAUCGAGGCUACGCUUAUCGGAUUGAGGUGAAACUUAUACUGUUUCGAAGCUAAGGCAGAGAGCUACAACUUUGGUGAAGACCACUCAGUCCAUUUUACAAUGUAUCUAGGUCAAAUUUACCAAAAUAACCCCAGAUUUUCCAGUUCGAAGUUUACUGUGGCAGCCCUGAUUCAUUCAGUCAUAUCUCAGCACAUACAACUUCAAUUCAAGUGAUUCCAAAGUCAUUUGAAAGAUAAGAUAUAGGGCUAUAAUUAUUAAGAAGACGUUGACACCCAAAUCAGUAGUAUUUCCUGUCGAAACAACCAAUUACAGAAGCUGAUUAUCAGUUUCGGGUAAAUACAGGGUAGCAGGGGUAUUUCGGUCUUUUCACAGGAUACAUUGCUCCGAUUGGGCUGAAAUUUUGUAGGCAACCAUAAAAUGUUAUUCUCUACAAAUUUUAUGUUUUGUUCUAAGGCCAAUUCGGCCUCUAACAUUGUCAAACAGAAACGGGCAGAACUGGAACCUAGAAUUUCAGAAAUCUGGAUUCCAAGCAUAUAAGUGCUAAUCCUUACAAAUUGAACUUGAAACACCCCUACUACCUCCUAUAUAUGCUUAUAUACAUCAUAUAUCAUUCAUACAACAAAUAUGAGAAGGAAAUUAUUCAAACCCUGACUUAAAUACAUCAACCCCAAUCAUCCAAAUCCACUUGAUAUAAGCAUAACAAGCAAAAUUACAUGCUACUACACAACUCAAACAUGGUUAAGGGAAAAGAAAAGUUAGUCAACCAUUAUACCUCAAGACAAGAGCUUUCAAGAGUUAUCCUUCACUUCCCUUGGCAAAAUUUAGCUCCUUAAGCUUCCCAAACUUCCAAACUAAUGAUUAAUCGGUUUAGUUUUUCUUGUUUUCACUCAUUGAAGCUCAAACCAAGAUUGAUUGAAGUUUCCUUUUCUCUUGUUUUUCCUCCCUCAACUCACGGCUGAUAUGCAGAAAUAAUGGAGGAAAUAGGUUAGUUUUUGGUGAUAAAUAUGGUGUAAAUUAGUUAGUCAACCAUCCAAUGAAAUACCGCCACUUGUCGCCACCAAUUCCAUUCAUUUUUUCCCUUCUCUCUCUUGGUAUUUAAAGUCAACAAUUGUGGCUGAUGUAUGAGAUAUUUUGAGAGUUAAUUAGCUGUAAUAAAAUAAGAAGAUUAAGGUAAUAAAGUAGGGAUCAAGUGGUGUGUUCAAUCGGUAGCGCGCGACACCCGUCGGUCCAAGCCGUUUGUCCUUAAAUCGCAUAUACUUGAGUUUUUAACUUCUAAUCACUAAUUUAUUAUUAUCACUUCUAAUCAUAUAAUAUUUUCUCAUCCAAAAGUCACUCUUAGCUACCAAAUUUGAUCCUUACUCGGUACCGAAUAGGCACACUACGGAAAAACGUGAAAAUUCUAAUUCGUUCUUCUUGAAAACGAAAAGUGAAACCCUACUUUCUAGGUUCAUUUGCACUCAUUGUGAGGUAAUUGGGUAGUAGUGCUAUUAUAAAUUAAUAAUUUCCAAAAAAAAAGUGUAUUUUUAAGAAACAUAUAAGGAAUUUUACGGGUUCUCACAUCGAUAAUGCGUUUCAAAUUUAACGUACACUAACUCAUACUAGGAAAAUGAAUUUAAAACUGUACUUGCUUGUAAAAAAAUUGCAUAGAGAUUUUAGUAUUUCCAAGGAGAGUAUAAAAUGUAGGCAAAGGAAUAAAAUGAUGUUGAGAAAAUGUGAAAAUUUUUUUUUUUUUUUUGGGUUCUCACAAACAUUGAUUUUUCUAAAGCAUUGUGUGAUCUCGGUGCUAGUGUAUCAUUGAUUCCUCUAACGGUGGCUAGACAAUUGGGUUUGAAGGAGCUUAAACGCACUAAUAUUACUUUGCAACUAGCGGACAUGUCUAUUAGAUAUCUAUUAGGAGUGUUGGAGAAUGUAUUGAUAAAAGUUCAAAAAUUUAUCAUUCCAGUGGAUUUUGUGGUGUUAGAUAUGGAAGAAGAUGUAUCUAUGCCAAUUAUUUUUGGUAGACCAUUUUUAGCUACUGCAGGUACUAUUAUUGAUUUAAAAAAUGGCAAGCUGAAGUUUCAAGUAGGUGAAGAAGAGGUAGAGUUUAAUUUGCAUGAAAUGGGAAAAUACCCUUCUUUUACCGAUCAUGCAUAUUCUAUUGGCACAAUUGAUAAACUAACUCAAGAGAUGAGUCAAGUCAAUUUUGACUUUGAUCCUCUUGAAUAUUGUUUAAUGAGUUUAGGGAAGCAAGAAAGUGAUUGUGGAGAAAUUGAAGAAUUGGCCAAGUAUUUGGAUUUUCAAGCACCUUAUAAAAGGGGUAAUUUGUAUGAAAGUCUCGGCCAAGGAAAAGGGCUUUCACCACCUUCAGAAAUUGAACCUCCAAAACUAGAGCUCAAACCACUUCCAACUCAUCUAAGGUAUGAAUUUCUUGGAGAAAAUAGUACUUUACCUGUAAUUGUUAGUGCUGACCUGGAUGAUGAGCAGUGUACAAAGUUGCUAAGAGUUCUAAGGAAGCAUAAGAAGGCAAUGGGAUGGACAAUUGCAGACAUUAAAGGUAUAAGUCCUUCAAUAUGCAUGCAUCGCAUUUUAUUGGAGGACAAUUGCAAACCAAUGGUGGAAACACAAAGAAGAGUUAAUCCAAACAUGAAAGAGGUGGUAAGAAAUGAAAUUCUUAAGUGGCUCGAUGCAGGUAUAGUCUUUCCUAUCUCCGAUAGUGUUUGGAUUAGUGCAAUUCAUGUGGUACCAAAGAAAGGUGGAAUAACUACAAUCGUGGGUAAAAAUGAUGAAUUGAUUCCAUCUAGACUCGUGGUAGGGUGGAGAGUGUGUAUUGAUUAUCGUAAGUUAAAUACGGUAACAAGAAAAGAUCAUUUUCCCUUACCAUUUCUUGAUCAAUUAUUAGAGCGAAUAGUCGAAUAUGAAUUUUAUUGUUUUCCAGAUGGUUUUUCAGGAUAUAAUCAAAUAGCUAUAGCUCCAGAGGACCAAGAAAAGACCACAUUUACAUGUCCUUAUGGCACUUUUGCCUUUAAAAGGAUGCCAUUUGGUUUAUGCAAUGCACCUGCGACUUUUCAAUGUUGCAUGAUAGCUAUAUUUUCAGAUUAUAUUGAGAAAAUUAUGGAGAUAUUUAUGGAUGAUUUUUCUGUGUAUGGUUCAUCUUUCGACCAUUGCCUUCAUAAUUUGGAAUUGAUUUUGCAGAGAUGCGAGGAAACAAAUCUUGUACUGAAUUGGGAGAAAUGCCAUUUUAUGGUAAAAGAAGGAAUUGUCUUAGGACACAAGAUUUCCUCCAUGGGAAUUGAAGUGGAUAAAACCAAAAUAGAAGUUAUCGAAAAAUUGCCACCUCCAAGCAAUGUCAAGGGGAUAAGGAGUUUUUUGGGACAUGCUGGCUUUUAUAGACGUUUUAUUAAAGAUUUUUCUAAAAUAGUAAAGCCAUUAUGUGAUUUAUUAUGUAAAGAUACCCCUUUUCAAUUUGAUGACAAUUGUUUGGUUGCAUUUGAAAGGUUGAAGAAGGAAUUGAUUUCGGCCCCAAUUAUAACUUCGCCCAAUUGGUCACUACCAUUUGAAUUGAUGUGUGAUGCAAGUGAUUAUGCGGUUGGAGCAGUUUUGGGACAAAAGAAAGAAGGACGAUUGCACGUCAUUUACUAUGCUAGCAAGUUGUUAAAUGAGGCACAACUCAAUUAUGCAACGACAGAAAAAGAGCUAUUGGUGGUGAUAUUUGCUUUAGAUAAAUUUAGAUCCUAUUUAAUAGGAUCUAAAGUUAUUAUAUAUACGGACCAUUCAGCUCUUAAAUAUUUGCUACAUAAGAAGGAUGCAAAACCUAGACUAAUUCGGUGGAUUCUUUUAUUGCAGGAAUUUGAUGUGGAGAUAAAAGACAAAAAGGGAUCGGAGAAUCUAGUUGCAGAUCAUCUAUCAUGUUUGGAAUAUAUCCCAGUCAAGAAUCAAGUUCCAAUUCAAGAGAAUUUUCUGGAUGAGUUUGUCCUAGCACUUAGCAAUUCUCCAUGGUAUGCAGAUUUUGCUAACUACUUGGUCAGUGGAGAGAUUCCAAAGGGGUUUAAUUAUCAUCAAAAGAAAAAAUUCUUACAUGAUGUCAAAAGUUACUUAUGGGAGGAACCAUUGCUGUAUAAACAUUGUGCCGAUGGUAUGAUACGUAGAUGUAUUCCCGAAGAUGAGGCACAUAAUGUUUUAUAUCAUUGUCAUAACCUUGAAACAGGUGGUCAUUUCAGUACUUCCAAGACUGUGGCAAAGGUAUGGCAAUCAGGGUUUUAUUGGCCAACUAUGUACCGAGAUGCUAGGGAAUAUGUUAAAAAUUGUGAUGCAUGCCAAAAAACUGGAAAUACAUCUCAAAAAAAUGAAAUGCCCUUAACUACAUUCUUGGAAGUUGAGUUAUUUGAUGUAUGGGGUAUUGAUUUUAUGGGACCAUUUCCUAAUUCAUAUAAUAAUAAGUACAUCUUAUUAGCAGUUGAUUAUGUCUCUAAAUGGGUGGAGGCUAUUCCUUCACAAACUAAUGAUGCAAAAGUUGUACUUAAAUUCCUUAAGCGGAACAUAUUUUGCAGGUUCGGAGUUCCUAAGGCAAUAAUAAGCGACGAAGGUAAGCAUUUUUGCAAUAAAAUUAUUGACACUUUGUUGCUUAAAUAUGGAUGUAGGCAUAAAAAGUCACUCCCCUAUCAUCCUCGAGCUAAUGGUCAAGCAGAGUUGGCCAACCGGGAAAUUAAAAUCAUUUUGGAGAAAACGGUAAAUCGAUCAAGAAAGGAUUGGUCGAACAAGCUUGAAGAUGCUUUGUGGGCGUAUAGAACGGCAUUUAAAACGCCGUUGGGAAUGUCUCCAUAUAAGCUUGUUUAUGGGAAAGCGUGUCACUUACCUGUAGAAAUAGAACAUAAAGCUUAUUGGGCCGUUAAAGAGAAUGCUUGAGUUAAGCGAAUUGGAGGAAUUGCGGUUAACUUCGUAUGAGAAUGCCAAGAUUUAUAAAGAAAAAGUGAAAUUUUGGCAUGAUAAACACAUUCUUCCUAAGCAUUUUGAAGAAGGGCAAAAGGUGUUAUUGUUUAACUCAUGGCUUAAAUUAUUCCCUGGAAAGCUUAAGUCUCGUUGGUCCGGGCCGUUUGAAGUUGUUCGCAUGUUCCCUUAUGGAGCAGUGGAAAUAAAAGGAGAAAAUGGUUCCCCAUUUAAAGUAAAUGGUCAAAGAUUGAAACCCUAUUUGGCUGGAGAAAAGGUUCCUAAAGGAGUAAUUUACUCCUUAGGAAACGCAAUGGAGAGUUAAAAGAGCUGUAGGAGAGUCGAGCUUAACGACUCUAAACAAAGCGCUUGUUGGGAGGCAACCCAAUAAUAAUAUUGUAGUUGUGUGUUUUUUUUUAUGUGUUUCUUACAUUUUGGUAUGAUUUAAUUGACUAAUUAGAUUUAUUUCACUUGUUUGUAGGAGGUACCGGAGUUUCAUCAUCCAUUUUGGAGGUACAAUUGAAGAACAAGUGUAAAAAGGGAGGUUUUCUUACCAAAAUUGUGCUUUAAGUGUUUAGAAUUCCCAAGCAUACAUACAAUGUUGCAUUUACAGUAUAUUCAAGUGAAUUUUGGUGAUAACAUGUUAUAAAUGCUCAUGGACUCAUUUGAUGUGCAUUUAAUGCCCAAAGAUGCUAUUUUGGUGUAAAAGUGUAAAAAUGAGUAAAGAACCUCACCCCUCGAUUUUCAAUGAAGAGGUGUUUGAUGUGUUUUGAGAGGUUGGAUAUUGCAUUUUUGGUAUAUUACAUGUGCGUGGGGGGUUGGAAUUGAUAAAAAGUUUGUCCAAAGCGUAAUUUGGAAUUGGCCGGAAAAGGGAGAAAAAGUUUGAAAAAUUGCAGUUUCUGAAAUUAGUGCAGAGACAUACAGAUCCGAGCUCGGAUCCUAAAAACCCAGAAGGAUCCGACAGCGGAUCCUACGAUACGAGCUCGGAUCCAGUCCAACCCAGAUGGAUCCGAGGGCUCGUCUGUGGUUCUGUUAAGACGGAUCCGAGCCUUGUCGGAUCCGAGGCCUUGCAGAACCGAUCCGCGCUCGGAUCGGUUUGCGGAUAUAGCAGAACCGAGGCCUCGUUUCUGCAUUUUUCAAAAUUUUUCUUCCCUCUUUUCACCGAACCCUAACCCUCUCCCUCUAAUCUUCCAUUUUAUCCAUCAAUCAUCCAAUUUUUCACCAGAAAAACAUCUCCCAACCUCUUUUGAGCAUAAACCCUCAGUUUUCCGAAAUCAAAAACAUCAAUUUGGUGAGUUUGAUCUUCAAAAACUAGAAUUGGGGCCGCACUGUACUUCUUCAAUUUGGGGGCUAAUUUGGGCUGUUUCGGUUUCAAUUUUUGCAUCCUUACCAUCUUCCAUCGUCACUCUAUACAUUUGAGGUAACAAUUUGCAACUUCCUUUGAGUUUUUAUAUUUCCUAUUUUUGCAUUUUUCUAGUUUUUGGGCAUAUUCUAAUAAUUGCUUAUAUGUUGAAAUUCUUAUUAUAAAUGUGCUACAUUGUAUUAGAAUAUGUUGUUACUAACAUUUUUGUGCUUAGUAUAGGGAAAAUUGUGGAUUUGGUGAUAUUUUUGGUAUUUUUUUUUAAAUUUAUUGGGCUUGAGCAUUUUGGUGAUUUAAACUUGUGAAUUUUUGCUUUCAUUGGAUAUAUAAACUUGUUUUGAGAAUUAUAAGUCACUGUUGUACCAAUUAAAAAUGAUAUGCAAUUAAUAGAACCAAUUCCAUUGGGUAAAAGAGUGUGUUUAUGAUUAAGUUAGGCACAUUCAACCUUUUUACUUGAAAUCCUUAUCUCUUUGAGUUCAAUUACAAUUGUUUUGGUAAAUUUGGAGCUCAUUCGUAUGCACUUUAUUAAGAAUGGGUAUAGCCAAUUGUGGUGUGAUUCGUGGAUAAAGUUAUGAAUAUAUUGGCAUGUACAUUCUUGAAAUAAUAGUUGAGGUUCAAAUGAUCGAACUCUUUGAUGAGAUUCUACCUGAAAAUAUGCAUUUGAGUUUGAAAUGAGUUAAGUAGGAUCUUUGGAUGCUUUUUGGUACAUGUUGGCAGGGAGUUUAGCCCUUUUAUAAGGGGAUACUCUGCUGAAAUUUUCUUAAAUUCAAUGAGAGCAAGUUUAUAUUGUUCUAAUGAACGUUUAUCUUGUUUUUAUAUAGGUACUAUGGCUCGCACAAGGAGGGCUCGUAUUCGUACUCCUACACCAUCUUCAAGCGAGGAACGCACUCCCUCACAUGAAGAGUCGCCUGAGGAAGAAUCUCCUUCGCCUGAGCCACCACCUCGGUCUCCCCAGAAGACCGCAUCCACUAGCCGCGACGAGCCGCUUCCAGAUUAUGACACCACUAGAUUCACGUCACUCGAGAAUCAACAGUGGUACGAAGCAAGCUUAGAUAAGGAAAUUAUCAUUGAAAAGUACCUGGCACCGGAGGUGGAUGCGCACUACCACAUCUCUACGGCAUUCAAGAGACUCGGAUGGGAGAACAUCCUUCAAUUGCCCAAGCACUACUCCCCCAACCUCGUCCUGGAGUUCUACGCCAAUGUAGAAAACAAACAGAGUCACAGUGGCAACCUCAUCGUCUCCUGGGUUCGAGGAAAGAGAGUGGCUCUUAAUCGGGAUACAGUGGCAAAAAUCAUCAAACUCAAAGAUGAAGGAGUUGAUGUUAAACUGACCAAGGAGUUCAAGGCACGCGACCCUUGGCAGGUGGGAGAAGCGGUAACACGCCUAAAGGGUCAAUAUGGGAGCGAGGAAGUUCGAAGAAGCUCACUGUAUAUGCUGACUCCUUCGAGCAUCGGUACCACUUGAUCUUCUAUCUCUUCGCCUUCAAUGUGGUGCCCAAAAGGAGUGGAAAGCGGGAGCUCCACAAUAGUGACCUCUACUUCUUGGAUAAGAUGAUGCAUGGUGUGGGUGAGCAGUUGACUGGUAUUCCUUUGCCCAGCAUCAUCAUCAGUUACAUGCGGACCACAGCUUGCAUGAGGGCCGGCGAGACUUGCUUUGGCUUCCCUUGGCUGCUAUCCCUCAUUUUUGAGAAGCUCAAGCUUCCUCUUGGAACUGAGCGAGCCAUUGUCACUAGGUCCGCCGACGAAGUCAGUGUCUCGAUACUCAAAUCCUUGAGUAUCCCUACGGAUUUUGGAGCUACUCUAGUUCGGGACACUGGAGAAGCAUCGACUUCCGCUCAGCCUCCACCUCACACUGAACUACAAGCGGAAACUCAAGAGUCGGAGGCACAGCAGACUCUUCCUCCUCCUAUUCCACGACCAUCACCUCCGCCGCGAUCCAAGUGGCAAGAGCUCCUCAAUGCCAUUUGCUGUAUGGAGACACGAGUCGUCGAGCACAUUGACCAGACCGAGCGGAUGAUAACGGAGCGACUUGACAGACAUGAUCGCCGUCUUCGUGCGAUCGAGGACCAUUUCCAUAUCCGCCGGUCACCUACUCCAACACCUCAGCAGGAGGAGGGGCAUAUUGGUACAUCACAGUGUCCUCAUGGAACUGAGGAGGCAGUAGACCCUUGUUCUGAGCAGCCAUGAAGAUCUUUAGCUGAUUACAUCUGUUGUUGCUUUAUUUUGUAGUUUUCAUAUUGGAUUAUCUUGUGCUACUUAUGGUUUUUCGUACUUUUUUGUUUCAUUGUGGCUAGAAGUUGGAUGAUCGUGAGGAUUAAGGGCUUCAAAUUGAAUCACCACCUAUUUGAGGGAAGUUUCAGUUUCUUUAACCUUCCUCUACAAUGAGAACAUUGUAGAUUUUAAGUGUGGGGGAGGGAUUACUUUAUCUUAUGGAUGGUUGUGUUUUGAAAUGCAUGAUUUGAGUUGUCUAUGGCUUAAAAUGUUGGAAUUAUAUUUGAAAAUAUUGUCUUGAGGUUAAUUUUCUUGAAAUUGAGGUUGUUGCCAGGGAGAUUUGUCCAUUUUUAUGGGAAAACUCUGUCAAAAUUUUUCUAAAAUAUUUUCCAAUAUUUCAAAUUAAUGGCCAAAAUGUUCAAAUUUAAGUGCCUAAUUCUUCCAUUGGAUAAAAUGUUAUAUGUAUUUUGGGAAAGUUUAGUCCUUAUUUGACUUGGAAUUAGUCAUUAUGCAAUUAGGAUUUUUACAUUUUAGAAAGUAUAUUCAUUUAAAUAAGAAAAAUUAUGCUUAAAAUUUUGCAUGUUUAAUGAUAUUUCUCAUUUUUACUUAAUUUUAUAAGUAAGUGAUUGAUAUAGUCAAGACAAGGCCAGAUUCUUCCUUUAAUUAUGUUUAGAGGGAAAAGAUUGUUAAAAAAUAAUAAUAAUAAUAUUAUUAUUAUUUUUUACUUCAAUGAUUCACAUACCGAGUAACCGGGGGUUGGCAUUUACAAAUGUCGACAUUCGCGUAAAAAGGUAUUGGAAUUAAGAGUAUGCUUAGCAAUUUGAAUAAGUGAAAUGUUGAGUAACUGGGAAUCUUCACCUAAAAGUGUUGAUUUUCGCGUAAAAAGACGUUUUCACUAUUUAAAUAAAAUGAAGUGAGAAUAAAUCCCUCUUAACUGUUAAGUUUUGAUGGUCAUGGGAUAAGGAAGGCCAUAGAAUUGACUAUGUGAUUUAAUUAUUUGUGGAAUUAGGAUAGAAUGAGCGAUUGAGUUGAAUUUGUUGAAAUUAAAGCAUAAUUAUUUUUACUUAAUUGAAUAUUAUAAGUAUUUAGUGUAAUCUGAGAAAUGGUAUAAUGAUUGGUUUCUAGAUUUUAGAGGAAUUAAAUUUGACAAAAGUAUAUAUAUUGUUUUAUCUUUUGGAUCAUUGUGGUAAGUUAUGUGUGCAAUUGCUUUAGGACAAGCAACGAUUCAAGUGUGGGGGAAUUUGAUAAGUGAAUAUUUAACGUAUAUUUUGUACAAGUUUGGAAUGAAUUUGUGGUAUGUUUUAAGAAGAUUAAAGCCAUAUUUGAACUCUUUUGGUGAUAAUUGCUUAAAAAUUGUUUAAGUAUUCAAAACUUGAUAAAUGAGUGUAUUAAUGUGUUAAUUUUGUGAAAUUGUGAAGGAUAUCGAUGUAUGAAAUUCAUGCACGAGAUGAAGGGAAUGUAAGGAUUGUCCAGAGGAUAAAGUACACAAGAAAUUAGGAGCAAAAAUGAAGGAAAAAGGAAAGAAGUGAAAAAAUGGGAAAUUUAAUGGCACGGAUCCGAGCUCGGAUCCGUGAGAGCAAAGAUGGAUCUGAUCCCUCAUCUGUACUUCUGGAGGAGUGUAUCCGAGGUCAGAGGAUCCGACCUCGGAUCCAUUAUGGAAAGUCCUCGGAUCCUGAAGAUCCGAGCUCGGAUCAAUUUUCACCCCUCGGAUCCGAGGCUCGGAUCUGUCUCUCUCUUCAGCAAGUGGCACAGCCGUUUUACUUUACCUUUCUUACAACUUUUCCAGCUAUUUUGAGGGACAGAAAUCGGUGGCACAUGCUUCUACAAUAAAAGAGAAGACCAAAUGAAUUGUAGACAAAAGGAAACAUCAUAUCUUUGUCUUCUUUUUACAAAAUCUGAGUGGAGGAAAUUAUGAAGUGAGAGGAAUAGACUUUCUAACACCUUUUAUGCAGAGACACAAGGGGAGAAGAAAAAUAUCAUAUACGUAGCUAGUUUUCCUUCUUGUAACUAGUUUCUCUCUAGCUAAGAGUUCUUGGAGAAGCAUUUGGAGUUUUCACUUGUAAUCAUAUUGUGCAAGAGCAUAGCAGGAAUUGGAGAGCUUCACCAUCAAUUGGCUAAGCUUUCUUUUAUCUUUUUUGUACUUGUACUUCAUGAUGUUUUGCAUUAAUAAACUUGUGAGUUUGAUUGUUAAAUCAUUCAUGAGUAGCUAAACUCCUUAAUCUAGGGAGUAGAUGAAACUUAUGGCUAAAUAAUACUAAUUGAAUGUGAUUUACACUUGUUAUAUCUUGUAUUAACUUGUCUACUUGUGUAGCUGUGAUUACUUGUUAUUGAUUGAUCACCAAUAGUAUGUUUAUAGUUGUUAUUAUUCAGUAAGAAUUGGUAAUAACAAUGGAAACACAUGAGUAGAGCUUAAGUCGUAUGUUCAUGAAAAUAGAGAUACACUUAAGUGGAUUACUUAGCAUUUCAUGAAAGAAAACAGAGUAGUAGUAGUAUUUCACCAUGAAAAUAGGGAAAACUUUACUACUCUAGGCCAUUUCAUCAUGAGAAUGUGACUUGGUAAAUUUGGAAAUGAAUCUCCGGUUAAACAAGACUAAUAACAAGAGGUAAAUCCAUUCAUUUGUGUUGUUUAUGCCAUAAGUGGAAUCUACAUCCCUAGAGUCUUUCUUGAGUAGAAUUCUUCAUUUGCAUUUAGCAUUUGUUAAACUAGAUUUGCAGAUCAGAUUUGUAGAAUAUAGCAAUAAACUUUCUCUGCUCAAAUUGAUUGUAAGUCUAAAUAAUAGAGAAAAAUAAGGGUCUAGUACUUGUUUCAAUUGCUCAUCGUGGGAUCGACCCGAUACAUACCGUACAUUACAGUUUUGGCCUGUAUACUUGCAGCUACCGGGUAUAAAAAUCGGAUUUAAACUUGUAUUGAUAUAAAAAUCCCGUCAAGUAGUUUACCAUCCUGGAGUUGGAAAUCGCAAUGGAUCUUCUGUCUCACACUCUGUGUCAUUAUUUGUCCCAUUUUUUAUUAUAUUGCUAUUUCUCUUACAUAAACACCAUGUUUUAGUUCUUUUUUAGUUUCCUUAAGAUCCAAUAACUAUUAAUUGAGUAAUGCACAAAAUUUAACAAAAUAAAAAAAUCAAAAUGAGAUUUUUUAUGAAUUUUCUGCUGUAUUUUUAAAUUUUCUAUUAUAUAUUGCUUUUUUGAAACUAUUGUAUUUAUUUUUUAUUCAAUUAAAAGUUAUUGGAUCUUAAGGAAAUAAAAAAAAAAGAACUAAAACAUGGUAUUUAUGUAGGAGAAAUAGCAAUACAAUAAAAAUUGAGACAGAGAAUGGCACAGGGUAUGAGACAGAAGAUCCGUUGCAGAAAUCGAUGUGAAAAGCAAGAUUUUGAUCAUUGGCGGCACCGGAUAUAUUGGCAAAUACGUAGUGGAGGCAGGUGCAAAAGCAGGGCACCCAACUUUUGCAUUGGUCCUAGAAAACACAAUUUCAGAUCCUAAAAGGGCAGCCAUCAUAGAGAGCUUCAAGAGUUUGGGAGUCGCAUUUCUUUAUGUGUGUUGUCGUAUCUUUUUCCCAUUGUCUAAGCACUAUUUCAAUUCUUCUCAAGAAAUUAUAGAAACUGACGUGUGAACUGAACAGGGAGAUCUACACGAUCAUCAGCAGUUGGUAAAUGCAAUCAAACAAGUUGAUAUAGUGAUCUCGACAGUCGGGGGAGAUUUGGUAGCUCAUCAAGUUAAGAUAAUUGCAGCAAUUAAAGAAGCUGGUAACAUCAAAGUAAGCACAAUGCAGUUUUAUACAUUCCUUUUUCUUUUUCUAGAUCCGAUCUCUGCUGGCUGUUGGACAAAUUUUUUUCAUUAUCCCUGUCAACCCACAUGUUGACAAAGAGCUAUAUUUCGUUCCAGAGAUUUUUACCUUCUGAGUUUGGAAAUGAUGUGGAUCGUUUGCAUGGCUUUGUUGAGCCUGCCGCUAGAUUAUACAGAACCAAAGCUAAGAUCCGCAGAGCUGUCGAGGCUGAAGGGAUACCUUACACUUAUUUAGUAUCUAAUGGUUUUGCUGGUUAUUUGAAUUAUUUCCUUAACCCCUUUGGAGACUCUAGCUCUGCAAGUCCUCCCAGAGACAAAAUUGUCAUUCUUGAUGAUGGAAAUCCAAAAGGUAUCCAAAAGAAGCUUUGUCCGCUUCCAUUUUUUUGAUUGGUUUACUGUCAUGUUUUAGAGAUCAUCGUUCUUAACUUUUCUUCCAUUUUGUGUUUCGUUGCAGUCGUUUUCUCGAAGCAAGAAGACAUAGCUGCAUACACCAUUAAAGCAGCAGAUGAUCCAAGGACCCUGAACAAGAUUGUGUACCUUAGACCACCUGCCAACACUCUGUCCUACAACGAAAUAGUAUCAUUGUGGGAAAGGAAAAUUGGCCAGACCCUCGAAAAGAUUUACCUUCCAGAGAAGGAAGUCCUUGAGAAAAUCCAGGGUCUGCUACUUAACAAAGAGAAACUAAGUGCACAAGCUGCUUCUUCCUCAAAAAAUCCUGUGUAAUCCGGAAAAUUUUUUUUUGAUACAAUAGUCGUCUAGUACUAAUUGCAUCUAUUCUACAGUUUUAAUUAAAUUGGUUUCUUUUCUUGUAUCUCAUGCAGAGGCUUCAAUGCCAUUAAAAUUCAUCCUGUCUCUGGGAUACACGGUUCUUGUGAAGGGAGAAAUGGCCAACUUUGAGAUCGAGGCUUCUCUUGGCAUGGAGGCAACGGAUGUCUAUCCCGAUGUGAAAUGCACCGCACUUGAUGAGUACCUCAAUCAGUUUGUAUCAGAGUAGCAACAAAACUAUAAUUCCCUCCGCAGCUUUCCAUUUUGGAAUGUCACAAAAUAUUUGUCAUCGUAAACGAGAAAUAUGGGAUGGAAGUAGUACAUUAACCAAUGUUUGUCUACCAUGAUACCAUCUUUUGUGCAACAUUUCUUAUGUACUAUUAGAAAUGUGCUUUGAUUGUUCAUCUCCCUUACGGAAAAUGUCAUAAAUGUGCCUGAAAUAAAAUCUACCCUAUACUUGUUUUGCAACCUGAAAUUGUCCAAUUUAAGAUAUUUGAUAUCUCCCGUGGCUUCAUUUGAAUUUGUUUUUUCUUCCUGAGUUUUGUGAAAAAAAUAUUACUAUAACAUUCUUUUAGAGCAGGUUAUGUAAGACAAAAAGGUGAUUAGGGGUAUCUUAACAAAUUGUAGCCCAUUUGUUUAGAAAUAAAAUUUUUAUUGGCACUAAAAAAAAAUCAACACUAGACUAUCAGAGUUUUGAUUAAGGCUCAAUCACUUAAAAAAAUUUACAAGAAAAGUAACAAUCUCUGUCAAUAAACUUUAGACAAAAAAAUGAUUAAAGGAUACCACAAAUGAAAGCAGCUUACUUUGAUUGUCAAAAUCAGAGGGAAAAAAAAUAUUACUACAAGAACCUUGUUCAUGUCCCCUUUUUUUUUUUUGGGUUGAGCCAAGAAUUUGUUACUUACUAAAAUGUAUAUGAAUUCCAUACAGCAGACAGGCUUUUUGUUUAUUUUUAUUUAUUGUUGCAUUAACAAAUAUUUUGAACACACAUGACACUCGGAAUAUCUUACCUGUUGUCAUCCCGAAUUUCUAACCUGUUGUGAUGCUUUACCCCUUUUAGGCUGGCAGUCUAGAUGUAUCAUGUGCCUGCAUGGUAACGCUGUUGUAUCUUUUCUUGUAUCAAUUGGUUAUAUCCUAUGUUGAAUCAACAAAACUUUUCAAACUGUGAAAUCUGUGAUCAAAAUUUGCAUACCAAUUGACACAAGGCGGAAUAGCACAAGUCAGAGCUACACACUAUGUUGGUAAUAGUUUGUAACUAGUUUUGUACCCGUUCAACGAACGGAAUCGUCGAAAAAUAAUAAACUAUUUAGUCAAUUUAUAAAAAUGUCGAUAUAAAAUACAUAUUUAAUGUAUAAUCUAUUAUAACUUGUCUUAAGUAUAUUACUAUGUGCGCAUUGUAAUGUAAAGUAUUCUUAUAAUAUAAAUUUGAACAUCUAAUUCAGUGAAUAAUAAUUGAAAAAUAGAAAAAAUAACACUCAACAAUACCAUAACAUUCAAAAACUUGAAAAUAAAUAAAAAGUGCAGUAAAUAGUAUCAAAUAACAUUCUACUCUUUAGAAACUUGUUUUUGUUUUUUUCUAUUGGAACAUUCUCCUCGAUUUGUCCGUGCAAAUCAGCAUUUAUUGAUUUUUCAUUAUCACUGCAUGAUAGCAAAGUAGGAUAACUAAGUAUAAAAAAAUAAAUGAUUUAUCGCAUUCAAGGUUGUGUAUAACAAUAUGUAAAGAUUAUAAUUAAGUAAACAGCCAAAGUCUUUUAAUUAACUAAUGAAUUUGCAGAUAUAUCUAAUAGAGAUAUUUAUGUCUCUUAUAUUUAUAUCGCAUUACUUUCCAGUGCCUUUUGUUUUUGGUUGUUUUUCCUGCAGGCAAAUUAACAAACAUCGUAGUAUAUGAUCACAAAAAUCAAUUAACAAACAUGUUAGAAAAUAUCCUACAAAAAUAACGAUGAAAGUACUUGUUUAAAUCCUCUGUCUUCAUACAAAACAAAUAGAAAAUAAAACAAAAAAAAAAUUCAAGAUAUGUUACUAAGCUCUUACAAUUGAAGAUCAACAUGCCAUUUUUAAUAUAUAUAUAUAUAUAUAUAUUGAAAGAAGAUGUACCUGAUAAUCAAGAGGAGUGGAAACCCAAAAUCGAUGCUUUAAUAUGCCAACCGCUUGCACUGGAAAUACCUAACUAUGAAUUUGAUACUUGAAAUCAAUAUAUUAGAGGCUAUAUGUAAUGUAGGCAUAGGAAAUAAGAAUUGAUAAGGUUACAAAGAGAUAUUGGUGGGUGUCAAACCUCCAAAAAUAAAGUUAAAAAUAACAGCCUAAUUGCCAACCAACACAAUCUCAAAUUUAAUUUGUAAACAGGGCAAAUAGGGUCGUCUCCUCAAGGAACUGGUAGGCAAAUCACAUAGGAAAAUGGGGGGGAAUUUUAGCAAUAGUACCAACUAAUUAAAAAGGAAUAAAAACUGAAAUUCAAAGUUGAGUAAGAUAGCGGGAACCAAAUUACACAAAUAACAAUUAAUUAAAACAACCUAGUCAAGGAAUUAAUCUUGGCAACGAAACACACAACUGAUCACAGAUACAAGGGACAAUUCAUAUACUCACGAGUAAACUGGUUAUAGUGGUCAAGCGAAACGCCCAACCACCAAUCUUUCCUUAAUUUUAUGGUAGUCAAGAGACGCUCAUAAACUACCCUCUUGCGACUAGACAACCCCAGAAACGCUCACAGGAUUUAAUGUAGCCACAGCAUUAGGAAUUAGAAAGACCCAAUUCUAGAUGACAAACACACAUGCUGAUUUAUUUAGACUAGAUUAAUUAUCCCCACGAUCCAAAUUAGACUUCUUGCGAGGCGGUGCAAUUGUCUCGUUUGCCACUAAUCAAGAUGCUUAAAGGCGACGCGCCAACAUCCUAAUUGGCUAUCAAUUAUUUAGACAAUCGAAUAACAGGCCUAAUUAUCCAAUAAAUCUAAACAAUAAUAACUCAGGAAAAAAUAGAGAAUAAUCAAAUACCCAUGAACUUAUAAAUUAAAAAUAAGCAAUUAAAACGAUCUCACAGUUAUGGUGCCCCAAUCCUCGAUUUAUUCCUCAACUAGAUAAAGAAAUUAGCCUUGCCUCAUAACGAUUAAACAAUGCAAGGCUUUUCGAUGGAGUAGAAUUGUUUGCAGGGCAACAGUAAAAAAAAAUCACCCUUCUCUGACUAAUGUCGCCACCCCGAAAAGAAGGACGAUAGUGCCAAGAUAAAAAGAUACCCUAGUCUAUUCGCUGUUUUCUUUUAAAGCUUCGCCGCCACCCACGUGCUUUCCCAAGUAGAAUUCGUGUUCCAAAAGGAUUCCAGGUUUCUUCUUCUUAUUUCCCUUAUUGAAGUGUUGCCAAAAAGUCUUCCCUCCAAGGUUUCCCAAUCCCACGUAAGUUUAAAGUAUGGCUCCAAGGAAAGGCGGUGGCCCCAGGAAUAGGACCCGCAAUCCGGCUUUUUCACGCAGCUCUACCUUGUCUGGCGUGGGCACGCCAGAAAAUGCCUAGUCUUCUGGAAUUUGCCUCUUUUUGUCACUUUUAAUACCACUUCGCCUGCAAGUAACACAAAUACCAAAUCUGGUUAGAAAUCCAAUGUCUUGCACAAUAAGUGAUUAAAAUUAAGAUCAAAUACCAAUGUAAUAAACACUCAAUUAUCGCCCUAUCAAAUCCCCCCACAUCAAGACAAUGCUUGUCCUCAAGCAUCUCAAAGCUUAGAGAUACAAUCACAGUUACACACAUGUAGCAGUCCACCAUGUGAGUAUAAAUGUCCUAUCCUUUCUAAUAGUGUUAUCAAAUUCAGAAAUUGCAAGCCUUAACCCUCUCUUAUAGAAUGGUACAUGACUACUCACCACACCGACAUGAAAUACAAAGGGUUACUCUCGCCACACAAUAAAAUGAUGUUACCAUAUGCUUGCUAAUAUAUCACAUCACCACCACUAAGUCCAAAUUUAAUGCAAAAAUCAAAGGGGCUUGAUGAGGGUUGUAAUGGGGCUUAGGCACGUGUAGGGUCAAAUAGGUAAUUUAGGCUCAUUAGGUCAAAGAAAAUGCCGUUGACCCAUUGCAUGACUUCCACUUUUCUUCUUCAUUCCAAUGGUUUUUCCCACGCGCACCCAUAAAUUUCUCAAGAAAUAACACGUGCAAGCACAACAAAGAAUUUCACCCAAUUAUCCCAACAAAACACACCUGGACAAAAGCACUCUUACAUCUCUUUUUUCCUUCCCUUUUUUUUUUUGUUCUCUCUUUUUUUUUUACUCAUUUUUUUUUUGCCCAUAGUCUUCUCUCUUCUUUUUUUUUUCAAAUACGCACAACUACAUAUAGACACACCUGCUAACUUCAGUUGUCUCCUUUCAACCCAAUUCGAAAUCAUCAUGUACUGAAAUCAAGGCAUUCCUUUGACACGGGAUGGACACAAAAAGGUUUUGAACACAAGAGGUUUAGGGGUGACAAAAUGAGUUAUUAAACAAAGAAAAGGUUUAGACUCAACCGUGGCCAAUUAGGGGAGAUCUGAUUAGGGUUGGUCUUUAGAAAGUAAAAAAUGGUUAACCUAAGUGCCCUUGUCAUUUUAAUGCAUCAAACUCAGGAAUGUGGUCUUGACAUGUAUAACAAAGCAAGUUUUAGAACAAUCCAAUCAUGUAUGAUAUCACUCAAUGAAAAAAAAUAGAGCAGUUAACAAUGAAAUGCUCAUUAGCUCAACAGCUCACAACAGGAUAUUAAUAGCCAAGCCUUGCAAAUUUCCUUAUUCAAUUCCAUUAUCAAGAAAAUAAGACAUUCAACCACAUAAUACAUUGCUCAUGCCUGUAAAGUAAUUGCAAUCAUCAUCAUAGCAUCAGGUUCCAGAUAUUUUCACUUUGAGGUCAACCAACUCAUCACCUAUUUUGUUUUCUAUUUUUUCAUUUUUUUUAUAUAUCACGCUAUCAAACCUACAAGACUAACAAACAAAAAGAGCUAAAACUAUCUAUCAAACCUAAAAGGUAAGACUACUCCCCCCACACCAGAAAUCUACAUUGUCCUCAAUGGAGUAAAGAAAAAUACAAAGUAAAAAGAAAGGAAAUGGAGCUUCCCUGAGGGCCAACGAGGGUACGAGAGCACUACGGGGGAGGAGGAUGAGGCGGCGAAAAACCGAUGUGGGCGAAGAAGGCAUCGUUAGUAGUAGUUUGGGACGGAUAGGCUGGCAUGGGCACGCCUUGUAAGCAAGAGUCUUCUGUCCAAUGUCAUAGAGUAUGACUAGCACUAUCUGUUGUGCGGCGUGGGCACGCCUUGGAGCCGAAGGUCAAGAGGUCGCCAAUUUCUUGGAACUAGGCAUCGGACACGGCCCUGUAGAGCGUGGGCAUGCCUUGGAAGCGUAAGUCCUUUGUCCAUCACUAUUGUAAGAAUGUCGAUGGGCUGUUAAUAUAAGGCGUGGGCACACCUUAUAAGAUGAAGUUUUCUGUUCACGAAAUUUUGCUCCCCACCUAAAAGAAAACGUCACUGAACACACCCACGACCCUUGGGUUGCCUUCCAAGCAGUGCUUUUCUUUAACGUCUUUGGCUAGACGACUCCACAGUGAGCAAUUAGGCAUAGAUAGGAUUUAUCAAGUGUACCUCUUCCAUAGUGCCAAUGUCUGAAACAUCAACAAACGGUUUUAAACGAUGACCAUUAACUGUAAAACUCUUAUUAGUCUCUAAACUCUGGAUUUCAACCACACCAUUGGGAAAAACAUUGACUACCACAUAUGGUCCAAUCCAACGGGAUUUUAACUUACCUGGCAUGAAUUUCAACCGUGAAUUGAACAAGAGUACCUUUUGUCCUAGGGAAAAGUAUUUCGCACGCAAUAGGCGGUCAUGAAACUGCUUGGUACGCUCUUUGUACAAACGUGCAUUGUCAUAUGCUUCAAGACGAAUUUCCUCCAACUCCUGGAGUUGGAGCUUUCUGUCUUUGCCAUCUCUAUCCGCAUGCAAAUUGCAUUGCUUGACUGCCCAGAAUGCACGAUACUCAAUAGCCACAGGUAAAUGACACAUCUUACCAAACACCAACCUAUAUGGGAACAUUCCAAUGGGCGUUUUAUACGCCGUUCGAUAUGCCCACAAAGCAUCAUCCAAUCACAAACUCCAAUCCUUACGGUUGGGGUUAACCGUUUUCUCCAAUAUGCUCUUGAUCUCUCGAUUGGAGACUUUAGCAUGCCCAUUGGUCUGAAAAUGAUAUGUUGUACUCACACGAUGGUGCACUCCAUAUUUUCUCAUGAGAGCUGCAAUGGUGCGAUUGCAGAAAUGGGUACCUUGAUCACUGAUGAUGGCUCUCGGCACCCCGAACCUACUAAAAAUGUGGGAUUUGAGAAAUCCUACAACAAAUUGAGGAUCAUUAGUCCGGGUAGCCUUUGCUUCUACCCAUUUCGAUACAUAGUCAACUGCUAACAGAAUAUACAAAAAUUCAAAAGAGUUAGGAAAAGGUCCCUUAAAGUCCAUAUCCCAAACAUCAAACACUUCACAAAAUAACAUAGGCACUUGAGGCAUUUCAUCCCUAUGAGACAAACUUCCAAAUUUUUGACAUUUUUCACAGCUUUUACAAAAUGCAUAAGCAUCACGAAACAAUGUUUCCCAAUAAAAGCCACAAUCAAGGAUUUUUCUAGUAGUUCUCUUAGGUCCAAAAUGGCCACCACAUGCAUAAUUAUGACAAUGAGCAAGGAUAGAAGGAGUUUCACUUUCAGGUACACAUCUACGAAUAAUUUGAUCAGAGCCUAUUUUUCACAGAUAUGGCUCGUCCCAAAUAUAGUAUCGAGAAUUAUGGACUAACUUAUCCCCCUUACUCUUACUCAUGCCAAUAAGAAAUUUAUGACUGUCUAAAAAGUUCACAAUAUCUGCAUACCAAGGUUCCUUGCCUUUGAGAUAGAAAAGAUGUUCAUCAGGAAAUACUUCAGAUAUGGGAACUGCUUCUUCUUCUCUUAUCAACCUACUCAAAUGGUCAGCUACUGAAUUAUCCACCCCUCUUCGAUCCUUGAUCUCUCAGUCAAAUUCUUGCAGCAAGAGCACCCAACGAAUGAGUCCUGGUUUGGACUCCUUUUUUGAUAGAAGAUACUUCAAAGCUGCAUGAUCAAAGUAAACCGUUACUUUUGACCCCAAUAGAUAUGAUCUAAAUUUCUCAAAAGCGAAAACAAUAGCUAGAAGCUCCUUCUCCGUAGUGGUGUAGUUGCAUUGAGCUGGUGUCAAAGUUUUUGACGCAUACUAUGUCACGUGACUAUACUUCUCACUCCGCUGUCCAAGCACAGCUCCUACGGCAUACUGACUGGCGUCACACAUGAGCUCAAAGGAUAGCUUCCAAACUGGGGGUUGGGUGAUUGGUGUCGUGGUCAACAUCCCCUUGAGUGUGUCAAAGGACAAUUUGCAAUCAUCUCCAAAGUUGAAUGGCACCUCCUUUUGAAGCAGGCGAGACAACGGUUGAGCAAUUUUUGAAAAAUCUUUUAUGAAACGCCUGUAAAAACCUGCAUGGCCUAGAAAACUACGAAUAUCCUUGACAUUAGUAGGGUAAGAUAGACUAGUGAUCAAAUCAAUUUUAGCCUUAUCUACCUCAAUACCCCUUGAUGAAACAACAUGGCCCAAAACUAUGCCUUCCUUAACCAUGAAAUGACAUUUUUCAUAAUUAAGAACCAAGUUUGUUUCAAUGCAUCUUUUCAAAACCUUUGUUAAAUGGUCUAGGCACUGAUCAAAAGAAUCACCAUAUACUGUAAAAUCAUCCAUGAAAAUUUCAAUGCAAUUAUCAAUCAUAUCAGAGAAAAUACUCAUCAUGCAUCUUUGAAAUGUUCCAGGAGCAUUACACAAACCAAAAGGCUUACGGAGAUAUGCAAAAGUUUCAAAAGGGCAGGUAAAAUUGGUUUUAUGUUGGUCCUCUUGAGCAAUAAUAAUUUGAUAAUAUCCAGAGUAACCAUCUAAAAAACAAAAGAAACACUUACCUGCCAAUCUCUCAAGCAUUUCAUCAAUAAAUGGGAGUGGAAAGUGGUCUUUCCUAGUUGUGGCAUUUAACUUCCUAAAGUCAAUGCACAUUCUCCACCCAUUUUGUAAGGAGGUACAGUCUCCUUGCCACUCCGUAAUUGCAUUGCACUGGCAUUCUCCUUGGGAUUAGGAAUUACUUUUCCUAUUUCUGACAGCCAGUGGGAAAGUCCAGUCCAUGUUGUUCCCAAGAAGAUUGGAAUUUCAUUGGCACUAACUCAUUCUUUUCAUUUUUCACCAAUGUGAUUCCAGUCUUCUUGGGAACACCAUGGACUGGACUUACCCACUUGCUGUCAGAAAUAGGAAAAAUAAUUCCUAAUUCUAAGAGCUUGAGAAUCUCUUUCAUCACCACCUCCUUCAUUUCGGGAUUGAGCUUGCGUUGAUGCUCUCUCACGGGUUUUGCGUCCGACUCCAAAUGGAUGUGAUGCAUGCAAAUGGAUGGAUUGAUGCCUUUGAUGUCUGCUAACGUCCAUCCAAUUGCUGGUUUAAAUUCCCGUAAGACCCGUAAGAGCCUCUCUUCUUGCAACGCAGUUAAAUCAUUGGCAAUGAUUACAGGUAAAGUCUUGUUAUCUCCCAAGUAAGCAUAUUUCAAAUGCUCGGGCAGUUCCUUUAAUUCCACAUUAGGUGCCUGUUGAACAGAAGGUAAAAUUCUUUCAUUAGAAGUGGGUAAUGGUAGAAAAGAAUUUUCAAACCAGCCUGGAAGCGGAUGUAGUGAAUGUGAGGACAUGAUAGCUUCUAUGACUUCCUCCUCCUCCAUGUCGUCCACUUCCAAAUUGGUCUUGCCUUAUUGUAAGACAAAGUUCAACUUGUCCCCCAUGAAAUUCUGUUCAAAAUUCUCUUGCACAAUGGUGUUAGUCAUGCCAACAAAAUUUACAGAUUCAGUAUCCACAGGAUGCUUCAUUGCAUCAAAAAUAUUGAAAGUGACAUUCUCUCCAUCAAAUUCCACAGAUAAAGUCCCUUCAUGUAUAUCUAUUUUAGUCCUUGCUGUACUCAUGAAGGGUCUACCUAAAAGAAUCACUGCUGAAUUAGUAGAGUAUUCAUCAUUCAUAUCAACAAUGUAAAAAUCCACAGGAAAAAUGAAUUCAUUGACCUUUACUAGAACAUCUUCAACUAGGCCCUCAGGGUAGACAUUAGACCUAUCUGCUAGUUGAAUGAUUACCCUAGUUUCUUUGAGGGGUCCUAAAUUCAAAACUUUAAUAAUUGAAAGAGGCAUGACAUUUAUUGAAGCACCUAAGUCAAACAUGUUUUUUUCAAUUCUUUGAUUGCCAAUUAUGCAUGGUAUAGUAAACAUACCUGGAUCCUUGCAUUUCUGAGACAACUUUCUUUGAAAAAUCGCUAAGACAUUCUCCCUCACCUUCACCUUGUCAUCCAGACUCAACUUAUUGCGAUUAUUGCAUAAGCCCUUCAAAAAUUUUGCAUAUUUAGGCAAUUACCUAAUGGCAUCCAAUAAAGGAAUAUUGAUCUCCACUUUCCUGAAGGUGUUCAAAAUCUCUCUCUCAGAUUCUUCCUUUUCAGCUUUUGUAAACCUGCCAGGAAAAGGAGGUGGAAUGUCAACUUUCUUCGAGACUUCAGAGGAUUGCUUCUCUUCUUCCUCUUCCACCUUCCUCUUCUCAGCUUGCCCUUGGAGUGGAAUGAGGAUGAUAUGUUGUACUCACACGAUGGUGCACUCCAUAUUUUCUCAUGAGAGCUGUAAUGGUGCGAUUGCAGAAAUGGGUACCUUGAUCACUGAUGAUGGCUCUCGACACCCCGAACCUACUAAAAAUGUGGGAUUUGAGAAAUCCUACAAAAACUUGAGAAUCAUUAGUCCGGAUAGCCUUUGCUUCUACCCAUUCUGAUACAUAGUCAACUGCUAACAGAAUAUACAAAAAUUCAAAAGAGCUAGGAAAAGGUCCCAUAAAAUCGAUACCCCAAACAUCAAACACUUCACAAAAUAACAUAGGCACUUGAGGCAUUUCAUCCCUAUGAGACAAACUUCCAAAAUUUUGACAUUUUUCACAACUUUUACAAAAUGCAUAAGCAUUACGAAACAUUGUUUCCCAAUAAAAGUCACAAUCAAGGAUUUUUCUAGCAGUUCUCUUAGGUCCAAAAUGGCCCCCACAUGCAUAAUUAUGACAAUGAGCAAGGAUAGAAGGAGUUUCACUUUCAGGUACACAUCUACGAAUAAUUUGAUCAGAGCCUAUUUUCCAUAGAUAUGGCUCGUCCCAAAUAUAGUAUCUAGAAUUAUGGACUAUCUUAUCCCUCUUACUCUUACUCAUGCCAAUAGGAAAUUUAUGACGGACCAAAAAGUUCACAAUAUCUGCAUACCAAGUUUCCUUACCUUUGAGAUAGAAAAGAAGUUCAUCAGGAAAUACCUCAGAUAUGGGAACUGCUUCUUCUUCUCUUAUCAACCUACUCAAAUGAUCAGCUACUGAAUUAUCCACCCCUCUCCGAUCCUUGAUCUCCCAGUCAAAUUCUUGCAGCAAGAGCACCCAACGAAUGAGUCUUGGCUUGAACUCCUUUUUUGACAGAAGAUACUUCAAAGCUGCAAGAUUAGAGUAAACCGUUACUUUUGACCCCAAUGGAUAUGAUCUAAAUUUCUAAAAAGCGAAAACAAUAGCUAGAAGCUCCUUCUCCGUGGUGGUGUAGUUGCAUUGAGCUGGUGUCAAUAUUUUUGACGCAUAGUAUAUCACGUGACUACACUUCCCACUCCGAUGUCCAAGCACAGCUCCUACGGCAUACUGAUUGGCGUCACACAUGAGUUCAAAGGAUAACUUCCAGUCUGGGGGUUCGAUGAUUGGUGUCGUGGUCAACAUACCCUUGAGUGUGUCAAAGGACAAUUUGCAAUCAUCUCCAAAGUUGAAUGGCAUCUCCUUUUGAAGCAGGCGAGACAACGGUUGAGCCAUUUUUGAAAAGUCUUUUAUGAAACGCUUGUAAAAACCUGCAUGGCCUAGAAAACUACGAAUAUCCUUGACAUUAGUAGGGUAAGAUAGACUAGUGAUCAAAUCAAUUUUAGCCUUAUCUACCUCAAUACCCCUUGAUGAAACAACAUGGCCCAAAACUAUGCCUUUCUUAACCAUGAAAUGACAUUUUUCAUAAUUAAGAACCAAGUUUGUUUCAAUGCAUCUUUUCAAAACCUUUGUUAAAUGGUCUAGGCACUGAUCAAAAGAAUCACCAUAUAAUGUAAAAUCAUCCCUGAAAAUUUCAAUGCAAUUAUCAAUCAUAUCAGAGAAAAUACUCAUCGUGCAUCUUUGAAAUGUUCCAGGAGCAUUACACAAACCAAAAGGCAUACGGCGAUAUGCAAAAGUUCCAAAAGGGCAAGUAAAAGUGGUUUUAUGUUGGUCCUCUUGAGCAACAAUAAUUUGAUAAUAUCCAGAGUAAUCAUCUAAAAAGCAAAAGAAACACUUACCUGCCAAGCUCUCAAGCAUUUCAUCAAUAAAUGGGAGUGGAAAGUGGUCUUUCCUAGUUGCGGCAUUUAACUUCCCAAAGUCAAUGCACAUUCUCCACCCAUUUUGCAAUCUCAUUGGCACUAACUCAUUCUUUUCAUUUUUCACCAAUGUGAUUCUAGUCUUCUUGGGAACAACAUGGACUGGACUUACCCACUGGCUGUCAGAAAUAGGAAAAAUAAUUCCUAAUUCUAAGAGUUUGAGAAUCUCUUUCAUCACCACCUCUUUCAUUGCGGGAUUGAGCUUGCGUUGAUGCUCUCUCACGGAUUUUGCGUCCGACUCCAAACGGAUGUGAUGCAUGCAAAUGGAUGGAUUGAUGCCUUUGAUUUCUGCUAACGUCCAUCCAAUUGCUGGUUUAAAUUCCCAUAAGACCCGUAAGAGCCUCUCUUCUUGCAACGCAGUUAAAUCAUUGGCAAUGAUUACAGGUAAAGUCUUGUUAUCUCCCAAGUAAGCAUAUUUCAAAUGCUCGGGCAGUUCCUUUAAUUCCACAUUAGGUGCCUGUUGAACAGAAGGUAAAAUUCUUUCAUUAGAAGUGGGUAAUGGUAGAAAAGAAUUUUCAAACCAGCCUGGAAGCGGAUGUAGUGAAUGUAAGGACAUGAUAGCUUCUAUGACUUCCUCCUCCUCCAUGUCGUCCACUUCCAAAUUGGUCUUGCCUUAUUGUAAGACAAAGUCCAACUUGUCCCCCAUGAAAUUCUGUUCAAAAUUCUCUUGCACAAUGGUGUUAGUCAUGCCAACAAAACUUACAGAUUCAGUAUCCACAGGAUGCUUCAUUGCAUCAAAAAUAUUGAAAGUGAUCUUCUCUCCAUCAAAUUCCACAGAUAAAGUCCCUUCAUGUAUAUCUAUUUUAGUCCUUGCUGUACUCAUGAAGGGUCUACCCAAAAGAAUCACUGCUGAAUUAGUAGAGUAUUCAUCAUUCAUAUCAACAAUGUAAAAAUCCACAGGAAAAAUGAAUUCAUUGACCUUUACUAGAACAUCUUCAACUCGACCCUCAGGGUAGACAUUAGACCUAUCUGCUAGUUGAAUGAUUACCCUAGUUUCUUUGAGGGGUCCUAAAUUCAAAACUUUAAAAAUUGAAAGAGGCAUGACAUUUAUUGAAGCACCUAAGUCAAGCAUGCUUUUUUCAAUUCUUUGAUUGCCAAUUAUGCAUGGUAUAGUAAACAUACCUGGAUCCUUGCAUUUUUGGGGCAACUUCCUUUGAAAAAUCGCUGAGACAUUCUCCCCCACCUUCACCUUGUCAUCCAGACUCAACUUAUUGCGAUUAGUGCAUAAGCCCUUCAAAAAUUUAGCAUAUUUAGGCAAUUGCCUAAUAGCAUCCAACAAAGGAAUAUUGAUCUCCACUUUCCUGAAGGUGUCCAGAAUCUCUUUCUUAGAUUCUUCCUUUUCAGCUUUUGUAAACCUGCCAGGAAAAGGAGGAGGAAUGUCAACUUUCUUCGAGACUUCAGAGGAUUGCUUCUCUUCUUCCUCAAGAUCCUAAAAAGGUUACCCAUUGUUCGAAGUAGGUAAACUCAAUAUUUAGCGAAGUUCCCAUGAUUGUGUAAAUCUAAUCUUCCCUUAAACACUUUAUUGUUUACAUCAGUCGUGAAUAGAAUGUCCUAAGAAAACAUUCAAUUUGAAGCCCUAAGAAAAUGGGGUUUGUUAAGGAGUAGUAGUUGUGGCAGAGACAGGGAACGAAGCAACAAAAUAUCAUCGUUGUCAUUCUUUUCUUUCGUAAAAAAGCUAGAUUAAUGCGAGACUCUUUGCUUUUCUCGUAAGAAGAAAUACGAAACAAUGUUCUUUUAUUUUUCUUUUCCUCUGGACUUCAUCACAUAUUUGAAGAAUGACCGUGGAAAUUACUUCUAGUAUUUCCCGUGCGAUUUCUUUGGUGGAGAUGAACUAAGCUUUUCAUUCUAAUCAAGAAAUAACGGAGGAUUUAGUUCAACUAAAAUUAUGAUUACAAUUAUUUCUUUUAUUUAGGGUAUUUGUAUGUUCCCUGGUUUAAUUUCUUAUGUCUAUUAUGUUAUUUGAAUAUCAAGCGUUCGGUAUUUGAGUUAAUCUAAUAACCUCAAAUCAAUUAGAGCAGUUAAAUCUGUAAUUGUUUAAUUUCUUUAAAUUAAUGAUAACUGACAUGAUUGGAUUUGUAUUAGGGGAAUAUAUUGGUUAAUUUAAAAUAAUUCAUAACUCUCGUAACAUGUUAUUUGGUUAGAACAUAGCUUCUCUAAUUGUUAAAACAAUUAAAAAUUUGAACUCCAAAGCUCUGUUUUUAAACUCGGACCGGACUGGCCAGGAAAACCGGGAACCGACCAAUUGUCCGGUCCGAGUUAACUCUAAAAACCGGAAAAUUUAAAACUCGGUCAAACCAGGUCAAAAAUCGGGUUUGACCCGAUUUGACCGAAAAAAUAAGAACCGGGUGUGAAGGACCUGCCAAACCCAAAGCCGUUGACCAUGUGCCACGUUUCCAGUCAAUACGCUUAGGUCCCGCCAUCCACCACCGCAUGGUUGAGUAAAUUCCCAAAAAGAUGGAGUUUUUAAUCUAACUUCCCAAAGGGUGGUAAUUUUUGAAUCUCUUCCCAAAUGAUGAAAAACGCAUCCAAAAAAUGUGUUUUUUCAAAUAAAAACGCAAUCUGCAAGUACGUUAUUUUAAUUAUCAUAAAUUUAUUUAAAUAGAAAAAAUUGGUUAAAUAACGCAUUAGUGGAAUGCGCUAGUUUAAAAAGUCUCUUCGGAAAUGCGUUUAUUAAUAACAUAUCUAGGAGUCUAUUCUAGUCCCCGGUACUAAGAACUAUUUCCCCUCAAUCCCUCUCUUUCUACCCUAACUUCUUCAAGGGCCAAACAAAACACACCACCCAUUCAAUUUUUUUGUACAUCUUAUACCACAUUCGCAGCCAACAUAAGAGCAAGAGUGGUGAUUGGGAAACUGGUGAGCUAAUUAGGCCUAUUGUCAAGUAAUACUUACAAUUUCAAAUUUAGGGUUUAUGAAAUGGAUGCAUUUAAUUAUUUUAAAAGCAAAAAAGCAAAUCUGAGAUGAUUCUUUGGUGCUUAUUGACAGAGGAAGAUACCGUGUGAAGGGCAAGAGUAUUUGACAAAGCAAGAGAUUCUGGAAAGAGGACUUACAAAAGCACGAGCAGCGAUUUGAGAAGCCGCAGCCGCUUUCUCCGCCCAUAUUUACCACAAUCGUGCUGCUUUUUUCCAGUGCGUUUCCUUUGCUUUUUUGUUUAACUUAAAUGCAUUAAUUAUUCAUUUGCUAACCGGUGGAUAUAUACAGUGGUUUUCUUUUCUUUUAUGUUUAACUUAAAUGCAUUAAAAUGUAUUAAUUAUUCCUUUAUUAGCAAUCCUGCUACUCCUUUUCCCUAUCAUUGCUUUCCCGACCUCUUUACUUUAAUCCAAAUAUAUAAAAUUAUUAUUAUUUAUUUCUUUCCUAACUAGUGGAUAUAUACAAAUUGAAUGUAGUAACUAGCAAUGAAGUUGGGAGAUUACGUAAUCCAUGAUCAUACAAUUAAUUGCUUGGUAAAUUAUUCUAAAACAUAGGGAUUUUUUUUUUUUUUUUUAAAAUAUGUUGAAGUAUUUAGGCACAUAGCAUAAGCACUUUAAGCGAAUUCAAAAUCUAAAGUUUUAAAAUAUAGUUCCAUAUUAAAUUGAAAAAUAUUUGGAAAAUUAUACAUAUAUAUAUAUAUCCAUAUUAAGGUGGACAAUAUUUGCAAAAGUUAGAAAAGUAGCAGGGGAUUUUCUUAAUCAGUCCAACAACUUGCCUUCUAAGUCACCCACCAAAAUCAUACCUAGCAAAAUACUACUGCUACUACAAUGCAAUGCAAUACAUAUUGCAUGUGGAUGAAGAGACCAAUGUAACCUGGAAUUGGUUUUUGCGUCUUCUUCGUCAACAGGUUCUUAAAGAAAGACAAGUUUGCCUGAUUUCUGAUCGUCAUAAAGGAAUAUUAAAUGCAAUUAGAUUGCAGAGGCUUUGGCAACCCCAUAUGCUGUUCAUUGACUUUGCUUGCGACAUGUUAGGAGUAAUUUUAACACAAAGUUUCGUAACACGCAUCUAAAGAAAUUGUGUUGGGAUGCUGGUUCUACCCCUCAAAAUCGCAAGUUCACCAAGAUUAUGGCACUCAUCUCUUUUAUGAUUUAAGAAAUAGCACUGCCCUGCCCUAGAAGGAAAUUGGGGCCUAUUGCGAAUAAAAGAUUGUGAAAAUUUACCUUUAUACCCUAAUUAUUUGGAGAAACUUAAUGAACAAACUUUGCAAAAGAAACUUGUUUCAUGUCAGCAAAUUAAGUAACUAAUUAAAUAAUUAAAUUACUUGUGAUUUUUACUUUCAUAUAAUUAAUUUAUGUUAAAUACAGAACCUACCAUUUUCCCUUUCAUAAAAAUAUGAGAGUAACACUUUUUGAAUUUUACUUACAACCAUUUGUAUAUUUAAGAUAAAUUAAAUGAACCAGAAUAAAAUGUUCAUAACUAGCUAGUACUUUGUUCAUGUAAUAGAAUAAACCCAUAAAGAACUGGUAUGUUAUGGGCAAUUUCUUUUUUUUUUUUUUACUUUCACAUAUUUAAUUUAUGUUAACUACAAAACCUACUAGUUUUCCUUUCGUAAAAAUAUUAGUAUAGCACUUUUUAAAUUUUACUUACAAACAUUUAUGUAUUUAAUAUAAAUUAUAUGAUUCAUAGUAAAAUGCCUACCCCCAUAGCUAGUACUUUAUUCAUGUAAUAAAAGAAGCUCGUAAAGAGCUGGUAAAAAGUGGGUAAUUUCUUUUUUUACUUUCAUGUAUUUAAUUUUUAUUAAAUAUAAAACCUACUAGUUUCCCUUUCGUAAUAAUAUUAGUGUAACACUUUUUGAAUUUUACUUUUAAAUAUUUAUGUAUUUAAUAUAAAUUAAAUGAUUCAGAGCAAAAUGCUUAUAAAUGGCUAGUACUUUAUUCAUAUAAUGGAAAAAACUAGUAAAUAACUAGUAUGUUGUGGGUAAUUUUUUUUUUCACUUUCAAAUACUUAAUUUAUAUUAAAUACAAAAGCUACUAGUUUCCCUUUCGUAAAAAUAUUUGUGUAACGCAUUUUUAAUUUUAUUUACAAAUAGGUGAGUUCUAGUGUCAGCAACCUCAGAGGAGUUCUGAAAUUUUCCCUUUGAUUAAAGUUUUCAAGAUAUGUGAUUAUUCUAACUCAUUUUGGGCCAUCAUAUUUUUACACUAAACAUUUAGGAUUAACUUUUUAUGAAUCAUAAAAUUUUCUUUAGAAAAAGUGUUACGAUUUUUUAAGGCAAAUUACCAGCAUUUAAGAUACAAAAUAUGUGCAUGCAUAUGUAAAAUCCAAAGUUCAAAAACCUUUAAGCCUUUUGCAAACUUGAAAUGAAAUCUAUACCAGAUAAAUUAAUAACAACUAUGAAAUAACAAAUUUUUUGGAUCUUGACUUGUGUUAGUGAGCUAAAUUAAUAAUAACUUCGAUAAAAUAAUAAGAUAAUAUUUAAAAAAAAAGCUUACAUAACCCAAGUCAAGAUCAAAGAAAUGAAAAAAAGUGGUACAUAUUGAUAAACGAAAAAUGCAUUCAUCUAAUGCGUUUCUUAAACAAUAGCGCAUUGUCGAAAUGCGUUUUCUUGUUAAAAAACGCAUUCCACUAAUGCGUUAUUUAACCAAUAUUUCCUAUUUAAAUAAAUUUAUGAAAAUUAAAAUGACGUAUUUGAAAAUUACGUUUUUAUUUGAAAAGACGCAUUCCUUGAAUGCGUUUUUCACCCUUUGAGAAGAGACUAAAAAAUCACCACUCUGGGAAGUUAGAUUAAAAACUCCCUCUUUUUGGGAAUUUACUCCUGCACAGUCCCAUCCCACCAACAAGAUUAAAUCAAGAGACUCUUUUUCUUUUUACUUUUUUUUGAAAGGUAAAUAUUUUUAAUAUUAUGUUUUGACUCCUAGGUUGUUAAAAAUUAUUAAUAUACCUCAAAUAUUUCAUACUUUGUAAAUGUUGUCUUAAAGUUUGGUGUUAUUUUUCAAUUAAGUUCAUAAUUUUAAUUCUAAACUUGUUAAUGCUCAUUAAAUAAUAUAAAUUGCUACUUGAUUGUUCUAAUUUUUUGUAUUUUCCUGUUAAAUAUAUUGGAAACAUCAAAUAUAUAUAUAUAUGAAUAUAUCUUUAUUAAUAUUAACAUGUUAUUAGGUAUUUUACAUAUAAUAUUUUAAUUUUUAAAUUAUUUUUAUUUAUGACAUCAUCCGGUUGAACCCCGAUCGAACCUGGUUGAACCCAUUGAUCCCUGACCCCUAAGCUCGAUCGAGUUGAUACCCGGUCCGAUUCUGAAAACAUAGAUCUAAAGUCGUAUUUAGGGUUAUUUCUUGAAUAGGAUAGUGGUUAACGGUCGUAUCUUAAUCACCAAUACCGUAAGGAGAAAUUGAUUGUCAUCGCUUGUUUGACAGUUAUAACUUACUUAUCAGUGAGUAAAUGAAAUUAUUAUUGCAUCAGUGAUUAAUUGAGUGAACCAUCUCUGAAGUUAUUUCUUGGUAGAGUUUGUUUAUUAUUGAUUCAAUUUCAAUUAAUUGUAAUUUCGUCCUUUUUAUUCGAGUUGUUUAAUAUUCUCAAUUUUAUAAAAAUUCCUCGUACUCUGGGCUCUAGAAGAAACGAAUUUUUUUCUAGUUACUAUGGAUUUGAUCCUACUCACCACUAUAUACAAAAUUUAUAUUUUACUCGAGUAAAUAUUUAUUAUUGUACAUGCUCGACACUUGUCACGACUAAGCUCCAUCUAUGCAAAUCCUAUCUCAUGUCCUUGAUCACUUUUAAUAUGUAAAACCAUAUGCAUGGUCCUAAUUCAAAUAGUAAGGUAUAGCAUAGAACAACUCAACGGAAAGCUUAUGAUUUACCCAUUUAAACACUAGGAAAUUUUGCAAAAAUUUGAAAUUUUUAAAAAAAAAGCAAAACUUUGAACUACGUUACUAACUUUACCAAACUUUUUUGGAGCAAGUUUUGUUUAGAAAAUUCAGUGUUAUUUAAUUAAUUCAGAUGUGCAAUUUUUGAUUAUCAAAUGCGUCUAAACAUGUUAUUAUCUAAAUCCAUUAACUUUAAGUGUUGAAUUGGGUUAUCAAAUAGGGCCAAAAACUUAACAAUUCAACAACUUAACUUAAUGGAAUUCAAACUUCAAACUUUAGUUUUCAAAUUUUAAUUUUAUCAAACGCACCUUCCUUUUACCCAAAUUCUACCAAAUAGAAUUUUUCUACAUAUUACCACCCUCACAAUUCACAAAGUCAUUUUAACAAUUGAAUCUAUUAACUAAUGUCAGUCGGUUUGGACCGUUGUGUGAUAUCAAAGGUGAAAAAAAUCACAUGUGUGCACAAAAAUAAAACAAAAAAAAGGUGUAGACUUUUCUUUUAUAAAAAUAGAGAAUUGUAAUUUUAGUCUCCAAUUUUUAGCAUAUGUGCUAAAUUAGUCUCUAAUGUUUUGACCAAAAUAAAUUUGGUUCUUAAAAUUUUUGGUAGUAGGUACAUUCAACAAUGACGAAAAGUUAGCUAUGACUAACAGUCAAAAUUUAAUUACUGUUAUUUAACAAUUUUAUUUUGUACUUUUGGACCAUAAUGUUUAAAUAUUUAAUCAUUUUAGUCAGUUAAGUUUUCCAUUGUGAUAUUGAGGGUAUUAGAAUAAAAUAAGAUGCAAAUUGCAGCACAAUUAUCUUAAAUGGGUACAAGCAAUUCUAAUUAAACUUUUUAUCUUUUACUUCACUUAUUCAUGCCACUAAUGUCUCAUAUACUUCUUUCCUUUGGUAUAAUUGGUCUCAAAUUUGGUAUUAUAUAUGUAAUUAUUGUUUUAUACUGUUAGUAAUUAAUUGAUAAUUAACCCAUAUUGAGUAAAAACACUUCAUAUUAGUGUUUAUGUUUGCUAGUUUUUAUAAUUACAAUUCCUAACUAUAACAAUUUAAGGUCUAUAUGCACAAGCCAUGCAAGAACUAGCAUGAAUGAUAAUAAAUUUUAUAUUAAUACUAUAAUUUUCCCUUUUUAUUUUAUAUAUUAUGUAUAUAUUGUCAUUUAAUUGUUACUUAUUAAAAAAAUAAAACUCUUUAAGUUUAACGAUGUUAUUAUGUUGAUGUAAGUGUUUUUAUGAAAUUUUAUAUGGUUUAGGAUGACAUUUGUCAUAUCUUUAAUUCAAUUCACACUUUUUUUCCAUUUUAAACCCCUAACUAUAUCAAGAAACAUAAGAGGCCAUAUUGAUUGAAACUUCAAACAUUAGGGACUAAAAAUGUAAAGUUAAAAUCAGAAAAUUUAGAGACCAUAUUUGUUUUGCUAAUACAUCAUAGACCAGUUUGAUAUACAGGUCAAACACUGAGAGUCAAAUUUGUGCUUCUCCCUUUGGAAAAAUUUUGAGAAGUAGUAAUAGAAAGAUUUAAAAUUCUUAAAGACAUACAAGUUUUGGCAAAUUCACAAAUUCCUAAUAUCUAAUAAAACACACAUAAUCAAAAUUACCAAUUUAACCUGUCCAACUUAGCAAAGCCCCACUCUAAUUAUCUGAUCCCAAAUUCCCUUUCUUACUCAUUUUGGGAGGGAAUGAAUUAGCACAAAAAUAUGAGGCAAUCCUUCUAGGACUAUUACUUGGGCCGAGUUAGUUUGAACUCGGCUCCAAGAAAAAGUUUAAUGAGCAUAAACUUUCACUGAGUUGGGUUAAAUUUGGGUCUAAAUAUUAGUCCCGAAUUAAAUGUGAGUAGAGUUUGAAUCUUAUUAGGGUCAAAUUCAAUAUAGGUUCAACCCUUUAAUAUGCAUCUAUCUAUAUAAUUAUAUAUAAUAUAUUCAUAUUUUGAUAUAUAUAUAUAUAAUUAUAUAUCUAAAUAUAUAAUACUAAUACUUAUGAGUUAUUUGUAAAAAUACAUAUAUGUAUAUAAGGAAUAUUAAAUAUACAAAAUUAUGUCAAAAGAAUUAGAAAGACAAAUCUUAGGAUGAGCAAAUUGAGGACCUUUGAAGAUGUAUUGACUGUUGAUAAUGUUUUAUUACUAUUUUUAAUGUGCAUUAAAUUAAUUGGAUAUAUGAUUGUUGAAAAAUUCUUGGUUUUAUAUACUUUUUAAUGAACUGUUACUGGUUCCUAUAUAGUUUUAAUGUUGUGGUUCUAUGGAUAUUAAAUUAGUUUAAAACUUAAUAAUUAUAGUAAUUAUAUUAAGGAAUUAAGGAGUUAUAAGUGAGCUUGAGUUAAGUCAGAAUUAAACUUAUAAUCCGAAUAUUUUGUGAGUCAAGUAUGAGUUUCAUAUUUAUCACUUCAAAUCUCAUAAUUCGAAAUCCAAAAAUGGUGCUAACUAUAUGAGCCAAAUCUGAGUUUGUUAAAUCUCACUUCAGAUAGCCCAAUGACAAGCCUAAAUCCUACCCUUUUUUGAUUCAAAUGAAUUUAAAUUUAAACCUAUAGUUUAGUACUCAUAUUCUUUUUUACCCAAACUGCCUUUUGACCUUUGAAAAAAAUUACCGAAAAUACUACAAGUUACCUUCACCUAGAUUAGAAUUAUGUCAAGUAAUCAUGAAAGUCAAGUCACAUAAUCGAUUUUGUUGUCUAGGUUCUGUUUUUCUUUUUUAUUUUUUUAUUCUAACUGCAAAAAAGGUUCCUAAUCACAAUACUACUAUGAUUGAUCAUGGAAGUAUAUCGUUUGGAUUGCAUUUUCUUGGAAGGGUAUAUUGUAACACUUCUUUAGAUGUGAUUUAUAUGAAGUAAAAAAAUCAUUGAAAAAUGUAUCAAUGGAAUAUUCCCAAAAAAACAUGAGAUUUUUUACCAGAGAAUAGCAAUCCAAAAAAAAUCUAGUAUAUUGGCAUACUACUGCAAAUUGACCUCUUUCUAUAAAUAUAUUAUUUUUAUAACUUAAACUAUCCCAAAAAAAGAUCUCUAAUCAAAAUAUUGAAUUGUUAUGUUCAAACUUGUAACAUAUAUGCUUCUAAUAAAAUAGGAAAAAAAUGAAAUAGUUCAAUCUUUAAAAGUAGGGUAAAAUACAAAAAAGUCCCCUAUGGUUAAGUUAACCUACGGAAAAGUCCUUUAUGAUUUCAUACCAUACAUUUUGACCUCUCAUGAUUUGAACUAAUUUGAAACAGCAACGAAAAUCGUCAAAACUAGCGGAGGUAGACAAAAUAAUACAAUUAUCCUAAUAUAUAUAUAUAAGCACUAAAACACGUUCUAACAACCAUCCUAUUAAGCAAACUAACGGAAAAAUCCCUUGUGAUUAAACCAAUCUAUGGAAAAGCCCCCUAUGGUUACAUGUAGUUUUUAUUUAUUUAUUUAUUUUGUGCACAUGAAUAAGAUAAGUUGUAUUUGGAAGUUUCUAUUUAUUUAUUUUAUGUAUAGAAACAAAGUGAGUUUUAUUUGAGAAUUUUUAUUUAUUUAUUUUAUAUAUAGAAAUAAAGGUGAGUUGUAUUUGGGAGUUUUGGGUUGUUUUUUGAAAAUUUUAUGAGUUCUAAGGUGUUUAAUAGGUAUAUCAGCUAAAAAUUUGAUUUAAAAAAAUUUAUUUUACAUGUCAAACAACCUCAAACUCAUUAAUUUAAAUAAUUUUUUGCCGAUUUUCACAUUAAUUCAAAACCACGAGAUACUAGAUCGUAAGAUUUGAAACCAUAAAGGCAUUUUCUGUAGGUUUGAUUGAUCACAUGAGGCUUUUGUUAAAGAAAAAGGUGCUUCUGAAAAAAAUUGGGAUUGCAAUUGCCACAAGAGGGACAGCUUUGCAGUCGAAAAACAAAAUCUAUUAACAAGCUGUAGCCAAGUCCUUGCACUCACACAGCGAGGGACAAUGGGGGGAACCACCGCAACUAUAGUGCAGGCCAACCACUGUCGUUACCAUUGUUAACGCCCUGGCUCUGGUGAACAAUCCUAAAUCUCACUUGGACCUUCGACUUUUAGGUAUAUUGGGAUUUUAAACCAAAAAACUUGGUUGCGGAUGGAAAGUUAAGAUGAGUCUUUUGGACGUUUUUAACCCAACUCCUGUGAGCACACCAUCUUUCUUUAAUAUAAUUGUCAUAUGGGCCAAUUAGUGUUGAAUUCAUAUCAAAUUGUUAUGCUUGAACAAAUUCCCUUUACUAGGCUAGAUGACAUUUCAUCCCUCACACAUGCUGAAGACUGGGAAUUAACCAAUUAUUGUUAUUUGAUACAGCCUGCUCUACAUGUUUUUGAGUGGGAGUAUUCGUCAAUUUUUCCUCGCAUUCAAUGGCAUAGGGGGUAUUCAUUGUCCAAGGUGACUUGUCUAUGAUCGUGAAGAGAUGGCUUAUCAUGCUUGGCACUAGAGACAUGAAGUUUUUUAACUCCACCUGUGUUGACACAAUACAUCACACAGCCGGUCCCAAGUCCGGAUGAAGGAGGAGGGAUUUUUUUUAUGUUUUAGAAGGCAGCUCUUAGCGUACGUUCUCAAAAUCCUUCUGUGCAGAUUUAUAUAUGAAAGGUUGGUGAAUGCGAGUUUUUUUUUUUCAUUCUUCUUGGUAGUGCUGAAUUUCUGGUCUUCAUUUCAUAGUUGAUCUGGAUUUUAGCAUCUAUCCCGGGUUAUAAUCCAAUCACAUUUCUUUCAUUCUUUUACUUUGCUUUGUUUUGCAACCGCACUUUACUUUUUCAGAGUUUGUAUACUUGUUCACAUAAAUUGUUGUGUGUUAGAGCUGCCAAUGAACUGGUUUACUGUGAGUAAUCAACAUGCACUAGUACGUUUGGCAUUGGAAAUUGACAAGAACUUUUAAGCUGGUUCUCUUCUGUUCAUUGAGUCACUUGAAUUGUGUUGUAAUAUGUUCUUAAGCUCACUUGCUGUUGCAAAGGUAAUGAACUUUGUUUUAUCUCAUGCUGAUCUUUCAUACAUGUUUAGGUUAUAUCCGCAAAAUAUGAUACCAAAAAAGGUUAUGCUACUGAUAUUUCAGACACAAGUUGUACCAUUUGGUAUGGUCGAAAUUUGACUGUAGAGUGGCUUUCAUCUCUUGAAUUUCUUUCCCAAAUUCGUGUGCUAUAGGUAGAUUUGCAGCACCAUUUUAGUCAGAACGGAUGUUUAGAGCAAAGUGAUGCUGAUUACUUUCUAAUUUUGCAAUUCUUGGCAGGGAUAAUUCUAUGGGAUCAGUCUAAUGCAAUUUUGUAUUGUUACAGUUUAAUUAAAUGAUCAAGCUUUUAUAGAACCUGUGGACUCACAUAUGGAUUUGAAGUCCUAUGUAGAUUAGAAAUUCUGUGAGUGGAAAGAUGUCUUUCUGGCAAUGUUAUUGAUUGUGGAAUUUGUGGCAGGGUCUCCUGGCUGUUUGGUGAUAGCCUGCAGACGCAAUUCUUUGCUCUUCAAUCAACAGUUCAAAUUUUCCUCAAUUAUGAUGGUUUUAUGUGAUUAAGGAUGAUAAUGCAAACAGGGUAUGUGAACUAUUGUAUACUAGGCCGAAUUCAAAGAGAAGAAUGUGAUUCAGGAAAAGAAAAUAUUGUAAAUCAGGUCUUAAUGCUCAUUGGUCUCAAGUACUGAAAAAUGUUCACAAGCUUAUGGUUCAUUCCUUGACAAGUACAUAAACUGAUUUUUAUAGAGCUUUAAGAAAUAUUCUGAAUUAACUCGACAGUUUACUGAUUUGACAAAGCCAAAUUGCAGAUUGAAGGGGGCAAGAUUUUGUUGUUCCAACCAUCAACUUGAUCUACUAGCUAAUAGCUUAUUUUCAAACCUGCACAAACAGUUUUCGUUCAGUCCAAAACUGAGCCCUUUUUUACUAGGGGUGUGCAUCGAAAUCGAAAGCAAUAAUUCGGAAGUUUGAAAUCGAAAAUUUUUGAAAUUUUGGCUUCAGUUUUCCCGACCGAAUUGAAUUCGGAAUACGGUGGAUUUUGAAUUCACCGAAUUUUUUUUUUGGCCCUCUCUCCUCUUGAAAUAAACUUAAUUUCGUCUCUAUUUAAGAGGAGAUUUGAAAGCCGUUCCUCCUCCAACCAAAACAGGUUGUUAACCAGAAUCAUUAACACCAAUUUAAUCCACGAACAUGUCAUGAACACAUCUAAUCAUUAUCUUCUAUCUAUUAAAGUUCAACCCUGCUGAGUGCUGAGCUUCAGAGAUCUCAGAAAGAGCACAAACAAAUGCCAAUUGUAACUGAAAGUCAUAGAACACCUUCAGCACAUUCACAUAUUCCACGACUAAUCAACUUAAAAAUAGGCAAACACCCUAAUUUACAUUGUCAUAUAUAAAUUUAGAAACGGGCAAACUGUCUUUUGACAGAUUUAAUGUUCACAGCCAGAAGCAUGAACAGAAAACACAUACAGUGCACAAAAAUGUAUAAUGGCGCCUGCCUGCUGGAUGGUUUUCAAGAUGUGCCUGGAAAACACAUAAGUGAAAAACAAAAGUUCAGCACCUCUGUUGCACCUCUGUUGCUCCGUGUAUGUCAGGGAGAAGAAGAAACAAAGAAAUUAAAAAGGUCAAAUAAUACAAUUUGUUAAUUAACACUCAAAACCAUUUUUUGUGCGUAUUAGUACCCAAAGAAUGCAUUUAACUAAGAAAAAAUAAGGAUUGAGCAUGCCAUUGAAAUUAUUGAUGAAAAAUCACUGGCGUAAGAAACAUAGCUGAAAAAGGUGAGUAAAAGCACUGGCGUACCUCAAAUUGUCCGACAGUCUUGAAUAUGAAGGCUGAUAGUGUCUGUCUCUGUCGGGCUUGAAGAACUGUUUGUUAGGACUGGGUCAGGAAUAAACCAACAAAAGUUAGCACAAAUUAGACGGUAUAACCGACCAUAUAAUAGAUAGGCGGUAGACACCGGUCAUAUAAUAAUUAGGCGGUAAAACUGACCAUAUAAAAGGGUUGUGGCAACUCAAUAAAGACAACUAACAAAGCAAAUAAAAGACACAGAAGAUUUACGUGGUUCGGUCAAAUUGACCUACGUCCACGGGCGGAGGAGGGGCAAUAUUUCUACUAUGAAAAAGAAAUACAAAAGCCGUAAGAAAGUGGUUCUUAGGCCAAUAGACACUUACAAAAGAGUUUAUAAAAUAUUCCUAAAUUCAAAACAAGCGAGCCUAAAAUAUUUGACUAAAUGGGUUAGAUGACUCAAGAAAUUAAUAGCCCAUAUAAUACUCUCUUGAGUGGUGCGAUUUAUUCCUUCAUACGCCUCCUAUAUUUAUAGGCUUACUGAAGGAACCUUUCCUGCUGUCUACUGUGAUGUGGGAUGGAAGAAAAAAACUUCCUUACGCAGCAUCUGAUGUGGAACAAAAAUUUUGCCAUACACAAGUCAAACAUUUUGGCUUGACAAAUCAACAAAUCUUUACCUUGGCAUAAUUUUUAGUUCCACCAUCAACAAUAAUAAAACUGCUCCACUUUCUCCACAUAAGCCCCAAUGGGCCAUAUCACAAACAGUGCACAUCAAUCAAGUCCAAGCACUACUUGAACUUGUAAACUGGCAGAGGCUUCGUAAACAUGUCAGCUGGAUUGUCCUUGGUAUUGAUUUUCUGAAUAAGGACCUUUCCUUCAGCAAUGAUGUUCCGAAUAAAGUGAUAUUUCACAUCAAUGUGUUCCGUCCUCUCAUGAUACAUCUGAUCUUUAGUCAAGUGUAUGGCACUUUGACUAUCACAGUGAAUAUCAGUAAUACCUUGAUGCAGACUUAGCUCACUAAAUAAAUUCUUCAACCACAAGGCUUCUUUGAUUACCUCGGUCACAGCCAUAUAUUCUGCCUCUAUAGUAGACAAAACUAUGACAGGUUGUGGAGUAGCUUUCCAACUGACAGCACAACCGCCAAUGCAAAAUACAUAACCUGAAAGUGAUCUUCUCCUGUCAAGAUCCCCAGCGUAGUCUAAGUCUACAAAAUCAACCAAAGUGUUAUUAUUUUUUCCAAACUCCAAACAUGCAUUUGAAGUACCUCGCAAGUAUCUUAAAAUCCACUUCACAGCCUGUCAAUGUGUUUUUUCAAGGCAAGACAUAUAUCUACUAACAACACUGACUGCAUGUGAGAUAUCUGGACGAGUACAAAUCAUUGCAUACAUAACACUGCCGACUGCACUGGAAUAAGGAACCCGUGCCAUAUAAUCUUUCUCUUCAUCUGAUUGUGGUGAUUGAGCAGCAGAUAGCCGAAAAUGGCUAGCAAGAGGAGUAGAUACUGGUUUAGCAUCUUUCAUGCCAAAACGCUUUAAGACUUUUUCAAGGUAAUUUUUCUGAGUAAAAAAUAACUUCCCUACUCCUCGAUCUCUCUUGAUAUUCAUGUCAAGAAUUUUCUUAGCUGCUCCUAAAUCUUUCAUUUCAAAUUCACUAUUUAACUGCAGUUUCAAAGUGUGAAUUUCUAACAAAUUCUUAGCAACAAUGAACAUGUCAUCAACAUAAAGCAGCAAAUAAAUGAAAGAACCAUCAUUUAACUUCCGGAAGUAAACACAACUAUCAUUCAUGCUCCUUAAAUAACCAUGACCCAAUAUAAAGGAAUCGAACCUUUUAUACCAUUGCCUUGUAGACUGUUUCAAUCCAUAUAAGGAUUUCUUCAACAAGCAAACAUGGUCUUCCUUACCUUCAAUCUCAAAACCCUGGGGUUAUUUCAUAUAAAUUUGUUCUUCAAGUUCACCAUGCAAGAAAGUUGUCUUAACAUCAAGUUGCUCUAACUCCAAAUCAUACAUGGAAACUAAAGCAAACAAAACACGAAUAGAGUUACGUUUAACAACAGGUGAGAAUACAUCAUUAAAAUCAACACCUUGUACCUGACUAUAACCCUUUGCAACCAAUCGUGCUUUAUACCUUAUAUUUUCAACCCCUGGAAUACCUUCCUUUUUCUUGAAGACCCACUUGCAACCAACUAUUUUCUUAUUUGACGGCGGCUUUACAAGAACCCAAGUUCCAUUCUAAUGAAGGGAUUCAAUUUCUUCAUUCAUCGCAAUCAACCAUUUUAUAAAAUCAUCACAAGAAACUACUUCUGAAUAGGUGGAAGGCUCACCAACUGUAUCAGUUUCUUCUGCAACAGACAAAACAUAUGCAACUAAAUUUGUAUAUCUUUGUGGUGGUCGAAUGUCUCUCCUUGUUCUAUCUUUGGCUAUGGAAUACUCUUCUUCUUCUAAACUAUCUUCAAUAGUAGAUUCAGCUGCAUCUACUGACACUUGCUGAAUAGAAGAUUUGGACUGAGAAUGACCAGAACUGCCAAUAUCAAGCUCCACCUGCUUCUGUGUACUAUCAGUAGUACAAGGACUAAAAGACUCCUUCUUGGAAGAUAACAUAGACAAUUCAUCAAAAGUAACAUCUCUACUGAUUACAAAUUUUGAAGAUUUAGGAUCAGGACACCAAAAUCUGUAUCCUUUCACCCCAGAAACAUACCCGAGAAAAAUGCACUUUUUAGCCCUAACCUCCAAUUUUCCAUCAUUCAUGUGCAUGUAUACUGGACAUCCAAAAACUUUUAAAUUGGAGUAAUCAGCAGGAGUACCUGACCAAAUUUUCUCAAGAGUUUUGAAAUCAAGAGAUGCAGAAGGAGAACGGUUGACAAUAUAACAGGUCAUAUUGAUCGUCUCUGCCCAAAAGUCGUUUGUCAACCCUGCAUUGGAGAUCAUACAUCUUUCUCUCUCCAAAAGCGUUUUAUUCAUACGUUCGGCCACAUCAUUUUGUUGAGGCGUCAUCCUGACGAUGUGAUGCCAAACAAUUCCUUCAUUUUUGCAAAAUCUAUCAAAUUUACCUCCACAAAAUUUCACGCCAUUAUCUGUUCUCAACCGCUUAAUAUGUUUUCCUGUUUGUUUCUCAAUCAAAACUUUUCAUUGCUUGAAAAUUAGGAAAACAUUAUUUUUAUGUUUAAGAAAAUAUACCCAAACUUUCCUUGAAUAAUUAUCAAUGAAAGUCAACAUGUACCUGACACCACCUUUAGAAAGAGCACGAGAAGGACCCCAUAGAUCUGAAUGAAUGUAAUCAAGAGUACCUUUUGUCUUGUGAAUUGCUGGUGAAGUGAAACUAACUCUUUUCUGCUUUCCAAAAAUACGAUGUUCACAGAAUUCCAAUGACCCGGUACUUUGUCCACAAAAAAGUCCUCUUUUGCUUAGUAUGCCCAAAUCUUUUUCGCUCAUGUGCCCCAACCCCAUAUGCCAUAAUUUGGUGAUGUCUGUAUUUGACAAAGAUGAUGUUGAAACAGCAGCAGCACCUGUAACAGUAGAUCCCUGCAAAAUAUAUAAAGUACCAGAUCUGUGUGCCUUCAUAGCAACAAGAGCACCUCGAGUGAUUUUGAGAAUUCCAUCUCCACCUGAAUACCUGCACCCAAUAGACUCAAGAGUGCCUAAAGAGAUGAGAUUUUGCUUCAAAUCUGGAACAUGUCUAACAUUUGUGAGUGUCCUCACAAUACCAUCGUACAUUUUAAUCCGGGUUGUACCUUUACCAACAACUUUACAAACGGCGUUGUUACUCAUUAAGACAACUCCACCUUCAGUUGAUUCAUAUGUUGAAAACCAGUCCCUAUUGGGAAACAUAUGAUAUGAACAAUCCGAAUCUAAAAUCCACUCAUUGUUAGACCUAAAAAUACUUUCCGUUGCACAGAAAAUGGUUCCAUCAUUCUCAUCAGCUGCUAUACUAGUUUCAGCAGAUUCAAUAUUUUUCUCAACAAAUUUCGCUUUUUGCUUUUCUUUAUUUUUCAAUUUAAAGCAAUCAGAGAUAACAUGACCCUUCUUUUUACAAUAAUUGCACACCACAUGUUUAUGUCUAGAUUUGGAUCUACUUCUAUUUUCUGUGUUUCUCUUUUCAGAUCUACCUCGAACAAACAAGCCAUCGGCUUGAUUCCCACUAGUUUUCCUAAUAAUAUCCCUAUCUAUCUGCUCUUUAGAUUUUAAUGCAGAUUUAAUUUUUCGAUAUGAAAUUGUUUCCUUUUCAUAAAUCAUAGUAUUACGGAAAUGCUUAAAGGACGGGGGAAGGGAACACAAAAGUAAUAGGGCCUGAUCUUCAUCAUCAAUUUUCGAAUCUAUAUUUUCCAAAUCCAUAAUAAUGGAAUCAAAUUUAUCAAGAUGGGAGAGUAUAGAAGUACCUUCAGACAUCCGAAGCAUAUGCAGGCUCUGCUUCAAAUAUAGUCGAUUCUCAACUGUCUUCUUCAUAUACAAGGCCUUAAGCUUGUCCCACAUACCUUUGGCCGAAAUCUCCGUUGCUACCUCAUGCAAUACCUCAUCGGAGAGAUUUAAGAUUAUGCUGGAUCUGGCUUUUUUAUCCAUAUCGGCGAAAUCCGCAUCCUUUACAUCUUCUGGCUUUUUCUACAUUCCCUGAAUUGCCAAAUCAAUUCCGUCUUGAACAAGAAUGGCUUCCAUCUUGAGCUGCCACAUCCCGAAGUUGACAUUCUUGUCGAAUUUCUCGACAACCGUCUUUGUUAUCGUCAUUGUUGCCACAAAAUCUAUAACUUGAAGUUUGUCUCAAAAACUAAUUAAACAAAUAUGCAAGUCUCGUGAGCGGGCCCCACGAGAUGAACGGGCCCCACAAGGUGAGUGGAACCCACGGGAUGAACGGGCCCCACAAAGUGAGCGGGCCCCACCAGAUGAACCUGUCUUACAAAAUAUAACAACCAACUCUGAUAACAGUUUGUUAGGACUGGCCCAGGAAUAAACCAACAAAAGUUAGCAUAAAUUAGGCGGUAGACACCGGCCAUAUAAUAAUUAGGCGGUAAAAUCGACCAUAUAAAAGGGUUGUGGCAACCCAAUAAAGAUAAAUAACAAAGCAAAUAAAAUACACAGAAGAUUUAUGUGGUUCGGUCAAAUUGACCUACGUCCACGGGCGGAGGAGGGGCAAUAUUUCUACUAUGAAAAAGAAAUACAAAAGCCGUAAGAAAGUGGUUCUUAGGCCAAUAGGCACUUACAAAAGAGUUUAUAAAAUAUUCCUAAAUUCAAAACAAGCGAGCCUAAAAUAUUUGACUAAAUGGGUUAGAUGACUCAAGAAAUUAAUAGCCCAUAUAAUACUCUCUUGAGUGGUGCGAUUUAUUCCUUCAUACGCCUCCUAUAUUUAUAGGCUUACUGAAGGAACCUUUCCUGCUGUCUACUGUGAUGUGGGAUGGAAGAAAAAAACUUCCUUACGCAGCAUCUGAUGUGGGACAAAAAUUUUGCCAUACACAAGUCAAACAUUUCGGCUUGACAAAUCAACACCGGUGUUCAAUUUCAGGUGUGAUGCAAAUCACGAUUGAAAUCUCUGAGGUGAAAGAGGCGAUGGAAGCGGUGAGUAGGGGUGUCGGUGAGAGAGUAAACUGAGUCGGUGAAAGAGAGUGAGAGAGAGUAAGCUUUGUCGAUGACUCGGUGAGUCAAGUGGUGACGAAGACAGUGACGAAGAGGCGAUGAAGGAAGAGGCGGCGCGGCGGAAGCUCAAGGUGAGUUAAGAGAAAUUAGGUUUUUGCAGAUAGGGAAGCUCAAUUUGUCGGAACUCGGAAGCUCGAUUUCAAUUAGUAAACUUAUUAUGUUAAAAACUAUUAUAUUAUAAUUAUAUUUAAAUAUUAUUAUUAGAAAUCGAAUUCGAAUUUCCUAAUUCGAAUAUCCCAAUUCGAAAUCGGUAAUUCUGAUUUUAAAAUUUUUAUUUUCGAAUUCGACCAAUUCGAAAACGGAAUUACCGAUUUCAGUUCUGAAUUACCAAAAUUCUGAAUUCGAAAUUCCGAAUUCAAUUUGAAAUCGGUUUCGAAAUCAAAAUUUUUCGAGUUUGCACACCCUUACUUUUUACUACACACAAAUGAUGGUCAUUUUCCUGCUCCAAUAGUCCCAAAAAAGUUCAUAUGCCAAUGUCACAAAUCUCAUGCAUAAAAUGCAGGUUUUAAAAGAACUAUUUGACCAAAUAAACUAUUCAAAUACUGAGAACACUUGUAACAAACAUGGGAAUCAUUACUCUAACAAAAUGUUUAGUCUAGCUGCAAUAUUGGGCCAAACUAUAUAUAAAUAUAACCAAACAUUACAAGAUUUUCCAAUGACUACUUCUUUAAUAACUUCUUGGAAGAAGAACAGUGAAACCAACAGAUACUCCAAAAAGGAGGAUGAGCAGGAUAGUGAAGUUGACCAUCAAUGCUUCUUGCCCUCUUCCUAAGCCCGUGAAGAUGAAUUUCUCAAUCAAGCCGGUCACAACACUCAAUAUUGCCAUGAAAAAUAUAACCAUUUCAAGCAGGACAUGCCAUGGUGCAAAAUUUGCGCUAGUUGUGGAAUCUCUGGCUCAGAACCAAAAGUUAAAGAAGCUAAACAGCCACUGACAAAAAAAGUUCAGAAUUUUCCAUUAGAUUCUGGCUCUUGUUGUUUUAAUAAACUUGUUCUUAUUUUUUUAUGCAUACAAGUCGCAUUACCUGUUCUUACAGACAAAUCCCCACCCUCUUCAUUUUCUUUGUAGAUUUGCAGGUCAUCACGCAUGUUAAUUUGCAUUAUCUGCAAGUAGGUUUCCCAUUGAGAUAGUUCAGAAAUAUGAAAUUGGAUGAAUCAAUCAGAUCAUCUAUAAACAAAAAAAAAAAAGAUGGUGAAGAAAUAUCAUGCAUGCUGAUUCUGCACAAGUUCAGUAGCAUAAGUAUAUAAAAGCCAUAGGCUAUUGUCUUCAAGAAUUACAUUUCAUUAAACUGCAAUUUCUCUGCUAACAAUCAUAUCAAACAAUUAUGUCAGAAUUGCUCCCAAGCUCGAGUAUUCUGCCCUUAGACCAUCUAUUGUACAAUCAAUUUUUGAUUAUCCUUGUGCUAAUUGUCACUUUUUUAACCAAGAUUUCAUAAACUAAUACAGCUAUCAAGAUAGAACCGGGUUAGCAAAAAAGUUGUAGAAAGAAGCAUUCUUCUAAGAUCAAAAGUGCUAAAAGUCAAUCAAAUUUUGUAAAAAAUUAAUGAAAAGAAAAGGUAAGGAAAGACAAUAGAUCACCACCAGCAAGAAAAGAUUAUCUAUAUUUGAUGCAUAAUUCUCUUAUCUCCAUAGGAGGAUUCAGAGGGAUUCUCAUCUUUAGAAGUCAAUAGUUCAAUUGGUCGCAGAUAUUUCUGUUCUCAUGGAAUUCUUCAGGUGUCAAUCAACAAUCAGGAUAUAAAAGUCUUCUAUACUUGCAACUAAUGGAAGUAGACGAAUACAGAAAGUUAUUGAUGCAUAUGAAAAUAACAUAAGAUUUGGAGAAUAUGCAAGGUUGUCCAUUGUAGGACUGAUGUAUCAGAUCUCUAUGUUGGCAGUUUGAAAAGGAGAAUUGGUACAAAAUAGUAUCCCCAUGGAUGCAACGGUUUCUAAAUUUCUUCUUCCUUACUUCUGUUCUAAUUUUCUGCACCAAUUGUAUCCUAGAGCCCUAUUUAGUGCACAAAUUCAGCAACUCACUAUUCCAACAACAUAGAGCAUGCUUCAAGCUUAUGACCCAUGUCCAGAUAACAAAGCACUUCCCCAGCUUUUGAAAUCCAUUAGAAGCACACUAAAAUAGCUUCUGACUUACACAGGCUGCUGAUCAGUAAAAAAUGUCCUGAACUCUUUUAACUAAUAGUCUUAAAAGCAGCAAACUCAUUCAUACAAAAUUUGAACACAAGCUUUUAACACUGAAUGUUAUUUGACAGUGGGGAAGAUAGGUUGAACUCUUACUUCCUCAUUGGUGUAUAUUCAAGGACAGGAAAAGAAACUACCACAUGCAAUGGAAGAUGAGAGUAAAAAGUCAGGAAGAAAGCCACAUAUGACACAAAGGUUUAGGACAUCACUUCCAAGACAAAGAUGCACAAAAAAUUCACCAAUGAAUAACUUAAAUAAGUCCUUCACGGAUGGCCUAACACACCUGGGUCUGUGGGUGUGUGUACAAUAGUACAUGCAAUAUGUACCGGGCUUCAGCUGAGCCUGGGGGACCAGAAUAUCUUAUGACAGGAAAUUGAGGUGAUGAAUCCCAACAUUUCAAUUAAAAACCCUUCCAUCAAAGUCAAUGAAUAAGCCUACGGUCUCAAACAACGGCCGAAGUGUCCACUAUCAGUUUACCCAAUACCCAUAACACGUAAAAUACCCAUAAGCUACUAAAGCACCAUAAAUUUUAAGUCUACUGAAAUACAUAGAAUUUAAAUUUUUAAUAAAUACACGAGAUCCCAAAAAGAUUACCCAUUCUUCAAAGUGGGUAAAUUGGAUCUUCAGCCAAGUUCUCAAGAAUAUUAAAAUUUACUCUUCCCUUAAACUCUUCAUUGGUUGCAUCAAUCGUGAAUAUUGAUGGCAUUCAUAAAAAAAGAAUGGAAUGCAUAAUGUAUCAAUAUACCAACAUCAGUUUGAAGCCCUAUUUCAGCACACAGCUUUUAUAAAAACUCCGUGAAGUCAAAAGAAUAGAAUCUUGCAAGCACCAGAUGCACACCUCCCCAUUCUCCAAGUUGGUUCAUCAUUUGUCUUCCUUUUGCAACAAGAGAGGUCCAAGAAAUAAAAAUGAUACAGGCAUUGGAGAGGACUUCAAAUAUAACUGAAACUCAUUCAUUUCUGUCACAUGGUGAUAAGCCUCAGCAACGCUUGGCUUCUGGUGUAAAUAUAUCCAAAAACAAUUCCAAACAAGUUGUCUGCCACAAGAUUUUAACCUAACUCUAAAUUGUCCACUUAUUAUUUGGGCCCUAGAAGAGUGCAACAUCUCAUGCAUAUACAAGUCCCUUUAGGUAUGAAUAAAAGACAAUUAUCCAAAGCUGUUGCAAUGAAGAAUGCCUUUUUAAUGUUAAAAGCAAAACUGAAGCUUAUAUAUCUAUUUCUUGAGAACUCAAAAUAGAUGAUUGGCGAUCAGCUAUAUAUUUCAUGCAUAUAAUAUCUGAUGUCUCAAAUGCCUAACAAAAUUAGACUAACGGUCUUCUCCUUCCAGAAAUAUGAUCACUUAAGACCAUGUCAUUCUUUAGAGAAAUAUAACGAUACACUUAUUAAAUUACUUUUUGUUGACCUUGGUUGAUCAGUCCUUGGUUUUGAUGAUUAACAAACCAAAAUGUAGAUUUGGACUAAUGUUUUUAUGUGAGAAAUUUGUUAGAACAGGUCAUUGAUCCAAAAGAGAAUCGAAAAGAUUUGAAUCAAAGAGAAGUUAAGAAAUAUGAAGGUUUGGACGUAGAGGAUCGGACGCUCGAUAGAGGAUUGGACGUCCGACAAACGACGAUACUCUUCGGACGCUUGGAUCGGACGCUCAUUCAUUGCUUCGGCCGUCCGACACAAAAAGAAUGAAAGUUGAACAUUCUGACUUCUAUCGGACGCAGGGUUCGGACGCAGAACAAAUGGUUCGGACGUCCGAUAGGUGGUUCGGACGCAUGGUUCGGACGUCCGACAGGCCAACGGCUAGUUUCGACAGCAUUUAAUAUUUAACCGUUGGAGAGCCUUUUGGAGCCAUUUCUCACCUUCUAUAAAUACCCCAAAACACAAGAAGACAUAGACUUUUGCCAACACUAAAUACAAGCUUGCAAGUGAGAUCUUUGAGUAGAAAUAUUCUUUGUUGGUUGUAUAACGGGUUGGGAAAGUUAGGUUGUGAGGUUGCUCAAGUGAAGGUUACUCUCUAGGAGGAGUAAAACCUUGGUGAAGGUGAACCUAUCACUUGGAGUGGUAAAACCUUGAUAAAGGUUGCCUCACUUGUAUAAAAUAGUUCUUAAUUGAGUGGGUAAGCUUUCAAUUGUAGCUAGUUGAGGGUUUACUUGGAGAGUAGUAAAAUUCCUUUGGUCAACCAAAGUAUGUUUGGGGUGAGGAAGGAGUGAGCCUUCACUUGUACAAGUUGGUUAGCACUACCAUCGAUUGAAGAAGCUAUUUGGUGGAUUCAACUCCAAGUUUGGAAGAAGCUUGGGAGUUUGAUUGGUUUGAAUUUCUUUUACUUUAUUGUUACUCUAUUUUUGUGCUUUAAAAUUGCUUAUAUUCUUUGUCAUUGUAUUUACUUGACUACUUGUCUGGUUGAGUAUUUUGGUUGUAUUUGGUUGCAUCGGGGCUAACAAUUGGUAUCAGAGCUUGGUCUCCUAGAGAUUAAGCUUAACCGCUUAGAGUAAAGAUCAUGGCAACCAUAAAUGUUUCUUUUUUAGAAGGGCAAUCUAUUGAUAGACCACCUAUGUUUAAUGGUUCUCAUUUUAGCAUGUGGAAACAAAGAAUGAUGAUUUUCUUACAAUCCGUUUAUAUUGAAUUAUGGUAUAUGGUAGAAGAUGGUCCUUAUGAAGCUAGAAUAGUUGACUCUACCACUAAUUUGAAUAGAUUAAAGACUAGACAAGAAUUGAAUGAAAAAGACAAGAGAUACCUUUCUUUGAAUGCCAAGGCCAUGUAUAUAUUGUGCAAUGCAUUAGAUGUAAAUGAAUCUAGUAGAAUUAAAGGUUGUAAAUCAGCUAAAGAUAUUUGGGAUAAAUUGUGUGAAUUUUAUGAAGGUAACCAAGAUAUUAAAGAACAAAAGAAAUCUUUCCUUGUUUCUCAAUAUGAAUUUUUCAAAAUGCAUCCUCUUGAAAAUGUUGAUAAGAUGUGUAGUAGAUUUUGUGACAUUAUUCAAGAUCUUAAAUUGCUUGGAAAAGAAUAUUCUUUGGGUGAGAAAAAUAGAAAGAUUUUGAAUGCCUUACCAAAAGAAUGGGAAAACAAAAUAAAUGCUAUAGAAGAGGCAAAGGAUUUAAAUUCUAUGUCCAUUGAAUCUCUUGUGAAUUCCCUAACCUCUUAUGAAUUAAAGCUGAAAUUCAAAGUGCAAGAGGAAGAAAAUGCAAGAAUGUAUAAGAGAGGCAUAGCUUUUAAAGCAUCUCAAGUGGGGGAUAACCCAUCCUUCAUGGGUAAUGAAAACAUGGAAGUGGACAAUGAUAUAACUCCUCACAUCAAAAGUUUCAAAAAGAUCUUCAACAAGAGAAGUUCAAGAGGAGAUUGCAAAAUUACAUGGGAUGAAUGCAAUUCAAAAAGAGAAAAAGAAGAGUUGGCCCAAAUGGCAUUAAUGGCCUUUGGAAAAGAUAAGGUAAAUUCUUAUAACUCUUCUAGUGAUGAAGAUAAUGAAGAUGAUGAUGUGCAAAUUCUUAUGAUUAAAAUGCAUAAAAGUUUGAGAGAAUCUUAUGCUAAAAAUAAAGAUUUGAGAACAAAAAUAAAUGAUUUGUUGGAAGAAAACUCCAAACUUUUUCAAGAAAACAAAUGUUUGAGAAUGGAAAAUGAUGAUUUGAAAAAUCAAAAAGGUGUUUUUGAUUGCAAAAAUAAUUUGAAAAGGAAGUUGGAAGAGAAAACAAAGUUUUAUGAAAAAAUGUUGGAGGAACAAAAUUUGUUAAAGAAAAGAAUUAAUGACUUGAACGAGUUUCUCCAAAAUGAAAAACAAAAGUUUUCUCAAACAAAAGAAAGCAAAUCUUUUCAAGGCACAAAUAAGUUUGUUAUGAUAAGAAGUAAGAAAAUUAGUUGCAUUAAAUCCACUUAUGUGCAAAAUACUUAUAUCAUGUGUCACUUUUGUUGCCAAUUUGGACAUAUGCAAAAUGAUUGCUAUGUAAAGAAAAAUAUGAAAAAAUGUAUGAAAUCCAUGUGGAUUGCUAGAUCAUGUUGUACUAACUCCCAAGGACCCUAUAAAGAAAAAAUACCAAAUGAAAUUUCUCAUACUUAGGUACAUCAUGAAGAUUUGAUCCAAAAGUGCUAAAUGGUUGAAAGUACAUUUGAAAGUUUUGACAUUCAAUAUGGUCUUGAUUUGAAAAAUAAAGGGGGAGUUUGCUUUUUGAUUGAUGCCAAAAAGGGGAGUAGGAUUUAUUGAAAUUUCUUUGUAUGUUGGCAUUUUCUAAGGGGGUGUUUUAUUUGAACUUAUUUGAUCAAAGAAAUCUUCAUUUUGUUUGUCAUCAUCAAAAAGGGGGAGAUUGUUGACCUUGAUUGAUCAGUCCUUGGUUUUGAUGAUUAACAAACCAAAAUGUAGAUUUGGACUAAUGUUUUUAUGUGAGAAAUUUGUUAGAACAGGUCAUUGAUCCAAAAGAGAAUCGAAAAGAUUUGAAUCAAAGAGAAGUUAAGAAAUAUGAAGGUUCGGACGUAGAGGAUCAGACGCUCGAUAGAGGAUCGGACGUCCGACAAACGACAAUACUCUUCGGACGCUUGGAUCGGACGCUCAUUCAUUGCUUCGGCCGUCCGACACAAAAAGAAUGAAAGUUGAACAUUCUGACUUCUAUCGGACGCAGGGUUCGGACGCAGAACAAAUGGUUCGGACGUCCGAUAGGUGGUUCGGACGCAUGGUUCGGACGUCCGACAGGCCAACGGCUAGUUUCGACAGCAUUUAAUAUUUGACCGUUGGAGAGCCUUUUGGAGCUAUUUCUCACCUUCUAUAAAUACCCCAAAACACAAGAAGACAUAGACUUUUGCCAACACUAAAUACAAGCUUGCAAGUGAGAUCUUUGAGUAGAAAUAUUCUUUGUUGGUUGUAUAAGGGGUUGGGAAAGUUAGGUUGUGAGGUUGCUCAAGUGAAGGUUACUCUCUAGGAGGAGUAAAACCUUGGUGAAGGUGAACCUAUCACUUGGAGUGGUAAAACCUUGAUAAAGGUUGCCUCACUUGUAUAAAGUAGUUCUUAAUUGAGUGGGUAAGCUUUCAAUUGUAGCUAGUUGAGGGUUUACUUGGAGAGUAGUAAAAUUCCUUUGGUCAACCAAAGUAUGUUUGGGGUGAGGAAGGAGUGAGCCUUCACUUGUACAAGUUGGUUAGCACUACCAUCAAUUAAAGAAGCUAUUUGGUGGAUUCAACUCCAAGUUUGGAAGAAGCUUGGGAGUUUGAUUGGUUUGAAUUUCUUUUACUUUAUUGUUACUCUAUUUUUGUGCUUUAAAAUUGCUUAUAUUCUUUGUCAUUGUAUUUACUUGACUACUUGUCUGGUUGAGUAUUUUGGUUGUAUUUGGUUGCAUCGGGGCUAACACUUUUAUAUUUAAAAAAUUUUUCUUAUGCCAGAAAAUAUUGCAUAUCUUCUAUCUAUUGUUUCUGAUUUAUUUUCAAAGAAAACAACCCAAAGGUUCCGUAUUAGUAAGAUGAAUUUGUGCCUAACCUGUAUGAGUUAAGUGCUCAAGCUUAAGCUAAGGUUACUAUGUAUCCAUAAGCCUCUUCAAAUUCAAAGAAAUUGGUAACUCAUAUAUAUAUACUGGAAAGCUGUGAGUGAUAAAGAAUUUAACCAGUGAUGCAUUUUGGAUGUCGAAUCAUGUCAUUUACUCAAGAAGGCACAACAGACUUAAGCAGUCACUCGAUUGAACCAAGUGACAAAUGACAG
rnacentral:lncRNA from 1 species